UCAUGUUCACCAGCAGCAUAACUCCGAUGGAGUUGUUCCAGUGCAGAACAAGAAUGAUCCGACCCAUUUACCCGGUCCAGUUGUGGAUGGAUUCCCCACCUAUGAAAUGGAUUUUGCUGGAUCUAAAAGUUUUGUGUACAACUUCAGCUCUCAAUCCAUCAGCCAAAGUGUAUGUGAUAUUUUUUUUAUUUUAGGCCAAUCAGUUAAUAUAUUCAGUUUUGACCAAAAAAUUAAUAUAUUCAGUUUAUUUAUUUUUGGCAGGUUUCAUCGUCUUCUAUGGAGGUUGGGGUCGUACCGGACCACAAUGCGAUGGCGGAUGUAUCCAACAAUUUAUCAAGGAGCGAUGCCGUUACGAAUCCGGUCUCCGGCGUGGAUAGAGAAGCGAGGUUUUAAGGUACAGGGAGAAAAGGAAGAACAGAAAAUUCGAGAAGACGAUUCGGUAUGCUUCGAGAAAGGCCUAUGCGGAGACCCGACCCAGAAUUAAAGGAAGGUUUGCGAAGCGGGCGGAAGUGAAAUUGAAUCGUUAAUAGUUGCUGAUGCGUCUUACGGCGUCGUUCCGACCUACUGAAUUGUGAAGUAAAAUCAAAUUUUGGGUGGAUUUUACUUUUUAGCUUAAUCACUUUUACUUCUCUGCUCCUUUUUGUUUUUUUUUUGGCCUUUUUUUUUUCGGCUUCUGGUAGCUGAGGCUACUUUAUCUUUUGUUGACUAUGUGGAUUAUGGUUAAUGUAUUGUACAUAUUUUUAAUCCCCUUUUUUGUUGGUCAAAUCUAAUCAGCAUUUUGGUGGUAUUUGGCGAUGAGAAUGAAAUUGGCAUCUAAUUGUGCCUUGUUGGGUUAAAUUGGGAGAAGGAUUAUGAGGUGUAAAUUCGGAUUGCGGUUUUAAGAAGUAAUUUUAGAAAAAUAAUAAUAUUUUGCCAUCUUUAAACAUUGAUUUAUAUAAAACAAAAAGUGAUCACAAAAAGUACUCUUAAAAAAUUUUCAAUAAAUAUAUAUUUUUGGAUAAAUUUUCAAUAAGCUUUGGCUCUGUUUUUUUCUGGGGAGGCAACACAAGACAGGUUGUGCUCAAUUGAAAUGGAAAUUUUUUAUUUGUAAUUUAAUUUAAAAUAAAAUGAAGAUGUGAAAAUUUUUGAGAAUUUCUUCUAGUCAAAAAUAUAUAUAUAUAUAUAUAUAUAUAUAUAUAAGAUAAUAGGCACCUGUUGUAUGUUUCUGUUCGGGUUUACAGAUAUUCAUAAUUAUUGUUAUACCACCAUCAAAAAAAGAUUAAGAUUUUUGUUUGGAUUGUAUUUUUUGAAUUUUUUGUAGAAAUAUUAUUGUAGUAUUUUGAUAUUUGUGAAGUAAAAAAUGAUUGAAAAAAUGUGUUCACAAAAAAUAUAAUAAUUUUUAUUUAAAAAAUUAUAAUCCAAACAUAUUCUAAAUUUCUCUCUAGACGAUAAGUCUGUAAGUCGAGAAUUCAAUUUCAUUUGCCGAGAAAAACAAAAGAAAAUAAAAGGAGAUGUUAAAACAUUCUUUGAUAUAGUCAUCUUUGUAUGUCUGUUAAUUUUUUAUAUAAUUUUUUUAGACUUCACUCUCAUAUAGAAUAAGAUAGAUUAUAUUAUAAAAAUAUUAUUAAAAAAUUUUCAAUAAACGACUUGUCUGACUUCCCUCUUAUAUAUAAUGUUUUUCUUUCCCUCGAUUUACACAAGCUAGAGCAUGACUGAACUUUCUUUGUUUCUAUAAUCUUACUUUUUUCCUUAAUCUCUGGGAGAAUACAGGAAAAGAUUAAUUUAUUGGUGUAGAAUCAAAAGGUAUGUUGCUAUUGGUGACUUGGCAUGCUGUGGUAAGCUGACUAUUGUUUAAUUAAAUACUUAACUAUUGCUGACUAUUGUUUAAUCAGAUGGUAUUUAUCUAACACGUCAAUCAUCUUGUUGAUUUACAGUCCCAGUGAAAAUCAUCGGUGGAAGCCCUUUUCUUUUCAUAUGGACAGAUUAAGGCAGUAGUUCCUUUGAGUACUUUGACCAAGGGGGUUUGAACUAAAAUGAUUGCCAACAAAUGAUAAUGAGGGUUAUUACUCAAAAGAAAAACUGAUGCAACGACUUUUAAGUCACCGUCUUCUUCCUCCAAGAAAAGUCACUCUCUUCUUUACUAGCAACCUAUUUGAUGAUAUUUCAUAAUGCAUCGGAAUUCUGGGAUGUUUACAAACGGAAAUCUAUGAGAAAGUGAGGCACAUGCAAGAUUAUUAUUAUCUAUAUCUGCAUAUCAAGUUUCUGAAAGAGAAAUAAUCCGUUUAAAGAUUUUGUAUUCUAAUGGACUACAGAGUCGAUUAAGACGCUAAAUUUUUUUAUGGAGAGAAAAAAAUUUUCCUUAAUUGAUUAAGAAUUAUCCUCAUUUUUGCAAUUCCAUAGACGUAUAAACAUAUGAAAACUGUACCAGCUUAAACUUCAAAAAUCAAAAUCAACAAAAGAAAAGUGCUCUAUCAUCAACCUGACGUGCCAAGCGGUUGCAGCUUUUCUACCUUUGCGAAGCCAACCAACAAUUUCUACAUUAAUGCAAGAAUAGUUUCAGAAACCUCCCUUAAGGUCUGUUGCAAUAUUACUUGAUACCCCUAAAUUUUGAAAAAUUGCACUUACCUUUCUUUUUUUUUUCAACAAACGUUAAAUGUUUCACUUACCUUUCUCAUUUUCAGCUUUUUGUAAUGCUAUCAACCCAAUUCAAAAAAUAUUAUUAAGAAACUCAUAUUUGGAGAGAGGAAAUGCUUUAAUUCUAAUAGAAAAAAUUAUACAAGUAGGUGUUUUUAAGGCACAAAAGAUUACUAUUUAAGCGUGCGUUCAAACUAAAAUAUUUUUCGUUCACUAUGAAGUGUUUUCAUUAAUUUGAGGAGUUUUAUGAAUUUUAAAAAAAUGAACUUUCUAAAUUUUUUGUAUAGACAGAUGACUUGAGUAUAAAAAACAGACAUAAUGUUUUUUACUCAUUUGAGGUGUUUCCAAAAAAUGUAAAAGUAACUUUCUUUAUUAAAAAGUAUUUUUAGAUAAAUUUAGAAUUUUAUAAACUUAUAGAAUUUUGUUUGGUAUUCUAACUUUUUGUCCAAAUCGAUGGCUUGAAUAUAAGAGAAAGAUAAAUUAUUAACAAUAUUUUUAGAAACUCAUUUGAGGUAUUUUCAAGAUGCAAAAUGUUAUUUUUUUUCUAAUAAUAACAAUUUUUCUUUUGCAUUUCUUGUCCGGACCGAUAACAUAGAAAAUUACAAAAGGUCUUUCAAUUUCAUUAAUAUAUUGUAAUCUUAAGGAUUUAAUCUGAUUUAUUAUGAAAAGUAAUGGUGCACAAGAAACGGGUAGUUUUGAAAAGAAAUGUUUUAUCUCUCUCAAACUAAGUUUUUAAAUCAUAUCUUUUGAAAUGGAUUGAUAAAGUUAAAAAAUGUUGAAAAUAAGGGAGGUAGGUGAAAUUUCUUAAAUUUUAGGGAUAUCAAAAUGAUAUUAAUAUAAAUAUGAGAGGAGGUUACUAAAAUUAUCUCUUAAUGCAAAAUAAGAAAACCAAAGAAAAACCAAUUUAAAAAAAUAUUUUGGGUCUUUGAAUAAUUAAGUAUAAUUAAGAAACUAAAUUUGUUAAAUUAAUGAAACUGUUUUGAUAGGUGUCUAUGAGUGUGAAAGCCACAGUGUCUGUCAUCCAAUGGCUGUUCUAACCUAUAAAUACAAAAAUGUUUACGUCAUGAAUGACGUAAAGAAAAUCAGAGAAACGUGAACCACAAAUUAUCACGGAUUUGACUUCAACUGUUCAACUCAACUAUUAAUGCUCUGGACCCCACCAUAUGCUUCUCAGUCAAUUUAGAGAAAACCAAGAAAGUUGAAAAGGGUAAUUUUAUGCGAAAAGGGCAAUUUUAUGCGAAAAGGGCAUAAUUGAAAAAAAAAAAAAAGAAGCCAUCAGCUUCAGCUAAAUGACAGGUGGUAUUUGACUAUUCGGUAUCUACUAUCCAGUGUAAUAAAUUAAUAACACAUGGCCCAUGGAUACAUAAAAUAAUAAUGGAGUGUUUGGAUAUCUCAAUUAUUUCAAUAAUAUUUCGCUUACAUCACAAACACAUUUCCCAACAUAUUUUUUUAUAUUUCCAAUCACCUUUUUAUCUCACAUACACCACAUCACAAAAAAUACUACAAUAAUAUUCUAAAUAAUAUUUCAAAUAAUAUACAAAAUAUACACCACAAGCAUAUUACAUGGUCCACAGAGUAUCAAAAUCCGCAAAUUGGUUGGUCCACGAGAUCUCUCAUAUCAUAUCCUUAGUGCUUAUCCUGUUGUGAGUCACUACUCAUCAGUAGUUCAGUACUGAUAUGCAUCAACUAGGGCUGCUUGAUUUCUCUUCCGUCCUUUCUAGGAAGAAAUUCUACGAAGGGUUAUUGUGGAUAAGGACACUUGGGAUAAAGAAAUUUGGGAUAAUUUCUGCGGCUUUCCUUGAGUUCCGUGACAAUUCACUUAACCUCUUGAACUUUAAAAGAUAUCAUUUCCCUCCUUUAUUUUCAAUUUUUUUUAUAGCAGUGUAAACUCAUUUUAAAAUAUAUUAUUAAAACACUUAUAUUUGAAUAGAGAAUUCGUGUUCAUUCCAAUGUUACCCUUUUCUUGUACAUCUUUUUAUUUUCAUAAUAAAUUAGUUAAUAUCUUAAACUUUUAAAACUUUGCCGUUAUAAUUUUGUAGCCAAGAAUUAUAGGAUGUUAACAAGAUUGAAAAAUAUUUUAAUAGUUUUCAUAUCAUUUGUUGACACAAUAUAUAUUAAAUUUAGAAAUUCACAAACAUUUUUCAGUAAAAUAAUAACUCCUUUUGGUCUUCGAAAACAUAGAAAAUGAGUUUUUAAAUAUAAUAUAAAUUUAUUCUAUUUUUCAGAAAUUCUAAUAAUUUAAAAACUCAUCAAAUUGAUGGUAAACACUUUGCAGUUAAUAAAAUUUUUUGGUUUGAAAGCACCUCAAAUACACUCUUAAAAAUAAAUUAUUUAUACCUUAAAACACUUACUGUUAUAUUGUAUCCCACUAAAAUUGCACAUUCAAACAAUAUGUCUAUUAAUUUCAACCUUUUCUUAAUAUACUUUUAAUUUUUUCAAAAAAAAAAGUAGGAUGAAUAAGGGCACGUUUGGAAUGAAAUCAUCUUCUUUAUCCAUGGGUAAAAUACACAAACCCCCUUAUGGUUUCGCGAAAAGACACCUAACCCCCCUAUCAUUUAGAAACCUACACAUAAAUACCCUAAACUUCAUAACUAAAGUGAAAAUUGACUUCUUAACCGGCUGAGUUACCGGCUGUAGGUUGAAUAUCCACAAAUACCCUCAUUUAUAAUAGAGAGGGGGAGAGAAUCAAGAACAGACUCUCUCUGUUCAUCUUGUAUAAGAAAAAAAACCUUAAAACAAGGGAUUUGUAUACUAAAUUGUUGGUGAAUCAGCUGGGGUUUCUGAGGUAGACUUUAGAAAUGGUAGGUUUUCCCACGGCAUCAUCACUUUAAUUAUGAAUUGCAUUCAGGCCAUCUCUAUGGAAAGAUUGGGGCAUUUGAUUACCGAGACAGUUAAGAAAGGUAAAUGGAGGCCGGUCAAGGCCUCGAGAUCAGGACCGAAAAUCUCUCAUCUUUUUUUUUGCAGACGAUCUUGUACUCUUUGCUGAAGCUAGUAUGGAUCCAGCAGUGGUACUUAAAAAUAUUCUCUAGGAAUUUUGUGAGAUGUCUGGUCAGAAGGUCAAUCUGGAAAAGUCAAAGCUCUUUUGCUCCUAAUACUCCAGACGAUCUGACCCAGACAAUUAGUGAUAAUAUGGGAGUUAGUCAUACGCAAAAUCUUGGCAAGUAUCUUGGCAUGCCUUUAAUUCACUCCAGAGUUACAAGUCGUACUUAUGCAGAAUUUGUUGAGAAGUGAUGAAUAAGAGACUUGCUGGGUGGAAAAGCAAGUGCCUGUCCUUUGCAGGAAGAACUACACUCAUCAAAUCAGUUAUCUCUGCUAUUCCAUCGUAUGCGAUGCAAUCCACACUGCGGUGUAAUUAGAGAUGAGCUUGGCAAUUUGGUACUCGCAUUUUCUCAUCACUUUGAUGCUGUGGAUUCGUUGGUUGCUGAAGCUAGGGCGUUUUUACUCGGGCUUUGCUUAUGCUGGCAAUUUGUUUUUUCACUGACUUAGUUUUGAAGCUGAUUCGAUGAUGCUAGUGGGAAUGUUGAAUGGAAGUUUUCCUGUGCCGAUGGGAUUAAGGCCUGUAUUUAGAGAAAUUAAGAGGAAUCUGCCUUCUUGCGUGUCUUCAUGAAGCUAAUGGGGUUGCGGAUUCACUUGCUGCUAUUGGUGCUCAUAAGCAACAGUUAAAUGUUUACAGUUCUUUUUCUAAGCUCCCUGCUCUUUCUAAGCUGAGGUGCUGACCACGCCGCUGAACUUGGAUUACUAUUGGAACCACCCUCCAUCUCUUUCGUUUUCGGCCUUUCUCCGCCUCUUCUAAUUCUGAAUUGAUCAGGUUAUCGGUAACUCAGUCGGUUAUAGGUCAAUUUCCACUUUAGUUAUGAAGUUUAGGUGUUUAUGUGUAGGUUUCUAAACGAUAGGGGGGUAAAGUGUCUUCUCGCGAAACCAUAAGGGGGUUCCGUGUAUUUUACCCAAAAAUGAGUUUUUUUAAGGGUUAUUAUCAUUUUGUCCCUAACCUUUAUAGCUACUAUCACUUUACCCCUAAUGUUAUCCUUUAGUCAGUUUACCCAUUUCCGUUAGCCAACUCAUUGUUACUAAUUUUUAAGAUGAAAAUACCCUUAAGCCUUGAAGAACUUGUUUCUUUUUUUUUUUGCUCAUAGUAUUUGCAAUUGUCUUGAUUUUUUUUAAAAUUCCUUUUCUCUUAAAAUGAUAUCCAACCUUUUUUAUUCUCUUUUUUCUUAAAUCGUUCACAAAUCCCUUAAUUUUUAAUUUUUUUAUUUCUUAUUUUAUUCUCUUAAUUUCUUGUCUACUCUACCUACAAGGUUAUAAUAUAAAAUUUUUGUGGACAUAUUUAUAUUUUUUCGUAAGUGUAAAAAAUCAUCUGGAACUUCUUAUACUAGAAACUAUUUUUUGCUUUUUUCAGACUGAUAGAUCUUUUUUGCAAACUUUCAAAACAAAAUUGAAAUUUCAUAUACCAAGUGACAAUGAAGAAGAUUAACGACUGUUGUUAGAUGCUACCACCAAAUAAAAAAAAAAUUCUAUUGACCUUGAAUGUAUUCUCAAUAUCAAGUUUAGCUCACUGCUACAUAUACAUAAAGCAUAAUCAUUGUCUAGUUGGGACAAAAAAAAUCAUUCACUAUCUGUCAUUAGUGGGAAUCCAUCAAAAUUAAUAACAAAAGACAGAUCAAUUCCUAUAUUUUCCUAUGGUAAACAUAAACAUGGUAAUGAUUCAAUCUUUUCUUUAAGAUAUCUAAUCUUUUGAGUAUGUUCUUAUGUCCAUGGUUUAGGAUUCUUUUUUAAUUUAUCAAACAGUAUAGAACAUUCUUGUCUUAAUUUAGGAAAGAAAUCCGCAAUAUAAUUUAAACAUCCUAAAAAUCUUUGUAACUGAUUUUUCUUUUUAUUUCAUCUGGAAAUUUAUUUGCAAAUUCUAAAGCUCUAUUUAUUGGUUUUAUUGUUCCUUUAUCUAUAUUAUGUCCUAAAAAUCUUAUUUUAGUUUGAAAUAGUUUCAUUUUAGGUGCUGAAACAACUAAUCCAUUUUUCUUAACUAUUUUUAAGAAUAUAUUUAAAUGUCUAAAAUGUGUUCUAAUGAUUCUGAAAAUAUUAAUACAUCAUCAAUAUAGACUAUACUGAACGAAUUACAAGGAUUAAAUAUAUCAUUCAUUAUAUUUUGAAAUUCGGAAGGCGCAUUUUUUAAUCCAAAUGGCAUUACUUUCCAUUCAUAGUGGCCAAAGGUGUUGUAAAUGCUGUUUUAUAUAUAUCUUCAGGGGUUAUUAAAAUCUACCAAUAUCCUGACUUCAUAUCAAAUUUUGAAAUAUUUUUGAGUUUAUAAUCUAUUCAAUAAAUCCUUUUAUUUGGAAUUGGAUAUCUUAUCCAUUGUAAUACUUUAUUUAAUGGUUUAUAAUUAAUAACUAAUCUUGGCACUCCUCUUUCUUUUUCUGCUUGAUUCAUGACAUAAAAAGCUGCACAACUCCAAGGUGACUUUGAGGGGGUGAUUAAUCCUUUAUCCAUUAAUAUUUGUAUUUCUUUUUUACAAAAUUCUAGUAAUUCACUAUUCAUUUGUAUAGGUCUUGCUUUAGUUGGAAUAUUUUUUUCAUUAAAAUCUUUUUCAUAUGGUAAUUUUAUCAUAUGUUGCUUUCUAUCCCAAAAGGCAUUUGGAAUUUCUGCACAAACUUUUUUUUGAUUAACUCUUCUAACUCUAAAAUUCUUUUUUGCAUUUUUAUUUCUUUUAAUUGUUCUUCAAUUUUUAAAUAAGAUUUUUCUUCCUUUAUAUAUUUUAUAUGUUGUUUUACCUUAGUAAUUGAAUUUAUUGUUUUAUAUAUAGAGGAUGAUUGUAACAUUUGUAAUUCUCUUUGUUUUAUUGGAGUCAAAAAUUUAAAAGUAAUAGUUUUUCCCAUGAUAUUAGUAGAAAUACCUUCAUGUCCUAUUGAGAAAGAAUAUAUUUGAAUUAAAAAAGGUGUUCCUAAGAUUAUAUCAUUACUUAUAUUUUUUACAUUUAUAAAAUUAUGUCUAAUACAAUAGUUAUUAUUACAUAUUGAGCCUUUUGUAAAUUUAUAUUUUACAUCUAAAUUUUCUCCAUUUGCUGCCAUCAAAGUUUCAUUUGUUCUUUCGCAAUACUUAGUAGGAAUAAUUCCUUCUUUAUACAACUUGAAUCUGCCCCACUAAUCUAAUAAAGCUACAUAAGUUUCUUUGAAAUCUUCUACUAUUAUUGUGAUUAAGCAUACCAUUUUUGAAAUAUUAUUUUUCUAUUGUAUUUAAAUAUUGUUUCUCAUCUACUGGUUUUUUUGAAAUAACUAUUUCUUCUGUAUUUAAUGUCUUUGAAGUAGAAGGUGAUUUUCUAUUAAAGUUUUUUGCUUCUAUUUCUAAAUCUUUUAGUUUUUAAUUCUAUAAUUUCUUUUGUAAUUGUUUUACUUGACCUUUUAAAAUAUUAAUCUCUGUUUGUAGAUCUUUAGUAGUUUCUUUUUUCAUAUUGUUUAUAUUAGGAUAUUUGUCUAGUAAUUUGAAAUGCUAAAUGGUUCUAUUAUAUUUGGCAUCAUUUCUUCUUGUAUAAUUAAACUCUUUAAUCUUUCUAAAUAUUCUUUUUUAGCUAAAGGGUCUUCAAUUUUUUCUAUCAUAUCUAAUAAAAUUCUUUAUCUUCCUUUUUUGUGAUUACAUUUAUAUAUUUUGGAUUGCAAUUACAAUCUUCUUCACUUUCUGAACUACUUACAUCAUUGUAAUAAUCAUCUUCUGUACUUUGUUCCUUUUCAUUUAUCAAUAGAUUUAUUAAUUUAUUAUUUAUUUCUUCAUCUUCUGCACAGAUUUCAUUUAAUUUUUCUUUUAAUUUACAUUUAUUUGCUUUAUGUCCUACUUUUCCACAUUUAUAACAAACUACUUUCUUUUUAUAGAAUUUUCUGUUUUUCUUUUCUUCAUAAUUUUUAUCUUUAUUAGAUUUUUUAUAUUUUAAAUAUUUUUAUCCCUUUUACUUUUCUUUUUAUAUGCUGAUGGUGAUUUAAUUCUUUUUAUACCAAAUGCUUCACAAAAUGAUCCUACUUCUUUUGUUUUUGAUCCAUACUUAAUUUGAAGUUUUAAUUCUGAACAUAAUAUUAAUCCUUCUUUUUUCACAAAAGCAAAUAAUUGUCCAAAAGUAAUAUUUUCGAAUGAAACAACAUCUGUUCCCAUUUCCUUUUGUAAAUUAUCCAUUAUCCUUUGUGAAAAUAAACUUGGUAAUCCUGUAAUAAAUCUUUCUUUCCAAAAUGAAGCAUUACAAUCUGGUCUUCUUAAUACAUUGGUUAAAAACAUAUCUUUAUACCAUCUAAAAUCUGACAAAGUUGGGCAUCUUAAAUUUGUUAAAAAUGUUUUAUUAGCAUUUAAUUCUUCCUUUGGAUUUCCUACAAAAUACAUUACUAUUGUUACAAUUAAAAAUUCUGCAGCAUCUGAUUGAAUUUGAAUGUUACCUUGAUCAUCUUCAAUUUCUUGAGUAUGGUCUAAUAUUGAUAAUUUAUCUUGAAGUGUUAAAGCGUUAUCCCACCAAUUUUUUAAUUGUCCUGUGAAUCCUGAUACUAACAAGGUUGCUACAUUUCUUUCUUGAAUAUUUUAAGCUUAUAAGCUAGUCUAGCCAUUCCCAUUUCUUGUAAAGUGUUUAAUACUUCAUAUUCUGCUCUUCUAUCUAUAUUCCAUUCAAAAAUUGAAUCUCCAUCAUAUUUAGUAGUAUGAAAUUUUGAUCUUUCCUCAUAUUGAAUAUCUGAAGGACUUGGUCUUGGAUAAUAAUUUCUAGUACUUACCAUUUGCCAAUCUUUUUUAUUAUUUCUAAAAGGUUUUCUUCUUCUUAUUUUAUUUAUUUGAUUAUUUCCUUCUUCUUUAAAUUGAUCUUCUAUUGAUGAAAUUACAUCUUCAUCGCUUCCUGAUUUACUUGAUUCUUCUGAUGAUGUUUCUUUAUUUUUUACUCUAUCUAAAGUAUUUAUUCUAGAAGUUUGAGUUUGAGCUUCUGUUGUUAGAUUUUGCAAUGUUUGAGAUAUUCUAUUUAAUAUAUUCUCAGUUAUUUAUUCUUUGAGUAUUGACACUUUGAAUUAAUUCUUGUUCUCUUUCUCUAGUUAAGCUUCUAGGUUGAAAAUGGGGUGCUGAAAUAUCAUUGGGAAAUUUUGUUACUGGUUUCUAAAUACUGUUAUCUUUGUACUUAUUACUUCUAUAUGUUGUGUUAUAGUAUGAAGAAUUUGAUUCGUAUAAUUAUUUUGCUGAUAUAAUUUUUUAAUGUCAUCUAAAUUUACAUUAUUAUUACUACUACUUGCUUCAACUUCUCUGCCUUUUUUGAAAGGGGAUGCAAUUAUAUCUCCUUGUCCUAUAUUAAUUUUUACUUCAUGUAAUGGAGGAUGUAUUGACGUUAUUACUUGAUCGUCCUUUAAUUUUCAUUUUUUAUAUAAAUUAGUUUGAACAUUUAUUUGAGGAGUAUUAUAUACAUCGUUUAUUCCUAUUUUCGAAAUAUAGAAUGAUAACCACGUAAAGAAAGGAAAAUCAAACUUUCUUGUUUCUAAUUCAUUUUUCCAUUCUAAUAUUAAUUUUUCUUUACAUUCGGAAGAUAAUUGAGAAAACCAAAUUCUUUUUUCUGUAUUUUCUUCAUCAUCAAAGUCUUCUUGUAAAUAUUUAUGAUUUAUUUUAUAUUCCUUAAUUAUUACAUUUAUUUCUCCUUUCAUCUGGGAGUGUGUUGGAGAAUAAUCUAAUUGAUUUUGAUAAAUUACCUCUAGAACAGGAGUUUUAAAUUUGAAUGUUGAAGUACUUUCUACAGGAAAAUUUGUAUCAAUGGAUUCAUAACUAGAUCUUCUAGCUGGUAUCCAGGAAUGAUUUGAAGUGGAAGGUCUUUCUCUAAAUGAAGAAAAUCUUAGCAAAACUUUUCCAUCAGAUUCUUCUAUAAUAUCUUCUGGAUUUGUUUGUUCUAUACUUCUUGGUGCUUGUGGAUUCUGAAUUAUAAAUUCGCUCGGUAUAGUUAUUUCAUUUCAUUUUAAUCUUUUUGGAGUAUAGGUAGUAGGUCUGUCAGCAUCAACUUGUAAUAGUGUUGUUUCAUCUUUUAAAGUUGGUGUCAUAAUAAAUUUAAGAUUUAGCUGUGAAGAUAAUGGUCUAUAAUACAUUCUAUAAAUUACAGCAAAAUUCUUUGUAUGUUUUUCAAAUUCAUCUCCUUGUAAAUGAAUAUCUAAUAUGACUGAAUUCAAAACAUGUGGAUCUGUUAAAUCUAAUGAAAAAUUUGGAGCACAAUUAAAAUAAAUGGGUCCAUUGCAUACAUUUGUUUGAAUCAUAGACAGAAGUGAUGUUUUAUAUCUUUUGAGUCUAGUGUCUCUUAAAGCUAAAUAUAUAGGUGCAUCCACUCCUAAAUGGAAUAAGGGUUUAACCGCAACUUGAAUUAAGCCUAUAUGUAUAUGCCUAUAUCCUUUACUUAGAUACUUUUGAAUUGUAUUAUGAUUCAGUAAUGGAAUUUAUUGAUAUUCUUCUUGAAUAGAUAUUGUUUCUUCAUGAGUUUUAACUGAUAAAGCUGUUUUGAAAUCUAAGGGUCCUAUUCUAUAAAUAUGCUCUAUUUUUUCUUCGGGAAUAGUCCAAUCUGAAUUAUUUACAGGCAUAUGAUAUUCAUGACUUUGAACUAUACUUGGUUGUUUUGAACUAGAUCCUAUCUUCAAUUGUCUAAGGAAUGCAGCCAGGUUUAAUAUCUUAUUUACUCUUUUAUCUUAUCAGGAACAACCGAGCCUAGGCGGGGAACAUCCUAUCCUGGAUUUACCAACCGGCUUACAAAGCUUUCAAGUCUUACCAAUGCUAAGAUAAAUUUAUAAAUGAGAUAUUUAGCAUGAAUGCAUAAAUUAGAAAUUUAAGACAAGAUAUAAUUCUAAACAAUCAGUAGUAUGUAUAUAACAUUGAUGGCUCUGAUACCAGAACCAACCCAGGAUAUAGAAUGGACUGUCUAUGGGAAAUAUUUGAAUAUUUUCUUUGAAGAAAAGGAUUGUCUCUUUUAGCUCGUAAUCUUCGAAUAUAUUCUUUGUGGGUUUCACGUUCCAUUUCCCUGUAAAAAUUCUCUUGUCAAGAAGUUAGGAAGAGAAUUAUUUUCUCCUUUAAUAAAUUCUAAUCAAUCAUUCCUGGUUCUUCACAUUCAAAGAAAGUUGCAGCAGAGAAUUUCCAAUUUGGUUCAAUCACUGGUGGAAAUGGUUUGGUCCUCAACCAGACAUUCUACCUCCAAACGUUCUUAUGGGAUUCCAAACCUAUCUCAAAAAGCAAGGGGGGAAGAAUAUAUAAGGCCAAUAGAAUAUACAAGGCCAAUACUAUUCCAUAUGGAAUUCAAAGUACCAUGGAUUUUUUGCUGGAGUUUCAAAGUUCAUCAAGAAUUUGAAAAACCACUUCCAAUGUCACUAGUCCGAGAAUUCAAAAUCAAAUGGUGGAUAGGAUUCAAUCAAGAAUUUUGUGACCAAAAGAAUGUAUUAAGAUUCCUAGAGACUGGAGAAAACUCAAAUGGACUAAUCCAAAUCAGCAAUCUACCAAAGGAGUUAAUUUCCCAACUACUCCACAGAAGAAAGAAAAGGAGAAAAGCUGCUCAACAUCAGAAACAACGGCAAAUGAUUUCUUAAUGAAGAAGAUUAUGCAAAAUCCGGAAAUGCUCAAAGAAUACCUAAAUUAUUUGCAAAAUCAAGACAAGAAGGAAGAAGACAAAAAAGAUGAAUCAGUUGGAUCGUCAUCAGAAUCAACUUUUGAUCCAUUUGGUGGUCCCUGUGCUCAAGACCGACAGACUUUUGAUAAAGUUAUCGGCCAAUUUCAAAAGGCCAAAUUCAAGAUAAGAUAAGAAUCUCAAAAGAACCAAUCAAAAAGAUAAGGUGUCGAUAUAAAAGGCAAAUGAAAUUCAAAUGAAAGUGUCGGCAAUCAAAUAAAGAUGAAAUUCAAAGACGGAAGUCUCUAUAAAUAGAACUCAAAAUCAAUUGAAGAGGUAUCGAGUUUUUAGCCAUCUUAAAUCUCUCUGUAAAACCAUUACUUUCUCAGCUUUUAUAUUUCUUUGUAUACUUUCUCAUUCAAGAGUUCAAUAACAAUUCGAAGUUUGAUUUUAUCACAAAGGCUCUGUUAUUUUCAAUUUUCGUUGCAAAGACUACUCUGAUUUUCAAGUAAGUUCUACUUAAUUUUAUGUCCAUUCAAAUUCAAUCAGAUGCUGCAGAAUUUUUAAUUGUAACAAUAGUAAUGUAUUUUGUAGGAAAUCCAAAGGAAGAAUUAAAUGCUAAUAAAACAUUUUUAACAAAUUUAAGAUGCCCAACUUUGUCAGAUUUUAGAUGGUAUAAAGAUAUGUUUUUAACCAAUGUAUUAAGAAGACCAGAUUGUAAUGCUUCAUUUUGGAAAGAAAGAUUUAUUACAGGAUUACCAAGUUUAUUUUCACAAAGGAUAAUGGAUAAUUUACAAAAGGAAAUGGGAACAGAUGUUGUUUCAUUCGAAAAUAUUACUUUUGGACAAUUAUUUGCUUUUGUGAAAAAAGAAGGAUUAAUAUUAUGUUCAGAAUUAAAACUUCAAAUUAAGUAUGGAUCAAAAACAAAAGAAGUAGGAUCAUUUUGUGAAGCAUUUGGUAUAAAAAGAAUUAAAUCACCAUCAGCAUAUAAAAGAAAAGUAAAAGGGAUAAAAAAUAUUUAAAAUAUAAAAAAUCUAAUAAAGAUAAAAAUUAUGAAGAAAAGAAAAACAGAAAAUUCUAUAAAAAGAAAGUAGUUUGUUAUAAAUGUGGAAAAGUAGGACAUAAAGCAAAUAAAUGUAAAUUAAAAGAAAAAUUAAAUGAAAUCUGUGCAGAAGAUGAAGAAAUAAAGAAUAAAUUAAUAAAUCUAUUGAUAAAUGAAAAGGAACAGAGUACAGAAGAUGAUUAUUACAAUGAUGUAAGUAGUUCAGAAAGUGAAGAAGAUUGUAAUUGCAAUCCAAAAUAUAUAAAUGUAAUCACAAAAAAGGAAGAUAAAGAAUUUUUAUUAGAUAUGAUAGAAAAAAUUGAAGACCCUUUAGCUAAAAAAGAAUAUUUAGAAAGAUUAAAGAGUUUAAUUAUACAAGAAGAAAUGAUGCCAAAAAUAAUAGAACCAUUUAGCAUUUCAAAAUUACUAGACAAAUAUCCUAAUAUAAACAAUAUGAAAAAAGAAACUACUAAAGAUCUACAAACAGAGAUUAAUAUUUUAAAAGGUCAAGUAAAACAAUUACAAAAAGAAAUUAUAGAAUUAAAAACUAAAGAUUUAGAAAUAGAAGCAAAAAUAACUUUAAUAGAAAAUCAACCUUCUACUUCAAAGACAUUAAAUACAGAAGAAAUAGUUAUUUCAAAAAAACCAGUAGAUGAGAAACAAUAUUUAAAUACAAUAGAAAAAAUAACAUUUCAAAAAUGGUAUGCCUUAGUCACAAUAAUAGUAGAAGAUUUCAAAGAAACUUAUGUAGCUUUAUUAGAUAGUGGGGCAGAUUCAAGUUGUAUUAAAGAAGGAAUUAUUCCUACUAAGUAUUGCGAAAGAACAAAUGAAACUUUGAUGGCAGCAAAUGGAGAAAAUUUAGAUGUAAAAUAUAAAUUUACAAAAGGCUCAAUAUGUAAUAAUAACUAUUGUAUUAGACAUAAUUUUAUAAUUGUAAAAAAUAUAAGUAAUGAUAUAAUCUUAGGAACACCUUUUUUAAUUCAAAUAUAUCCUUUCUCAGUAGGACAUGAAGGUAUUUCUACUAAUAUCAUGGGAAAAACUAUUACUUUUAAAUUUUUGACUCCAAUAAAACAAAGAGAAUUACAAAUGUUACAAUCAUCCUCUAUAUAUAAAACAAUAAAUUCAAUUACUAAGGUAAAACAACAUAUAAAAUAUAUAAAGGAAGAAAAAUCUUAUUUAAAAAUUGAAGAACAAUUAAAAGAAAUAAAAAUGCAAAAAAGAAUUUUAGAGUUAGAAGAGUUAAUCAAAAAAGAAGUUUGUGCAGAAAUUCCAAAUGCCUUUUGGAUAGAAAGCAACAUAUGAUAAAAUUACCAUAUGAAAAAGAUUUUAAUAAAAAAAAUAUUCCAACUAAAGCAAGACCUAUACAAAUGAAUAGUGAAUUACUAGAAUUUUGUAAAAAAGAAAUACAAAUAUUAAUGGAUAAAGGAUUAAUCACCCCUCAAAGUCACCUUGGAGUUGUGCAGCUUUUUAUGUCAUGAAUCAAGCAGAAAAAGAAAGAGGAGUGCCAAGAUUAGUUAUUAAUUAUAAAUCAUUAAAUAAAGUAUUACAAUGGAUAAGAUAUCCAAUUCCAAAUAAAAAGGAUUUAUUGAAUAUAUUAUAUAACUCAAAAAUAUUUUCAAAAUUUGAUAUGAAGUCAGGAUAUUGGCAGAUUUUAAUAACCCCUGAAGAUAGAUAUAAAACAGCAUUUACAACACCCUUUGGCCACUAUGAAUGGAACGUAAUGCCAUUUGGAUUAAAAAAUGCGCCUUCCGAAUUUCAAAAUAUAAUGAAUGAUAUAUUUAAUCAUUAUAGUUCGUUCAGUAUAGUCUAUAUUGAUAAUGUAUUAAUAUUUUCAGAAUCAUUAGAACAACAUUUUAUACUGUUAUAUUGUAUCCCACUAAAAUUGCACAUUCAAACAAUAUGUCUAUUAAUUUCAACCUUUUCUUAAUAUACUUUUAAUUUUUUCAAAAAAAAAAGUAGGAUGAAUAAGGGCACGUUUGGAAUGAAAUCAUCUUCUUUAUCCAAAAAUGAGUUUUUUUAAGGGUUAUUAUUAUUUUGUCCCCUAACCUUUAUAGCUACUAUCACUUUACCCCAUAAUAUUAUCCUUUAGUCAGUUUACCCAUUUCCGUUAGCCAACUCAUUGUUACUAAUUUUUAAGAUGAAAAUACCCUUAAGCCUUGAAGAACUUGUUUCUUCUUUUUUUUUUUGCUCAUAGUAUUUGCAAUUGUCUUGAUUUUUUUUUUAAAUUCCUUUUCUCUUAAAAUGAUAUCCAACCUUUUUUUAUUCUCUUUUUUCUUAAAUCGUUCACAAAUCCCUUAAUUUUUAAUUUCUUAUUUUAUUCUCUUAAUUUCUUGUCUACUCUACCUACAAGGUUAUAAUAUAAAAUUUUUGUGGACAUAUUUAUAUUUUUUCGUAAGUGUAAAAAAUCAUCUGGAACUUCUUAUACUAGAAACUAUUUUUUGCUUUUUUCAGACUGAUAGACCCUUUUUGCAAACUUUCAAAACAAAAUUGAAAUUUCAUAUACCAAGUGACAAUGAAGAAGAUUAACGACUGUUGUUAGAUGCUACCACCAAAUAAAAAAAAAUUCUAUUGACCUUGAAUGUAUUCUCAAUAUCAAGUUUAGCUCGCUGUUACAUAUACAUAAAGCAUAAUCAUUGUCUAGUUGGGACAAAAAAAAUCAUUCACUAUCUGUCAUUAGUGGGAAUCCAUCAAAAUUAAUAACAAAAUAUCAUCAAUUCAUCCAAAAAGAAAAGAACAAAACAUUAUUUUCAAGUUGUUGACCAUUAGAAACAUCAUUUUUUGCCAACUGGUAUGCUGGACUUUGAAGCAGCACUUGACGAUCCUUGGCUGGAUAGCAAAUGGACUCCAUAUCUAGUUUGCACCUUGUGAACCUAAAAGAAGAUGUGAAAAUAUGAAAAAGCAUAACCGUACAACCAACACUACAUCACUGGAGUUUAUUAAAUUGCACAAGGCUUCAAUAUUCUAACCUGAUUUCCAGCAUUGUAUUUUUUACUGCUUGAAGUUCUAAAUGGAGCUCCGGUCAUAAUAUCACCAUUUGCUUUGUCACUCAUAAUAUCAGCUCUUGCUUUCUCACUCAUAAUAUCACCAUUGCUUCCUCUACCAGCUCUAAUAGUAGUCACUCUGCCUUCACUUCCACUCUGACUAGCACACUUUGUAGGCACCAUUUGUGGGGAAAUCUGCAAUGAAUUUCAUUUAUGAGUGAUGAUUGUACUGAUAAAGGAAACUAGGCAAAAGUGAACAAUUUUACCAUUCUUGAGUGGUGAAUAAAAGUUGUUCCAGUUGACAUUCCCACACCAUUCUAGUUGCCAAUCCCACUCAAUGGACCAUAGCUAACACCUUUGCCAUGACCAUCUUAGUUCCCUUACCUCUACUGUAGUUAACACUUAAGCCACACCCCUUCCAAUAGCAAUUCCCCUAUCUCUAACACUUCCUGUAUGUGCAACUUGGCCCUCCAGAUAUUCAAUACGAAGAAAGAUCAAAAUUUAGAGCUACUAAAUAUGACGGAGAUUCAAUAUAUGAAUGGAAUAUAGAUGGCAAAGCUGAAUAUGAAGUAUUAAAUAAUCUGCAAGAAAUGGGAAUGGCCAGAUUAGCUUAUAAAAUUAAAAAUAUUCAAGAAAGGAAUAUUGCAACCUUAUUAGUCUCAGGAUUUACAGGACAAUUAAAAAAUUGGUGGGAUAAUGCUUUAACAUUACAAGAUAAAUUAUCAAUAUUAGAACAUACGCAAGAAAUUGAAGAUGAUCAAGGAAAUAUUCAAAUACAGUCAGAUGCUGCAGAAUUUUUAAUUGUAACAAUAGUAAUGUAUUUUAUAGGAAAUCCUAAAGAAGAAUUAAAUUCAAAUAAAACAUUUUUAACAAAUUUAAGAUGUCCAACAUUAUCAGAUUUCAGAUGGUAUAAAGAUAUGUUUUUAACAAAUGUAUUAAGAAGACCAGAUUGUAAUGCUUCAUUUUGGAAAGAAAGAUUCAUAACUGGAUUACCAAGUUUAUUUUCACAAAGAAUAAUGGAUAGUUUACAAAAAGAAAUGGGAACAGAUGUAAUUUCAUUUGAAAACAUUACUUUUGGACAACUAUUUGCUUUUGUAAAAAAAGAAGGAUUAAUAUUAUGCUCAGAAUUAAGAUUACAAAUAAAAUAUGGUUCUAAAACAAAAGAAGUAGGAUCAUUUUGUGAUGCAUUUGAAUAAAAAGAAUUAAAUCACCAUCAGCUUAUAAGAAAAAAGUAAAAAAAUAUAACAAGAAAAUAAGAUACAAAAAAUCUAAGGAAAAUGAACCAACUAAAAAGAAAAGAUUCAUCAAAAGAAAAAUUGUUUGUUAUAAAUGUGGAAAAAUAGGCCAUAGAGCAAACAAAUGUAAACUAAAAGAAAAAUUACAGAAAUCUGUGCAAACGAAGAAGAUAUAAAAAAUAAAUUGAUAAAUUUAUUAAUAAAUGAAAAAGAUUCAAGUUCUGAAGAUGAUUAUUAUAAUGACAUAUAUAGUUCGGAAAGUGAUGAAGAUUGUAAUUGUUCAAAUACUCCAAAAUAUAUAAAUGUGAUAACUAAAAAGGAAGACAAAGAAUUUUUAUUAGAUAUAAUAGAAAAAAUUGAAGAUCCAAUAGCUAAAAAGAAUAUUUAGAAAGGUUAAAAAGUUUGAUUAUUCAAGAAGAUAAAAUGCCAAAAAUAAUAGAACCCUUUAGUAUUUCUAAAUUAAUAGAUAAAUAUCCUAAUAUAAAUAUAAUGAAAAAGAAACUACUAAAGAUCUUCAAACAGAAAUAAAUAGUCUUAAAUUACAGGUAAAACAAUUACAACAAGAAAUUAUAGAAUUAAAAACAAAAGAUUUAGAAAUAGAAGCAAAAAUGUCUUUAAUAGAAAAUCAACCUUCAACCUCUAAUUCUAAAACAGAAGAAAUAAAUAUAUCAGAAAAAAUAACAGACGAAGUUCAAUAUUUAAAUACAAUAGAAAGAAUGAUAUUUCAAAAAUGGUUUGCAUUAGUAACCAUCACAGUAGAAGAUUUUAAAGAAACAUACAUAGCUCUAAUAGAUAGUGGAGCUGAUGUAAGCUGUAUUAAAGAAGGAAUAAUCCCUACUAAACAUUGUGAAAGAACUAAAGAAACAUUAAUGGCAGCAAAUGGAGAAAAUUUGCAAGUAAAAUAUAAAUUCACAAAAGGAUCAAUAUGUAAUGAUAAUUAUUGUAUUAGACAUAAUUUCAUAAUUGUAAACAAUAUAAAUCAUGAUGUAAUUUUAGGAACACCUUUUUUAAUUCAAAUUUACCCAUUUUUAGUAAGUCAUGAAGGAAUCUCAAUAAAUAUAAUGGGAAAAACAGUCAUAUUUAAAUUCCUAACCCCAGUAAAACAAAGAGAAUUACAAACAUUACAAACCUCCUCUAUUUACAAAACAAUAAAUAGUAUUACUAAAGUACAACAACAAAUAAAUUAUAUCAAGGAAGAAAAAUCUUAUUUAAAAAUUGAAGAACAAUUAAAGAAAGUAAAAUGCUAAAAAGAAUUUCAGAAUUAGAAGAAUUAAUACAAAGAGAAAUAUGUGCAGAUAUUCCUAACGCUUUUUGGGAUAGAAAACAACAUAUGGUAGAAUUACCCUAUGAAAAAGAUUUUGAUGAAAAGAAUAUUCCAACAAAAGCUAGACCAAUACAAAUGAAUUCUGAAUUAUUAGAAUUUUGUAAAAAAGAAAUAAAAAUAUUAAUAGAUAAAAAAUUAAUAACACCCUCAAAAUCACCUUGGAGCUGUGCAGCGUUUUAUGUGAUAAAUCAAGCUGAAAAAGAAAGAGGAGUUCCAAGAUUAGUAAUAAAUUAUAAACCUUUAAAUAAAGUCUUACAAUGGAUUAGAUAUCCAAUUCCUAAUAAAAAAGAUUUACUUAAUAGACUAUUCAAUGCGAAAAUAUUCUCAAAGUUUGAUUUAAAAUCAGGAUAUUGGCAAAUAUUAAUAACACCAAAAGAUAGAUACAAAACAGCAUUUACAACACCUUUCGGACAUUAUGAAUGGAAUGUAAUGCCAUUUGGAUUAAAAAAUGCACCAUCAGAAUUUCAAAAUAUAAUGAAUGAUAUCUUUAACCCUUACAGUUCAUUUAGUAUAGUAUACAUAGAUGAUGUAUUAAUAUUUUCAGAAUCAUUAGAACAGCAUUUUAAACAUUUAAAUAUAUUUUUAAAGGUAGUAAAGAAAAAUGGAUUAGUAAUCUCUGCCCCAAAAAUGAAAUUAUUUCAAACUAAAAUAAGAUUUUUAGGACAUGAUAUAAAUCAAGGAACAAUAAAACCAAUAAAUAGAGCUUUAGAAUUUGCAACAAAAUUUCCAAAUGAAAUAAAAGAUAAAAAUCAAUUACAAAGAUUUUUAGGAUGUUUAAAUUAUAUAGCAGAUUUCUUUCCCAAAUUAAGACAAGAAUGUUCUAUAUUAUUUAAUAGAUUAAAGAAAAACCCAAAACCAUGGACAAAAGAACAUACUCAAAAAAUAGAAUAUUUAAAAGAAAAAAUUAAAUCUUUACCGUGUUUAUGUUUACCUAAUCCUAAAGCAUUCAUGAUAGUUGAAACAAAUGCGUCAGAAUUAGGAUAUGGAGGAAUAUUAAAAUAGAAAACAGAAAAGUCAAAAGAAGAAUUGGUUAGAUUUCAUUCCGGAACAUGGUUUGAUCCUCAAAAGAAUUAUUCAACUAUUAAAAAGAAAUUCUGUCAAUAGUUUUAUGUAUAUCAAAAUUUCAAGAUGAUUUAUAUAACAAGAAAUUUUUAAUAAGAAUAGAUUGUAAAUCUGCAAAAGAAAUUUUACAAAAAGAUGUUCAAAAUAUAGUUUCAAAACAAAUAUUUGCUAGAUGGCAAGCUAUUUUAUCUGUAUUUGAUUUUGAAAUAGAAUUCAUCAAAGGAGAAAAUAAUUCAUUACCAGAUUUUCUUACUAGAAAAUUUCUACAAGGACAUGGAUCGUGAAUUGAUGGCUCGAAGAACAGAACGAGAACAUACCAAUUAUUUGAGAGCUCAGAGAGACUGUCCUAAACUCCAAAAUAAAGAAAAGGUCAUCCAAUCCAGAGGAUAUCAAUAUUUUGUUCAAACUAGUCAUGGUAGGCAGAGUAUUCCAGCCUAUCAAAUUCCCAAACAUGAUACUAUUUACAUUCAAAAAAGCCCUUAUGCUACCAUUACUCUACAAGAAAGAGCUUUUCUUAUUCAAAGAGAGAUUCAGCGAAACACAAUCCGAAUCCAAGUCAUGAGACGAAGUGAAAGAAGUGAAGAAUUUAUUCAGUAUCACAAAGAGAAAAAUAAGCAAUUAUCUGACCAACUCAAAGAUGUUGUUUAUUAAUCUUGCAGGAAUAUGGAUUCAAAAGCAGGAAAUUCGAGACCAAAGACUCCUCAGGAUUAUGAGAUGAGUUUAACUCCUGUAACUCAAAACAGAUUCCAAUUAUUAUCAGACUUUCCAGCAUUGACUUAUAGUCAAGCUGCUUGCACUCCAAAUUCCUUUCAAAUCAGGCCAAUUCAACAAAUACCAAAAUCCCCAGAACAUACCUAUUUCACAAAGCCAUUCACUCAACACAUUACUCUUACACGAUUUCAAGAAGUACCCAUAUAUUCUACACUCAAUCAGCUUACUCAAAGAAUUUUCCCUCAAAAAUGCUAUUGGCAACCAGAUGAUUCUUCAAAAAAUCUGGACUAUUACGAAUUAAUUCUUACAGAUACUCAAUCUGUAGAAAUAUUCCCUAUUCCAGACAAAAUGAAUCCAAAUCUGAUUAGUCAUUCUAAAUGUAUAAUAAAGAAAGUUUGUUCUCCAAAUGAAUGGACUUCUCUUUAUUCCAAAAAAUCCUUUUCAGUAAGGUUUAUUCCAGAUGGAUUUACAUAUCAAGAUUACAAAAUGGCAUGGUAUCGUGCCUUCCUUUUUAGACCUUUCAAUCAUUCAUGGUUUUUCACAUUCAAGGAAAAUUGUACCAGAGAAUUUCCAAUUUGGUUUAAUCAUUGGUGGCAAUGGUUCGGCCCUCAAAAGGAAAUACUACCUCCAAAUGUGCUAAUGGGAUUUCAGACUUAUCUCAAAAGAGCAAAGGGGGAAGAAUAUACAAGACCAAUAUUAUUCCAUAUGGAGUUCAAAGUACCAUGGAUAUUUUGCUGGAGUUUCAAAGUUCAUCAAGAAUUAGAAAAACCACUUCCAAUGUCACUGGUCAGGGAAUUGAAAAUCAAAUGGUGGACUGGAUUUAAUCAAGAAUUCGGAGAUCAAACAAAUGUGAUAAGAUUUUUGACUACUGGAGACAAGCUAAAAUGGACAAACCAGCCAACCACUACAUCACCAACUGUUCCAAUGAAGACAAGACAGCCAACCACUACUCCAACAACUGCACCUACUCCAACCACUCCAAAGAAAGAUAAAGAAAAGAUGAUAGAUACGGCAUCCGAAGAAAUUGCAAGCAACUUUCUGAUAAAGCAAAUGAUGCAGAAUCCCGAGAUGCUCAAAGAAUAUUUGAAUUAUUUACAAAAGCAAGAUAAGAAAGAAGAAACUGCCAAAAUUGAGGAGUCAGCUGGAUCAUCCGAAUCCACUUUUGAUCCCUUUGGUGGACCAUGCGGACAAGACCCAAACGACUUUUGAAAAAAGAUGUCGGCCACAACUAAAGUGUCGAUCAUAAAGGCAAAUGACAAUCCAAUGAAGAUAAAUGAAAUUCAAAUGCAAAUGAAAGAAGGAGUCCCGAGCCUCUAUAAAUAGAAGUGCAACAUUCAGAAGAAGGGCAUCGGAAAAAUCCUCAAGUGGAAAACUCUUAGAAAAUCCCUCUCAACCACUCUCAACUACUCCCUCUCAACUACUCUCAACUACUCCCAACUACUCUUUGUAUUCAAGCUUUUGUAUAGCUUUCAAAGAUAUUAAUAAAGUCUUCAAGGAUUUUCAUUCAUCAAGCUUCCGUGAGUCACUCUAUAUUGUAAGUUCAAAUCAUUUAAAUAAUAGUUCAUAUUAUAUGUGCAAUUGCAAAUUCAUAUGCUCAAUUGUACGCACCUGGGUAGAAGUGGUAUCAGAGCCACAUAAUACAUGCAUAUUUAGACUUUGAGUUAUUAUUAUUUUGUUUGAAUUACUCUGUUUUAAAUUGUUUAAUUCAUGCUUUUAUGUUAUAUAUUUUAUUAAACUUUUACUGAAAUCGUUGGUAAAACUUGAUGCCUUGUAAGACCGUUGGUAAGUCCAGAAUAGGAUGUUCCAGGCAUAGUGCUCGGUUGUUCCAGGUUAGGUAAAAAUUUAAUCAAAUAAUAAACAUGGCAGCAUUUCUUAGACAAUUAAAAAUAGGAUCUAAUUCAAAACAAGAUAAUAUAGUACAAAGUCAUGAAUAUCAUAUGCCCAUAAAUAAUUCAGAUUGGACAAUUCUAGAAGAAAAAAUAGAACACAUUUAUAGAAUAGGCCCUUUAGAUUUCAAAACAGCUUUAUCUGUAAAAAACACAUGAAGAAACAAUAUCAAUUCAAGAAGAAUAUCAAUCAAUUCAAUUAUUAAAUCAUAGUACAAUUCAAAAAUAUUUAAGUAAAGAAUAUCGAUACAUUCAUAUAGGUUUAAUACAAAUUGCUGUAAAACCUUUAUUCCAUUUAGGAGUUGAUGCUCCUAUAUAUUUAGCAUUAAGAGAUACUAGACUUAAAAAAUAUAAAACUUCGUUAUUAUCUAUGAUUCAAACUAAUGUAUGCAAUGGACCCAUAUAUUUCAACUGUGCUCCAGAUUUUUCAAUAGAUUUAACAAACCCACAUAUUUUGAAUUCAGUCAUAUUAGAUAUUCAUUUACAAGGAAAUGAAUUUGAAAAACAUACCAAGAAUUUUGCAAUAAUAUAUAGAAUAUAUUAUAGACCUUUAUCUUCACACUUAAAUCCUAAAUUUAUAAUGACUCCAACUCUUAAAGAAGAAACUACGUUAUUACAAGUAAAUGCAGAUAGACCUACAACAUAUAUUCCAAAAAGAUUAAAAUGGAAUGAAAUAACUAUAUCUAGUGAAUUUGAAAUAAAAAAUCCACAAAUAGCAAGAAAUAUAGAACAAAGUGCUGUAGAAGAUAUUAUAGAAAAACAAGAUGGAAGUACUCUAAUAAGAUUUGCAUCAUUAAGAGAAAGACCAGAAUCAUCUUAUUCAUGGUUACCUGCUAGACGAUCUAAUUAUGAGUCAACAGAAAUUAAUUUCCCUAUGGAAAGUACCUCAAAUUUUAAGUAUAAAACUCUUAUCCCAGAAGUUGUAAAUCAAAAUCAAACAGAAUACUCUCCAACACAUUCACAAAUGAAAGGAGAAAUAAAUGUUAUAAUUAAACCAUAUAAAUAAAUCAUAAAUAUUUACAAGAAGAUUUUGGUGAUGAAGAAAAUACAGAAAAAAGGAUUUGGUUUUUUCAAUUAGAAUCAGAUUAUAAAGAAAAGUUAAUUCUAGAAUGGAAAAAAGAAAUAGAAAAACAAAAGUUUGAUUUUCCUUUCUUUACAUGGUUAUCAUUUUAUACUACAAAAUUAGGAAUAAUUAAUGUUUUUGAUAAGCCUCAAAUAAAUGUCCAAACUAAUUUAUAUAAAAAAUGGAAAUUAAAAGAUGAACAAAUUAUAACCUCAAUACAUCCCCAUUACAAGAAGUAAAAAUUAACCUAGGACAAGGAGAUAUAAUUGCCUCACCUUUUAAAAGGGGAAGAGAAGCUGAAUCAAGUACAAAUAAUUCAAUAAACUUAGAAGAUAUUAAAAAAGUUUAUCAACAAAAUAAUUAUACAAAUCAAAUUUUACAUACAAUAUCUCAACAUAUGGAAGUAUUAAAUACAAAAAUAGAUACUCUAAAGAAAUCAGAACUAAAAUUCCCAAAUGAUAUUUCAGCACCUCACUUUCAACCAAGAAGUCUGACAAGAGAAAAAGAACAAGAUUUAGUUCAAGGUAUUAACAAUCAAAAAAUAACUAAUACAGAUAAUAUAUUAAAUAAAAUAUCUCAAUCAUUACAAAACUUAACCACAGUAAAACCUUCCACUCCUAAAAUAAAUACUUUAGAAAAAAUAAUAAAAGAAGAAAAUUCAUCUGAAAAUGAUUCAUCUGAAGAAUCACUAAACUCAGAAAUAGAAGAAAGUUUAUUACCAAUAAAAGAACAAUUUGAAGAAGAAGGAGAUAAUCAAAUAAAUAGAAUACGAAGAACAAGUUAUAAUAACAAAAAUAAUAACUGGAAAAUAAUAAGCCCAAGAUAAUAAGCACUUGACGAUCCUUGGCUGGAUAGCAAAUGGACUCCAUAUCUAGUUUGCACCUUGUGAACCUAAAAGAAGAUGUGAAAAUAUGAAAAAGCAUAACCGUACAACCAACACUACAUCACUGGAGUUUAUUAAAUUGCACAAGGCUUCAAUAUUCUAACCUGAUUUCCAGCAUUGUAUUUUUUACUGCUUGAAGUUCUAAAUGGAGCUCCGGUCAUAAUAUCACCAUUUGCUUUGUCACUCAUAAUAUCAGCUCUUGCUUUCUCACUCAUAAUAUCACCAUUGCUUCCUCUACCAGCUCUAAUAGUAGUCACUCUGCCUUCACUUCCACUCUGACUAGCACACUUUGUAGGCACCAUUUGUGGGGAAAUCUGCAAUGAAUUUCAUUUAUGAGUGAUGAUUGUACUGAUAAAGGAAACUAGGCAAAAGUGAACAAUUUUACCAUUCUUGAGUGGUGAAUAAAAGUUGUUCCAGUUGACAUUCCCACACCAUUCCAGUUGCCAAUCCCACUCAAUGGACCAUAGCUAACACCUUUGCCAUGACCAUCUUAGUUCCCUUACCUCUACUGUAGUUAACACUUAAGCCACGCCCCCUUCCAAUAGCAAUUCCCCUAUCUCUAACACUUCCUGUAUGUGCAACUUGGGAAUUUUUUGGUUGUAUGCUAGUUUCUUGUGAAUUGUUACCGGUAGCUUUUUCAACCUAGAACAAAAAGAUAAAGAACUAAGUUAACAAAAAGCUGAAACUUGUUGAAUUAUGAAUCAAAUAAAGCUGGUUCACUGUGAUUUGUAUGAUCACAGUGACUGCAAUGAAUUGGUAUGCCUUUUUUGCUAAGUUUGUUGGAUUGCUGGUUCUCAUCAGAUCCCUUUCUUCUUUUCUUUGUUGGCUUGCCGAGUGCUUUUCUGAUAAGAGGGGUGCCACUGGAUCUGUAUUUGAUUUCACCCACUUGCUUUCAUCUGGAACUAGUAUAAUGAGAUUCAUGUUGGCCCUCUUAUACAUGUCAACUGUGUAUCAAUCAUGAACAAAGUCAGCUGGCUCACCAUCCCUAUUCACAAUUGCCACACAAGCAUGAAUACAUGGGAUGCUUGUCAUUUCCCAAUCUUUACAUGUGCAACUACCUUCAUUAAUGGAAACUAUAUAACUCUUAGUAGGUUCAGCAAUUUCCCAUAUCCCACUUUCUGAUUCCCAACUUUCAAAAAAUGGCACCUGAGUCUUGUGGUUCUCUAUUUUCUCAACUAUUCUUGGGCAGAUUUUGGACUUAACUCUUUUAAUCCAUUGUCUUUUCUCAUGAUACCUACACAUGAUUUGGCUUCUAAUAUUCUCAAACAUGGUCAAAAUAGGUUCUUGCCUUGCCUCCUUAACAUAUUGAUUGAAGCUCUCGCAUAUGUUGUUGGUUAGAAGGUCACAUUUAGUUCUACUAGAAAAAGUGUGUCUUGCCCAUUAGUUUGUUGGAACAGCUCUUAACCAUGCAUGAGCUUCAGGUGAUAUUGCUUGUAAUUCUCUCAUACUAGCCUCAAAUCUGUCUGGUACAUAGGCUCUAGCAGCCGCUCACAUGAUGUUCCUUAAUUGUUUAUCUUUGAAUUGUAGCUUAAAAUUGGCGUACAUAUGCCUGACACAAUAUCUAUGUUCAACUCUAGGAAAUCUAUUCUCCAUUAUCUCAAUCAAUCCCUGUAAACAAAAUACGUAAUUAGCAUCAUGUGUAAAAUAAAUGGGAAAAAAAGUUGUCAACUAAGCCAAAAUAAUAGUUGACUAACCUUUUGUCUAUCAGAGAUGAAAACCCAACCUCUUUCAUUUGGUAAUCCAAUAUGAUCAGUCAAUAGGUCAAGGAACCAGCCCCAGCUAUCUUUGCAUUCAGACUCUACUAGUGCCAUAGCGAGUAGAUACAUCUGAUUGUUAGCAUCUCUACCAACAGCAGCCAUCAACUGCCCCCCCAUUGUAGAUUUUAUAUGAUAGGCAUCUAGUCCUAUCACAGGUUUUCAUGCAACAAUAAAGCCUUCUUUUUUAGCAGAAAACAUCACAAACAUUCUCUUGAAGAUCGGAUUAGGGCACAUAGGCAACCUCUCAGUUACUACAACAGCAACAGAACCUGGAUUCUUACAAAUUAUUGUAGCACAAUAGUCCCUAAUUCUCCAAUACUGCAUCUUAUGAUCACCCUGGAUCACCUUAGCUGCCUUACUCUUAGCCCUGUAAAGUUGUUGGUCAAACACAUUCACAUUAUAUUUUCUUUUCACUGCCUUCUUAAGUACAUCAAUUUUUAGAGAUGGAUUAUCAGCAAUGUCUCUAAUAAACCUUUGGACUAUCCAUUUUGCAUUAGCAUUCUUGUUCUUGUAGGAAUGUGGACAUUGAUGAGGAGUUCCAUCUAGUGUUUUUAUUUGGAAUUGUUUGGUAUCCCUAUACUCAUUGGCAUACACUCUCCAGUCACAAUUUCUUUUGCAAGUGAUCACAAUCCUAUCAUUGUCAUUUCUUUUCCAAUUUAUCUCAAACCCAUUUACUAUAGAAUGAUGUCUUAUAGCAAGCCUAAAAUCUUGCACAUUAGUAAAUAGAUGUCCAACUUCUAAGUCAGGCUUCUCCAUGUCCCUUUCAAUAUUAAAUUCAGGAAAAUCUUCAGGUUGUUCUUCAUCAGAUGAGUUUAAAGCAACAGUCAAUACUUCAUCAUCACUGACAACCUCUUUCUCUAACAUUUUUCCCUUCUCCCUAGAGGCAACAUAAGCCUGGUACUCCUUUGCAAUCAACUGAGCAUAUUCACUAUAAUCUGGGAAGUUUUGCUGUCCAUUGGUAUCCUCUAAAUUUUCUUCCCCUUCCCAUGGAUCACACUCAUCAUUCAAUCUAUCACCAUCAAGAAAAAAUUCAAAAUUAGAAUCAUCACUUGAUCCUCCUUCUUCAGCAUGAUACGCUUCGUUAGAAGAAUCACUAUCCUCAUUUUCAUUUUCUAAACUCUCAUGAUUUUGAACUCCAGCACCAUUUCCCUCAUCAUUGGCAGCAUUUCCAACUUCAAGGUGCUCCAGAUGAGCACUGUUGUCAACCUCAUUAUUAAGCAUAAGUUCCUCAACAAAAGCAUCAUUAUCAACACCAAAACCAACAUAUAUCUCAAUCAUAGUGUGGUUCCUAUUGAAUUCAAGCAUUUCUAAGACAUUCUGUCACUGUUAAGUAGUCUAAGCCCAUGUAACAAGUCAAAUCCAGAAAUCUUAUAGUACUUCGGAAAGUUUUCAUCCACAUUAAUUUUUCUCAAGUAGCUGAGAAUUUCAAAAUAUGACAUGAGAUCAGGAUCAAUGUCAAGAAAGUGUGCUACUUUUCCCCCCAUGUACUCAAACACAGGAGCAUGGAUAAAAUGGCCAUCAUAGUGAAUCUUGAAAGUGUGCAUACUUGUGGCUCUGAAAAGUCAACCAUAAUAUAUAUGAUACAUCCAACUGAAAUACGCAUAAAAGUACAAGAAUAGAAAAGCCUCGGUCAUUGAUUCACAAUCUACUAAUUCAUAAAAAAUCCAUAUACUUGGCUAGGAAUAUUUUUCUAUAGAACAAUUGGUAGGUAGGCUAGGACUAAUAUAAUAUUAGUUAUUGUAACCAAUAAGUUGUAAGGCUGUAUUUCCCUUGAAUUUCAAAUCCAAUAACGUGAUUGAUUUAAAGAUUACUACCUUGGAACAGCUAAAUCAUUUUAGCAUAUUGAAAGGAUCAACAUGCAGAAGACAUACUACAUUACAUUUUGGGUAUUUUGAGAUGUACCUUGUUUUAUUUUUCUAUCACACCAACAAUUCUCAACUCCUGCUACAAAGUCUUUUGAUCUUUCUUUGGAUUUGUUGAUCACUUCAUCCUUUGAUCGUGAAAGAGCAGAGAUGAAAGGUUAAAGAAAUUUAGGGUUUUAAACACUGUAAAAAUUUCUUUUCUUCGUUAAAAGAGAAUGAAAUAAGAAUUUCACUUCAAUGAGGGAACCCUCCUAAGUUCCCUCCUAAGCAAUAACUCUUUCUUUUUCCCUUUUUUUUCCCUUUUUUUUAUUUUCCUACAUAAUGUGCCUUUUUUCCUGCUCAUUGCAAUUUUGGAACAAAAUGGGCAUUUUUGUCAUCAAUUAUUAUUUUGGGCUACAUAUGUCAUUUCAUGAAAUUAUGUAACGCCAUUUGCUUUGGCCAUUAGUCUUGGGGGUAAACUAAUUAAAAGAUAAUAUUAUGGGGUAAAGUGAUAAUAGCUAUAAAGGUUAGGGGUAAAAUGAUAAUAACCCUUUUUUUAAUAAUUUAUUUGAAAUGGGUUGAUAGUGUUAUAAAAAAUAAAAAAUAUGGAGGAAAGUGAUAUUUUUCAAAAUUCAGGAGCACUAAGUGAAAUUGUUAGAAAUCUUAAAGUGUUCCAAAUGUAUCCCAAGAUACUAUGUGCUAGAUGGGAUUGUGAUUGACAUAAUUCAAAAUUGGGUUCCAUAUUGCAAUAAUUUUUUUUUCAAAAUCAGAUGUGUUCACACCUACACCAUGUCUGUUGAGUUUGCAUGUUCUACAAAAAUUACGUUAGAAUCAAAUUGCUGAAGGAAAUAUUCUUUGCACUUGUGAAUAGGUGAACUACAUGUUUCUCUUCCCACAGGGGAUGACAAGUGCUUAUGACUGGUUGACACAUUACAAACUAUAAUCCCCAAUAUGUCCCUUGUAAUGGAAAUGAAUUUCCAAAUUCAUUGCCUAUUACAUACAAUUCUGUCGUGUAGAUCAUUGUGCCUAUUUGAUGUCACUACGUUUUUUAAACAAAAAUGUCAUUGAUAAAUUCAUCAAUCUAAAAUAAGAUAAUUAAUAAUCGCAAGUACUAAAGAAUGUAUGUAUGGAGGAUCGAUAUCUAUAUAUAUAUAAUUUAGAAGAGUUAGAUUGGAUGGUAAGAUGGGAAUAGUUGUAAAUAUGAGGUUCUGAGUUCCAAUCCUCUCACUUACAAUAUAUAAUAUACAUACAUACAUACAUAUAUGUGUGUGUGUGUGUGUAUGUGUGUUUAUAUAUAUAUAUAUAGGCAUAAAAGUAUAUCAUCUAUGCAAAUAGUGAAUUUCAAAUUUGAAUUUACAUUAUGUGAUAUAUAUAUUUUAUACUUGCUUGUGUAUACACUAAUAGUACAUCAAAAUUUUACCUAAAAUUAGUAUACUUCUUAAAAUUACAAAAAAGUAGAAGUCUAAAAUGAACACAUGAAUAUUCCUAUUUUACAACACAAUAAUUUUUACAUAGAUUUGCAAAACAUUAUUGAAAAUAAACAUACAAAAGCAAGCUUUCUUUGAAUUUGGCAGUUAUGAUUACCAAAAUUAUUAUUAUUAUUUGCCGUGGAAAGGCAAGAUUAUGCAUGUCCGCGUAGAGGAAAGAGGAUAAAAUGCCUUGAAAUUUUUUUGAACAAAAUUUGGAAAAAUUUAAAUUUGGAUACAAGAUUAUCAAUUACUUCCCGAGUCAUAAAGCCCACAUUCGGGCAAGAAUACAGGAGGCAAGCGAACUCGGGAAACCGUCCUUGCAUGUUCAGAGAUUGGCUCGCUUGGCCAGGAGUUCAAGCAACCGAACUCAACGAACUGCCGUAAGGGUGUAUAUGAAGGCAUUGUUUAUAAAUCACGUCUUUAAUGUGGUACCAACCAAUAUUCUAUAAUUAGGAGUAAAUGAUUAAAUAAUAGUCUGACACUACACCACCGACAAAUGUAUCUUGCCGCUUCCUACUGUUUUGGUGAAACAAAAAAAUUCCCAGACUGCCAAUAAUUGAAUUCUAUGUGAGGAAGAACCUCUAUAUCUAUUAUUCAGAAAAGAAACUUAAUUUAAGUAGAUCCUUUUAAGCAAAAAAAUUAAGAUGUAGUUUAGUCAUUCAUAAUGAUCAUUAAUUAUUGAACUAUUUAUUGGUAAUCAGAUGAUUAUUAUGAUUAUCAAUAGUUCUGAUGGCUGGGCAUCCUUGGAUAUCAUACAUUAUAUUGAACAAAAAGCUUCUCACUGUGGGCACCUCGACCUGUUCGGACCCUAUUAGUCCAAACGCCCCAUUCAGACAAUAGACACCUCGUCUCAGUCAUUCCCAGAUGAGGUGAUUGGUGAGAUCACCGGGAAUAGACAUUUCACCUCGUCUACACCUCUAUCCAAAACACCUCACACCUUGGCUGUUUACAUGACUUAGGACUGAUGGUGAUGUGACUGUCAGCCACCCUACUGCUCAGACCUACAACUGACACCGCCACCCUAGAUUGUCUUCUGGUGACUGAUAGUGGGUAGGUCUCAUCAUUCCACCCCUAGCUCCCUCUACUAUAAAAACUUAUCUGCCACUUACAAAUGAGGUAUGCAGGCAAUAAUCCCACUAACGAUACUUGUAACUCCUGACCGGUAUCUAACUUUAGCACCGGAGUGAAACUGAGGGAUAUAUAAGACCUCAACCAUCUCUAUUUUUUGGCUAGUGAGCUCGUGUGUUGUUGACUUGGCUCGUUCAACCGGAAUUCACCUUAUCAUAAAUUUUAACAAUUAUGUAGAUUCAAAGUCAAACUCAUAAAAUUCAUCAAUGACCAAAAACUAGAAAUUAAAAUGUUUUCCUAUUUAUUUAAAUUAAAGAAGUACACAAACCAUUAAAUGAUCACUCCAAUUAAACAUAAUACAACCAAUUUUCUUUUUAUAAUUCUCUCAAAACUGGUACCAUUCUAAAUAAUAAUCACUACUUCACAAUGGGAUCGGCCAAUACAUAUUAAAAUUAGAUGUAGUUUAGUCAAUCAAACUGUCAUUCAUUUUGCAAUGAAGGGGGAUGGUAAGAUGGAAGGAUUGUGACUAAGAGGUCUUAGAUUCAAAACAUCUCACAUAUCAAAAAAUACAAUGAGAGAAUUCGAACCCGAAACCUCUCAUUUACAUUCAUCCCUCUACCUCCCCCCAAAAUAAAAAAAUAAUGAUUAACUGUUCCAAUGUCAUAGCAAGUUGUAUAUCGUACUGCAUGUACAAUGAUGUACUAUUUUAGAACUUCGAUUUACUAUUUAAUAAAGAGUUAUCUCUUAUAUAAUCAAUUAAUAACAAUGUCAAAUUCUCUCCAGAAAAUAGAUGAAGAGUAUUAAUUUCUCCAGGGACAUGCGUACUUUUUAGAUUUCUUUAGAAAUUUUCAUUCCAAAAAUGUAGCUUCACAAGUCAAUAUGAUUGCAUGGUGGUUGAGGAAAUGUGAGCUAAAAGGCUUACGUGGGAUAGCGACUAAGUUGGACUCUUUAGUGCUAGUCCAUUUGACACGCUUUGAUGCUUUAUCUAAAUGGUCUUUAUGUUCUACAUUAAGAGAUAUUCGAAGGAUGCUUGAUGAGUUGCAAGCUGAGAUGACUCAUGUGCUUUGGGAGGCAAAUUGAAUGGCUCAUGCUCUUGCAUCCUUGAACUAUGGUUUUGAUCGUGUUUUUGAGCUAAACAGCGAUUUUUCCAUAUCCAUUCGUUUAGUUAUUGCUUUCGAUAGGCGUGCAGUUCCUCAGGCUAGGUUGGUCACUAUGAAGGAGUAGUAUUCCUUGUUUUUUUUUUAUUUCUAUUCUUUAGCUCAAGUGUAUGUUUUAUAUGUUAGGGUGGUUAUCUAAAUUGAAUCUUUGGUGAAAACCAUCACCUAUUAAACCCAAAAUCUAUAUGGCGAUUAUUAAGAAAUAAAUUAACAGUAAAAAUAGCGGAAGCGUACCUGAAUCCAUAUCGAUAAACUGAUAUACGAAUUUUCAAAGAUAUUGGGGUGGCCUUCCAGGUCAACACGUAUUUACCGAUCCUUUGAGAGAACCCUUUAUUUUCUCUCUGGUAUCUUUCCUGACGAUGGGAUAUCAGGGAAGAGUUAGUUUGUGGUAUUAGGAAAUACGACAACUAGAAUGAUAUCUGUGACCUAAAGACCAUAACCCUAUUUAUAGGUAACAUUCCUGUUACCUUUUGGAACCCUAUUUCAGCCCAUCAUAGAAAUAGGAGCCCAUAAGUCUCUACACAUUAAAGGCCCACACCCUAUUAGAUACAUUAAACCCAAACUAUAUUUGAUCACUUUAAUUGGGUUUAACCUUAAUUGACAGCUUGCAAUACAUAAUUAUUCACCAUAUAAGUCCAAUGUUGGAUUAAAGGUCCAACAAUCUCCCACUUGAUAUAUAUGUAACCUUAUAAUUAUGUUUCACAAUUAACCGUAUGAGUUCAACUUUACUAUCAUUAUCAUAAUGUAUCUGCAACCAAUUUGGUCCAUCAAUCAUACCAACAUAGGAUCAAAGCGGCCUUUGUUGCACUUUCGUAACUCGACCCAUCAAUGGUCACAUAUAUCAAUACAAUUGAAUGACAUGAAUCAUGAUGUGGAUGUUUAACAUGAAAAUUUCAUGUAAUGUGAUCAAAACAUGCCUAUUUCCAACUGGUCCACCUUAAACUUUCAUGAGAUCAAACCAUACCAAAGUCAGAAUGUAGAUAAAUCUAAACUUUAUUUAUGCAUAAAUAUCCUUAAAUCCUUAAUAAUCGAAAAAUGUCAUAAGAGCAUUUAAAAUAACAAACUCCCACUAAAACUGUACAUCAUUUAAUAUGACACCUAUAUGAGCAGUAUGCUCAUGAAACAUUUUGGGUGGCAAAAGCAGAUCCGCAACCAUGGAGUUUGUCCCGAUAUGCUCUAUUGAUAACUGUCCACUCUAUACUCUUUCUUUAACAGGCAGGAACUUGAUAUCUAUAUGUUUAGAUUUCGUCCGAGCUCUGUUAUUGUUGAAAUAUAGGACUGCUGACUUAUUGUCACAAAAUAAUUUGAAUGGUUUUCAAUACUAUCCACCACACGUAAUCCUGUGACGAAAUUUCACAGUCAAAUUUCUUAAUUGGAUGUCUCAUAACAAGUUAUAAACUCUGCAGCCAUAGUGGAAGAUGUUAUGAGGGACUGUUUAUCACUCUUCACAAUAUGGACCUCCAACCAACAAGUACAUAGCCUGACGUUGACUUCAUAGUAUCUUGGCAUCCAACAUAAUCGGAAUCAGUAUACCUAAUGAUUUCUAACUCAUCUGACUUUCGAUACGUGAGUAUGUAGUCUUUUAUUUUCUGUAGAUACCGUAAGAUCCGUUUGGUUGCUUUCCAAUGAUCUAAUCUAGGAUUACUCAAAUAUCUACCCAACAUCCCAAUAAUAUACUCUAAGCUCACCUAUAUAGAGCAACCUAGCUAAGUUUCAUUUCCAUUUUUUCUUGUGAUUUUUUACUGCAUUUAGUUCCAUAUUUUGGUUGAUGGAUGGCUUCAUGAGAAUAUGAGUAUACUUUGCAAAUUUUCACACUUGGGAGUAUUGUGUGAAAUCUGCUGUCUAUUGGAACAUAUUGCUAUAAUCUGUUUUCUGUUGGAACUUAUUGUGAAAUUUUCUGUUGUCUAUUGCUAUAAUCUACUAAUAUAGGUCACAAUUUAUACUUUUGUCAUGUCAUUAGUUUCAUAAUUUUCAUUGCUGGUUUUGUUGAUUGUUAUUGCUAUUUUCAUAUAGAAACACUAUUCACUUCAUCCAUAAUGCAAAGUUGUAGUAGCAAUGCCCCUAAGAUAGUUGGCUCGAGAUUGGCUGGGGCACCGCCUGGAAUAGGUAAGAAUCACAUACGAACAACUAGGUGCUGAAAACUCUCUCUAAUUAUUAGCUAAUUUUUUUUUGGUAGAUUGAAGAAAUGUGUAGUCCACACGAUGUUUCUUCUAUCCAACUAGUGCACACUGCUGAUUAAUUGAGUCCAGUGAUAUUGGAUAGUCCAAUAUAUAUCUCCAAUGAGACAACAACAAACCUGGAAAAUAAAGUGAUUAAUCCUAUCACACAAAGUACUCCUUUUGGCUGUUCUAGAAGAACUCGUGGUUGAUUCUCAGCAAAGUGUAAAAGGACAAGAGGAGAAUGCAGAUCAAGAUGAAGAAUUUCGUGUUCUGAAAUGAAGUAAAACAUCUGAAACUAUGGAGGACUUUGAAGAAUUUGUAGAAAAUAUGUUCUAUGCCAUUUGCUAUCAUUGUAGGAAAAAAAUUGUCAAGGGGUAAAACAAAGCAAACAUCUAGCAUGCUAAGAUAUCAGAUAAUGUCCAGCUAGAAAAGCAAGCAUUAGACUGGCUAUGCAACAAAUAAAACUGAAUUUUUAGUUAACUAAUGAGGCAUUCCCUAUUGUACCCCUUUUGCAUAUGGGCAAGUUUGACAUGGAGAAGAUGAGAGAAGCAGCUGCACACUAGAUUUUGAUGCAUAAGCAUCCUUUCAUCAUAUUGGAGAAUCGAGGUUUGAACCUCAUAUUAAAGUGUGGGAUGCCCGAAUGGCAAAGCAUCCCCAGGGAGUGGCAAAAAAUGAUUGUGUACAAGUCUAUGAACUUGAGAAGAAGCUGAAGAACAAGUUGAGAAUGUGAAAACCUCACAAUUGAUUUCUUGAAAUCCAAAAACCAAAAGAUCGAGUAUAUGAUUAUCACUGACCAUUGGAUUGAUUUAUAUUGGAAGUUGCAAAAGAGAGUGCUCAAUUUGUUCUAAUUGUCACGACCCACCUCCCCUAAGGCGAAUCAAAGGGUUCGGGGACCGUCUGCCCAACUCUCGUCGGGACUCACUACAAUCUUUAAAUGAAAAACAGACCAAUUCCAGUGAUUGCCUCUAAAUAUGCCAAAAUAAUAACAUGACUAUAAUAUUUCAUUACACAAGUACAUCCUAGGAUACAAAUCUCAAGUCAACUACAUCGAGUUCUAAAUCUUAUAAUUUCCCCAAAGGUCAGUUACAAAAGAUCAAACAAUACAAAAGACUACCUUCCCUAGUAUCCUCCAAUCACUUCCUUCACGUCAUUCUCCUGUUAAGGAAUAACAAAUGGAAUGGGAUGAGCUAACGCUCAGUGAGGCCAAGAAAAGCAUGCAACACAUAGUUCAAGUAACAAAAACACUUGUACGAGAAAUAAAGCCGUAAUAUCCAAGUAAUUCACAAUUUAAAAUAAAACACACUUAAAGAGGAUACGGGAGCUCUUAGGAGCUGAUUUCCACUUGCUUUACCAAGGUUCGAUCCAAUCGACUUGGAAUGGUUUAUGGUUCUAAGCAGACAUGAGAGGUACCUCCCACCGAAUUGGUGUGGUACAUGCUAUCGCUUAGAGAACCGGGUCUAAAGACAUCGCUCCAAUCAACUUGGAAUUGUUUAUGGUUCUAAGCUAACAUGAGAGGUACUCCAUCCGAAUUGGUGUGGUACAUGCUAUCGCUCAGGGAACCUAUUAGAAUUGUUUAUGGUUCUCAGUCGACAUGAGAGUACCUCCUACCCAAAUUGGUAUGGUACAUACUAUCGCUCAGAGAACCUAUUAUAGCACUGAGACGGUAUGAGAGGCACCUCCCACCCGAAUUGGUGUGGUACAUGCAUCCGCUCAGAGCUCAUGAGUUAAACGUGUUCAUGUACAAUUACCAAUCAUAUGUAUUCAGGUAUUAAGUACCACGUAACUCAAGAGAGAGAGGACGAGGGCGAUAAAGUACACUCUCACCUCGGCAAGUUUACGUAUCAUGCAUAAUACUUGUGCCAUUAACAUUUCAAUCACAUAAGCAUUUAACAUACACUUGGCACUCACCAAAUCACAAUGAGAGAGUAAGUGCAAAAGUUCUUUAAUGGUCAGCUCCUGGAUUCUCUUCAAGAUCCUCUUGAGCGCCUGGAAUCAUAACAAUUAUCUAUUACCCAUAAAUAUUUACAAACUCCUUGCCAAACAAGGAAGAACGUACGUUCGUUUCAAAUUAAAACUAUGUCUCGAAAAGCCUCAAUAUCUCGAAAAUCGAGAUUCAAAAGUGAGGUUUAUUAAUAUAAGAGAAACUGAUUUCCUCUAUGAAAUCGAAUUUAAAACGAUCAAUCAAUAUCAAGAAAGAAUAACGAGUUCUCAAAACUCAUUUUCAUAAGGAAUCAGGAAAUUUUAGUUUUGCAUAACAAUCUUUGGAAAAUCGAAUCUUGAGUUUGGCAGGUCCAAAAAUGGAAAACUUUACACCGUUGGAAACUAGUUUCAAAGCACUAAAAGUUCCUAGAAGACACUUUUCCAUAAUUCUAAACGGAAGACAUUAAAUUUUCAGCUCAAAGUGGUUGGUCUGAACCAGCAAGACAGUUUCAAUCUUAUUUUCGGCAAACUUUGGAAAUUCGGUAAAAUUCACAGAAAGUGAACUAGCCUUCGAAAUUUGUAACACAAUAUGAGUUUCAAACAAGGUUUUAAACAUGGACACAAUAUGUAGUGAGCCUCAUUAACAUGGACAAUGGACAGGAUUGUAGUCUCCAAACAAUCCUGGAUGACAUUGACGUUCAGAAAGGAAAUUUUGAAAGCUGCACGUUCACUUUUGUACCUAGAACGGUGAAUCAGUGUAGCCAUGAAUUAGCACAAUUUGCAGCUAAGGCAACUAGAGACUUUGAAUGGGAAGGUUCUUUCCCAGUUUGGCUUUCAAGUCUAGUUAGGAAAGAUAUGGGGGUAGUUACCCUUUUUGUAAUUAACUCUUGAAUUUUCAAGGGUGAUAGAUAUAUAUAUAUGAAGUUAUCGUUUGUAAAAAAAAAAAAAAAAAAAACAAGGUUUUAAACACAGCAAGCAAAACUAAAUUUAGACUUUGAUCUGUGAAUUACAUUUGGCUGUCUAUCUAAGACAAUUGGCCAAAAUGCGGAACUAGCCUUUGAAAUUAGAUUUGAAAUUUGUUAAAAUUGGCCAAAAAUGAAGACUGUUUGGUCAAUUUUUCAGAUUUGAAGAACAACUUUGGCAUAUCAUCUGUAUAUCGAAAUGGUCUUAGAUGGACACAAAAUUGGUAUAAUUCAACUUCCAUAUGAGUACUACUCCUCUAUCAAAUUUCAUUUGAAAAUUUGCACGAGAAAGUAGUUAACAAAACUACCAAAGUUCAAGAAAUUUCCAAGACAAAUCUGUCUUCUUGCUUUCUUUUCCUUUUUCAAACAUUUUACCCAAUGAAAUCAACUCCAAUUUGGUUCAUUUGUGAAAUCAAAGUCCAAGAAACAUUUAAUAUACAUUUGGUAGGUGAUUGAUACCAAAAUUUUCGAAACAACAUGUCCCAAGUCAAACUAGACCAGUCAGCUAGCAAGAAAGAAAGAGUUUUUCCAGAUUUCCAGCUUUGGUGUAGUUUGGAACUUGGACCAUCUCUCACUCAAUACAACUUGAAAUUGAGAAUGGUUGGUGGCAUUCGAAACUAGAUUCAAAAGGUUACAUUUCAUCAGAAAAAAUCAUUUUGAAAUUCAGUUUGCAAAUAAGAGAAAAUAGAGCCACGAGUUGCAGCUUCUACUCUUCUCUCGUUGAACAGUCAUACAGGACAGCCGACUUUGAUCAAUCACUACAGAUGACUCAGUUCGAAUUAGAAGGUAUAUUUUACACCGUUAGAAAACUACGGAUGUCUAGUUUUGAAUGCCACUGACGGCACUCAAUUCCGACUUCCGUACAGAGAGAUAUGUGUGUUCACAAAAAUGCUGCCAGUGGACCACUGCCAUGCGAUUUUCCAGAUUUGUUCUUACCAAAACUCAAAUUUUACUCAACCAAUUCAAAUGAUUUUUGGUAGAAACUUUCUACACAACAUAUAUACAUCAGUUUCAAAGUCAUUUGAGCAUCAAAAUUUUGAACUAAAUGCACGGCAAUAACAGGACAGAUUUCGGUCAGCAACCAUGCGAAAUUUUCCUUCAACUUUCCUUUGAUUGUCUAUCCAUAAUCAUCUUAAACAACACUUAAACAACUCAAAUCAAGCAUUAUAUCAUCAUAUCAGCCCAUACAACCAAGGUAUAGAGCCCACAUCAACCAUUCCAAUCCAAGUAACAACAACAAUAAUGAAGCUACAAGCUUCAAAGCUAAGAAUAAAACCCAUUAAACCAAGAAUGAAAGAUUGGAUGGUGUUGGAUGGUUACCUCCUAGCUUUGAGAAAAACCAGAAUUUUUUGAUCACUAAAACUCCAAGAAAACUGCCAAGAUGAAGUCUUUUUCUAGCUUAAGUGAAUUCCCAAGUGAUUUUGAGGUUCGAUGGUGAUUUGUGAAGGAUUUGGAGCAAGAAUUGAAGUGAAAUGGUGAAGAGCUUUUCUUCUUCUUCUCCUUGAAGGUUCGGCCAGCACUUGAGGUGAGAAGAGAGAGUGUAGUUUGCAGAAUGAAGCUUCUCUUGGAAGCUUAAGGACUUGUGGCUAAAAUUCCUCCAAAAGUCAACUAGGAAUAGUGUUCGCGCGCAUGUUUCGUAUCCGUUUUCUCUCUGGUUUGUUUCACUUGUGCACUAAACCUCCAAUGUAAUUCCUUUAACACUAUUAUUAUUCACUCUUAGUAGUCUAAAAAUAAAUUUCUUAAAUCUUCACUUAGUCGAUUCGACGCGAAAUACGCGAGCUUCCGAUUCGCGCGCGAUAAAGCGAAAUUUAAAAACGAUUCAUGUAACGAUAAUAUAAUUAACUAACUCACAUCUAAACCCUCAAUUAACUUUUCUUAGUUUACUAUUGAUCAUUCUUAAUUCUCCAAGAUUAUUAUACUCUCAAAUCGAAUAUUGCCUCAAAAAACGUGUAUCCGCUAUUUCUUACUAAACGAACUGCAGAAAAUUUAAAUUUGCUAACGGAACGUUUUAAAAAUAUAAGGAAGACAUUGUUCCAUGUAAAUGGAUAUAAAAUGGUUGAAAUCAAUUAUUCGAAGAAAACCGGUGAAUAAAUUUUUUAAAUAAGCCAGUGAUAUAGGAUAAAAAUAGGAAAAUUUUCGGUCCUCACACAAAUGCCAUCUCCUCAACAUGGGGUUGAGAUCGCAGCUUCACUCUUCAAAUGUGUGAAAGAGUGGGGUGUCAAGCAUAAGAUACACACAAUUUCAGUAGAUAAUGCAUUGGCUAAUGAUGUGACUAUUAGAGUUUUGUGGGAUGACUUCAGCCGAUCAAAGAAGUUAUUAUGUGGAGGAAAAUUAUUCCAUGUCUGAUGCUGUGCACAAAUCUUGAAUUUUCUAGAUCAAGAUGGGCUUUUUGAGAUCAUGAACAUCAUUUAUAAAGUUAGGGAUAGCGUGGAGUUUGUGAAUUGCUCAAAGGUAGAUUGUUGUUGUUUGUCAAGAUUGCAUAACAUCAUCAAAUACCUGGCAAAAAGUUGCUUUAUGAUUGUCAGAUAAGGUGGAAUGCCACUUUUGAAAUGUUAAGCUGUGCUAUCAAAGACGUUUUUUCUCGUUUUCAAGAUAGAGGCACAUUAUGAUUGUUGUCCAUCUCCUAAGGAUUGGGAAAAGACAGAAAAAGUGUGUGAUGUCUUGGAGAAAUUUUGGACAGCUGUGCAUAUAAUGUUCGGUAGUGAUUAUCCCAUGAGCAAUUUUUCCUCCGAGAGGUUGAAGAGAUUAAGAAAAUUUUAGAUACUCCAUUCAAUAAUGAAGAUGACUUCUUCGGGCCAUGAUUCAGAAGAUAAAUGCCAAGUUUUAUAAAUAUUGGAGUGAAUGUAAUUUGUUGAUGGUUAUUCCUGUCAUUUUAGAUCCAAGGUAGAAAAAGCGAGUUGUUGAGUUCACCUUCCCUAAGAUGUACUCACCAUUUGAAGCACAAGAAAAAAAUUUUGAAUGUGAAGAAAGUCAUAUUUGAGCUUUAUGACUAGUAUGUGCGGCGAGUGCAGAUGGAAAAGAAAACCAACUCCAAGCCCAUGCUUAAGAAGGGCAGCAAAAAAAUGCACCAUCUUCUUCUAAUUGGAUUGAUUUUGAUGAGUACUGUGAUCAAAUAGAGACUACCGAGCCCCACAAAUCGAAAUUGGUAGAUUUUUUUAGAAAAACCUCACCAAAAGACGGGUGCCAAUCUGAAAGGCUCUGAUUGCUUGGAAAUGGUGGGAAAGCAAUGGGAUUGUGUACCCAAUAUUGUCUGAAAUGGAGUUUGAUAACUUGGCCAUUUGGAUAACUACAAUUGCAUCUGAGACUACAUUUAGUGUCGGAACUCGAUUUAUUAAUUCUUAUCGAGCCGUGCUUCAUCCAAACAUGAUUCAAGUAUCGAUGUGCACUGGGGACCGGUAUAGAAAUCUUCACAGGGUCAAAAAGAAAAUUAAAAUAAGUUUCAUUGCUUUACAAUUAAACGUUCACUACUACUGUGGAAAUUAUUAGUUAUUUUUUUAAUAAUUUGGGUGGUUAUAUUACCUUUUUUUUUAUUGUACAUGCAGCAAGCUAAAACAAUCAAAGAAAUUGAAUUUCCCAAGCUUUGAAGAUUUAUUGCAAAGGACUCAAAUGAACCAGGUUUAGUAUUGUGACAUUUUCUAGUUCUCAAUCAGAUUUAUCUUAGUUAGCUAAUCCUUUUUUUUUUUCACAUUGUGCCUUAAUUUGAUUCAUUUUUUGUCCGUGAUACUUGAUAGAACUUCAUUCUUUGGUUGGCCUCGGAUGUUGAAUGGAAUUCUAGAUUCUGGACUCAUUCUUUGGUGUUUUUCUGGAAUAUGGACUAAUCUAUUUUUUGGUGACUUGCUUACUAAAUCUGGAAUUUUUGAAUCUAGAUAGCAUUUUAUUUUCUUGUGUACUCUUGUGGACUUGUGGCGGCUUAGUUUGACUUUUAACUCGAGUGAAUGUUAUGCCAUGUGUAUGUGUAGUUGUUGCCAAGUUGUUGUGUUGUGAGAUGUGACUACUUAUUUGAAUGACAAACUGUCCUCUUUUUCUUCUUUGCGUGGUUGUUUUGGUGAUGAAUCUGCGAAGGCCUAAGUGUGUUAAUUCAAGGCUAAGAGUUACCUUGUUCAUUGGUCAUUCCGUCAUUGUAUUUAUUUGAUCGGGAACUUUCUUGUUAUAAUCAGUCAUCACUUUCCAUGCUAGUUAUUUGAUUGUGAUUAUUGGAGCUUGGACUUGGAGUGCUUGAAUCAAAUGGUUAUUUGUAUUGAAUUGAAAUGAAGCAACCUGCAGGCUUCACAGGCUUCUGGAUUCUGUUAUGCUGAAAUUUUGGUUUCUGAAAAUCUGGAAAUUUCAAGCUGAGCUUUCGAGCUUGAGAUGAGCACUCGAGCUUGACAGGGUUUGCACUGUUCACGAGCUCUCUCAAAUCGAGCUUGAGUAGAAAUAUUACAUCUUAGAAUCAAGCUGAAGCCUGAGAUCUUGUGCUCAUUCAAGCUUGAGCUUCGGUUCGAAUAGUACUCAUACCCUUUGAGUUUAAGUAUGCUGUCACUUGAACUCAACUCGACUCAACAAUACCCUUACCUCUUACGUUAUACUUUGUUAAAUUUAAUUUAAUAAAAGGGUAGUCAAACUUACCCGCUAGAGAUGAUUGGCGAGAUACUUUAAUGAAAAAUUACAAAUUCCUAACGGAUUGAAGAGAUACUUUUAACAGUUUUUUUUCUGUCAUAAUUUGGACAAAAAUAAUUAAAAAUUUAGAAGAUUAAUUUAUAAAACACACAAAAAUCAUCUGAACUAGUUUAAAGAUGAAGCAAAUAAAAUUUUGCACUUGAUAACAUCUCAAAUAAUUUUUAAAUAUAAUUUUAAACACUUUACCUUUUUCUAAUUUUCAAGUCAUUGAUUUGGACAAAUAAAAAUUAAAGCUUCUAAAUAGUUUAUAAAAUUUCUUAAAUUCAUUCGAAAUAUUGUACAUAAAAAGAAGGAUUCUUUUAUUUACUAUCCUAGGGCAUACGACAAGCGUAUCAAAAAAUGAAGAUGGGUUCAAUAUUAAAGUUUUACAAUCACGGCUGACUGCCAGAGUUGCAACCGUUUUGGGGAAGAAAUCGACCCUUUGGCCACAAAAAGAAUAAAUUCAGGUCGAUUUCUUACUAUGCAACCUUAGAACACCAAAUAGACAAAUCUUAAAGACAAGAAAAUUCUUUUGAAGUUUGAAAACAUCUUAAAUGAAUUAUUAUUAUUUUUUUGUAGAUUAAAAUAGCAUGCUAAUUACGGUUGUUGUUGCUAUAUUUUGUCCUAUCAGACUUAUGUCUUCAUUUUUUUUGCCUUGUUUUCAACUUUUGAGUAAUAUUCUCAUAUUUUGUAAAAUAGCAGCGUUUAACAAAAAAUUUGAUAAUCAGGAAGGCAAGUGAUAUUUUUUUAAUCUUCAAGGUACUAAGUGAUACUGUCAAAAACCUCAAAGAAGGUUUAUGAAAUUAUCCCUGGAAUCAAUGGUAGCUGCAAAUAGUUAGUAAAUACUCACAUACACUCGUAUAAUACAUGUUUGUGUGUAUCAUUAAAAAAAAGCAUUCUAUAUUUCGUACAUUUUAAAAAAACUUUGAAAAAAUACUCAUACUUUUCGACUAAUCAUAUAAGUAAAACAUGUAAUAAACUUUUAACGUAUUAUAUUUCACGAAUUAUACUUCUAAUUUUGGAAAAUUUUCAGAAAUUGAGUAAAAAUUGAGUAAGAAUAAUGACAACUUUUAGUUAUAUACAAAACAAAAUAUAACAUAAUGACUAUAGAUUUAUACGUGUUUAAGUCAUAAGGUGAUAAAAUAUUAAUAAAUUUAAUGUCUCAUACAUAAAAAUAAGUUUAGAAUUGAUAUAAAUGCUGCAUUGUUUUUGAAAACUUUAUAAAUUUUUAUCCGUAUUUUAGUUCUAUUACUUUCAAAUAUAUUCGUACUAUUCACGUCUGAAUUUAUAUGCGUAAUUUAUGUAACAUGUAUAUUUAUACUGAACUUUUAAUAGUAGUUUUGAGAACACAUCCGUAUAAUAUAUGUACAUAUAAUAUCUCGUAUUAUAUCGAUCUCAUAUUUAAUAACUAUGGUUACAAUGACUUAAGUCGGCUGAAUAAUCAACGAGAAAUUGGAAUGAUUAAUGACCGAAGAUAUUACGAUAUGAACAUUCAACAAACAAAACGAGAACACUGACAAAAAAAAUUACAUGAUACUGACUUGAUUUUUAAUAUCCUAUCAUUGAUGCUUUUUGUUGUAACUUCCGAUUUGCCAACUUGUCACUUACUUUGAAUCAAUAAGUUUAGGGCAACGCAAGUAACAGAGGCACCAUAACGAAACAGAAAAUUAAUGUAAAGACGGUCAAAGCAUUUGAACUAUUUGAAUGUAAAUGUAAGAUUGAAACAAGCCCUCCCAUUUGCACUAGAAAAAAAAAAAGCUUUGAAAAAUAUAUAAGUUUGAGAACUAUUUGAGAAUAACCAUUGGUUGGAAAACCUAUGAGUUGAGCAAACAUGACCACAAAAUAAGGUUGUACUUGGGGAAAACAGGUUUUGGCACGUAUGAAAAUAUGACCCAAACUUUAAUGGGUCAUUAUUAGGUCAAUCUGGCAGUGAUAGGAAUGUAAGCGGGUUGGAUUGGGUUAAUUCAUGGGUUGACAUGCUAACCUGAUAAAAGCACAUACUUUAUGAUAAUAGUUAAACACUACAGAGUCUACUUUGAGUAUUUAUAAAAAUUAACAACGAUCAAAUUUGGCUUAAAGAUUUCAAUUAGAAGUUUUAAAAAUUCACAAGUUUUAUAUCUUAUCAUAUAUGAAACUAUGUAAUUGUGUUUUUAAAAGGUUGAUUGGAUUGCAUUUUCUAGAGAGUUUUCGGAAAAAAAAAAUUACUUUAGCAUUUUUUAGAAUGUGAUGUAUAUGAAAUAAAAGGUGAUUGAAAAAUAUGUAAAACUAUUCAUAGAAAAUUUUAAAAAAUAUAGCAAUCCGAACAAGGUCGAUUUUGUAACUUAUAUUAUGCUUGGAAAACUUCAUUAUCUAUUUUUUGAAUGUUUUGAAAACUUUAAAUUUUGAAUUAACUAUGUAUUUCAAGAAAUUUAUUAUGUGUUUUAACAACUGCAAUAUUGAAUUAAUUACAUGAUCAAAUGGGUUAAAAUAAGUGAUUAAGAUGUUAGAGUGUUUCUAGAAUAGGUUAAUAGGUUGGUUUGACAAAUAAUCAAAACUAUUUUAAUCAAAUAAAGUGCUUAAUAGGUUGUAUGCGGGUUGGGUUGGAUUAAUUUGUUAACUAACAGGUCAUGAUGACAUGACACGCACCAAAAUCUAAUGGGUUGGACUAGGUUGAAAUUUUCUAACACGAAUGAAACAAGGACAUGACCAAUUGCCGCCCAAACUUGUAUCCAACUUUCUUAAGACUUUUUCUCCUUUGAGUUCAUAAUUGGACGAUAAGCCGAAGUUAGCACCUCAUUCGUAAUCAAGUCAGUUUGUACAGCUGCCCGUCACCUUCACUAGACAAUCAAUUGCAGGGUUACUGUAAUUUGUGCAUCCAGAUGAACGUGCAUUCUACCCGCUGCAGCUUAAAAAUCUCUAUAAAAAUAUGAGGUCUCACUGUUGAUUAUUUCACUCGAUUUUCAUUUCUGAUUUGAAAAGUGACCUUUUUAGUUUCUUAUUUACUCUUAUGUAUAAAGUUUAGAAUUUUUGCUGAUCGAAAAAGCUAACAUCCAGAUCUAUGUUGGCUGCUUCAAAGUAAUUAACUUUUUACAAAAUAAUUGAUAUUUGACUAAUUUCACUUCGCAACCUGACAUGUCUCACUUGAACCUUCAAUUUUGUACCACAGGACCGUUCCUAGCAAUUUUGUACAUUUUGCACACCGUAUAAUCUUGUUUGCACGCGGCAUAACUUUGUUUGCACAACAUGUAAUUUUAAAACAAAUUUUUGUGAACCCUACACACGUUUAAAACGAGAUACAAGAAGUAAUGUGGACCGUACAAUUUUUUUGGACCAAAUCUUGACCGUUAACUGUUCAGGGACGGUCCUUCUGAUGAUCGUCCCUAUCCCGUCUCCUUCAAUUUUUCAUAGAAGUAUCAUCUAUUGACACGUAGGAAGCUGUACUUUCUUUUUGGACACUUUAGCCGAAAAUUGACAAAAAAUUCUCGGCAUCCACUACGCUAUCAUGUAACUAAUACGCUCCUGCAUUCAAGCUAACUUCUUGUCAACUACAAAAAACUGAGAUCAUUCCAGAAGAGAACCAAAAAAUGCGAGUGGCUGCAUACAGUUUUGCACAUCUUGAUUUACAAUAUGGACGAUUUUGGGUGGUUUGAGAUGUGUUGGUAUUUUUAUGGUGAAAAUUGUCCAAAAUAAAAGUUGAGGAUGAAAAGUGAAAAUCGAUGGAAAUACACGGUACAAAAUGAAAUUCGUCCACAUAUCUAUCAGAAGUUCUUUCUCAGACUUAACCUUUCAGCCAAAGCUGCCCAGUCCAUUAAUUUAAGGGGAAAAAAAAAGACCGAGAAAAUAAAUCACGAAUUCUGCUCCAACAAAAUUAUGCCAUGAUCGCAAAAAACUUGAAGCAAGCAAAUCGCGAAUAUUCUCAACAGGUCCAUGACAGAUUUUGAAAAUGAUCUUAUGCCACCCUUAGGUCUUAAUGGUACUUUUAACUACAUUUUGAGCUGGAGGUUCACUCGCAAGGUUUUCUAUGCAUGGCUCUUGUCAGAUGACACACAGAGAAGAGUCGGAUGCCAACCUUAGUAUCCUUAUCAUCAUGCAAGCAGGCAAUUUCUUAGGCAUCAUUUCUGAUUUUUCCGCAAUCUUCAGCUUUCUUUGAACAAAACACUUGAUGGUAUCAGGCAUGGCAUAAAAUAUAUGACAAAGCAUCCCAAUAAGAGCACGAAUACUACUUGUCUAAUGGGAUAAUAUAACAUAUGGCCUCAAACAGUAUACACAAAGGUCUGAAAUAAUACAACAGCUUGUAUAGCACCAUGUGCAACCUGCCAUAACUGCAAAAUCUCAAGUGUUUCAUUUUCGUAUAGAUGCAAAAGUAAAAAAUUACGUACCAAGAGCUACCACCGCUGAAUGAACCCAAUUAAAGAACUAGAUGACCAUAAUGACAUGUAGAAUACCUGCAGUUGAAUGAACAGCAGAUUUUAAUGAGAAAAGGAACGCUCAGUUCCUCUGUCCAUGGUGCCGCUGUAAAAUCCUAACCACGUACUACCACCAAAAAUGUUAAGAAUGCUCAUCAGCUCCAGUAGCAGAAGCAGAUUGAAUAUGCUGCUUGUACAGACACAGCAAAAAGCAGCUGCAGGGUUUGAUCUCCAACAUGUAGGCUAGGAUAAGAUUCAAUUUGUAAAACGAACUCAUCCCCAACGGCUGCGUAAUCAAUGAUACCUAUUGUCCACUGCUCUUGAGCAGUAAAACUGAGUUUCAUGAAGCACACCAGAGACAAGUUGGAAAAGCCAGGCCAGACCUGCAAAAUUGAGCUAAGAUCUGAUAUGUUCCAAAAUCCAAAUCGGCAGAUAUGAUGACAAGCGAACCAAUAGAACUGGUGAGGGAACAAUGCCUGAUUAAGGUAAGUUACUUCAUCAAUAUCUGUGCAGUGAACAUUACCAAGAUAUUCAAAAAGAGAUUUCCUCCUGUACAACCACGAGGAAGAUAAUCAGACAAGGAAGGAAAUCUUUGAAGCAUGCCUGAUAAAUUGUUCAAAUUUUGAAGGUAGCAGAAUUUAAAUUUACACUGGGAAAAAAAGAGGCAUAAAAAAUCUCAGGCUCCAACCGAAAACAAAUACAAGCUCUUCAUAUGCUAGAUACUUAACAGAUACCUUUAUUUCAUUGCAACUUAACCUUUUAUGAACAAGAAAGAUUCGUCAUAUUUCAUGAAUUUAAUCCCCCUUCUAUUGUUCAGCUGUUAUAACAGGCAAAAGCAUGCAAAAGGAUAUAUUACAGUCCAUUAGUUUCUGUCUGCUCCUAAAGAAUCUUCAGUACAAUUUUAGGAACUAACUAUUUUUCUAUGGGUGCAAUGCAUAAGCAUGCAAAAGGAACUAAUUUAACCAGUGUAUCAGUUUCAAACUUGAAUUCAUUGACUUUAUUUAUAUUGAUAUGGUAAGUUAUAUUUCAACAAAACCAAUCAUUCUUAUUCUAAUAAUAGGACUGUCAAAUUGUGCAUUAGCACAAAAAAAAGUCAGCAGGUUUGCUAGACAUUUUGCUUGAGCAGGAAAAUUGGCAGGUUGCUAGACAUGGCCACUAAGCUGGGCUAAUUUGGUGGUGAUUAUACACACCAUUGGAUUCAGGGGACUUAGGUAGACGAGAAUUUGACCAAGUUCAGGCUUUCACGAGCCUGACAGGAUGAGUACCUGCCAAGCCACCAUCCCUAAUACUCUUCACCAAAUGGAAUGAAUGGCAGAAAACAACAUUCAUUAAACUGCACCGCCAAUAAGUUUCAGAUCUAAGUAGAUCAGACUUGAACAAUUGAUGUCAGCACAAUUCACCCAUCUAUGUUUAGCUACUUCUGAAUGCAAAUCCAGACCCUUGGCAUUUCGAUGAUUGCUACAGUGGAUUAUAACAUAAACAUACACAAACUAAUCCCAAGUGUGUCCUCACAUAGAUCAGAAGCCUAGUGAUGCUCCACCUAAGCCACGAAAACUUAAAUCCGAAUGAAACUUCCCAAAUGACCUCUCCUGAUAAGUGGACAGUAUAAACCACUAACAAAGAAAAAUUGCUUCAAAAAAGUUUUCCAUCCCACACAUAGUUAUUACAAUUAAGUUUAUUUUUGAGAAGCUAAAAAGGUCAAUGUGCACCACCUUGCGUAUUCACACACAACUCAAAUGGUUCAAUGACAUUUCCUUAUUGAGUGGUAGAACACAGAGAAAGAUGAACAAAAACUCAGGUAAUUACACAUUCCAGUGAAGCCAGGUGAUAUAUAUACAACCGUAAAGCUGGUGUUGCUAAAAAGGACAUUCACAACCCCAGAAGGAUUACCUCCUUGAGCUUGAAGAUAACUGGCAAAGUUUGAAUCUGUAUAAUGAAAUCUCUGUAGCUUCCUGGAAACAUCAGCAAAGACAAACUGAGAUAAUAGCUCCAAAAGAAAAGAAAAAGAAAAGGGAAGAUUGCAAUUAACAGUGACAAGACAGUCUACCAUAAAAUUUUAAAAAGAUGGUUGAUGGAAUCAAUAAUCCCCUUUAACCAAAUGGAGCAUAUGUUUCCUGAUCAAUGUCUCCCAGGGACUAUUCUGAAGGUGAAAGUCCGACUGCCCGAGUAUGAAAAUACCAGCCAUUCCACAAUUAAGCUACAAUUUUUAUUCAUGAUACUAUUCAAGCAGCUAUAACAGAUGCAAGCUAAUAGACACUCAAAAUAUCAACAGAAAUUACCUGAGUUUACUGAUUCAUUAUCUAACUGCAGUCCGCCUGGUAUUAACAAUAAUAGCUGCCACGGAAAACAUCAUUAGCACUGAAGAGUACAGAAGGAUAAUUAAGCAUAGUAAUGGUAAUUAAAGCUAAACAAAUAUAAAAAUGGGGAAAAAAUAUAACACCCUCAAUGAACAACAGAAAUGUAAGGAAAAUAGAAGCUUAACCUAAAAAGACCAAAGAAUUAUUUCGUGAGGAUUAUUUCUUAUGGCCACAUUUAAAAUUUGCCUGCAUCAUUGAGCAAGACAGCCACGGCUGUCUAGGUACCAAAGCCAAAUACAAAUUGUUAGGAGAAUAUUAGUAUUCUUAUAGAUAAUAAAUUAGUAAGGGUAUUCUUGUAAAUAGUGUUAGGUUUGUACUCCUAUAAAUACUAGUUGGUCACUCAUAAUAUGUGACUAGAUGUUUUCCUCCCAAGAUACCUGUUGACAUGGUAUCAGAGCAAAAGUCCUAGGGUUAGGGUUAAACAUCUAGCAAAAGUCUUGACGCGAUACUGUUCAUCGCGCACUGUUCAUCAUCGCGCGUACUGUUCACGGCACUGUUCACGGCGCACUGUUCAUCGCGAAUUUUGAUUGCUGUUUUGUUUGAAGUGCUAUUCGCUAUGGUUGAAAGUUUUGCUAAUGGGUUACCACUGAUCAAGUUGAAUCAAGUUCUUCAGCACAUGGGUCCCAGAAAACUGUUACUAUAUCGAGGAAGAUUAUGUUAAAUUCUUACAGUACCAAGCUACAAAUCACGCAUCUCUUCCCUCUGCUUCUUUAGCACAAAAAGGUAAUGACUCAUGGAUUAUUGACUCCGGGGCUACUGAUCAUAUGUCAGGUACCUCUAAAAUUUUUUCUAAUUUUCAAGAGUCUACUCCCUUUCCUCAUGUUACUUUAGCUGAUGGAUCUACCACUAAAGUUAAAGGACUAGGCACUGUAGAAAUUAAUCCAUCACUUCCGCUGUCUUCUGUUCUUUACGUACCCAAUUUGCCAUUUAAUCUAAUGUCUGUUAGUAAGCUCACUAAAUUUCUACAGUGUACAGUUACUUUUUCUCCUGAUUCUGUUGUCAUUCAGGAUUUGAAGACAAAGAGGACGAUUGGUGGAGGGCAUGAGCAUAAUGGUCUUUACUUUCUCAACUUCAAUGGUCCGAUAGCAUGUCCUGCUACUGUUUCUCCUCUUGAAAUUCACUGUCGUUUAGGUCAUCCGUCUUUACAAAAUUUGAAAAAGUUGGUUCCUACUUUGAAUCAAUUAUCUUCGUUAGAAUGUGAGUCUUGUCAGUUAGGAAAGCAUCAUCGUGUUUCUUUUGCUCCUAGAGUCAAUAAACGGGUUUCUGAACCUUUUUGUUAGUUCAUUCUGAUGUUUGGGGUCCUAGUCGAGUCACUUCAAAGUUAGGUUUUAAAUAUUUUGUAGUCUUUGUUGAUGAUUUUUCCAGAGUUACAUGGCUUUAUUUAAUGAAAGAUCGUUCAGAAUUAUAUUCCAUUUUUUGUGCAUUUGUUACAGAAAUAAAGAAUCAAUUUGUGUGUGCCUGUACGUAUACUUCGCAGUGAUAAUGCGAAAGAAUAUUUUUCCACUCCUUUUAAUACCUUUAUGACUAAGUCUGGUAUUAUUCAUCAGUCCUCUUGUCCUCACACUCCACAACAGAAUGGAGUUGCUGAAAGAAAAAUUGGACAUUUAAUCGAAAUUGCUCGAACACUGUUGUUGCACAUGAAUGUGCCCAAACAAUUUUGGAGUGAUGCAGUUCUAACUGCAUGUUAUUUAAUUAAUCGCAUGCCAUCUAAUAUUCUUGGAGGUCAAUUACCUCACUCCAUUCUUUUUCCUCAUGAACCUGUGUUUAAAUUGCCUCCUCGUAUUUUUGGAUGUGUGUGCUUUGUUCAUCAGCUUGCUCCCGGGGUGGAUAAAUUAGAUUCUCGUGCUAUUAAGUGUAUUUUCUUAGGAUAUGCACGAGCGCAAAAAGGGUAUAGAUGUUACAGUCCAGUUUUAAAUCGAUUUUUUACUUGUGCUGAUGUUACUUUCUUUGAAUCCACUCCGUAUUUUAUCAAACAAAGUAUGUCUUGUGAUUAGACCAGUGUCCCUCUUUUUCCUCUCCUGUUUUACCAGUCCCUUCCCCUUUAUUACCUGAGUUGUCUAGUCCACCAGAUUCCAUAGCUCGAUUAUCUCGUCCUCAUCUUCAAGUUUACUCUCGUCGUUCCAUGGUUGAGAAAGUUCCUGAUAUGCCACGCACUUCACCAAUUAACUCUCAAUCUUCAAAUCCAGGUAUGACGCCCUCCUCUGAGUUAGAUCUUCCUAUUGCUUUACGCAAAGGUAAGAGACAUUGUACUUCCCAUCCUAUUUCUAAUUUUGUUUCUUAUUCUCGUCUCUCUAUGUCAUAUUCUUCUUUUGUUGCUUCCUUGAUUCUAUCUCCAUUCCUAAGUCUAUUACCUAUGCUCUUAAUCAUCCUGGUUGGAGAUUAGCUAUGCAAGAAGAGAUGUCUGCUUUGGAACAAAAUGGUACUUGGGAUCUUGUCCCUCGUCCUUCAGGUAAGCCUGUUGUUGGUUGUAAAUGGGUGUACACUAUAAAAGUGCAGCCUAAUGGUUCUAUUGAUAGAUUGAAGGCUCGGCUGGUAGCUAGAGGAUUUACUCAGGUGUAUGGAGUAGACUACUUAGAAACAUUUUCUCCUGUUGCAAAGAUUACCUCUGUUCGUCUUCUUAUCUCUUUGGCAGCAACUUAUAAUUGGCCAUUGCAUCAGUUGGAUGUGAAAAAUGCAUUUCUGCAUGGAGAUUUGGAAGAAGAGGUAUAUAUGGAACAACCUCCUGGAUUUGUUGUUCAGGGGGAGAAUCCGCGGUUGGUUUGUCGUUUGAAAAAAUCCUUAUAUGGAUUGAAACAGUCUCCGAGGGCUUGGUUUGGCCGGUUUAGUAGUGUUGUCAUGGAGUUCGGUCUGACAAGAUGUGGAGUAGAUCACUCUGUAUUUUAUCGGCAUUCUAAUGCUGGUAAAAUUUUAUUAGUUGUUUAUGUGGAUGACAUUGUGAUUACAGGUGAUGAUGUUGUGGGGAUCCAGAAACUUAAAUCCAAUCUGCAGGCAAACUUUCAGACAAAGGAUUUAGGUCAUCUACAGUAUUUUCUGGGUAUUGAGGUAGCUCGGUCUAAAUAUGGGAUUUAUUUAUGUCAAAGAAAAUAUGUACUCGAUAUGUUGAGUGAAGUUGGGAUGUUAGGUUGCCGACCUGUGGAUACUCCUAUGGAUCCAAUGUGAAAUUAGCAGGAGAUCAAGGUGCAUUACUUGAUGAUCCUAAGCAAUAUCGAAGACUUGUGGGUAAAUUAAAUUAUCUCACUGUAACGAGACCUGACAUUUCGUUUGCAGUGAGUGUUGUGAGUCAAUUUCUUGAUACCCCUCGUACUAGUCAUUGGGAUGCUGUUAUACGGAUUCUCAGGUAUCUUAAGAGUGCUCCUGGAAAAGGGUUGCUGUAUCAAAAUCAUGGACACACUGAUAUUGAAGGAUAUAGUGAUGCAGAUUGGGCUGGUUCUGCCUCAGAUCGAAGAUCGACUACAGGAUAUUGUGUGUUUGUUGGUGGUAAUUUAGUGUCGUGGAAGAGUAAGAAGCAAACAGUUGUAUCCAGAUCAAGUGCAGAAUCUGAAUACCGCGCUAUGGCUCACACUGUGUGUGAGUUGGUUUGGUUGAAGAGCAUGUUACUGGAACUUGGGUUUGAGCAUAAACAGCCUAUGAAUUUAGUGUGUGAUAAUCAGGCGGCUGUUCAUAUUGCGUCUAAUCCAGUGUUUCAUGAAAGGACAAAACAUAUUGAAGUUGAUUGUCAUUUCAUUCGAGAGAAAUUGCUUGACGGGGUCAUCAAGACAUCUCAUGUACCGUCUGUAGAUCAAUUGGCUGAUGUAUUUACCAAGAGUUUAGGGGGCUCUAGGGUGAAAUACAUUUGUAACAAGUUGGGUGCUUAUGAUAUAUAUGCUCCAACUUGAGGGGGAGUGUUAGAGAGAAUAUUAGUAUUCUUAUAGAUAAUAAAUUAGUAAGGGUAUUCUUGUAAAUAGUGUUAGGUUUGUACUCCUAUAAAUACUAGUUGGUCACUCAUAAUAUGUGACUAGAUGUUUUCCUCCCAAGAUACCUGUUAACACAAAUAAUCUCAAGAACAAAUUACAACAUUAAUGUCCCACUAGUGGGCAAUGACCGUGCAACACAGCCACCAAAAACUACAUAAGUUCUAGCUAUGAAGCCAAAUUUGGCAAAUUUUUAAUAACCAGGACAGCCAGAGUUAAUGACAUUCUAAGAGCGAGCAUGAACUAAGAGGAAAUCAAUAAUAAAUAACCAGAGCAACUCCAACAAAAGGGGUAUCCAAUCAUAUGCCAUAGCCACCAGCUAAUCUAUACACAGCUUUUAAACAGCUAAAGAGGUAAAAAAAAAAAAAAAGCAAAUCUGCAGAAAAUCAACAACAAACAACUCAAGUGGCCUAAUCAUAUGAAAGAUCUUGUAAUUAAGUUCUCAACUACAUCCCACAAUUGUGUCAUCCAUUCACCAGUGUUUACAACGUAGGUCCGGACAAAUGUAAUGGGUACACAAGCAAACAAGAAAAUCACAAAAAGGAUAGCUUCACUUUUAACCCACAAUCACAUGGUGACUAGCAUGAUUACCAACAAUGUUAUUGCUGUCUUGUUAAUUCUCGAUGAGUAAAAGAUAAUGAAGUCUGGUAGAUCUGAAAACAAAUAGUAUAUGUAAUCUGGUUAACCAUCAGUUCUUUACAACUUCAUCAUUGUCUGAGAUUCCACUUUGUUCUGAAUCAGUGCAUUUGAACUGAUAUAAUCCAUUAAGUAUUCAUUAAUCAAUUAAAAUCCUUAGGAAGCAUAAGGACAUAACUGGCACCAAAACACCUGAUCAAUGAAAACUGUAUCUCAUUUUUUCUUCACUAAUUGCCGUGCAACUGCUUCUUCAUUUCUUUGCUUUAAUAUCAUCCACGAUCCCAUACAAAUUUCACUUAUUCUCAGAUGAAAAUGAGUUAACUACAGGUUUCAGCUCUAGCAUGGCUUAGCAACUCAGACACCCAAAGAAAAACUGCAAAAUCAAUUGUCUUUGAAGAGUGUGCAUAUUUGGAUCCAUGAACAAAUAUAUCUAGCUAUUUUAAAUAAGUUCAAAAACUAUAUAUGUUAUACAAGUUAAUCGACUCACAGAUGCAUGAAAAGAAACUGGGUAUUACAUCCCAACUAUGCUAUUGACAAACUCUGAAUCCUUAAUCAGUAAAAUAAAUGUAAAACAUAUAUUUAAGUUGCUGGAAAUACUUUUCCUUCCUUCAAGGAGGUUGUUCGAUUGGAGUUUAUGGGGAGAAUAAGGAGGAUGUGGAUAGUUUGAAAACUAAUUUAGAAAUUGUUUUGUGGAAUAACAUUGAGUUACAAGAGGAAUUCCACCAAAGGAGCUUUAACAAAAAGAUAGGAGGGGAAUAGGAGAUAUUUCUUCUUCUAAGAUAGCUAAAUAUGAAGGGAAGUAAGGGAAGGAAAAAGAAGCAAGCUGGAUGGUUCGGUUAGCAAAAGCCAUUAAAGAUUAAGUAUUAUUUCUGGAAUUGUAACUUUCUCGUCCACUUUGUCAUUCUGCCCAUUUUUUACUAGUUUAUAAUCGAAGCUCCAUCUGCAAUGGUGAAAAUUAUUCAAAACUCUCCAAUUUAUGUAAAUGAAGUAUGUGACUUCAAACACAUGACAAGAAAAACUACAAAAAAUGCAUUCUUUACUAAAUCGAUUACUAAACCAAUAAUGAUAUUCCGCAUCAGAGACAUUUUGCACCAGUAACUUUAAGUUGGCAACCAAUUUUCUAAAUUUCACUGAGUGUCAUUAUACCCAUUAAAAGACAUUAUUGCACUUGCAUGAAUUUCUUUUUUCACUUGAAAGAAAUUUCUUCUGGUUUGGUUCAGUUUUCACUAGUGUCCAUGGAAACAACUGUUUCCAAUAAGUCAUGCCAAAAACAAACUCCAACAAUUUAAAACUGCAGUUAUGUUGAUUAACAAAUUUAGUAUAGUGCUACCUCUUUGAAACACUAAAUAUUGAAUUCAAACUUUGUAAAUACGGAAUUCAAACAGAAUUCCACACCAAAAAAUAAAAUUCAUUGUACAAGAACAUGUUACCAAUGGCAUUUCGACCUUGUUCAGAAAAACAAAAAAACUAGGACCUGUGAUUAAUUUAUCAAUUUUGAAGAAGAAAUAACAGAAAAUCAGUUUAUAGUAACUUUCAACUUCAAAUUCAGAAGUCCCAAUCAAAGAUAUUAUAUGGAGUCCAAAAGAAACCAAUACUAAUUUAUACUCAGUCAAGAUUUACCCAAAAACUUGUCAAAUUUUAUGAGAAAAUCAAGCACAUUCACUAAAAUGAAAGAAUACGGUAGAGGAGGUAUCUUAAAUAUCAGAAAUAUCAGGAGAGGUGACAAAGCACAAACCUUCAAGUUGAGAUCAUCAACUUGCAGGAGAUAUCCACCAUCAAUGAAUGAACGUAAUGCAUGAAACUGCCAUGGUGGAGCUAUAUUUCCAAGGAUCAGAAAAUUCUUUGCAGCCCUGAGUACCAAUUGCUCUAUACUAAAGGUAUUCUCAACUCAUUCUCAAUAACCACUUCUGAUAAAGUUCAAAUGCUUUGUCUAGCUCCCUCAUCUUGCAAUACUUUUUCAUGAGUAUCAGAAAUGGAACAUGAUCAACCUGUAAAUUCAAAGUCUGUAACUUUUCCAAGAGAUCUUCUGCCUUCUCUGUAUAACCUUGUAUACAGUAAUACUUAAGUAGCUCAGUAUAUGUUAUUAUGUCUGGGUAAUAACCUCCUCUUACAAUUUCAUCAUAUAUCUGCAGCACUGAAUGAAAGUUACCAAGAUUGCAAGAGGCACCCAACAAGAGAUUGUAUGUAACCAAAUCUGGAAAAGAACCAUUUAGAACCAUCUCCUUCUUCAAGAAUGUGCCUCAACAACAUUUCCACUUUUUAUCUGUGAAUGGAUCAAAGCAUUAUAAGUAAAUGUAUUUGGCAUUACCCAAAGGCAGCCAUUUGUUCCCUGAUGGACAAUGCUUUUUGCAUAUUACCACACCUCCCAUAACCAUCAAUUAUCACAUUCCAGAUGAGUGGUUGAGGCACAACAGAGUCAUCUAACAUAGCAUGAAGAAACAGAUUAGCUUUAUUACAUCGCCAUGAAAACAUAGCCCUUGUAUAAUCAUCUUGUAAGUGAUUUGAUCAGGAGAAACACCCAUCCUGGACAUAACAUUGUAGAUAUAACAAGCCUCAGUGGUCCGUCCUUCCUUACAAAGAGCGCCAAUAAGAGUAUUGUAAGAAAAUAUAUCAGGAAGAAAACCACGCUUAAACAUUUCGCAGACAUAUUUAUAAGCAGUGGAUAUAUCUCCGAUCAAACAGAAUCCAUGAAUGGCAACAUUAUAGAAAACAGUAUCAAGUGGGAUACCCCCGCAAAAAAUGCCAUCCAAAUAAGUGAGAGCCAGAUUUAUAUCUCCAUUCUUAAAGGAACCGUCCAUUAGUAUAGUUGAGUUAUCAAAUUCGACGUGUCCUUAGGGUAAGUAUCACCCAAUAUUUCGUAAGAAGCUUUCUUGCAUCCUCCAGCAGACCUUUCUUACAAAGAGCAUGUACAAUAAUGUUACAAGUAACUCUAUUCGGGCCAAUACCACUGUUGGCCAUUGUGGAAAACAAAUUUAGAGCCCUUUCAAUAUCCUUUUGAAGACAAUAACCCUUUAUUAAAGUGUUGUAGGUCGCACAAUUAGGAGGAGGACCCCUAAAUAACAUCUCUUUGACAAGCCACUCUGCCUUAUCCAAGUUACCAGUUUUGCAGAAGCCGUUUAUUAGAUAAUUAUGGGUGAUAAUAUCAGGAAUAACACUUUUCUGUAUCAUCAUAUACCAGAGAGAUAGAGCUACCCCCAACUUACCCUCCAAGCAUAAAGCUCUAAUGAUAGUUAUAUCUCGCUUAUAAUUUACUUCAAAGUCACAGCAUUCACUGCCUAUAGCAUCCCAGGAUAUGCUUUGCCUGCGGAACUUAUGGGCAUCAGUUACAGAAACCAUACACAGAGAAACUAUAAGAACAAAUUUACUUCAAAAAGGUAUAGCAUAAUUCACUUCCAUAAACUGAGAUAGGGAACAUGAUACAAUUUGUAAUAAAAGCUACAAUUUAGAAUCAUCUUUGAAAGAAAAACAAAAGCUAUCAAGAGAGGAGACAUCAACAACUAAAAAGGGCACCCACUACCACUUCAGAAACUACGUCUCAAAGGUCACUUGUAAAGUAUUUCAAGGGAGAGUUUGCCUAGAGAAGCAGAUGACUACAACAGCUAAAGUAAACUGAUCCAGACAGCAUAAGAGAGAGACCAGGAUCCCAACUAUCUCUUACUAAGUACAACAGCAACAACACUCUAUAUCACCCAAAAAGAAACAGACGCAUGGAUGGCAAUACAUUGAACUUGAUCAAUCGUUAAAAGCCAGAAGCUAGAAAUCAAAGAAACAGACAUAUCAUAUACUCUAAUGCUUUUUCGAUCUUCUAUCCUGUUAGGAAUGUAAUUCAGUUUGACUGAUUUUCCUAAGACUAUUCAAAGAACAUAAAUGAAGAUGUAUGUCGGAAAGACACAAGAAGCCUGAUACAGCCGUUGGUAAGAACUAUCAGUAUCAGAUAGACAUUUAGGCAAAUGAUUAACAACCAUUAACUGCUAUUUUAAAAGCUAAUUUAAAAUAUUAAACUUUUAGAAGAAAUAAACAAAGUUCCCUUAUGUAAUUUCUUAUGUUUGCAAGAACUCCUUUGUUUUCCCAGCGAAACAUGUAUACAUAUAUAUCUGCCACCACACGGAAAAUUCCCUCUACAAACAUUUUUUAAUAGUAAAGCUACAAUAUAUGGCACCAUAACACAGCUAAGAUAUCUGCUAUACAAUGCAUUUACCUCCAUAUUACACGACAAAAAACACAUUCCGAAAAAACAGCAAAAUCAGCAAGCUGUACCCAUUAAAUACUUAAGAAACACUAUAAACUAACUGAAACACUGAAUUCAAUAUGACAACAAGUUUCUGACUUCAAAAACAAAAACCACUGACCUCAUUGUUUUCAAGCGAUCCAAACUAUCCUUUAACAUUGUAUCUAAAACGUUAAAAACGGCACCGGAACAUUGCCCUUCAUCACCAUCAGAAGGCUCCGACUGCCUUCUACCGUUUUCACUUAACUCACAUUGAUUCUGAUUAUAACUUGUUUUUACCUCAUCAAUCCCUCUAUACCUAUACCACAUAAUAAAAUUGCUUAUUCAACAAAACUUCAUACACACACGCGAAAAAAAAAAAGCAAAUAUAUGACGAAAAUCCAAGUAAAUUUGAAAUUACCUUGUAUCAAUUAAGUCAAUGCUGAAGUAUUUGGAGCAGAAAAAAUUAGCAAAAAUAUGAGAAAUGCGGUCUUUUAUGGAGUCUAGGGUUUGGAAGCUACUGUUUAAUAUUCUGAGAAUAUGCGAUUCCUCUGCAGCUAUCAACACCUGAUUACGAUUUAAAAUCAUACAAAAAAUAUUAUAAAAAAUUCCACACCAAAUUUUCGUCUACAAAAACAAAAUAAAAUUGAAAUUACUGCAUUAAAAUUUAAAUUCCGGAAAUGAGAACGAAGGACUUACGGAUUGCAUUGUGGGGGAAGAUAAUGAGCUAGGGAUUGGAAGAGAGAAAAGACGUUAAUUACGACGCCGUGGAGUUACCCUGGGCGUCGGAGGGGUCUGCAGAAGGCUGGUUAAGACCGGAGAAAAAAGUGGGCAGAGAUGGUGGGAGAAACCAGGUGCAUUUGACUGCAACCCCUUCAAUUUUUUUUUCCUUUUUCCCUUUCUUUCCAUUUAAGCCCGUUUGGGCGCAGCUUAUAGAAAAGUAUUUUCUAGUAGAGCUAUUAAUAAAAGUAAAAAAUAAAAAAGUUCCCUGAUAAAUCUAAUACAUAGAAAAAUCUCGUGAUUUCAAAAUAUACAACACGACAUCCCGUACUUUGAACUAAAUUGUAAAGGUAACUGAAUCCGUUAAAUUUAACAAAAUGACGAAAUGACCAAAAUACCCUGAUAUAAUUAAACAAAAGAAGCUCAAAAAAAUCAUUUGUUUUACUCUCUAAAUAGAGAGAAUUGAGGGUUAAGAGUAGAACAAGUAUAUUUGUUAAAAAUUAGGUAUAAAAAAUUUUUUUUAUUCAAUAAGUCAUUUCCGUUAAAUUUAACGGAUUCCGUACCUUUGAAUUUAUUCAAAGUACAAGUAUCGUGUUGUAUAUUUUGAAAUCACGAGGGCUUUUCUGUGUAUUAGGUUUACCAGAGGAGUUUUUUUGUAUUUUACCCUUAAUAAAAUUAUUUAUUAACAACUUAAAUACUUUUAAAUAUAUUAUUUAAAAACAUAAUUUAAUGAGUAUUUAUUAUAUUAGAUAAUAUAUAAUUUUAAAAUAUUUAUCUCUUUAUUUGAUUCAUAAUAUAGGAUAAAAUAAUUAAUUUGAUAUUUUAUUUUUUUAAUCACAAAAACUAUUUUAAAAGCACCAAAUUUGAAAUUAUGCUAAAAGUGUUCUUAACAGCAAUAGAUCUACUCCUAAUUUUAUGGGAUGAUUCACUAAACAUUUUAAAAGUACUUCUAACAUCUAAAAGUGUAGUUUUACUAAAUGCACUGCAAUCCCAAACGAGACUUUAAACGAAUUUGAGUUUCACACGGAGUAGGAAGAAUUUGUACUAAGGGUGCAUCUCAUAAAUUAAAAUUAAAAUCUGAAAUUUGAAAUUUAAAGUAUAAAUCUGUUAAGUUACUAGAUUAUUAACUAGUAAAUGUGAUACAUUUAACUGUAUAUUACAUUAAAUAAUCAGUGAAUAGCCUAUCACUUACUUUUGGAUAUUGUUAAGUAGUAAAUGUGAUACAUUUAACUGUAUAUCACAUUAAGUGAUCGGUAAAUAAUUUAUCACUUAUUUUUGGAUAUCUGAUACAUGUAACUAUAUAUCAUAUUAAGUGAUAAUUAAUAGUUUAUCUAAAAUCAAAUUUUGUCUAGAAAUUUCAAUGUACUUAAUUAAUGAAUUCAGAUGUUUAUUUUUAAUUAUUAAAUGCGUCUAUCUAAACCUUUAAGUUUAAGUAUUACAUUGAAUUAUCAAAUAGGACAUAAGUGGGUGACUAAUUUUUUGGGCUAUUUGGAAAGCACUACAUCUCAAGUAGUAAUAAAAUUGAAAAACAAAUUAAAGUUUUGCAUGCUUCCAUAUUGAGAACUGUAAUUGCACUCACUUUUUAGUGAAAUAAUUAUGAUUGCACUCACUAUUUUUGUGAGAUAAGCAUUUACAAGUGGAAAGACCCAAAACAUAACGAGUAUUCCAACUUUAACAUUUAUAUAGACGACUACCUAAAAUUUUUUCUGUUAAUCCCUACUCAACUAUCAACUUAUGCUCUAAGUUAGGCCUUAAUUACCUCAUUAGUUUGGUUAGUUAGGUAGUUUAGUCUUGGCCCGUUUAGUUUUGUAUUAGCUUAGAUAUAGCCAAACCUAGGUAAGAAACAACCGACAACUUUUGAGAAUUUUCUAGUAACUUGUUUCUUGUUUGAAACGUUCUUUUGGCUUGUGAAAGUUAUUUUUGAACAUCUUAGAGUGACUCUAAGGUGCUCAUCGACUUAUCAAUCAAUUAGUCACUCGUCUAUCCAAUCUACACGUUCUUGAGUUGUCCUUGAAUGUAUAGGUUCUGCUGCCAAACAUCGAUACCAUCUAAUUCUAGAUUCGAAGCUUGUGUGUUACGAGUUGCGUCUAAAAUAGGGUGUAGGUCAUAUCAGCUGGUAUUAGGGCCAAGUUGAAGGUAUCAAAAUUAUAUCCCUUUUUCGUUUCUUGUUCAUGUUGUGUCGAGUUUUCAUUAUCAAAAAAAUUUUAUUAUUGUUCACCGUCACUAUUCAUGUACUGUUCAUCCUAUGGUUAUUGUUCACCCAGAAAAACAAAAAGUUUUUGUUUGAGUUGUUUUUGGAAAUUUGAAGCUCAUACCUAGGGAUUUCUUCUUGUUCUUGUUGAUUCUUGGAUUGUGUGGGCUGUUAAGAGCUUGUUUUUGAAAUCUUGAAUCAAAGUUGUGGAAUUGUUGUUCUUGAUUGAUAAAUUAUCAAUCUUGAAGUUUCUUGAAACCCUAAAUUUUGGUUCUUAAACUUCUCAAAAAUCUUGGCUAUUUAUUUGUGUUUCUUGAAUCUUUCUUGAGUUUCUUGAAUUUCUUCAUUGAAUUCUAGAAGUUCUUAAAGAUCUUGAAACAAUCUUUAGGCUUUCUUGAAUUCUUUGUGCUCAAACUUUUCAAAUCUUGAAAUUCUUGGAACAAACUUGGAACCCUAAUUUGAUUCUUGAAAAUUUGGGGCUAUUCUUGAUUGCUUCUUGAUUUCUUGAAUUAAAUUCUUAGUUUUCUUGACAUUCUUGGUUGAAAUUUAUCAAUCUUGAAAGAUCUUGAAACCAUAAUUUGGUUCUUGAAAAUCUUAGAUAUGUGAACAGCAAAUCCUACUGGUUCUUCAAAAUUGAAAGUUGUCCAUCCGAUUUUCUUAAACAAAAUUCUGCAACUUGCCUUGUUUAAUCUAUCUUCAAAAACAUUGUUUGAUCAAUUUUGAAACACAAGGAAACAAAUUCCUUAUUGAAUAAGAAUAAAACAACCGUUAUUUGAUUGUUUUCCAAGUUGGAUUCGGAUUUCAUCAAAAUAGCUUCCUAGUUUGAUCUUUUGUUUGAAUACACUUGGAUUGGGAUAAUACACCUUUCUACUCAUUGUUUCUUAUGGGGAAAAGGAUUAAUUCCAGAAAUUUCAUUUUUAUUAUCCUAGGUUAGGUUGGAUUUUGCAAAAUAGUGGACUAGCUGUUGGUUACCUUCCUAGUUGGAGUCGCUUGUUAUCUUUCCUUCAACGCCUCUUACUAGUUUCUUGUGUCUUUAAAUUUCCACAUUUUCCAGCAGAUUUAGAGUCUAAAUUGAGUCAUUUUCUAUCCAAAUUCAAUGCAUGUUGUCUCAUUGAAGCCACUACCUUGCACUUUUCCUAGUGUGAAUCGGAUUUUGUCCAUAACUUGCUAAAUUCGAAAUUCUUGUCCUAAACUUCAUUCGAAUAAACCAAGUGUGGUUCUAAAUCCUUGUUUACCUAGGAAAGGGUAAAUUUCCAGAUUUGCUAAUCCAUUUCAAGCGCAAUCAUAAAUUCCAGUCGUGUGUUCCUAGUUGUGUUGGGGAGUUUCCUUUUUCUUCCUUUCUUUGUUGUUGUUCUAAAUUCAUUUUGGUCAUUAUUUUCAGCAAAUUUCCAAAAUAUUUUCUGUAAUUUUCUCAUCCAAGAGUCAAGUCAUUUGGUCAAAUUUUAGUUUUGUUGAUUGUCCCUUGUGUCGAUUUGAAACCCUAAUUUUGCUAUAAUCUUGAGAAGCAAAAUUGAUUGGUUGAUUUUGCUUUGAGGAAUAGCUCUAAUUUCUUCAAUAGAAGCAAGUAAGGGCCUUAAGAAUCUAUUUUGGUGAGAUUAUCAGAGUGCUUCAUUUUUUAUUGAUACACGAGUGUCGAGGGUAAACACGUGAUACACGAGUGCUUCAUUUUUUAUUGAUAUGUGAGGAAGUUUUGUGAAGAAACUUUUCUUUGUUUUGCUAACAUUCUUUGCAAGAAUACUUAAGCAUGUCCAUUGGAGAAGGAUCUUCAACUUUUAACAAUAAACUAGCAAUGGAGGUGAUGACUAGCCAGUUGCAUGAAUUGUUAAAGGAGAAAUUGGAGCCUAUACAUAGACAACUUGGUUGAAUCGUGAAUAAGGUUACCAUAAAGAGGGGUUCAUGCCAUCCAAUUCUAAUGUCCAAUUUUCCUAUCAAAGCUGGCCUAUUCAAGAAGGGAGGAGAAGAUUCAUUCAAUAUCUUUCAGGUCUAAACCUAGAGUCAAGCCAUCCAAGGUGUUAGCAUGUGAGAUAAUCUACGCCUUCUACAACAUAAACAAAUGGAGGGUCCAGAUAGUCACAAUCAAAAUGAAUCACCUAAGGAAGAACCUAUUGAAUCCAUUAUUAACAAAGGAGACUCUAAUCCUAUCCUACUGUUGGUUAAGAAGGUUGACAUUGAAGUGACAUUAGGCAUCAAGUAAGAUGGGGUAGUAAUUGAGAUUCAACCUACGCUAGCUAAUUGUCAAGAGAUAGUUGGAGAGGAAUUAUAUGAGAAAAAUAAUGCACUAAAUGAGUGUGUAAGUAAUGGUAUAGUACUUGAGAGUGAGCUUGAGGUAAGAAUCGAGGGAAGUGUAAAAGAAAAGGUGAGUGAACAAUCAAGUGAUUUGAGUGACAAAGAAAAAGAGCUGAGUUUUCGUGUCAUAACAAGUGAGAGCAUGUUAGUUAUGAGUACAAUUAUUGGCUUUUUGAAAUUUCUUUUGACUAACCGUCCUUACAUUGUUUUGCCUAGUGUCUUUCCUAAUUUUUGGCAGGUUAAUGAAUUAGUUAAAGUGUUGCACAAUGGAGUUGAUCAUGCUAUUUGAUCAUGUUGUUGUUAGGACUAACUCUUUUGUUGAUGUUAUUGAUCAAUGGCGAGUGAAUCUUUGUGGUGCAACAACUAGUUCAUUUGUGGAUAGUCAAUGGGCUAUUGAGUUGAGUAAAAAUGGUAAAUUUGUUGAUGUUCAAUUAACCAUUGGUAAGGUAAGUAUCCUACCUAAAGUUCUUAGUUUUCAUGGUGACAAUGAGGAGCUUAAUUUGCCUAUGCAGGUACCGAUUUUUCCUAGUGCUUAUCUUGAUGCUUUGCUUAAGUGUCCUUCAUGUAUAAUGAGUAAUAUGUUUCUUGAUUGGUUGACACAUGGUGAAAUGCUUGAGUCAAUUGGUAUCAUUUUUAAGGUUGUUUAUAUGUGUAAUCUUGAGCCAAUUAUGCUUGCUUUCCGUUUUGAUAGAAUUGUUUGUUUGCUUUAUGAUCAUCUUUCUAGAGUUAGUUUGAGUUGUUUUGUGAAUUGCAUUUGUCUUAAUUGUGAUAGUCUAUUGUCGAGUUCUUAUGUGACAUAUGUUUUCUUAAAGUCAAGUGAUCAUUAUUUUUGUAUUUAUGAUGCAUUUGAAGUUCUUGAGUUGAUAGGGAUAGUGCUUAAAGUCUUUUUUUUUUUUUUGCAUGAAGUUCUUUGUUCAAGUUUUCAUGUUGUCCAAACAAGUAAUGUUAUCAAGUUGUGUUACGCGCCAACUUGGUCUAAAUGCUUUGGAACAUUUAUUUGUGUGGAAGUUUAAGUCUACUAUUGGUGCCUAUCCUAAGUUGCUUGGUGGUUAAGGUGUACUCUUAGGCCAUGUAAAAGGCCUUAGAAUUGUGCAUAAGAUUUAGUUGUUUCCUUCUUGUUAUCAACUUGGUGAUUUUGGUGAUUACAAGUAUUUCAUCAUCAUUCAUUCCUCAUUUUUCAUAUUUGAUCCAAGCAUAAAUUUGUUGAUUGCUUGUUUUCAAGAGAGGGGGAAUAGUGAGAAUGGAGCAAAUGGUGCCUAUGAUGUGACCCCCCACUUCUCCCUAAGGCGCACCAAAAGGUAUCCGCGGGACGCCUGCCUAGCUCUCGCCAAGACUCAAGCAAAAAAACGUUCAAGUUUAAAGCGAUACUAGAUACCACAAUCAAAUUAGUACAAAUACAUAUAGUGCAGAAGCGUUCAUUCUUAACAAUAUCCAUCCAUUAUCCAACCCGCACGUCGGGUGUUCAUAAUACAACUUAAAUUCCAAAAUAUACAUCACAUAUAUCCGAAUGAUACAUUAAACUUCCAAAAGUACAAUCAUAAAGGGGUCAAGCCAAAAUACACUUGAAACCCUAAAACAAAAUAUAUCCAAAAGGAUAUUUCUCCGCGCUUACUCCAUUUCCAGUCCUGUUAAGAAAAAUAAAUCUACAGGGUGAGCAAAACGCUCGUGAGGCCAAGGACACACAUGCAAGCACGUAGUUCAAGUAACAAUCCCAAUUACAAGCCAAGCAAUAAUAUGUUUCAAUAAUUAACAAUUUACCGGAAAGUAAACGGAAACAAUUCAAGGAUAUAGGAGCUCUCAGGAGUUAUAUUCCACUUGCACGAUCAAUAACCUCUACGAAUUGACACUCCGUCAAUCGGGUAGGUUUUGUCCGUAGAACUCCACUUAACCUGUCCCCUUUCACCUUACAUACCCCUGUAUCGGGCCCGCCUGUCGUUUGUUUAUGGCGAUACUACUCGAGUAUGCCAAGCAAGACCUCUUAUUAGGUCAAACUUAUAUAUCUCAUGGCUCGCCAAGGUUCCCGACCAAGCCCAUGCCGGUUCGAGUCCAAGGUCGGCCAAUGAGAUGUGGACAUCCCCAUGUGCAAUUGUGUGUCGAGGAGAUUCACUCCAACGACGUAUGCAGCCAUAGCAUACCAUAUCAUGUAUCAAGCAUUGAUAUGUACAAGCAAUCGAUGUAUCCAAGCAAUCGAUAUAUUCAAGCAAUUUGAGCAUGAGUUAAAUCAUUUCGAAUGAGAACGAGUGCGAUAAAGUACACACUCGACUCCAUUUCCCAAAAUCUCAAGUAUCAAUAACAAGUAAUCACGUAUCGAAUUCACAGGAGUUCAAGUAACACACACUUGACACUCACCAAGUAAAACGAGAAGAAAAGGGCACUCGAAGUUUAAGCGUCCGCCGUGGGAUCCUCUUGAGGGUCCUUAUGUGCGCCUGAGCAAAUAAUAGUGAAGCAUCACUCAUAUAUCCGAAUUAUCAAGGAAGAUUGUACACUAGUACAAUCUAAGGAAAUUUCAUGAAAUCGAAUCUCAAUUACUCGUAAAUCGAGAUUCAAUUAGAGUUUCUUAAAGUACAAGGGCGAUCGAGUUUUCAUUUUAGAAAAUCAAGUAUAACACGUUCAAGUAAUAUCGAAGGAAUAAGGAGUGCUUGAAAACUCCCUUUCUUUGGAAUUCGGAAAAUUUUCAGUUUUGAUACGAUAUUUUGAAAAAUCGUAUCUCACAUUCUACCUAUCAAAAAUUGGAAAAAUUCGUACCGUUGGAAACCUCUUUGAAAGUACUAAAAGUUCUUAGAAGACACUUUUUCAUGAAUUUAAGUGGAAGGUAUUCAAAAAUGAGCUUAAAGUUGCUGUUCCAAAACACUCAGAAUUGAGCCGGGGUUGGUUUUUCACUAACUUUGGAAAUUCGGUAAAAUUCAUACAUUGCGAGCUAGCCUCUGAAAUUUGUAACUCAAUUAGAGUUGCAAGUAAGGUUUUUUAACAGAAAAAGCGGAUCAAGAAUCGGAGUUUCGAGCACCGAGAUACGGUGGCUCAAAGUUAGGGAAAAUUCAAAACUGGUGAACAAAUUUCCAGAUUUGAGAUUCCAAUUUGGGACUUUAGUUAGGUAUCGAAAUGGACUUGGAUUGGUACAAAAUUUGGCAGUAUAAUACUCCUAUAUAAAGAGUAUCCCUCUACCAAAUUUCAUGGAAAAAUACCUUCGGGAAGGUAGUCAAUCAAACAACCAAAAUUUCGAAAAUACUAAGACAAAACUGCCUUGAACCUUUUGUUUUCCAUUUCAAACAUUUGGUCAAGGAAAAAUUCCUCAAACAUGGCUCAUUAAUGUAGGCAAAGCCUAAGGAACAUUCAUGGCACAUUUGGUAGGUGUUUAACACCAAGAAAUUCAAUUAGCAAGUCUACACCAAGCCUUGCAUCAAAUCUGUCCAAAAGUGAGGGUUUUCAAGAGCAGAGCAGGUUCCGUAUUUUAAUCACAAUUCACUCAAAUUAACUCAGAAUUGAGCUUGGUUUAUGGCGUUGGAAAAUACAUUCAUAGAGAUAUAAUUUCACAGAAGAAAUCAUUUUGAAAUUCGGCACACAACUAGCUCGAAUUCGAGCCACAAGUUGCAGCCUUAGCAUUUCGUUCCAGGAAAACAGAGAAACAGAACAGCUGACUUUAAAUGGUUGGUUCAGCUCACAUACAUGGAACCAAAAAGUGAAUUUUAUACCGUCGGAAAGGUUGGAAUGUCUAGUUUCAAAUGCCACUGACGGCACUUGAUUUCGACGUCAGAGCACAAAAUUAUGGCCGAAACACGAAAGCUGGUCAGAGCAUUACGGGAACAGUUCCAGAUUUACUAGCUUUGUGAAAUCGAUUCAUUUGACCAACCAAACCUCAAUAUUUUUCAACGAAAUUUUAUACACCAUCUAUACAACAUAUAAACAUCAUAAAUAAGUCAUUGUAACCCCAAAAUUCCGCAGAAAUAGGUACGUUCAAAGUAGGGCCAGAAUUGGAACUUUUCCCCUCAUGCAUUUCUUGAAGUUUAUACUACUAAUACACCAUUAAUCUGCCAUCUUGAGUACUAAACUAACAUUAAAUCCAUCAUCAAGUAUCUCAUCAGCCAUCAAUCCAAGGGUGGGAGUUCAUAGAGCCCACCUUCAAAAUUUUUCAAUAAUACAAGCGACCCACAUGAAUAUUCAAGCUCAUAAGUGUAAAUUAACUUCCAUAGGACAAGAAUUUGAGAGUGGAUCAUUACCUACUUUGGUUGAUGAACCUUGCAGAAUUUUGGCCCUUUUCUCAGCUCAGAAAAACCGUGGAAAGCUCCUCUUUUUUGUAGCUAAAUGAACUCUCCAGUGUUGAGCUAAGUGGUCUUCAAUUUUGGUUGAAUUUGGUGAAGGUUUGAGCAAGAUUUGGAGAUGAAAUUUGCAAAACUUGGAGUUGUUUUGUUGCAGCUGAUGGUUCGGCCAAAUGAGAGGGAAAGAGGCGUGUGAUAUGCUGAAAUAAAGCUUCUAAAGUAAGCUUAAAUGUGUGGCCACAAUUCGCCGAAAGUCAACUCUCUCUCGUGCGUGUACGCGCGCAUUUUGGGCUCGAUUCCUUUCGAGUUUAUUUCACUAGUGUACUAAACCUCCAAUACACUUAUAUUCAUAUAAAUAUUAUUCACCCUUAAUUGUUCCAAAAUAAUGGUCUAAAGUCCCUCAAUUAAUCGCGCGCGUGAAAACGCGUAUUUCCAAUUUAGGCGCGAUAAAGUGAAACCUUCGAGAAAUUCUUAUAACGAUCGUACCACUAACUAUCACUUGAGUACUUAAACCUAAAUUUACCUAUUUUAAGACCAUUGUACAUGUCUCCAAUUUUCCGGGCUUAAUGUACUCCCAAUUGGUUAAAUUUUCCAAACGCGUUUUCACUUUUUCACUAAACAAGCUUCUAAGAAAAUAAUUUUUGAAACGAGACACUUUAAAAAUAUAACGAACCUAUAAUUCCAUGUAUUUAGGUCUAAUAAGGAUAGAAAAUAAUAUUCGGGGCAAAUAUCCAAAUAAAUAAUUAAAUGAGCCAAAAAUAGGGUUUUUAAAAAUAAGAAUUUUAUGAGUCCUCACAUGAGUCUAGUAUUAAUUCCUCAAUUAAUCUUUCUUGAUCUACUAUUGAUCAUUCUUAAUUCUCCAAGGUUGAUACACUCCCGAUUCAAGUGUAGCCUCGAAAACUUGCACUCGUUAUUCCGAACUAAAGGAAUUUUCAAAAGUAGAUAUUCCAACAAAACGCUUUAAAACUAUAAAAGAGACGUUGUUCCAUCUAAAUGGAUUUAAAAUGGUCGAAAUAAAUAAUUCGGAGAAAAUGAGUAAAUAAAUAUUUAAGUAAACUUGUAAUAUUUGAUAAAUAAGAAAAUUUUUGGGUCCUCACACAUGAUGCUGUAAUGUGUGGUGUUCUUGGAUACAUGUUCGUGACAAGAUUAAGUAGAUGCCAUGCAUCAAGGCUUGCGUUUAUCUAGACUUUUUCAGAUGUGCUUCAUUGUAAGCAAAAGCUUGAUUUGAGUGCAAAUCAUUUUCAAGAGUUGAUACAACCGACCCCCUAUUUUAGACGCUACCCAUGACACACAAGUUCCGGAUCAAUGUUUGGCAGCGAAAACCUAUACGUUUAAGGACAGCUCAAGAACAUGUAAAUUGGAUAAACGAUACCACAAUUAAGGUAACUGCUUGGUUAAUAGGUCGAUGAGCACCUUAAGAGCCAUUCUAAGAUGUUCAAAAAUAGCUUUUACAAGUCAAAAGAACCGUUUUACACAAGAUACAAGUUGCUGGAAAAUUCUCAAAAGUUGUCCGUUAUAUCUUACUUAGGUUUGGCUAUAUAUAAGCUAGUACAAAACUGUCAGGAUCAAGCGCUUACCAUUACACCAAAAGCUAUAGCUGUUAGUGAAGGCGCAACUUUAUUUCCUUAACCACAAUGGCAGCGCAAAGCACCGUACCACGCUCGGCCAGCAUGAGGGGCUGCACCCCUAGGUGCCACGGGCUGGGCGGUUAGUCCCUUCGAGCCGGGAUCUGAGGGAUGUUGCUGAUUAGGCCAACAAAAACCAAAUGGGUCAAGACUAAAUUACUUAAUUAACCAAACUAAUGAGGUAAUUAAGGCCCAACUUAGUACAUAAGUUGGCCAAUUUAUUCACCUAAUAUAAAAGACCCAAACGAUUUAAUUAAAACAAGAAAUUAUGUGGAUCCAACUUACAUGCAAGAUGGCCCAAUUUUAUUCUCAGCAUAAAUGACUAAAGAACUAAGGAAUGACUCAAAACAAAUGAUAUAAAAGCUACUUGACCAGCUUCAAUGAAUUUGCAAGUUAACUUCUGAAUUAAGGUUUUAAGCAAUGGAUCCUUUUUCAACAUCUUUGGUAUAAAUCAAAGUCUUGGUAGGUUGAUAUUGAUUCUCCAAUUUGACCUCUUCAAUGUAUUUAUGAACUCCCUCCAUUGGUUUGUAUGAACCAAAUUGCUCUUCAGUACCGCAUACCAAAACUCGAAUCAUCUCGCAAAGUAACCAUUUGAACUCUUCAACAUGAUUUCAAGCGACUAAAUGAACCGGAACCUUAAUACAAUCACUAAGCAAUCCUUGAAUAGCUUGGACGCUAACUAGAUUCAUAUCAUGAUUCCUAACUAAUUGAUUUUAGUUAGUAAGUUUUUGGCUAAUUUGGGCCAUGGGUCCAUAGGAAUUCAUAGGUGAAGAUGGCUGGAUAUUCAAGCUAUAUUUCCUUGUAUAUGGAAUAGAGUAAAUAAAAUGAAUCAAAAGAAUUUUGAGUUUAGAAAAUCAUAUAAGCUCAAGAAUGGUGAGUACUCCUUUUGAAAACAUAUUCAAAAUACAUGUGUUUUGGAAACAAAAUUUGUUAUUAUAUCUAUCAAUUGUGUUUGAAAAUUGGAAACACAUAUUUGGUGAAAUUUUGGAUCUUGCAAUAUGUGAUAGAGAUUUUAAAAUUUUGAAAUGUAUAUUUUAUAUAACUCAUAGGCUAUUAUAUAUGCUUCGUGAUUUGAACUUGAUUGUGAACCAUAUUAGUUUAAAUUCUGAAGAUUUUUAGAAGAUAUGUAGUUUUAUGAAAUUUUAGUUUCAUGGCCAAAUUAGUAAACUCGACUUUUGAUCCCAAAACUAAUUUACGUAACUUUUAUGCCUUCUAUCUUGUUUGCUCUUGUGAACCCAGAAAUUAAUUUCUGGGAGGCCGUGAAACUCGUUUUGCCAGGAAGGUUUUGGCUUUAUCAUGUGUAGGCUUAUAAAGACAAAAAAGUGUCAGGCUAAUGUUACUUAAUAGAUCUGACAUGGUCUCUGUAUGGGAAAAUUAGGAGGUUUGAUCUUGUGUAGUGCGAAUGAAUUUUUUGGAUACAUUUUGGAUAUUCCAUUUUGUUGCUGUGAUAUCCCACAUCAGAAGUGGACAAGGAAAGAAAAUGGUAUUGAGCAUGAAUCUACAAGCUAUUGAGUAACUUGUUUUAAUCAUUUUGAACCCAUGAUUUCACUCAAAAGUUAUUUUGGCCAGCCCAUAGAUCUAAGGCAUUACAAACAGUAUUAGAGCAAAUCUCACGUGAUUUCUAUGUAGGGUGAGGCUGGACAAGUAUGUUAUGGUUUUGAUUAUACAAGGGAGUGUAAGAAACUAUGUGCCAUGUUUGAUAGGGGCCAUAUCUAGAGUCCAACCAUGACCAAGUGAACAAUUUAGAUUGUAAUGGAUUUUGUGAGGAUGCAGAGUCCUUAAGUGGGAGUGAUUGUGAUAUCUCACAUUAGAAGUGGGAAAGAAAAGGAAGUGGCAUAUGAGCCUAAAUCCACUGGCUAUUAAGUUGGGUUAACCAUAAUAAACCUAUGGUUCCACUCUNNNNNNNNNNNNNNNNNNNNNNNNNNNNNNNNNNNNNNNNNNNNNNNNNNNNNNNNNNNNNNNNNNNNNNNNNNNNNNNNNNNNNNNNNNNNNNNNNNNNNNNNNNNNNNNNNNNNNNNNNNNNNNNNNNNNNNNNNNNNNNNNNNNNNNNNNNNNNNNNNNNNNNNNNNNNNNNNNNNNNNNNNNNNNNNNNNNNNNNNNNNNNNNNNNNNNNNNNNNNNNNNNNNNNNNNNNNNNNNNNNNNNNNNNNNNNNNNNNNNNNNNNNNNNNNNNNNNNNNNNNNNNNNNNNNNNNNNNNNNNNNNNNNNNNNNNNNNNNNNNNNNNNNNNNNNNNNNNNNNNNNNNNNNNNNNNNNNNNNNNNNNNNNNNNNNNNNNNNNNNNNNNNNNNNNNNNNNNNNNNNNNNNNNNNNNNNNNNNNNNNNNNNNNNNNNNNNNNNNNNNNNNNNNNNNNNNNNNNNNNNNNNNNNNNNNNNNNNNNNNNNNNNNNNNNNNNNNNNNNNNNNNNNNNNNNNNNNNNNNNNNNNNNNNNNNNNNNNNNNNNNNNNNNNNNNNNNNNNNNNNNNNNNNNNNNNNNNNNNNNNNNNNNNNNNNNNNNNNNNNNNNNNNNNNNNNNNNNNNNNNNNNNNNNNNNNNNNNNNNNNNNNNNNNNNNNNNNNNNNNNNNNNNNNNNNNNNNNNNNNNNNNNNNNNNNNNNNNNNNNNNNNNNNNNNNNNNNNNNNNNNNNNNNNNNNNNNNNNNNNNNNNNNNNNNNNNNNNNNNNNNNNNNNNNNNNNNNNNNNNNNNNNNNNNNNNNNNNNNNNNNNNNNNNNNNNNNNNNNNNNNNNNNNNNNNNNNNNNNNNNNNNNNNNNNNNNNNNNNNNNNNNNNNNNNNNNNNNNNNNNNNNNNNNNNNNNNNNNNNNNNNNNNNNNNNNNNNNNNNNNNNNNNNNNNNNNNNNNNNNNNNNNNNNNNNNNNNNNNNNNNNNNNNNNNNNNNNNNNNNNNNNNNNNNNNNNNNNNNNNNNNNNNNNNNNNNNNNNNNNNNNNNNNNNNNNNNNNNNNNNNNNNNNNNNNNNNNNNNNNNNNNNNNNNNNNNNNNNNNNNNNNNNNNNNNNNNNNNNNNNNNNNNNNNNNNNNNNNNNNNNNNNNNNNNNNNNNNNNNNNNNNNNNNNNNNNNNNNNNNNNNNNNNNNNNNNNNNNNNNNNNNNNNNNNNNNNNNNNNNNNNNNNNNNNNNNNNNNNNNNNNNNNNNNNNNNNNNNNNNNNNNNNNNNNNNNNNNNNNNNNNNNNNNNNNNNNNNNNNNNNNNNNNNNNNNNNNNNNNNNNNNNNNNNNNNNNNNNNNNNNNNNNNNNNNNNNNNNNNNNNNNNNNNNNNNNNNNNNNNNNNNNNNNNNNNNNNNNNNNNNNNNNNNNNNNNNNNNNNNNNNNNNNNNNNNNNNNNNNNNNNNNNNNNNNNNNNNNNNNNNNNNNNNNNNNNNNNNNNNNNNNNNNNNNNNNNNNNNNNNNNNNNNNNNNNNNNNNNNNNNNNNNNNNNNNNNNNNNNNNNNNNNNNNNNNNNNNNNNNNNNNNNNNNNNNNNNNNNNNNNNNNNNNNNNNNNNNNNNNNNNNNNNNNNNNNNNNNNNNNNNNNNNNNNNNNNNNNNNNNNNNNNNNNNNNNNNNNNNNNNNNNNNNNNNNNNNNNNNNNNNNNNNNNNNNNNNNNNNNNNNNNNNNNNNNNNNNNNNNNNNNNNNNNNNNNNNNNNNNNNNNNNNNNNNNNNNNNNNNNNNNNNNNNNNNNNNNNNNNNNNNNNNNNNNNNNNNNNNNNNNNNNNNNNNNNNNNNNNNNNNNNNNNNNNNNNNNNNNNNNNNNNNNNNNNNNNNNNNNNNNNNNNNNNNNNNNNNNNNNNNNNNNNNNNNNNNNNNNNNNNNNNNNNNNNNNNNNNNNNNNNNNNNNNNNNNNNNNNNNNNNNNNNNNNNNNNNNNNNNNNNNNNNNNNNNNNNNNNNNNNNNNNNNNNNNNNNNNNNNNNNNNNNNNNNNNNNNNNNNNNNNNNNNNNNNNNNNNNNNNNNNNNNNNNNNNNNNNNNNNNNNNNNNNNNNNNNNNNNNNNNNNNNNNNNNNNNNNNNNNNNNNNNNNNNNNNNNNNNNNNNNNNNNNNNNNNNNNNNNNNNNNNNNNNNNNNNNNNNNNNNNNNNNNNNNNNNNNNNNNNNNNNNNNNNNNNNNNNNNNNNNNNNNNNNNNNNNNNNNNNNNNNNNNNNNNNNNNNNNNNNNNNNNNNNNNNNNNNNNNNNNNNNNNNNNNNNNNNNNNNNNNNNNNNNNNNNNNNNNNNNNNNNNNNNNNNNNNNNNNNNNNNNNNNNNNNNNNNNNNNNNNNNNNNNNNNNNNNNNNNNNNNNNNNNNNNNNNNNNNNNNNNNNNNNNNNNNNNNNNNNNNNNNNNNNNNNNNNNNNNNNNNNNNNNNNNNNNNNNNNNNNNNNNNNNNNNNNNNNNNNNNNNNNNNNNNNNNNNNNNNNNNNNNNNNNNNNNNNNNNNNNNNNNNNNNNNNNNNNNNNNNNNNNNNNNNNNNNNNNNNNNNNNNNNNNNNNNNNNNNNNNNNNNNNNNNNNNNNNNNNNNNNNNNNNNNNNNNNNNNNNNNNNNNNNNNNNNNNNNNNNNNNNNNNNNNNNNNNNNNNNNNNNNNNNNNNNNNNNNNNNNNNNNNNNNNNNNNNNNNNNNNNNNNNNNNNNNNNNNNNNNNNNNNNNNNNNNNNNNNNNNNNNNNNNNNNNNNNNNNNNNNNNNNNNNNNNNNNNNNNNNNNNNNNNNNNNNNNNNNNNNNNNNNNNNNNNNNNNNNNNNNNNNNNNNNNNNNNNNNNNNNNNNNNNNNNNNNNNNNNNNNNNNNNNNNNNNNNNNNNNNNNNNNNNNNNNNNNNNNNNNNNNNNNNNNNNNNNNNNNNNNNNNNNNNNNNNNNNNNNNNNNNNNNNNNNNNNNNNNNNNNNNNNNNNNNNNNNNNNNNNNNNNNNNNNNNNNNNNNNNNNNNNNNNNNNNNNNNNNNNNNNNNNNNNNNNNNNNNNNNNNNNNNNNNNNNNNNNNNNNNNNNNNNNNNNNNNNNNNNNNNNNNNNNNNNNNNNNNNNNNNNNNNNNNNNNNNNNNNNNNNNNNNNNNNNNNNNNNNNNNNNNNNNNNNNNNNNNNNNNNNNNNNNNNNNNNNNNNNNNNNNNNNNNNNNNNNNNNNNNNNNNNNNNNNNNNNNNNNNNNNNNNNNNNNNNNNNNNNNNNNNNNNNNNNNNNNNNNNNNNNNNNNNNNNNNNNNNNNNNNNNNNNNNNNNNNNNNNNNNNNNNNNNNNNNNNNNNNNNNNNNNNNNNNNNNNNNNNNNNNNNNNNNNNNNNNNNNNNNNNNNNNNNNNNNNNNNNNNNNNNNNNNNNNNNNNNNNNNNNNNNNNNNNNNNNNNNNNNNNNNNNNNNNNNNNNNNNNNNNNNNNNNNNNNNNNNNNNNNNNNNNNNNNNNNNNNNNNNNNNNNNNNNNNNNNNNNNNNNNNNNNNNNNNNNNNNNNNNNNNNNNNNNNNNNNNNNNNNNNNNNNNNNNNNNNNNNNNNNNNNNNNNNNNNNNNNNNNNNNNNNNNNNNNNNNNNNNNNNNNNNNNNNNNNNNNNNNNNNNNNNNNNNNNNNNNNNNNNNNNNNNNNNNNNNNNNNNNNNNNNNNNNNNNNNNNNNNNNNNNNNNNNNNNNNNNNNNNNNNNNNNNNNNNNNNNNNNNNNNNNNNNNNNNNNNNNNNNNNNNNNNNNNNNNNNNNNNNNNNNNNNNNNNNNNNNNNNNNNNNNNNNNNNNNNNNNNNNNNNNNNNNNNNNNNNNNNNNNNNNNNNNNNNNNNNNNNNNNNNNNNNNNNNNNNNNNNNNNNNNNNNNNNNNNNNNNNNNNNNNNNNNNNNNNNNNNNNNNNNNNNNNNNNNNNNNNNNNNNNNNNNNNNNNNNNNNNNNNNNNNNNNNNNNNNNNNNNNNNNNNNNNNNNNNNNNNNNNNNNNNNNNNNNNNNNNNNNNNNNNNNNNNNNNNNNNNNNNNNNNNNNNNNNNNNNNNNNNNNNNNNNNNNNNNNNNNNNNNNNNNNNNNNNNNNNNNNNNNNNNNNNNNNNNNNNNNNNNNNNNNNNNNNNNNNNNNNNNNNNNNNNNNNNNNNNNNNNNNNNNNNNNNNNNNNNNNNNNNNNNNNNNNNNNNNNNNNNNNNNNNNNNNNNNNNNNNNNNNNNNNNNNNNNNNNNNNNNNNNNNNNNNNNNNNNNNNNNNNNNNNNNNNNNNNNNNNNNNNNNNNNNNNNNNNNNNNNNNNNNNNNNNNNNNNNNNNNNNNNNNNNNNNNNNNNNNNNNNNNNNNNNNNNNNNNNNNNNNNNNNNNNNNNNNNNNNNNNNNNNNNNNNNNNNNNNNNNNNNNNNNNNNNNNNNNNNNNNNNNNNNNNNNNNNNNNNNNNNNNNNNNNNNNNNNNNNNNNNNNNNNNNNNNNNNNNNNNNNNNNNNNNNNNNNNNNNNNNNNNNNNNNNNNNNNNNNNNNNNNNNNNNNNNNNNNNNNNNNNNNNNNNNNNNNNNNNNNNNNNNNNNNNNNNNNNNNNNNNNNNNNNNNNNNNNNNNNNNNNNNNNNNNNNNNNNNNNNNNNNNNNNNNNNNNNNNNNNNNNNNNNNNNNNNNNNNNNNNNNNNNNNNNNNNNNNNNNNNNNNNNNNNNNNNNNNNNNNNNNNNNNNNNNNNNNNNNNNNNNNNNNNNNNNNNNNNNNNNNNNNNNNNNNNNNNNNNNNNNNNNNNNNNNNNNNNNNNNNNNNNNNNNNNNNNNNNNNNNNNNNNNNNNNNNNNNNNNNNNNNNNNNNNNNNNNNNNNNNNNNNNNNNNNNNNNNNNNNNNNNNNNNNNNNNNNNNNNNNNNNNNNNNNNNNNNNNNNNNNNNNNNNNNNNNNNNNNNNNNNNNNNNNNNNNNNNNNNNNNNNNNNNNNNNNNNNNNNNNNNNNNNNNNNNNNNNNNNNNNNNNNNNNNNNNNNNNNNNNNNNNNNNNNNNNNNNNNNNNNNNNNNNNNNNNNNNNNNNNNNNNNNNNNNNNNNNNNNNNNNNNNNNNNNNNNNNNNNNNNNNNNNNNNNNNNNNNNNNNNNNNNNNNNNNNNNNNNNNNNNNNNNNNNNNNNNNNNNNNNNNNNNNNNNNNNNNNNNNNNNNNNNNNNNNNNNNNNNNNNNNNNNNNNNNNNNNNNNNNNNNNNNNNNNNNNNNNNNNNNNNNNNNNNNNNNNNNNNNNNNNNNNNNNNNNNNNNNNNNNNNNNNNNNNNNNNNNNNNNNNNNNNNNNNNNNNNNNNNNNNNNNNNNNNNNNNNNNNNNNNNNNNNNNNNNNNNNNNNNNNNNNNNNNNNNNNNNNNNNNNNNNNNNNNNNNNNNNNNNNNNNNNNNNNNNNNNNNNNNNNNNNNNNNNNNNNNNNNNNNNNNNNNNNNNNNNNNNNNNNNNNNNNNNNNNNNNNNNNNNNNNNNNNNNNNNNNNNNNNNNNNNNNNNNNNNNNNNNNNNNNNNNNNNNNNNNNNNNNNNNNNNNNNNNNNNNNNNNNNNNNNNNNNNNNNNNNNNNNNNNNNNNNNNNNNNNNNNNNNNNNNNNNNNNNNNNNNNNNNNNNNNNNNNNNNNNNNNNNNNNNNNNNNNNNNNNNNNNNNNNNNNNNNNNNNNNNNNNNNNNNNNNNNNNNNNNNNNNNNNNNNNNNNNNNNNNNNNNNNNNNNNNNNNNNNNNNNNNNNNNNNNNNNNNNNNNNNNNNNNNNNNNNNNNNNNNNNNNNNNNNNNNNNNNNNNNNNNNNNNNNNNNNNNNNNNNNNNNNNNNNNNNNNNNNNNNNNNNNNNNNNNNNNNNNNNNNNNNNNNNNNNNNNNNNNNNNNNNNNNNNNNNNNNNNNNNNNNNNNNNNNNNNNNNNNNNNNNNNNNNNNNNNNNNNNNNNNNNNNNNNNNNNNNNNNNNNNNNNNNNNNNNNNNNNNNNNNNNNNNNNNNNNNNNNNNNNNNNNNNNNNNNNNNNNNNNNNNNNNNNNNNNNNNNNNNNNNNNNNNNNNNNNNNNNNNNNNNNNNNNNNNNNNNNNNNNNNNNNNNNNNNNNNNNNNNNNNNNNNNNNNNNNNNNNNNNNNNNNNNNNNNNNNNNNNNNNNNNNNNNNNNNNNNNNNNNNNNNNNNNNNNNNNNNNNNNNNNNNNNNNNNNNNNNNNNNNNNNNNNNNNNNNNNNNNNNNNNNNNNNNNNNNNNNNNNNNNNNNNNNNNNNNNNNNNNNNNNNNNNNNNNNNNNNNNNNNNNNNNNNNNNNNNNNNNNNNNNNNNNNNNNNNNNNNNNNNNNNNNNNNNNNNNNNNNNNNNNNNNNNNNNNNNNNNNNNNNNNNNNNNNNNNNNNNNNNNNNNNNNNNNNNNNNNNNNNNNNNNNNNNNNNNNNNNNNNNNNNNNNNNNNNNNNNNNNNNNNNNNNNNNNNNNNNNNNNNNNNNNNNNNNNNNNNNNNNNNNNNNNNNNNNNNNNNNNNNNNNNNNNNNNNNNNNNNNNNNNNNNNNNNNNNNNNNNNNNNNNNNNNNNNNNNNNNNNNNNNNNNNNNNNNNNNNNNNNNNNNNNNNNNNNNNNNNNNNNNNNNNNNNNNNNNNNNNNNNNNNNNNNNNNNNNNNNNNNNNNNNNNNNNNNNNNNNNNNNNNNNNNNNNNNNNNNNNNNNNNNNNNNNNNNNNNNNNNNNNNNNNNNNNNNNNNNNNNNNNNNNNNNNNNNNNNNNNNNNNNNNNNNNNNNNNNNNNNNNNNNNNNNNNNNNNNNNNNNNNNNNNNNNNNNNNNNNNNNNNNNNNNNNNNNNNNNNNNNNNNNNNNNNNNNNNNNNNNNNNNNNNNNNNNNNNNNNNNNNNNNNNNNNNNNNNNNNNNNNNNNNNNNNNNNNNNNNNNNNNNNNNNNNNNNNNNNNNNNNNNNNNNNNNNNNNNNNNNNNNNNNNNNNNNNNNNNNNNNNNNNNNNNNNNNNNNNNNNNNNNNNNNNNNNNNNNNNNNNNNNNNNNNNNNNNNNNNNNNNNNNNNNNNNNNNNNNNNNNNNNNNNNNNNNNNNNNNNNNNNNNNNNNNNNNNNNNNNNNNNNNNNNNNNNNNNNNNNNNNNNNNNNNNNNNNNNNNNNNNNNNNNNNNNNNNNNNNNNNNNNNNNNNNNNNNNNNNNNNNNNNNNNNNNNNNNNNNNNNNNNNNNNNNNNNNNNNNNNNNNNNNNNNNNNNNNNNNNNNNNNNNNNNNNNNNNNNNNNNNNNNNNNNNNNNNNNNNNNNNNNNNNNNNNNNNNNNNNNNNNNNNNNNNNNNNNNNNNNNNNNNNNNNNNNNNNNNNNNNNNNNNNNNNNNNNNNNNNNNNNNNNNNNNNNNNNNNNNNNNNNNNNNNNNNNNNNNNNNNNNNNNNNNNNNNNNNNNNNNNNNNNNNNNNNNNNNNNNNNNNNNNNNNNNNNNNNNNNNNNNNNNNNNNNNNNNNNNNNNNNNNNNNNNNNNNNNNNNNNNNNNNNNNNNNNNNNNNNNNNNNNNNNNNNNNNNNNNNNNNNNNNNNNNNNNNNNNNNNNNNNNNNNNNNNNNNNNNNNNNNNNNNNNNNNNNNNNNNNNNNNNNNNNNNNNNNNNNNNNNNNNNNNNNNNNNNNNNNNNNNNNNNNNNNNNNNNNNNNNNNNNNNNNNNNNNNNNNNNNNNNNNNNNNNNNNNNNNNNNNNNNNNNNNNNNNNNNNNNNNNNNNNNNNNNNNNNNNNNNNNNNNNNNNNNNNNNNNNNNNNNNNNNNNNNNNNNNNNNNNNNNNNNNNNNNNNNNNNNNNNNNNNNNNNNNNNNNNNNNNNNNNNNNNNNNNNNNNNNNNNNNNNNNNNNNNNNNNNNNNNNNNNNNNNNNNNNNNNNNNNNNNNNNNNNNNNNNNNNNNNNNNNNNNNNNNNNNNNNNNNNNNNNNNNNNNNNNNNNNNNNNNNNNNNNNNNNNNNNNNNNNNNNNNNNNNNNNNNNNNNNNNNNNNNNNNNNNNNNNNNNNNNNNNNNNNNNNNNNNNNNNNNNNNNNNNNNNNNNNNNNNNNNNNNNNNNNNGAAUGUUUAGAGUGGAUCGGAUGUGUGUGUAAGUUCCACGCUUGGGAACUAGUUUCUGCUUCGCUUAUGAUAUGUAAAUUUGUGGAACCAUUGAUGUAUAUUUGAUAUUUAUAUUGCAAUUUGUUUGAGAACUGUAGUGAGUGAUUGAGUCCCGGCGAGAGCUGGACAGGCGGUCCGCCGAACUCUUUGGUUCACCUUAGGGGGAGAGGGGCCGUCACAGUUGGUAUCAGAGUUUAGGCCUAAGAUCUCCGUAGUGUAUCCUAGACUUAAAAUUUAGGAUGCCGGACUGUGGAUCUGGUUUGAAAUGUCAGUGAUUUCUUGUAGGAAUGAAAAAUUUGAUAAGUGAGAUUAGAGUAACUCUUACUGCUUGCUUGGAAGUGCUUGUUUGACUUUUGUGGGAUAUUUGAUCUGAUUAGUACAAGUUGGAAUGUCGAGGACGACAUUCUUUUAAGGAGGGGAGUUUGAGACGCUCGGAAGAAGGAAAAGGAAAAAAAAUUCUGGUUCGCUUUGUUUUUGGCCAAUAGCCGGAAAUCCGACCAGUUUUUGGCCGGAUACCUGGCCGGAUUGCCUUGGAAUUUUGAAAAAAAAUUAUUUUACCGUUGCCUUGAAUCUGGCCAAGAAUCCGGCCGGAAAUCCGGCCAGAUUCCGACCGGAUUGUGACGUGUCACAGUCGGUCAUCACUUUGUCCGCUGUUUCCUUCAUUCUUAUCCAACUUUUGUCCAAAAUAUCUUCCAUUUCUUCACCUGGCUUGGCCGUGCAUCAUAGAGAGAAGAGCUCUCAAUUUUCCUAAUUUUAAUCUUUGCCAAAAUCUUGAGAUUUCAUCGAUGGUUUUGGAAACUACUCCAUACAUGGGCUCACUAUGGAAGUUUGAAGAAGUUGAUGGAGUUGUUUUGGAAGGGUAGCUUUGAGGUGCUAUCUUUCCUGAGUUUAUGAGGUGAGUUACUAAGAAAGUACCCUUUUGUUUUAAUAAUGAUAUAUUAGUGGGUUGUUGUGUUUAAAUAUGUUGUAUUGUGGAUGAUUUUAUGAUUUUAAAUAAAAUUGGACAAUUUCUGAUUUAUUGGGGAAUUUUUUGAUUUUAUAUGAUUAUGGUAUGUUGGUCAUGGAAUGAUAGCUAGUUGUGGUGUAAAAUGGAGCUUGUAUAUGUUGGAUAUGAUUGUUUGCGGAAAAUUUCUGGUUUGUGCGGAAAUUCCGAUUUUAGAGUUUAAUUUGGGGCUUUCUUAUGGAUUGGUUGUAAAGUCCCUAAUUGGCUUUGAUUGAAGGGUAUUGUGGCCCUAAUUGGAUGUGUUUUAUUGUUUAUGAACCGUAUGUGUAAUUGUGGUUGGUAAGAUGCAACUUGCUAUUUUUAUUGUAGGUUGGAAAAUAAAGAAAUUAAGGGGAAAUGCUGUCCGAUCUUUGAGGGCGUUUGAUUGCUUUGAGUUUGAGUUGAAGGACUUGGACUUGAUCAAGGAACUGCAUAUGAUGGAUGAGGUACAUGAGCUGUGGUUGGUGAGUGAUCCCAAAACUGUACCAAAGCUACUUUUGAACGUUUUCUUGCAUUGUUUACUCGAUUGCAUAUCAUGUGUGCUUGCAUUAGUUCAUGACAUGAUUUGGCUUCAAUGAGUUCUUGGGAAGUCCUAUGCUUAGCACCAAUGUCUCCACCACUGUUUACUGUUUAUCUGGAGCACCAAUGGCUCCCUAUCACUGUUUCACUAUUAACUGAUCAAUUUGAGCGAUGGAUGCUAAAGUACAAUGAUUUCACUGGCUCACGAGAGCAAUAAACGUACACUUGAUUUCUGAUUCAUGACAUCAUUGAAAUGAACUAUUGUGAAACUGAUUUGAUUACUGAUUUGACUGAUUACUCGCUGAGUUUCUAGUUCACCCCAAAACUAUUUUAUUCCCUUCCACAGGACUCGAGGCGAAGGAGGAGCUUGUAGUACUUAUUCAUGUGACUGCAUGGAUUACCUCAUGUACAGUUUGAAUUCGCACUCCUCUGUAAUAGCUAGGGUUAUUUGAAUGUUUAGAGUGGAUCGGAUGUGUGUGUAAGUUCCACGCUUGGGAACUAGUUUCUGCUUCGCUUAUGAUAUGUAAAUUUGUGGAACCAUUGAUGUAUAUUUGAUAUUUAUAUUGUAAUUUGUUUGAGAACUGUAGUGAGUGAUUGAGUCCCGGCGAGAGCUGGACAGGCGGUCCGCCGAACUCUUUGGUUCACCUUAGGGGGAGAGGGGCCGUCACAGUUGGUAUCAGAGUUUAGGCCUAAGAUCUCCGUAGUGUAUCCUAGACUUAAAAUUUAGGAUGCCGGACUGUGGAUCUGGUUUGAAAUGUCAGUGAUUUCUUGUAGGAAUGAAAAAUUUGAUAAGUGAGAUUAGAGUAACUCUUACUGCUUGCUUGGAAGUGCUUGUUUGACUUUUGUGGGAUAUUUUGAUCUGAUUAGUACAAGUUGGAAUGUCGAGGACGACAUUCUUUUAAGGAGGGGAGUUUGAGACGCUCGGAAGAAAAAAGGAAAAAAAAAUUCUGGUUCGCUUUGUUUUUGGCCAAUCCAGCCGGAAAUCCGACCAGUUUUUGGCCGGAUACCUGGCCGGAUUGCCUUGGAAUUUUGAAAAAAAAUUAUUUUACCGUUGCCUUGAAUCUGGCCAAGAAUCCGGCCGGAAAUCCGGCCAGAUUCCGACCGGAUUGUGACGUGUCACAGUCGGUCAUCAACUUUGUCCGGCUGUUUCCUUCAUUCUUAUCCAACUUUUGUCCAAAAUAUCUUCCAUUUCUUCACCUGGCUUGGCCGUGCAUCAUAGAGAGAAGAGCUCUCAAUUUUCCUAAUUUUAAUCUUUGCCAAAAUCUUGAGAUUUCAUCGAUGGUUUUGGAAACUACUCCAUACAUGGGCUCACUAUGGAAGUUUGAAGAAGUUGAUGGAGUUGUUUUGGAACGGGUAGCUUUGAGGUGCUAUCUUUCCUGAGUUUAUGAGGUGAGUUACUAAGAAAGUACCCUUUUGUUUUAAUAAUGAUAUAUUAGUGGGUUGUUGUGUUUAAAUAUGUUGUAUUGUGGAUGAUUUUAUGAUUUUAAAUAAAAUUGGACAAUUUCUGAUUUAUUGGGGAAUUUUUUGAUUUUAUAUGAUUAUGGUAUGUUGGUCAUGGAAUGAUAGCUAGUUGUGGUGUAAAAUGGAGCUUGUAUAUGUUGGAUAUGAUUGUUUGCGGAAAAUUUCUGGUUUGUGCGGAAAUUCCGAUUUUAGAGUUUAAUUUGGGGCUUUCUUAUGGAUUGGUUGUAAAGUCCCUAAUUGGCUUUGAUUGAAGGGUAUUGUGGCCCUAAUUGGAUGUGUUUUAUUGUUUAUGAACCGUAUGUGUAAUUGUGGUUGGUAAGAUGCAACUUGCUAUUUUUAUUGUAGGUUGGAAAAUAAAGAAAUUAAGGGGAAAUGCUGUCCGAUCUUUGAGGGCGUUUGAUUGCUUUGAGUUUGAGUUGAAGGACUUGGACUUGAUCAAGGAACUGCAUAUGAUGGAUGAGGUACAUGAGCUGUGGUUGGUGAGUGAUCCCAAAACUGUACCAAAGCUACUUUUGAACGUUUUCUUGCAUUGUUUACUCGAUUGCAUAUCAUGUGUGCUUGCAUGUUAGUUCAUGACAUGAUUUGGCUUCAAUGAGUUCUUGGGAAGUCCUAUGCUUAGCACCAAUGUCUCCACCACUGUUUACUGUUUAUCUGGAGCACCAAUGGCUCCCUAUCACUGUUUCACUAUUAACUGAUCAAUUUGAGCGAUGGAUGCUAAAGUACAAUGAUUUCACUGGCUCACGAGAGCAAUAAACGUACACUUGAUUUCUGAUUCAUGACAUCAUUGAAAUGAACUAUUGUGAAACUGAUUUGAUUACUGAUUUGACUGAUUACUCGCUGAGUUUCUAGUUCACCCCAAAACUAUUUUAUUCCCUUCCACAGGACUCGAGGCGAAGGAGGAGCUUGUAGUACUUAUUCAUGUGACUGCAUGGAUUACCUCAUGUACAGUUUGAAUUCGCACUCCUCUUAUGUAAUAGCUAGGGUUAUUUGAAUGUUUAGAGUGGAUCGGAUGUGUGUGUAAGUUCCACGCUUGGGAACUAGUUUCUGCUUCGCUUAUGAUAUGUAAAUUUGUGGAACCAUUGAUGUAUAUUUGAUAUUUAUAUUGCAAUUUGUUUGAGAACUGUAGUGAGCGAUUGAUUCCCAGCGAGAGCUGGACAGGCAGUCCGCCGAACUCUUUGGUUACCUUAGGGGGAGAGGGGCCGUCACAGUUGGUAUCAGAGUUUAGGCCUAAGAUCUCCGUAGUGUAUCCUAGACUUAAAAUUUAGGAUGCCGGACUGUGGAUCUGGUUUGAAAUGUCAGUGAUUUCUUGUAGGAAUGAAAAAUUUGAUAAGUGAGAUUAGAGUAACUCUUACUGCUUGCUUGGAAGUGCUUGUUUGACUUUUGUGGGAUAUUUUGAUCUGAUUAGUACAAGUUGGAAUGUCGAGGACGACAUUCUUUUAAGGAGGGGAGUUUGAGACGCUCGGAAGAAGGAAAAGGAAAAAAAAUUCUGGUUCGCUUUGUUUUUGGCCAAUAGCCGGAAAUCCGACCAGUUUUUGGCCGGAUACCUGGCCGGAUUGCCUUGGAAUUUUGAAAAAAAAUUAUUUUACCGUUGCCUUGAAUCUAGCCAAGAAUCCGGCCAGAUUCCGACCGGAUUGUGACGUGUCACAGUCGGUCAUCACUUUGUCCGGCUGUUUCCUUCAUUCUUAUCCAACUUUUGUCCAAAAUAUCUUCCAUUUCUUCACCUGGCUUGGCCGUGCAUCAUAGAGAGAGAGAAUUUAGUCUGCCAAAAUCUUGAGAUUUCAUCGAUGGUUUUGGAAACUACUCCAUACAUGGGCUCACUAUGGAAGUUUGAAGAAGUUGAUGGAGUUGUUUUGGAAGGGGUAGCUUUGAGGUGCUAUCUUUCCUGAGUUUAUGAGGUGAGUUACUAAGAAAGUACCCCUUUUGUUUUAAUAAUGAUAUAUUAGUGGGUUGUUGUGUUUAAAUAUGUUGUAUUGUGGAUGAUUUUAUGAUUUUAAAUAAAAUUGGACAAUUUCUGAUUUAUUGGGGAAUUUUUUGAUUUUAUAUGAUUAUGGUAUGUUGGUCAUGGAAUGAUAGCUAGUUGUGGUGUAAAAUGGAGCUUGUAUAUGUUGGAUAUGAUUGUUUGCGGAAAAUUUCUGGUUUGUGCGGAAAUUCCGAUUUUAGAGUUUAAUUUGGGGCUUUCUUAUGGAUUGGUUGUAAAGUCCCUAAUUGGCUUUGAUUGAAGGGUAUUGUGGCCCUAAUUGGAUGUGUUUUAUUGUUUAUGAACCGUAUGUGUAAUUGUGGUUGGUAAGAUGCAACUUGCUAUUUUUAUUGUAGGUUGGAAAAUAAAGAAAUUAAGGGGAAAUGCUGUCCGAUCUUUGAGGGCGUUUGAUUGCUUUGAGUUUGAGUUGAAGGACUUGGACUUGAUCAAGGAACUGCAUAUGAUGGAUGAGGUACAUGAGCUGUGGUUGGUGAGUGAUCCCAAAACUGUACCAAAGCUACUUUUGAACGUUUUCUUGCAUUGUUUACUCGAUUGCAUAUCAUGUGUACUUGCAUAUUAGUUCAUGACAUGAUUUGGCUUCAAUGAGUUCUUGGGAAGUCCUGUGCUUAGCACCAAUGUCUCCACCACUGUUUACUGUUUAUCUGGAGCACCAAUGGCUCCCUAUCACUGUUUCACUAUUAACUGAUCAAUUUGAGCGAUGGAUGCUAAAUACAAUGAUUUCACUGGCUCACGAGAGCAAUAAACGUACACUUGAUUUCUGAUUCAUGACAUCAUUGAAAUGAACUAUUGUGAAACUGAUUUGAUUACUGAUUUGACUGAUUACUCGCUGAGUUUCUAGUUCACCCAAAACUAUUUUAUUCCCUUCCACAGGACUCGAGGCGAAGGAGGAGCUUGUAGUACUUAUUCAUGUGACUGCACGGAUUACCUCAUGUACAGUUUGAAUUCGCACUCCUCUUAUGUAAUAGCUAGGGUUAUUUGAAUGUUUAGAGUGGAUCGGAUGUGUGUGUAAGUUCCACGCUUGGGAACUAGUUUCUGCUUCGCUUAUGAUAUGUAAAUUUGUGGAACCAUUGAUGUAUAUUUGAUAUUUAUAUUGCAAUUUGUUUGAGAACUGUAGUGAGUGAUUGAUUCCCAGCGAGAGCUGGACAGGCGGUCCGCCGAACUCUUUGGUUCACCUUAGGGGGAGAGGGGCCGUCACAGUUGGUAUCAGAGUUUAGGCCUAAGAUCUCCGUAGUGUAUCCUAGACUUAAAAUUUAGGAUGCCGGACUGUGGAUCUGGUUUGAAAUGUCAGUGAUUUCUUGUAGGAAUGAAAAAUUUGAUAAGUGAGAUUAGAGUAACUCUUACUGCUUGCUUGGAAGUGCUUGUUUGACUUUUGUGGGAUAUUUGAUCUGAUUAGUACAAGUUGGAAUGUCGAGGACGACAUUCUUUUAAGGAGGGGAGUUUGAGACGCUCGGAAGAAGGAAAAGGAAAAAAAAUUCUGGUUCGCUUUGUUUUUGGCCAAUUAGCCGGAAAUCCGACCAGUUUUUGGCCGGAUACCUGGCCGGAUUGCCUUGGAAUUUUGAAAAAAAAUUAUUUUACCGUUGCCUUGAAUCUAGCCAAGAAAUCCGGCCAGAUUCCGACCGGAUUGUGACGUGUCACAGUCGGUCAUCACUUUGUCCGGCUGUUUCCUUCAUUCUUAUCCAACUUUUGUCCAAAAUAUCUUCCAUUUCUUCACCUGGCUUGGCCGUGCAUCAUAGAGAGAAGAGCUCUUUCCAAAAUCUUGAGAUUUCAUCGAUGGUUUUGGAAACUACUCCAUACAUGGGCUCACUAUGGAAGUUUGAAGAAGUUGAUGGAGUUGUUUUGGAAGGGUAGCUUUGAGGUGCUAUCUUUCCUGAGUUUAUGAGGUGAGUUACUAAGAAAGUACCCCUUUUGUUUUAAUAAUGAUAUAUUAGUGGGUUGUUGUGUUUAAAUAUGUUGUAUUGUGGAUGAUUUUAUGAUUUUAAAUAAAAUUGGACGAAUUUCUGAUUUAUUGGGGAAUUUUUUGAUUUUAUAUGAUUAUGGUAUGUUGGUCAUGGAAUGAUAGCUAGUUGUGGUGUAAAAUGGAGCUUGUAUAUGUUGGAUAUGAUUGUUUGCGGAAAAUUUCUGGUUUGUGCGGAAAUUCCGAUUUUAGAGUUUAAUUUGGGGCUUUCUUAUGGAUUGGUUGUAAAGUCCCUAAUUGGCUUUGAUUGAAGGGUAUUGUGGCCCUAAUUGGAUGUGUUUUAUUGUUUAUGAACCGUAUGUGUAAUUGUGGUUGGUAAGAUGCAACUUGCUAUUUUUAUUGUAGGUUGGAAAAUAAAGAAAUUAAGGGGAAAUGCUGUCCGAUCUUUGAGGGCGUUUGAUUGCUUUGAGUUUGAGUUGAAGGACUUGGACUUGAUCAAGGAACUGCAUAUGAUGGAUGAGGUACAUGAGCUGUGGUUGGUGAGUGAUCCCAAAACUGUACCAAAGCUACUUUUGAACGUUUUCUUGCAUUGUUUACUCGAUUGCAUAUCAUGUGUACUUGCAUGUUAGUUCAUGACAUGAUUUGGCUUCAAUGAGUUCUUGGGAAGUCCUAUGCUUAGCACCAAUGUCUCCACCACUGUUUACUGUUUAUCUGGAGCACCAAUGGCUCCCUAUCACUGUUUCACUAUUAACUGAUCAAUUUGAGCGAUGGAUGCUAAAUACAAUGAUUUCACUGGCUCACGAGAGCAAUAAACGUACACUUGAUUUCUGAUUCAUGACAUCAUUGAAAUGAACUAUUGUGAAACUGAUUUGAUUACUGAUUUGACUGAUUACUCGCUGAGUUUCUAGUUCACCCAAAACUAUUUUAUUCCCUUCCACAGGACUCGAGGCGAAGGAGGAGCUUGUAGUACUUAUUCAUGUGACUGCACGGAUUACCUCAUGUACAGUUUGAAUUCGCACUCCUCUUAUGUAAUAGCUAGGGUUAUUUGAAUGUUUAGAGUGGAUCGGAUGUGUGUGUAAGUUCCACGCUUGGGAACUAGUUUCUGCUUCGAUUAUGAUAUGUAAAUUUGUGGAACCAUUGAUGUAUAUUUGAUAUUUAUAUUGUAAUUUGUUUGAGAACUGUAGUGAGCGAUUGAUUCCCAGCGAGAGCUGGACAGGCGCGUCCGCCGAACUCUUUGGUUCACCUUAGGGGGAGAGGGGCCGUCACAGUUGGUAUCAGAGUUUAGGCCUAAGAUCUCCGUAGUGUAUCCUAGACUUAAAUUUAGGAUGCCGGACUGUGAUCUGGAUCUGGUUUGAAAUGUGAGUGAUUUCUUGUAGGAAUGAAAAUUUGAUAAGUGAGAUUAGAGUAACUCUUACUGCUUGCUUGGAAGUGCUUGUUUGACUUUUGUGGGAUAUUUUGAUCUGAUUAGUACAAGUUGGAAUGUCGAACGACAUUCUUUUAAGGAGGGGAGUUUGAGACUGCCGGAAGAAGGAAAAGGAAAAAAAAUUCUGGUUCGCUUUGUUUUUGGCCGAAUCAGCCGGAAAUCCGACCAGUUUUUGGCCAGAUACCUGGCCGGAUUGCCUUGAAAUUUUGAAAAAAAAUUUUUUACCAUUGCUAUAGACACUAAAUUUUUGUCAAUUCUUAAUAUUUUAGUGAAUUAUUUUCUAUUUAAAUGAGUUAUUUAUUUUCUUACAUUUUAAUGUGUAUUUUUGUCCUUUUUUGCAGGUUAAUUUUAGGAAAAAAAAACAAACAAAAAAAAGAAAAUUAAAAAAUAAAAAAUCUUCUCCUAAUUAUUGCUCUUUCACUAAAUGCACUAUUCAUCCAUUUUUUCCACUCAAUGUUCCGGCACUUUUCUUUUCAUUAGGUGAGAAGGCCAUCAUUUUGACGAAUCCCACGCUCCACUCUCAACUGGCUCUUUCUUUUCUGUCAAUUGGCACGACACCAGGAGAAAAAAAUAGAAGCACUGAAUCUUCCUCAAUCUCCCUCUCGGCUCUCUCUGGUCUCUCAACAGAACAGACAGAACACACAAAAGAAGAAGAAAACACUCUCUCACUCUGCUCACGGCUCACACACACUCUCUCUCUCUCGACUUGGAACGCAGAAGAGAAAUACGGAAGAAGAAGACAAUUUCCCUUGGCCUUUCCUCUUUCCCAAUGUUUUCCCAACACACUCACAGGUAUCGGAAAAACUUCAGCCAAGGCAAUUCCACUUUCAUUGAGAUAUUUUCCAGUUUUUUUUUAUGGCAUAUGAGAUACAUUUUGGUUUUAAUUUAUCUUGCUUUUGUUGGUUUUUAUUGUUGUUGUUGUAUUGCUGAAAUUUGGGAAAUGGCAUGAACUAGAUUGAGGAAAAGGAAAUGUUUUUUAUGUAUGCAUGUUAACUGUUUGAAAAAAUGCCAAAAAAUGAAAAAAAGGAAUUUUAGGAGGCUGUUUUGCUUUAUUUUAGCCAUUUUAUGUUGUUUUCUUGUUAAAUCAAAAUCAUAGUUGUAUUGUAGAAGUUAUAAGGAGGGUUUUGGCAUAAUUUUUAUGAUUUUUGGUGAAAGAUUUGAGGGUUUUAAAAAAAACUGAACAGAUUUCUUGGCAUUUUGAUCACUUUCGGCUCAUUUUUUUUGUAAAAACUAACUCUAGAAAUGGAAUCUACGCAGAAAAUCGAGUUGAGGGUAUAUAUUUUGAUAAUUUUUUGUGACCGGAAAAAAUUCGCCGGUGACCGCCGGUAGUUCGAGGUGGCGGCGGCGGCAGCGGCAGCCAACACGGCUGCCAGAAGCUUCACCCGCCGGAGAAGGAGAAAGAAAAAAUGAGAGGUAGAAGAGAAGGAAAAAAGAAAGGAAAGAAAAGAAAUCGAAAUGGGCUAAUGUUUUUUUUUUUUUAUUUUCAGUUGGGCCAAGAGUUAGUUUUUGGUUGGGUUUUCGAAUGGGUUUAGGUUUAUUUCUUUGGGUUUUGGUUGGGUUAGAAGGUCAGAGUCCAUGCAUGUUUUUAGUCGGGCUUGAAUGAUUAAAGGAUGGACUGGACUGCUUAUUUCUUUUGGGUUUCGGUUGGGUUUAAAUAGUUUUCGGCCUAAAUAAAUAAAAAUGAUGGCCCGAUGGCCUUUUCUUGUCCAAAUCAGAAGCAAAAUUUGCACUUUAGCCCUGAUCUUUGGAGCAAUUUUACUACGGCCCAGAAAAUUUUAAAUCUCUUUCACUUAGGUCCUUAAAUUAAUUGCAAUUUGGUCCUGAAUUUUAUCUGUUAUUUAAUUUUGACCCUAAACUUUGAAAAAUAUAAUUUUUAUCCCAAAAGUUUUUCAAUUUUUGCAAUUCAGUCCCUGAUGAAUUUUGAUCUCUCUUUAUUAUGAUUGUUUCUUUUCUUUAAUAGCUAAUUAUUGUUACUUUUGAGUAGUUUAACUUUGUAAUUUUUAGAUGUUUUAAAUUUCUUUACGUUUGACAUAUUAAGGUGAAUUUAGAAUUUUUAUUAUUAUUAUUUUUUUCAAUUAAAUUGGUGCCAUGAUUCUUUUGUUCAUUGUGAGUAUAAAUAGGACAAUUUGACUCCAUUUAGUCACCACUUCAAACGGGAGGUACUCCUAUUUUUAUUAUUUUAAUGUCAAUUACGUGCUCUUAUGUGCUCCUAUGUGUUCCUAUGUGUUUAUAUAUUUUUAUAUGCUUUAUUUAUUGGAUUUAAAUGUUCAUUUAAAUUUUCUUAUAUUAUAUUUGUUUAGUUAAUUUUUAUAAUCAUUCGAGAGGCAUUUAAAUACCUUAAAAAAAUGUAAUAGAUAGGAUAACUAAUUUUAUUUUAUUAUAUUUUUCCCAUUUUAGAUUGUAAUUAGAUUCUCCGAUGUAAUAGAUAGGUUGCGUGUUUAUGUGUUAUGUGUUUUAUCCGCUUUUUUAGGAUUUUGACAUCUAGAUAUUAUGUUUACGUAUUAUGUGCUACGUGCUCUUAUGUGUUUAUUUGUUUUAAUUUAUACUUUAUUUGUUUCACUAUGAAUUGUUAAUGUAUGAUAUCACCACACUAGUUCAACGCUAGUUGUGGCUUCUCUCUCCGCUUACUUGCUAGUCCAAUGCUAGUAAGGAAUUUUGGAAAUAGGUUAGUCCAACGUUAGACCCUUUAGGUCGCCUUGCGCUAAAUUCAUCUUUGUGUGCUACUCAUUACAUUUGCAUGCAUAUUUUCAUUUUUAGAAUCUUUCUCAUUUGCAUGAUAUUCCCUAUUAUAUUAUCUCCUACUCUCUAUAGGUGCUUAUCAUGUCAUUUAGAAUUGCAUCUUAUUUAAACUAGUUCAUUUGCUUGUUCAUGUUAGGAUAAUUAUUUUUCAAACAUGGAAAAUGGGUGAUUAUAACUUUUUAGUUUAAAUAUCCCAUUAAUCCCUGUGCAAGAAAAUUAUGUCACGAGUUUUUGCCUCCCGUACCCUUUAUGUUGCACUCCCUUUUUCUUUGAUCACUUAUAUCUAUGUAUAUAAUUUAAUUUCUUUUCUUUACUUUUAAUUUCAUCAUUUGCAUACUCGUGACACUUUCAAAGAAUUAUUUUGGCCUUCGCAAUUAAUGCGAUUAGUUCAAUUAAACCCUUGAAUGAACAUUUUGUCUCUUUCGAUAUUUUAUAAAUUUAGAUUUGCAUCCAUGUAGGAAACAUCCAAACGUGAUAAAAUUAAGGAUUAGAUUAGGAAAAUUUUGACUAAAUCUCGCAACUAGCUUAGACUAGGUUGAAAGGGUGCCUUAGAUUUAAUUUAAUCGAACCUUUGCCUUCCCUUUCUUCAAUCGUGACUCCCGAACCCAUUUUCUCUUGUUUUUUCGAAGACUUGGAGUCACUACAAAAAUUAUUUCUUUGACAAAUUUUUCAUGACAACCAACCUAUUCGUUACAAAAACAAUACUUUUUAUGACAACCCGUCAGGCAAAUGUCCUUCAGAAGGCAAACAUGUUUUUCUAUUUUUUUCAUUGUCUAGAGUUACUUUCCCCACAUCAAUUCGUCAGGAAAAGUUUUCAUUCUCCCUCCAUUUUUUCCCACCAGUUUUUUCCCCGUUUUGGACCCAAAAAAAUUUAGAAGGAAAUCAGACUUAUGACAUGGAAACCGGGAAACAAAGAAACACUUUUCCGUAUUUCUUACUUUUGGAACAACAACGACAAAGAAACACUUUCUCCAAAUCUGUAACUUGUCUUCAUAUCUCCAACAACAAAGAACAACAACGAACUCGAACUUGUCUUCAUCUCUUUCAACAAGAGAGACAACACGAUGGUCUAAGGUGAUGUAAAAAUCAAAUAAUCCUUCAAUUUUGUCUUGAAUCAGUUCCUUUUCUCCAAAUCACCGUUCAAUUUUGUCCUUAAUUGGUUCAUUUUUUAUUUUUAUAGUGGGUAUUUUAUUCAUCUCUCUCUUUCUCUGUUUGUCAAAACCCAGGAAGAUGUUUAAAUUCUUGUGCCCGGGAUAUAAUCAGUAGAAAACUUGUUGAUAUCAUUCUUGCUGAUGCUCACUUGCUCGAUAGAGAUCCUUUGAAAAUUGACCCGGUUGGUAUCCUGUUUUGGUUGCUCCUCCUAUUUCCAAGUCAUCAAUUUUUCAGCUCUGCUCAAGGUACUGAAAGUACAAUAGUGGAAUUGGCAGUCGGCUCUGACUGGUGAGUCAAUUCAAUUUUUCAGGUCUGACUAUGGAAUUUGCAAUCAGCUCAAUUUUUCAGUUUUGUUGCUUCGCUAUUUAACAGAAAAGUUACAAUUUUUAGCUUACCCUUUUGAUGAAAGAUCGAUAUUUCAUGAAAUGGCAUUAUUUUUUAUACAAUGCAGUUGUAGAUUAAGAAUAUGUACUUAAAUUACAAUUAAGUUUCUAAAUAUUUCCUUGGUUAUAUGUCCUGGUGCAAAUAUUGGUUAUUGGAUUAGAAGUGUGGUAAUGUUGUUUGGAUUUCAUGGCCAAAAAAAGAGGAAAUUUCGACUUGGUUAGUCAAAAUGGGUGUACUAUUGUCCAGUCUUUUUUAUACGUAUGUCUACAUAGUUUGAACUACAUUUGAGUGGCUUUUAUAUGAGGUAGUUGUAUUUUGUUUUGGGUGAAGAUAAUAGAUAAAUUUCAGGUCAGCAUGGAACACUGAAAGAAAUUUUAAGACUGGCUAUGGGGAAACCAGCAAUGUGUUCUCAGUGGUUGCAUUCUUGCUACUUACUGCAAGGAUAGUCUUCGAACACUACUGACACUUUUUCCUAUGCAUCACCCAUAUAACAAAAAAGUGAAGAUGGCCCAGGAUAAUUUGGUGGUGGAGAAAUCCCAGUGUUGCAAUAAAAAAUGGAGCAUGUUAGUGACUUACACGGCCUAAAUCUCAUUGCUUGAAUUCAGCUUACUAACAGAGUUGAGAUGUGAGAAUUAUGACAGCGAUGCUAGUUGCUACUGUGAUUAUCUAUACUGGAUGUGCGACUUCAGAUUCUGUUGUUCUUCCAUUUCCAGAUUAAAGGUGGAAUGGCAGGGUUUACAGGACAAAUUUCUGCUGUCAUAAUUCUUGGCAUUAUGUUGAUGUGUCAUAGUUCUUCUCAUUUGCCCUGUAAAUGCUCUUGAAAGUGAGAUGGACAGGUAAAGAUGUUUAAGCAGCAGUCUCUGGCCUCUUUAUAGUCUAAGCCUAUUACAAAUUGGAAUUUUGUUGGAUUUACAAGACAUUUGACAUACAUCUAAGCUGGUUGCUAAAAUAACAGUGAAGCCAGUCACACUGUUUCUUAGUUAUUUAAAUUGAGAAAAAGAUGAUUCUACCUGGAUAUUUCUUCAUAUAGGUGUGUUUUUAGUUAAAAAUUAUCAUUUUUGUUCCAUUAGUAUCUUUGUCUUACCAGCCCAAUUGGAAUUUUGUUGGAUCUAUGAUACAUAUCUGGAAUAGAUCUAAGCUGUUUGCUAACAGUACAGUGAAGUCAGUCUCGUGAUUUCAUAAUAAAGUAAAUUGAAAAAAAAUAAUGAUGAUUUGGCCUUGACAUCUCUUUGUAUAGGUGCAUGUUAGUUAAAAGUUAUCAUUUCUGUUCCAUUAAUAUCUUUUUCUUACCAGCCCACUUUCCAUUUCCCAACUUUUGCACGCUGUGAGCUUUAAUCUAAACUUUUGCUAGCUGAGAAAUGGCAAUAGAAACUUCUGUGUUAAAUUUCCUUUUUGUUAGACGGGUAGCUAUGAAAGAAACUGAGGUACAAGAUCUAUUUAACUGGCUUGCCCUGGACUUUGAGAAGGCAGGUUUUAUUAAUGAACUUCUUACGUUGUGACAAUGUAAUAUAGAAACCGUUAAUUGAAUUUUUACGUGGUGACGGAUAAAUAGAAAACUCUUUUGAGUUAAACUUUUCACAUGGUGAUAUUUAUCUAUCUUGCUCAGAUCUAAUUGCACAGAUUUUCUUACAACAAAAGGUAAUUUGCUGUAUAAAGGUUUUCCAUGAACUGUUUGAAUGGAUGCCUUUAUUGGUUUGACAUGCCUGUAAAUGUGAAUUGUUUCCAGCUGAUUACUUAUUCUGUUCUCUUGGCAUGUGAUACAUAUUAUUCUGCAGGCAUCAAAAUAUCUCAUUGGAGAUGCUUCUGAAGCUGGUCAGAGUAUUUGGGUCAGUAAUAUAUUCUUCUAUAUCAGCACCUUCAUCCGUAGGAGUGGAUAUUGAGGCAGAGCAAAGGUGUGAUUCAAUAUCUCAAAACAUCUCUUAUUAUCCGUAUUAUCUGAAGUCUCCUAAUUCUGAGACUCUUGUUGGGUUGGUGCAAAAGGUUGGAACGCUGCAAUACAUGCUUUGUUGAGCUUGAAAAGGUUAAGCGUUGCUUGCCUGUACUUUGGCAGGUGAUUGUUCUCUCCCUAAAUUGCUGUUCUCAAUAUACGCACAUGAUGAUUUCUUUGUUGCUUAUUUGUUUUGGGGUUUUCCAGAAGAGGUGGUUCAAUUGCCAAGUCGGCACACGAGUUAAAUCUAGCACUUCAAGAAGUUUAGUUUCAUGAGGAAAGUGUGUAUUGAUUGAGUAGUUUAGUUGCAAAUAUUGGAUUGACACCUAACAUGUUUCUCCAAGAAGACUGUGGGACUUGAUCGCAGUCGUGCCAAGUGGAGGCUGCUAAUUCAUUCAUUUAACUCAAGGUUGAAAGCUGAGUGAGAAAUGGCCUUUUGCUUUCAUCUGCUUGAACAGAUAUUGCGCCCCAUCAACUUGACCUGGUGGAGGAUGCUUAGGUCUAAUUCUUGGCUAACCCAAUAUCAUGAAAUGCUAAUCUUUAGUUGUAGGCUUAUUGGGUAAAUCAUGUAUUGCUGUAAUGUAGUUAGGUAGUAGCAAAUAGAUGCGAGCUGGGGAGUUAGGUAGUUAGGUAGUAGCAAAUAGAUGUGGAACAAUUUAUGUUAUGAUUUGUAUUUCCUGAUGUAUUAUUGGUUACUUGCAGCAUAGUAAUUAUUCUGGUACAAGUUAAUGCAUUGCUUGUACUCAUUAUUAGGUGGUCCCUAAGCAAUUUGUAGUGAUCAUCCAUGCAUCAUAACAAAAAUACAUCUUUUGCAUACCAUUCUAUUAUUUCUCUGAUUUCAGAUUUUUCUUGGUUUUAUUGUACAGGUUUGGGGUGAACUUGUGGAUUGCUUUUGGCUCAUACUGAAGAACUCUUCUAUUUUGAUAUCAUCGAUCUCUAGUAUUUUGUUGACCAUGGAAUUAAAGUCCAUCUUUUGGUUUUAGCAUAUGUUAGGUAUAUGGCAGUUAUCUAGGGAGAAAUAGCAAUGUUUAUAUUGGUUUCAAAUCAUGGAAUGUGAUGAUAUGUAAAUGUUUGACAUAGUUAACUUUUGUGGUUUGACAUAUUAUGGUUGCCUACUAAUGAUAAUUUGUGAAGUUUUGGUUGAUAUUUUGCUUGCAUACUUUUAUAUUUUGAUUGGAUGGAGUGUCUAAAUAGAUGAUAUGCGAUGGUUUAGUCAGGAGUUUUAAUUUUUCUUGAAAUUGGGCUUGUUGGCAGGGAGAUUUCGUCCAUUUGUAAGGGGAAGCUCUGCUAAAAUUUUUUUAAAAAUAAAAUAAAAAAUUAUUAUUCAAAAAAAAGAUACGGUCAUUGUUGUCACUAAAAUUGCUGGGCUUAAAAAGGCUGAAUGGUCAAAUUAGAAAUUAAUAUAUUAUAGUGAUGCAGCUGUCGUCAGGAAAAAUGAUAUUGCAUUGUCAUUAAAGUUUCCCACAAGUUUCAAUGUAGGACUUUUCUUGACAAUCAAAAAUUUAGUGACAAAGUUCAGGGUCUUUCCCGACAAAGGAUCGUCAAGAAUAUGAGGUCUUUCCCUGACGAUCAAAUCAUCACGAUUACCUUUCCUAAUGAUGCGUCACAGAAAAUAACACCUUUCUUGACGACAAUUCCAAUAGUUGUCAGGAAAACCUUUUGCCGACGGCGUAUAGGUGACUAAUCUUCUCUGACGACAUUGGUGUCACGAAAACUUUUCCUGACAAAAUACGUAUAUUUUCCUGACAAAUAUUGUUGUCACUAGAAAUCUUUUUUUUUUUGUAGUGAGUUAUCAAAAGAGUUUUUAUUUUAUCUUAUUUUUAUCAAAAAAUAUUUUUGGGGUGACUUGGUACGCCCAGACUCAAUACCAAGUGGCGACUCCUCUUUUUCUUAAAAAACCCUUUUUAGACUAAAUUUUUGGAUCCAAAUUGUCGCAUUUUUUAAGGUCCCAUUCUAGGUCGUUUUUCACUUAUUUUUAAAUAAAUAUAAACCACCUUUAUUCUAUUUCGCCAUCGUGAAAAAAUGGGGCGCGACAACUUGGCGACUCCUCUUUUUCUUAAAAAGCCCUUUUUAUACUAAAAUUUUGGACCCAAAUUGUCGCAUUUUUUAAAGUCCCAUUCUAGGUUAUUUUUCACUUAUUUUUAAAUAAAAUCACAUCUUUUUAUAAACACUUUCUUUUUCAUCGCGAAACAAUGGGGCGCGACAACUUGGCGACUUCACUGGGGACAAUAGAGAGUCCAAGCACUUGGUUUAGUCGUUUUUUUUCUCUUUGUAGCCCCUUUAUUUAUUAUAUUUGGAUGUUUUAGGCUGCAUUUUUUUUUUAUUUUUUCCUUUUUAGGAUGUUUUGCAUUUCACCUCGUAUUCGUUCAUCGUUCCUCGUAUAUGUGAUGAAUGAUUUAUUUAUUUACUUUUGUUUAUUUACUUAUAUGUAUCGCGCUUUGCAUUUGGGGUGGGAAAUAUUACCCUAGAGUCUCGCAUUGGUUCUCGAUCCCUCCCCUCCAAACCGAGCACUGGCACAUGUGCAUACGUUUUAUUUUUUAUCUCUCAUUUAUUUUUCUUUUAGUGGCUUGUCACGCCACUCUUCCCUGUUAGGAUUAGGCGACCCACUUGGACGUGUGAUCGCGACACGACGUGUGCGUAGCAUGAUCCGAGGGUCACUCAAUCUUCUAUUUUAAGCUUUGGGUUGAUAGCCUUUAGCUUUUAGUCGAAAAUUGAGGAUUUUUGAUAGAUUCACUUGGAUAUGUGGCCGUGGCACAACGUGCACGUAGCAAUGUUUGGGGGAUCACUCAAGCCACCGACCAAGGGUUUUGGAAUUGAUGACCCUUCGCCCUUUUGUCUGAAGGCUUGGGAACCUGAAAACUGUGUCGAGUCUAGAUGCAUUAGUGAGCCUAACCUCAAGCAUCCAUUUAGAAAUCACCUAAGAUAGGGUCUUCAUCUAUCCUAUUAAGAACACUAGACAAGAGGGGAAGGAUUCCACCCUUCUCUCUUUGUUUUUACUUUCCAUUCUUGUAUCACUUAUUGUUUCAAUGUGUUAUGUGUUGAACUAAUCUCUCCAUGUUUUCUCUUUUUCUGCAUACAUAAACCUUAGAAAUAAGGGUCCUGGCGUGGUAAUCGUUAAGGACAGACCGACUUUUGUAAAUAGCACGUCUAAAUUUCAGUCCAUCACAUAUAUACAUAUAUGCAUGUCAUUUUAGGCUUACCCCGGCAUCUAGAUGGGGUACCCUUAAAUUGUGUUUUAAUUACCGUAUUGCAUAUUUACUCGCUUUAUUAAACUGGCAUCAUGCAUUAACCUUAGAGGGAAUGCCGUAUAGGGAAUCCCAUGUUAGGAAUAAGUCACCUUUUGUCUCGGAUAUAUAAUCCAAUGAGACUUGCACGUUUAUAUUUUUUUUGCAUUAUCCAAAGGGAUAGUGCACAAGGUAAGGUAGGAUUCGAUCCCUUUCACGAUGGCAACUUUGUGAGUAAUGUAACAGUUUUUGAACAUUGAAAUAUGAGCAUCUAAUAAUCAUUUUUUGGCCAUUUUGUCAAAGUUGGUAAAAUCCCUUGCGUAAGGACACUAAAUUGAAGAAAUUCAUAAAUAAUUUCCUUGUUGUUGGAAAAAUAAAUAUAUUGUGGCCAAAUUUAUUAAAAAAAUUGACUGAAUUGUCCUAAAAUGAAUAAUGAAUUGGAUGGAAUUGAUGAUUUAUUCACAAUUGAUUAGAUUGUCCUAAAAAAUGAAUAAAUUGGUAAAAUUAAUUGGAUGAAAUUGACGAUUUAUUCAAAAUUGAUUGGAUUGACCUGAAGUGAAUAAAUUUGUCAAAAUAGAUUGGAUGAAAUUGACGGUUUAUUCGAAAAUCGAUUUUAGAAGGCUUAUAAAUUAAUGCAUUGGAACGAGAAUUAUGAAAUUUGGGACUACGAAUGGAUGGACAAUCCAAUCGAUUUUCGAAUAAGCCGUUAAUUUCAUCCAAUCCAUUUUGACAAAUUUAUUCACUUCAGGUCAAUUUAAUUAAUUUUGAAUAAAUUGUCAAUUUCAUCCAAUUAAUUUUACCAGUUUAUUCAUUUUUUAGGACAAUCCAAUCAAUUGUGAAUAAAUCAUCAAUUCCAUCUAAUUCAUUAUUCAUUUUAGGACAAUUCAGUCAAUUUUUUUAAUAAAUCCUCAAUUUCAUCCAAUCCAUUUGAUCAGUUUUAUUCAUUUUUAGACUAGUCCAGUCAAUUUUUUUUGUAAACCAUCAAUUCAAUCCGAUUUAUUUGACCGUUUUUAUUCUCUUUUAAAGUUCCGAUCAAUGCUUCAUUAAAUAAAUUACUCGAGACAUUGCAAUCUGUUUAAGAGUAGACUCUUUUAUAUUAAAUUGACUUUUGGCAUCUCUUCUUGUACCAAUCACAGCAAUCAAUCCAUUCGGGGUUUGUCCUCAUUUUGUUAGGACAAAUUGUCUCUUGUUAUGCCAAUUAGCCAAAUUUUUUAAAAUUGUCUUUUAUUCGAAUCCAUCAGGUAUUGUAUGGUGCCUGUUCCAGAGGAUUGCAUUUUUCAUGUUAGGCCAACCCUUGAUAUAAAAGGGCUCCUCCAUAGGACAUGCAUAUCGAUUUUACAGUUUUGCUUGCUAAUUUUGGAUAUUUUUCUUUUAUUUUUUCCCUCCUCCACAUUUAUAAAAGAUGUUUCAAUUGGGUAAAAAAUGUUUUUCCUAUAUCUGAUAGUAUUUUUGUUCUAGAAGUUUUGAAAAUUAUAAGUGUUACUUGAUUCUUGGGCAGAUCCUACAAUGUAAAAGAAAAAUGAAAAUGAAAAAUUCAUUUGAAAAUGCUAGUCUAAAGCAUCUCAAAAAUCUCUUGAUUCAUUAUUUUUAAUACAUUUUGUCUGAAAAGAUAGAAAGAGAAAGUGUAUAUAUUUGUAAGCAUAUUCUCUAGAGAUUUUUAUUUUCUCGUAUGUAUUAUAUUUGAGUAAAAAAAAAUUUGAAACAUUUGCAAUAAUAAAGUUUUUCAUUGAGACAAUUAUUGUUUUGUAUAUAUUCAUAUUUAUUUCAUUCUUUAUUUGCUCAUUGGGAGAUUUCAUGGUGGAUCUCAAGAAAAAAGAUUAAGUUUAGAUUCCCAAUUUUGUCAUCUCUUGCAUAAAAUUCAUAUGUUUAGCUUUCUAAAGUCUUUGUGUGAGAACCCGUAAAACCCUAAUUAUUUUCCUAGGGUUUAUUUCCCCUUAAUUGCAUGUUUUCUGCAUUUUCUGGCUUAGAAAUAUUUUCUUAGUGAAUUUUAUGAGCAAUUAUAGUUUUAAGAUGAUUUUCCUAGCAUUGGAGAAAUUUUAGAAAAUUAAGAGUAAAUAGUGGACGUGGGACCCACUAGUGCGAAAAGUUCGGAAAAAUUCGGCCAAUAAGGUUAAGUUUUGGAUACUGGAGUUAAUUUAUCGGGUGUUAAGAGAUAAGUAGAGGAUGUUAUUUGGAUUGGUAUGAGGGGGAAACAAAGAGAUAGAGAUUCAUUUAUGAAGUGACAAGUGUCACCAUUUGAUUGGUUGGACACUAUUCACUUUUUGACUUUUUUACCAAGUGAUUAAAUAUCUUAAAAUUUCACAAAAAUCACCAUUUCUUCUCUCUCUCAUGGCCGAACCUCUUGCAAGGAAAAGGAAGAAAACUUCUCCAAGUUUCAAGCUUCAAACUAGCUCAAAUCUUCCAAGAAAAUUACUUAAACUAGUUUCUACUCCAUAAAUUCCCUCUAGUUGGUGCUAGUAAGUGAUUUGGUGAAAUUUUUUGGAGAAGCUAAGGUGUCCACAAUCCCUCUCUCUCUUGAUUUCUUGGUAAGUGUUGCUUGAACACCCUACUACCUCUAAUAAUGGUUAUAUGAUGCUUAGAAGUGGCUUGAGUGUUUGAAAAUGUGAUUUAUCUCUUGAUUUGGCUUGUUUUGGUGAAGUUUUUAUUUUAUUGGGAAUUUUUCUGGUUUAAUAUGAUCUUGAUGUUGGGGCUUGCUUUCAUUUCGAUUGUUUCCUAGUUAACUUUUGUACUUGUACCACGUUGAGCCUAGCGAACGGCUUUUGGGAAAUGAGAUGAAUUUUGUGUGAGAUGUUGGGACUGAUUUGAGGAUAGAAUGAAGCCUUAAUGGCUGGAAAAGUAAGAGAUUUAGGGGAAGUGCUGCCCGAUUUUCUAGGCCGUUUGGUCCCUUUAAGUUGGGUUUGCCUUUUGGUAGAAUGAAAGGCUUUUGGGUUGUUUGCGCCUAGGUCUUCAUGCUACCUUUUCGUUUCCAAGAAAAUCAUGUUUUGCACCCUUGCAUUAGUAAUUAUUUGGCGAGGUAUACGACUAGUAGUCGAGCCUCACAUGUGCAUUCUGUUUACUCGAUUCUGGAAGUAAAACCUUCAAUUGGUUUAUUUUGAUUAUUUUAGGGUUUCUUGGCGAUUAAGGCCAAUCUGAAGUGAAACUUUUUGAAGUUGAAUCGGUGAGUGUACCACUCCCCUUCAUUGUUGUUUAACUUGAUUUUGCUCUGCAAUCUGUUUAUUUGUUCGAGACGAGGGUGUACUUUAUCACACUCGUUCUCUAGUCUGAUCAUAUGCCAAUUUACUAUGCAAAAAUUUGAAUCUGUUAUCUAUGUCUGCAUCUAUUCGGAUUUCUAUGACCUAUGAGCUCAAUCCUGUGGCUAAGUUAUUCGAGUCGGGCCGGCAAGGGCCUGGACGAUUAGAUAACGAACCACGGUAGUCUGUUCGGGGAUUUUGGGUAUUGAGACCCUUGAUUCCGGGUAUACUCGAGUAUUACCAAUUCUGUUCGGUUACGGUGAGCGGGCCCGGUAAAGGGGUGUUUGGUGGACGGAAUUCGGUGUAAAGAGGGGUCUACGGACGUUUGGUUCUAUAUACGUUGACGGAGAGUCAACCGGUUUGGAUCAAGUACUGCGCUGGAAAUUUGGCUCCUGAGAGCCACCCGUAUCCUUCUGAUUUGAAUCAUUGGUUCCUUUGCUUUACAUCUGGCAUGUGUAUCUGAUUUGUAAAAUGUGAAAUGCCAUGAUUUUCUGCUAUAUGUUUGGUACCUCAUUGAGCGCAAGCUCCCCCCUUUCUGUCCCUUUUGUUUUCCUUACAGGAAAAUAAACACUUUUGGUCUGGAUUUGACAAAUGGCUGCCAAACUGAGCUAGUCGAACAUAUCUUUUGUAUAGCUCAUGUAUUAAAACCCUAAGUGUACUUUUGGGGCGUUUUCUCUUCUGAUUUGGCAAACCGUGUAUAUGUAUCAACUUUUGAAAACUUUUGUAUGUCCUUUUGGAUUGUAAUUGCUAAAGUUCAGAUGUGAAUGUUUGUUAGCUAUUUCGGUUGGGUUCUGACGGGUCAGUUACUAUUCAUGGCCGACUCCGGAUUUCAUUUUUUUAUUUUGGGUUAUUUUACCAUUUUGACUUGUUUACGCUCGUUUGUAAGUUUCGAAUCGCUAUAGAUAGUUCUGGUCUGCAUCGUUAGUCCUGGCGAGAGCUGGGCAGGCAGUCCGCUAACCCCUUUGGUUCGCCCUAGGGGAAAGUGGGGCUGUCACAAGUGGUAUCAGAGCCACUUCGCGUGGUCUCUGCGCGGAGUGAGACUGGGCCAAGUGGUGUUGUGGUCCUAAUUUCAUGAAUAUGUCUAAGUGCUCGUUUGAGCGUAAGUUAUGAACCGGGCAUGUGAUAAGUGUACGAAUCAUUAUCAUGGGACUCGAGGAAGCUAGGUAUGUAUGUCGGGUAGGAAUCCUUAAUAAAGAUGGUUUACUCUUGGGACCGGCCGGCUCGAGUUGUGAAUUAUCUUAGAUGGGAUUCUUGCGCCCGGAUACGAAAGAUGUGAGGGCCUAGGUUAGAAAGGAUUUGGUGAACUAGAAAGGCCUUUCCUCGGUGGAUCGUCUAUGUUUGUACUUGACUUAACUAGCUGUAUGUAUGUGUGCGGCCUAAUUUUGACUGGUUUGUAUAUAUAUGCUUUGAUCUUGUUUGGAAUGUAUAAAUGCGUGUUAUCAUAAAAGUUUUGAGUGUUACUUACAUGCAUCGUGCUUAUUUUGGUUUAGUAUUAUUGCCUAGACCAAGUAAAACUCAUGGAAGGUACACGGAGUGGACGGGGCCGUGGGCGUGGAAAUAGGCAACCUACACCUGAAAGGGGUACUGGGGAAACCUCAUCUGGACCAAACCCUGAACUUAGGGUUGAUCCCAAUGUCCAAAUAGCUGCUGCCAUGCAGCAAAUGACUACUUUGCUAGCCCAAGUGGUGCACCAACAAGGUCAAAACCCUAACCCUAACCCUGGGAAUCCUGGUAAUCACAUGGAGGGCGAGGAUAGAGCCCUUGAGAGAUUUCAGAAGUUCUCCCCACCCAAAUUUCUUGGAGGCCCUGAUCCUGACGUAGCUGAGAAGUGGCUGGAGAAGAUGAUCGAUAUUUUCGCUGCCUUACACUAUACCGAGGAGAGACAGGUGACAUUUGCUGUCUUUCAACUAGAGGGAGCGCCCGUUCCUGGUGGAAUGUCAUUCGAAUGAAAUGGGAAAGAGAACAAACCCGAGGACGUGGGCGAACUUUAUGAGAGAAUUUAAUGCCAAGUUUUUCCCUCCUCUCAUCCAAGAAAAGAAGGAAGAUGAAUUUAUUCGGCUUCGCCAAGGAACACAAACCGUAGCCGAGUAUGAGAGUCAAUUUACUCGGUUGUCUAAGUUUGCGCCUGAACUGAUCAUAACCGAACAAAGACGAAUAAGGCGUUUUAUUCAGGGGCUAAAUGUUGAGAUUCAAAAGGAUUUGGCUGUAGCUCAACUUAGUACCUUUAGUGACGCUGUGGAGAAAGCUCAACGGGUUGAAGAUGCGAGGCUACAAGUUAGAAACUUCCAAACCAAGAAAAGGGGCUUUCCUGGGAGUAGCUCUGAACAAGAAGGUACAAAUACACCCCUAAGAUUGGAAAGGGAAACGGAGGAGUACGACAACUAGGGGUGUCGCGUGAUGUUCCUCAGGGAGGAACGGUCUCUGCUGCUCGUGGUCCCUGUGGAUAUUGCGGAGGGCCAAGUCAUACGGAAACAAAUUGCUGGAAGAAAGAAGGAAAAUGCUUGCGCUGUGGAAGCGCUGAACAUCGGAUUGCUAACUGUCCAGCUCGCCUGCGCGAGCGGAGAGGGACUCUGCCACCAACCAAGCCCAAUUCUCAGCAACCCGCCAAGAGCAAACCCUGGACAGACGAAAGAGAAGGGACGGGAUCGAAGGCACCAGCUCGAGUAUAUUCUCUAGAGCAGAUCAGGUCAGGUCCUGACUCGUCUGAGGACGCAGAAGGUACGAUCCGUUGGGUACCUUAGAUUUGAUGGAUUCCGCUGAUAAGGAAUUUCGAGGACGAAAUUCUUUUAAGGGGGGGAGAGUGUGAGAACCCGUAAAACCCUAAUUAUUUUCCUAGGGUUUAUUUCCCCUUAAUUGCAUGUUUUCUGCAUUUUCUGGCUUAGAAAUAUUUUCUUAGUGAAUUUUAUGAGCAAUUAUAGUUUUAAGAUGAUUUUCCUAGCAUUGGAGAAAUUUUAGAAAAUUAAGAGUAAAUAGUGGACGUGGGACCCACUAGUGCGAAAAGUUCGGAAAAAUUCGGCCAAUAAGGUUAAGUUUUGGAUACUGGAGUUAAUUUAUCGGGUGUUAAGAGAUAAGUAGAGGAUGUUAUUUGGAUUGGUAUGAGGGGGAAACAAAGAGAUAGAGAUUCAUUUAUGAAGUGACAAGUGUCACCAUUUGAUUGGUUGGACACUAUUCACUUUUUGACUUUUUUACCAAGUGAUUAAAUAUCUUAAAAUUUCACAAAAAUCACCAUUUCUUCUCUCUCUCAUGGCCGAACCUCUUGCAAGGAAAAGGAAGAAAACUUCUCCAAGUUUCAAGCUUCAAACUAGCUCAAAUCUUCCAAGAAAAUUACUUAAACUAGUUUCUACUCCAUAAAUUCCCUCUAGUUGGUGCUAGUAAGUGAUUUGGUGAAAUUUUUUGGAGAAGCUAAGGUGUCCACAAUCCCUCUCUCUCUUGAUUUCUUGUAAGUGUUGCUUGAACACCCUACUACCUCUAAUAAUGGUUAUAUGAUGCUUAGAAGUGGCUUGAGUGUUUGAAAAUGUGAUUUAUCUCUUGAUUUGGCUUGUUUUGGUGAAGUUUUUAUUUUAUUGGGAAUUUUUCUGGUUUAAUAUGAUCUUGAUGUUGGGGGCUUGCUUUCAUUUCGAUUGUUUCCUAGUUAACUUUUGUACUUGUACCACGUUGAGCCUAGCGAACGGCUUUUGGGAAAUGAGAUGAAUUUUGUGUGAGAUGUUGGGACUGAUUUGAGGAUAGAAUGAAGCCUUAAUGGCUGGAAAAGUAAGAGAUUUAGGGGAAGUGCUGCCCGAUUUUCUAGGCCGUUUGGUCCCUUUAAGUUGGGUUUGCCUUUUGGUAGAAUGAAAGGCUUUUGGGUUGUUUGCGCCUAGGUCUUCAUGCUACCUUUUCGUUUCCAAGAAAAUCAUGUUUUGCACCCUUGCAUUAGUAAUUAUUUGGCGAGGUAUACGACUAGUAGUCGAGCCUCACAUGUGCAUUCUGUUUACUCGAUUCUGGAAGUAAAACCUUCAAUUGGUUUAUUUUGAUUAUUUUAGGGUUUCUUGGCGAUUAAGGCCAAUCUGAAGUGAAACUUUUUGAAGUUGAAUCGGUGAGUGUACCACUCCCCUUCAUUGUUGUUUAACUUGAUUUUGCUCUGCAAUCUGUUUAUUUGUUCGAGACGAGGGUGUACUUUAUCACACUCGUUCUCUAGUCUGAUCAUAUGCCAAUUUACUAUGCAAAAAUUUGAAUCUGUUAUCUAUGUCUGCAUCUAUUCGGAUUUCUAUGACCUAUGAGCUCAAUCCUGUGGCUAAGUUAUUCGAGUCGGGCCGGCAAGGGCCUGGACGAUUAGAUAACGAACCACGGUAGUCUGUUCGGGGAUUUUGGGUAUUGAGACCCUUGAUUCCGGGUAUACUCGAGUAUUACCAAUUCUGUUCGGUUACGGUGAGCGGGCCCGGUAAAGGGGUGUUUGGUGGACGGAAUUCGGUGUAAAGAGGGGUCUACGGACGUUUGGUUCUAUAUACGUUGACGGAGAGUCAACCGGUUUGGAUCAAGUACUGCGCUGGAAAUUUGGCUCCUGAGAGCCACCCGUAUCCUUCUGAUUUGAAUCAUUGGUUCCUUUGCUUUACAUCUGGCAUGUGUAUCUGAUUUGUAAAAUGUGAAAUGCCAUGAUUUUCUGCUAUAUGUUUGGUACCUCAUUGAGCGCAAGCUCACCCCUUUCUGUCCCUUUUGUUUUCCUUACAGGAAAAUAAACACUUUUGGUCUGGAUUUGACAAAUGGCUGCCAAACUGAGCUAGUCGAACAUAUCUUUUGUAUAGCUCAUGUAUUAAAACCCUAAGUGUACUUUUGGGGCGUUUUCUCUUCUGAUUUGGCAAACCGUGUAUAUGUAUCAACUUUUGAAAACUUUUGUAUGUCCUUUUGGAUUGUAAUUGCUAAAGUUCAGAUGUGAAUGUUUGUUAGCUAUUUCGGUUGGGUUCUGACGGGUCGGUUACUAUUCAUGGCCGACUCCGGAUUUCAUUUUUUUAUUUUGGGUUAUUUUACCAUUUUGACUUGUUUACGCUCGUUUGUAAGUUCCGAAUCGCUAUAGAUAGUUCUGGUCUGCAUCGUUAGUCCUGGCGAGAGCUGGGCAGGCAGUCCGCUAACCCCUUUGGUUCGCCCUAGGGGAAAGUGGGGCUGUCACACUUUGCAUGCGUGAGAUUUGUGACCCAGACAAUUCAAGGAGAGUGCCCAGAAAUUGAAAUCAAAAGGGAUCGUUGAACUUGUUAGUUUGUCUCAAGAGACUAAAUAUGAUGGCUUUUUUAUUUCAUUUUUGUCAUUCACAUUUUUGCCCAACUCUAUCAAGUCUCAAAUAUUAGUAGUCAUGAUUGACACACUUCAGAGUAGGGCAUUUUUACUUUGGAAAGGUUCAUUGUGUCUAACCAAAUUCAAUCAACAUCUAGUUGAAAGCAAAAAUUGUUCGUUACUCUUAUUUAUUUUGGGAAUUUGGGAUGAUGCUUUAGGCUUUCAUUUCUCUAUCCAUACAGUUUUUAUCAUUCAGUCUCCUUUUUUGAACCAUCGCAAGCACAAUUUUGUUUCAAAUAAGAGUCUUGGUGAUCACAACACUACAUUGAUGAAAUUUUCAAAAGUCAAAAGGAAAUGGAUUUUCCCAAUAGGCUAUUCUUUACUUUGGUUGUCAUGAGAAAUAAGAAUGAUACUUUGGUUAUCGUUUCUACUAUCUACACACUAUCCAUCCUUUGCAUCCUCGUUUGAGCCUAAAUUGGUGGUUCGUUCCAAAAGCCCUUAUGAUCGCACCCCCACACUGGGGAAGAAGAUUUGAGAAUUGAAAAAAAAAUGGCAAAGAUGCUCAAAAUUUUUGAAAGGGACAUCAAAUAAAGAAAACGAGUGAAAAAAAAAAGAAAAACUACAAGUUGGAGGAAUUUGACUCUACCAUUUGGUCUUCAAUAUCGGAGAGAAAGAGGGGGCAUCUAUACUCCAAAAUUAGGGAGUUUUCAAUUUUAUCAUUGACAUGUGGGAUCUCAGCAUUGGUAAAUAAAAAAAUUAAAUAAAAAAGCCAAAAAAAAAGGAAAAGAGAGAAAGAGAAACAAAGAAAAAUGUGAAAAAUGUGGAAAAUGAUGAAAUGAAAAAAGAAAAAAAAUGCAAAGACAUUCAAUGUUGAAUUCCCUCUAGUGAUUGAUAAAGAGAGAGUAAAAAAUAGGGUCCAGGGGUUUGAGUCCAAAACUGGGGUAAAUUUUGGGAAGAAGUGCGAUCUUAAGUGCAUUGUCCUUGAAAAUUUUAUUUUUUUUAGCUAUCGUUGUCAAGCCACAUUACAAGUUCAUAAAAUCCAUUAUUGACUUAUCUUUCAUAACAAUUUGAAGUGAAAAUAUUGCCUCUAAAAAACCUACCAAUCACUCGUGAUCAUAAGGCCGUAACUUGUUUCCAUAUGUUUAACUAUCGUUUCUACCCAUAUAUUACAAGCCUAUAGAGCUUAUAUGUUGACUGAGUUUUCUCCAGAAAUAAGAGUGAUAAACUAUUUGCUUUCACCAAGAUGUGAUAUUGAAUGCGUUAGAUACAAUCUGGGCACAAAAACAAGACAGAUCCUGAUCUAUCAUUUCUCCCAGAGCCACUUCGAAAUUAGGAAUAAUACCCGUUUGUUCGAUCCUGAAGGAUGAGCUAAUAAGAAAAGUGACCAUUUUCCCUCAACACCGAUCCCAAAACGAGGAAGAGAUCUUUUACAAUUUGAACUUAUUUUGAGAGAUUUAUCAUGGAAUCUUUUAUAUGAGUUUGGAUAUGACAUUUAAAUUCUUCAUUUGAAAAAUAUAGUUUCUAUUCACAUUGUAUGUGAUUAUUUUGCAACUAAAAUAAACCCAAAUUGGGCCAAUUUUUUUUUGUAAUAUAUUUGUGAGAUUUCACCAAAUAAGUUCAAAUUGAGGCAAAAUUUUAUAACACAUUUGUAGGGUAUAUCCAAGAUCAAUUACAUAUUUUUCAAAUUUUGAUAAUUCAACACUUUGCAUGAGUCUUAAUUGUUAUAUCAUUGCUCAAAAAAAAAACAAAAAGAAUUUUGAAAAUUCAAGUGCUUUGAAAAAUCUCCCUUGUGCAGGUGUUUAUGCUUGAGUUCGUGGAAGACGCAAGUGAAAAUCUUGCAAAUUUGAAGGGUAAUCACGAAUAAAAAGGGGGAAUAAUACUACAUUGCAAAGUGGAGAAUCGGCUAUUUAUUAAAAAGGAGUACAUACUUCAGCAGUCAAGUUGAAAAAAAAAAGAAUAAAAAAGAAGAAAAGAAAGAAAAGAAAAAAAGAAGAAGAAAAAAGGGAAUGAAAAAAGGAAAAAAAAAAGAAAAAGGAGGAAAAAAAUGGAAAGAAAGAAAAAGGGGGAAUAAAAAAAAGAGAGAAAAGAAAAAGAGGGAGAGGAAAAAAAGUGAAAAGCAAAAAAAAAAAAAAAAAAAAGAGAGAGAGAGUUCUUUCUUCAAUUUUGCAAAUUUUUACAAUUGAACUUUGGGAGAAUUUCACUUGGAGAUUACAUUGCCAAGUUGGGGCAACACCUUAUGCUUCAAAUGGAAGUGAUAAUACCUACCAAAUUGAGAUCUUGUCCUUGCACAUUUUUUUUUGACAAAGGCUCAAGUAGAAGAAAUUAAAUGGAUCAAGGAGCACAAUAAGUUGAUAUCUCUAAUGGAUGAAAAAGAUGUCGAAUGUUACCUGCCAUGGGCAAUGCUAUCAACAAAGGAUGGUUAGUUGGUUAUGACAAGAAAGACAACUCUUGCUUAUUUGAAGUAAGGGAUAAAGUUUUGAAGUAAAUUCUUCUGAUUCAAGAGGAGGUUAAAAGAAAGUUUGCUCCAACUUGGUAAGGGUCAUUUAUUAUUCAAAGAGUGCUAUCCAUAGGAACGCCCAUUCUCACAGAACUGGAUGGACAGGUUUUUUCCUUUGCCAAUCAAUUCAGAUAUGUGUAAGAAAUUCUUUAUCUGAUUAUGUGAUUUUUCUUUUUAAGAUAUCAUCUAGGGUGGAUCAAAGGCGGGCCUUCUUCUUUUUGAACAUCUUGCCCAUAGUUUUCCCCAUUGAACUUGCAGAAUAAUUUAAUCAUUCAUUUGAUAGCCUCCCUAAAGAUCACAAACCCCACACUGGGACAAAUUUUAUCUCUUAUUUGUUAUAAAAAAAAAGAACAGAGUCAUAAGCCAAAUUGGGGCAAUUUUUUCAGUUUUAAUACCCUCAUGCUGGGGCAAAUAUUAAUAGAACGCGGUCUUAGGAUUUUUGAAGCCUCUUUGAAGAUUUGCUUUCAUGCCUUAACAUUUCUUCCACACCCCACCUAGCCCCAUCAUAAAAAUCAUAAAGUCCCGACCUCCGCCUUAGAAGUAUUUCUCAUAAAAAUCACUUAAUCAAAUGGCAAAUGAUGUCAAUACACCUUUACCAUUUUUGCAUGAAGAGGAUUGUCGCACUGAUGCCAUAAUUUCUUAAAACGUAUUUUCGAGUUGAUAAAGGUUGUUGACAAAAUUUGUUCAUUGAGUGAAAACCCAAAUGGGUAUCUUUUCAAAAAGAAAAAAAAGAGAGAGAGAAAAGAAAAAAUGAAAAAAAAAGAAAAAAAAGAAAAAAAAAGAAAAAAGAGAAGAAAUAGAAAAAGGAAAAGAAAAUGGGGGUGACCUUAGGGAAAAUCCGAAAUGCUAAGGUCAUCAAUGUAAGGUUUUGGAGCACAAGAGAUUAUGAAAGAAGAGCAGAGUGUUGAAACUUGAAACGGGCAUUCCUUCAAAUCUGGUCAUUAGAAAGAGUUGAUUUGUGAUACAAAGGGAAGUAUGACUGACUAAUACUAGAAAAUUGAGAAGAUUCAACACAAGUUGCAGCACAACUCUUGGGGAGCAGUUUUGACAUCAAAAGAUCAUGCUUGCAUGGUUUAAAGGCCAAAGGAAUCACAAGGGAUCACAUGGGUGGUGGCAUUAUGUGAUCACUUUUUCUGCCUUUUCGAAAGCAUGAAAAAUGUGAUUUUUGUUAAACAUGAUUUAUGCUGGAGCAAAUAGCAAAAGGAGUGAGCUUCAAUUUUGAUAAUGCAUUCUAAAUCGGUUUUGUGAAAGAAAAAAAAGUGAAAAAAGAAAAAGAGUCUUUUAAAAUCGAGAGGAUAGUGACAUAUGUAUGUACCUCUCGAAUCUGUUGAAGGGAGAAUUGUCAUUGGUAUUCUUCUAGUUUUAAAUUCGUCACUUCGGACUUUUUCAAAAACAAAAAAAAAAUUUUGUGUUUCUUUCAUUUCUUCCAAAGUUUGAAAAAAAAAAGAGAUUGCAAAUCCACCAACUUGAGCAACGUGCAUUUAAGCCUUUCAGUUUGAUAGUAUAGGACUUGCGUUUUCAUUUCUUUCAGUAUUUCAUUGGGCCCAAGUCUAUCCCACCAAUCUAUUAUUUAAAAAAAAUAAAAAAAAACAGAAGAUCAAAUUUAAAUUUCUUGUUGGUGAGUCUCAACGUCCAUCGUGCACCCUUUUAUCUCCUUUCUUGGCAAUUUAAUUUCCUGUUGGUGAGUCUCAGCGUCCACUGCGCACCCUUCUAUCCCCCUUCUUGACAAUUUAAAUUUCCUGUUGGUGAGUCUCAGCGUCCACCGCGCACCCUUCUACCUCUCUUUCUUGACAAUUUAAAUUCCUGUUGGUGAGUCUCAGCUUCCAUCGUGCACCCUUCUACCUCCUCUUCUUGAAAAAUUUAAUUUCCUGUUGGUGAGUCUCAGCGUCCAUCGCGCACCCUUCUAUCUCCCUUCUUGACAAUUUAAUUUCCUGUUGGAGCGUCAUCGCAUCUCUCCGCUCAUCUUUUUCUAAAAGACAAGUUUAAUUUUCUGUUGGUGACUUUCAGCGUCUACCGCACAUCCUUCUACCUCCCCUUCUUGACAAUUUAAAUUCCUGUUGGUGAGUCUCAGCGUCCACUGCACACCCUUCUACCUCCCCUUCUUCAAAAUUUAAUUUCCUGUUGGUGAGUCUCAGCGUCCACCGCGCGCCCUUCUAUCUCUCCUUCUUGACAAUUUAAUUUCCUAUUGGAGCGUAAUCGCUUCCCUCCGCGCAUCUUUUUCUAAAAGACAAAUUUAAUUUCCUAUUGGUGAGUCUCAGCGUCCACUACGCACCCUUCUACCUCCCCUUCUUGACAAAUUUAAUUUUCUGUUUGUGAGUCUCAGCGUUCACCGCGCACCCUUCUAUCCUCCUUCUUCACAAUUUAAAUUUCUGUUGGUGAGUCUCAGCGUCCGCCACGCACCCUUCUAUCCCCCUUCUUGGAGUGUAACCGCAUCCCUCCGUGCAUCUUUUUCUAGUUGUGACAAGUUACUUUUCUUAACUGUUUUGAUUAAUAAUUGUGUUUUCUCAUUCAUUUUGUGUUUCAUAUUUAGAAGUUCUAAGAGCUCAGACUUUUUCGACUUUGCAAAGAUCACAGUUGGCCAAGGCACUUGUUUCAUUGUGGUUCAUUUACAUUCGAACUACGUUUGACCUGAUUCCUGUGACAGUCCCACCUCCCCCUAAGGCGAACCAAAGGGUUCGACGGACCGUCUGUACAGUUCUCACCGGGACUCAGUCGUUCACUACAGUUCUCAAAUAAAGUACAAUAUAAAUCCCAAAUACACAUCAAAUUCUCCAAGAAUUACAUAUCAUAAGCGAAGCGGAAACUAAUUCUAGGCGUGGAACGUACACAUACAUCCACUUCAAAUCCAAACAGUCACACUAGCCCAACUAUUACAUAAAAUAAAUCCAAAUCCAAACUGUACAAGAUAUACCCCAUCCAGUCACACAAAUAACAUAAUACAAGCUCUUCCCUUGCCUCAAACCCUGUGGGGGGAAGAAAACAUUUGGGUUGAGCUAGAAGCUCAGCGAGUGAACAGUAAAAUCAGUAAUCCAAUAAGUUUUACGAUAGUGCAGGUAAAUGAUGUCAUGAAUCAGUGAUCAAAUGUAUGGAGUUUGCUCUUGUGAGCCAGUGAAAUCCUUGCACUUAAAUAUCCAACACUCCCUUAGAUCAAGCAACAGAUAUACAGAAAUAAGAAGCCAUCAUGCUCUAAAGAAUGCGUAAACGGGAGUGGAGACGUUGGUUCUAAGCACAAGAUUUUCCCAAGAACUCGUCGGAGCCAAAAUGUCAUGGCACACACACAAACACAAUGAUAUCCAAUCGUGCAAUCAAUGCAAGAAUCAUUUCAAAAGUAACUUUUGGGAAGUAGUGGAGGAUCACUCACCAACCACGGCUCAUGAACCUCAUCCAUCACAGACAGUUUCCUCGAUCAAGUCCAAACUCUUCAUUCUACCAAGAAUUAUCCCAAACUCAAAGCGAUUAAACGUCCUCAAAGAUUGGACAACAGUUCAAAAUUUCCUUAUUUCUAUCCUACAACAAUCAAAAUAUCCAUUCAAAACAGCACACACAAAAAUAUCUCAUUUCAAUAGCCAUUCAAUAGGUUCAAAGUGGUACAAGUACAAAUUCAAACUAGGAAAAGUCCGGAAAUGAAGUUUAAGUCAAAAAACAAAAGACAGAUUUGAUGUUGUUUUCCGUAACGGACGCAACUGUGGCUACUCUUAUCGGAUUGAGAUGCAAUUUAUACCGUUUCGAAACUAAGACAAAGGCCUAAAAUUUGAUGAAGACCACUCAGUCUAGUUCGUAGUGUAGCUAGGUCAAAAUUGCACUAUACAAAACCAGAAUCCCACAAACAGGUUAGCUAACCGCACUAUGGUUAAAUGACAAUAAUGCAGGCUACCGAAGUUCGAUAGAGGUGUAUCUUUUGGAGUUCGAAGCCAAGACAUAUACCUACAUUUCUUAUGAAGACCUCCAAAACCAAAACAUGCAUUUUCAUGGUCAAAAAUGGAAAACUCCACGAAGACAGAAAUCUGGGCACGAAACAGGGCUCAUGGGCAGUCAACGGUAUUUCGGCCAUGUCACAUGCUAUAGUGCUCUGAUUGAGCUGAAAUUUUGCAGGCAGCUUUAACACCAUUUGCUACAACCUUUAUGUUUUAACCUAAGCCUGAUUCGGCCUCUAACAUGCUUGAAUAAAUCCGGUCAGAACAGGGCAAAUUUAAACCCUAAACCUGGAAUUUCCGCACAAAACUGAAAUUUUCCGCAAACAAUCGUAACUAACGUAUACAAGCUUCAGUUUACACCAUUACAAGCCAUCAUACCAUGAUUAAACCAUGAUCAUCAUAUAAAAUCAGAAAAAUCUCCAUUAAAUCAGAAAUUUAACAAACACUACUUAAACCCAUGAAGUCUUCCACCAAUUAACAUGUUAAGCCACUAGAAAUCACUAAUCUAUCUUUAUUAAGAACAAAAGGGAAAUUUCUUAGCAACUUACCUUUACAACUCAAGAAAGAUAGUAGCUUAGGUUUCUUUCUCCCAAAACAACUCCACCAACUACUUCAAUACUGCUAAGAGAAGGGUUUUUAUGGAGCAAAUCAAGGUAUUAAUGGUUGGAUUGUGAGAUUGAGCAAGAUUGGAUGAAGAAAGUUGGAGGUUUUUUUCUUCUUUUCUCUCCCUGGAAGCUCGGCCAAAGGGGCUAAGAAUGAAGAAAUAUUUUGGUCAAAAUUAGCUUUAAGAAGGUAAAAAUAUCUUGGUGAAAAGUCCACCCUCGAAUAGAAACGCGACAUGUGGCACCUUAUAUGUUUAAGCUUAUCCUCUUGUCUCUCCAUAUUAAUUAAUCUAGUUAACCUCUAAUUAUCUCUUAACACCUUAUAAAAUAAUAUCACUUAAUACAAAACUCCAACAAGUUGUCAAAAAUAUAGCGCAUUUAUCGCACUAGCAGGUCUGUCCAUAAUAUACUUCAAACUUAACGUGGACUAACUUGUAUCAAGGAAAUGAUUUGAAAACUAUAUUCCCUUAUAAAAAUAUAUAGGAAAUUAAUAUAUUGAAGAAAGGCAUAAAAUUAUAGACAAGGAAACAAAAUAAUGUUUCGAAAAUAUAUAAAAAAAUUUUCGGAUUCUUACACUCAUUCUUUCGAGACGUCACAAACUUCCCUUCUUAAAAGAAUGUCGUCCUCAACAUUCCAACUUGCACUAACCAGAUCAAAACAUUCCUCGAAAGUAGUCAAAUACUAGGAAUCACUCUAAUCCCACAUCAAAAUCAAGUGCUAAGAAGCACCCCAAUCCACAGAUCAAAUCGUCAUGAUCCAAUAGAUAGUUGAUCGAGUAACUAGAUAAAACAUGCAAAAGGUUUGAAGUUGGACUUAAAGUCCCAGAUAUUCAGAAAAUUCAAGACAUGGUUUAAUCUCAACUCGAAAUUUCUCAAGUUGGAAAUUUUUCCCUUGGCGGUGCUGGACAACACAACAAGCUAGCACGACGGCUAUACUUCGUCCAAGAGUCUCAGUUCAAAAAUUUCAUCCUUGGUGGUGCUUGAUAACACAACAAGUUAGCACAACGGCUAAACUUCACCAGAGGACCUUAGCUCAAGAAAUUGGCCCUGGUGGUGCUUGAAAACACAACAAAUUAGCACAACGGCUAUACUUCACCAGAGAGCCUCAAGUCAAAGUUUCAUCCCUGAUGGUGCUUGAUAACACAACAGGCAUGCCUCGCCAAAGGAAUGGCGGUGCUUGAUAACACAACAGGCAAUAUCUCAUCUGAGAGGUUCAGUUCAAGAAUUUCAAUCCCUGGUGGUGCUUGAAAACACAACAGGCAUGCCUCGCCAGAAGAAUGGCGGUGCUUGAAAACAUACCAGGCAAUGCCUCACCAGAGAGGUUCAGUUCAACCACUACAGAGGAGUAGUAGCUGGUCUACAAUCACACAAGUACGAAUAAGUUCAGAAGCAGAGUCAAAAGCAGGGUUCAAGUAUAUAUAGGUUCAAAAGCAGGGCCAAAUAUUUCAAGUUCAUGGAACAUGAGUACGAAUAGAAACUCACUUGCCUAGUUUAUGCCCAGUAAUUCAUAUUCCCAAGCAGUUAUAGAAUUCAAAUCCACUUACAGGUCAUAUACGAACCAAGCUACUUGCUCAAGCGUGAAAGAGAUACCCUAUUUUCAGUCAAGUCAGGUCUAUCAAGUGUACGUAAGAGUACACUAGCCGAAACAGAUUCAAGUCUUAAAUGAGCUCAGUCUAGUCGGUCUCAGACAGUUCAAGCAUUUCAAAUCCCAAUGCUUACAAAUUGGGUAGUAUACCUUAAUCAAACAAGAAGACUAGAAGGAGGAUGCAAAAAUCAAAAGUUUUCCAACAAAUCCGGUCACCACCAUAAUGUAUCAAAACCCUAGCCAAAAUCUUAUCGGAUAGAUCCAAGAUAGCAGUCAUCAUUUCAAUGUCCUCAACUAGGUUAAUCCAUUAUACACUGGUAGAUCUAAUCUUCUAGUUUAUUCUCGAUUCAUAUUCAGUACUAGGGUCUCCUUAAAUUAUAUAAGACUAUCCACCAAUUUUCUCAUGAGUAUGGGGUUGUCUAAGCCCUCGGCCACGACCCCUUUUUCCAUUCCUGCUGCCAUACUUAAUAGAAGUCUAUAAGCACAAGAAAAGGAAUAAUUAAGCAUAAAAGAACUUAAUGCAUAUACAAGUUACAAAAAUAUUUAGAAUCAAGACAUGAUUCUUUACAUGUAUCAAAAGUUAUAGCACGAGUUAAGAAGUCACAAAACAAGGCCAAUAUGUCAAAAAUUGCCUAUAAGCAAUUAAGUGCCACAAAAUAUAGAAAUAUAUGCAAGCAGGAUACAAAAGGUCUCACGACGUGCACCAUCCUUCCUAAGUCCAUAGUUAAACCAAAGGGUCCAAAUAUUACUAAUUUCAAUCAGAUCACAUGCCUUUGCGAAAUUAGAUCCAAUCAAUCCAUAACACAAGCUAAAACCAAAGGUUAUCCAUUCGAAAUUCAAAAGCUUUAAUAACCAAGCCACCAGCCAGAGCACCAUCAUCUCAAAGAAUAACCAGUCUUAGGGUUUUAUAGUUAAAGUCUCAAGCUCCAAGUUCAAAUCCAAGAAAUAAGUACAACUUGCUAACUUACAUGUCAAAUGGAAACCAAGUCAAUUCACACUAACUUCGUGCUCUUAAAUGUGGUUACUCUAUAUCUCAAAGUUCCCUCAGUCCAUACAUCUAAAGAUAGGCUCACUCUUCUUGGAAACCAAGAAUUUUAAAACAUAAGAAGAGUAUUUAAAGUAACAAAAAUCUUAUCAAGUUCAAGAUUUACAUUAUAACAACAACAGUUCGCCAUUCUUCCGAAAACUCAAGAUUUUUUUCAUGUAAAGCAUAGACAAAUUCAAGUGUAAGAAUACACCAGUAUACAAUCAAGGGGAAAAACCUAGUUUAGAAAAUUUUAACCUUGUAUCAGCCCAUCAUAUACAAAAUUCAACAACCUCAUCAGUUCACAUAAUUCACAUAUUACCAAAAUCGGUAAAUUAGACCGGCUUAAAGCAUAUAUAUAUUAUUUCCAAUCAUCGUUUGAAAAUAAACUAGUACAUCCUAGUUUUUCUUUAGAAUUUCAAAGCAGAAAUUCUGUAGGAGGUAAAUGGGCGGAAAAUGCAUUUUAUUCCUUUGAUACUCUUUUAUUUUAGUUCAAAAUCAUCAUAUAUAGAGUUGGACCAUCAAAUCUCGAUCUCUUAUCCUCCACAGUCAGUACUAAUAAUUACCUCAAUUGCUUAACUUUCAAAUCCAAUCAAAUCCCACAGUCCGGCAUCCUAAACCUUAGCCUAAGAUACACUACAGAGAUCGGAAGCAUAAGCUCUGAUACCACCUGUGAUAGCCCCACCUCCUCUUAAGACGAACCAAAGGGUUCGGCAGACCGCCUGCCCAGCUCUCACCGGGAUUCAGUCGUUCACUACAGUCCUCAAAUAAAGUACAAUAUAAAUCCCAAAUACACAUCAAAUUCUCCAAGAAUUACAUAUCAUAAGCGAAGCGGAAACUAAUUCUAGGCGUGGAACGUACACAUACAUACUUCAAAUACAAACAGUCACACUAACCCAACUAUUACAUAAAAUGAAUCCAAAUCCAAACUGUACAAGAUAUACGCCAUCCAGUCACACAAAUAACGUAAUACAAGCUCUUCCCUUGCCUCGAUCCCUGUGGGGAGAAGAAAACAUUUAGGGUGAGCUAGAAGCUCAACGAGUGAACAGUAAAAUCAGUAAUCCAAUAAGCUUUACGAUAGUGCAGGUAAAUGAUGUCAUGAAUCAGUGAUCAAAUGUAUGGAGUUUGCUCUUGUGAGCCAGUGAAAUCCUUGCACUUAAAUAUCCAAUGCUUUCUUAGAUCAAGUAACAGAUAUACAGAAAUAAGGAGCCAUCAUGCUCCAAAGAAUGCGUAAACAGGAGUGGAGACAUUGGUUCUAAGCACAAGAUUUUCCCAAGAACUCGUCGGAGCCAAAAUGUCAUGGCACACACACAAACACAAUGAUAUGCAAUCGUGCAAUCAAUGCAAGAAUCAUUUCAAAAGUAACUUUUGAGAAGUAGUGGAGGGAUCACUCACCAACCACGGCUCAUGAACCUCAUCCAUCAUAGACAGUUUCCUUGAUCAAGUCCAAACUCUUCAUUCUACCAAGAAUUAACCCAAACUCAAAGCGAUUAAACGUCCUCAAAGAUUGGACAGCAGUUCCCCUUAAAUUUCCUUAUUUCCAUCCUACAACAAUCAACAGUAUCCAUUCAAAACAGCACACACAAAAAUAAUCUCAUUUCAAUAGCCGUUCAAUAGGGUCAAAGUGGUACAAGUACAAAUUCAAGCUAGGAAAAGUCCGGAAAUGAUGUUUAAGUCAGAAAACAAAAGACAGAUUUGACGUUGUUUUGCGUAACGGACACAACUGUGGCUAUGCUAAUCGGAUUGGGAUGCAAUUUAUACCGUUUCAAAGCUAAGACAAAGGCCUAAAACUUUGAUGAAGACCACUCAAGCUAGGAAAAGUCCAGAAAUGAAGUUUAAGUCAGAAAACAAAAGACAGAUUUGACGUUAUUUUGCGUAACAGACACAACUGUGGCUAUGCUUAUCAGAUUGGGAUGCAAUUUAUACCGUUUCGAAGCUAAGACAAAGGCCUAAAACUUUGAUGAAGACCACUCAGUCUAGUUCAUAGUGUAGCUAGGUCAAAAUUGCACUAUACAAAACCAGAAUCCCACAAACAGGUUAGCUAACUGCAUUAUGGUUAAAUGACAAUAACUCAGGCUACCGAAGUUCGAUAGAGGUGUAUCUUAUGGAGUUUCGAAUCCAAGACAUAUACCUACAUUUUUAUGAAGACCUCCAAAGCUAAAACAUGCAUUUUCAUGGUAAAAAAUGGGAAUCUCCACGAAGACAGAAAUCUGGGCGCGAAACAAGGCUCAUGGGCAGUCAAGGUAUUUCGGUCAUGUCACAUGCUACAGUGCUCCGAUUGAGCUGAAAUUUUGCAGGCAGUUAGUUAACACCAUUUUCUACAACUUUUAUGUUUUAAUCUAAGCCUGAUUCAGCCUCUAACAUGCUUGAAUAAAUCCAGUCAGAACAGGGCAAAUUUAAACCCUAAACCUGGAAUUUCCGCACAAAACUGAAAUUUUCCGCAAACAAUCAUAACUAACAUAUACAAGCUUCAGUUUACACCAUUACAAGCCAUCAUACCAUGAUUAAACCAUGAUCAUCAUAUAAAAUUAGAAAAAUCUCCAUUAAAUCAGAAAUUUAACAAACACUAUUUAAACUCAUGAAGUCUUCCACCAAUUAACAUGUUAAGCCACUAGAAAUCACUAAUCUAUCUUUAUUAAGAACAAAAGGGAAAUUUCUUAGCAACUUACCUUUACAACUCAAGAAAGAUAGUAGCUUAGGUUUCUUUCUCCCAAAACAACUCCACCAACUACUUCAAUACUACUAAGAGAAGGGUUUUUAUGGAGCAAAUCAAGGUUUUAACGGUUGGAUUGUGAGAUUGAGCAAGAUUGGAUGAAGAAAGUUGGAGGUUUUUUUUCUUCUUUUCUCUCCCUAGAAGCUCGGCUAAAGGGGCUAAGAAUGAAGAAAUAUUUUGGUUAAAAUUAGCUUUAAGAAGGUAAAAAUAUCUUGGUGAAAAGUCCACCCUCGAAUAGAAACGCGACAUGUGGCACUUUAUAUGUUUAAGCUUAUCCUCUUGUCUCUCCAUACUAAUUAAUCUAACUAACCUCUAAUUAUCUCUUAACACCUUAUAAAAUAAUAUCACUUAAUACAAAACUCCAACAAGUUGUCAAAAAUAUGUCGCAUUUACCGCACUAGCAGGUCCCACGUCCAUAAUACACUUCAAAUUUAACGUGGACUAACUUGUAUCAAGAAAAUGAUUUGAAAACUAUAUUCCCUUAUAAAAAUGUGUAGGAAAUUAAUAUAUUGAAGAAAGACAUAAAAUUAUAGACAGGAAAACAAAAUAAUGUCUCGAAAAUAUAUAAAAAAAUUUUCGGGUUCUUACACUCAUUCUUUCGUGGCGUCACAAUUCCCAUGGUGGGAUACGUAGGCAACUCUACAUGAGUUCGGUCACGCUUUCUGUAAUGUUAUUGCAUCAUUUUGCUCAAUAAUUAUGGCCAAGUGUUGGUUUGUUAUUUUAGCUCAGGUGCAGUUAAAAGAAAUAGGUAAGCAAUUUGGUGUCUACGUUUUUAUCUUGAGUUUCUUUGAAACUCUAGACAAAGAGGGGCAAACUGUAGAUACCAAAUUUUUGUCAAUUUUUAAUAUUUUAGUGAAUUUUUUCUAUUUAAUGAGUUAUUUAUUUUCUUACAUUUUAAUGUGUAUUUUUCUCAUUUUUUGUAGGUUUAUUUUAGGAUAAAAAAAACAAACAAAAAAAAAGAAAAUUAAGAAAUAAAAAAUCUUCUCCUAAUUAUUGUUCUUUCACCAAAUGCACUGUUUAUCCAUUUUUUGCACUCAAUGUUCAGGCACUUUUCUUUUCAUUAGGUGAGAAGGCCAUCAUUUUGACGAAUCCCAUGCUCCACUCUCAACUGGCUCUUUCUUUUCUCUCAAUUGGCACGACACCAGGAGAAAAAAAAAAAAGCACUGAAUCUUCCUCAAUCUCCCUCUCGGCUCUCUCUGGUCUCUCAACAGAACAGACAGAACACACAAAAGAAGAAGAAAACACUCCCUCACUCUGCUCACGGCUCACUCUCUCCCUCUCUCGGCUUGGAACUUAGAAGAGAAACACGGAAGAAGAAGAACAUUUCCCUUGGCCUUUCCUCUUUCCCAAUGUUUUCCCAACACACUCACAGGUAUCGGAAAAACUUCAGCCAAGGCAAUUCCACUUUCAUUGAGGUAUUUUUCAGUUUUUUUUAAGGCAUAUGAGAUACAUUUUGGUUUUAAUUUAUCUUGCUUUUGCUGGUUUUUAUUGUUGUUGUUGUAUUGCUGAAAUUUGGGAAAUGGCAUGAACUAGAUUGAGGAAAAGGAAAUGUUUUUAAUGUAUGCAUGUUAACUGUUUGAAAAAAUGCCAAAAUGGAAAAAAAAGGAAUUUUAGGGGGUUGUUUUGCUUUCUUUUAGCCCUUUUAUGUUGUUUUCUUGUCAAAUAAAAAUCAUAGUUGUAUUGUAGAAGUUAUAAGGAGGGUUUUGACAUAAUUUUUAUGAUUUUUGGUGAAGAUGAGGGUUUAAAAAAAAUAAAAAUUGAACUGAUUUCUUGGCAUUUUGAUCACUUUCGGCUCAUUUUUUGUAAAAACUAACUCUGGAAAUGGAAUCUACGCGAAAAAUCGAGUUGGGUAUGUAUUUUGAUAAUUUUUUGUGACCGGAAAAAUUCGCCGGCGACCGCUGGCAGUCCACGGUGGCGGCGGCGGCAGCCGGCAUGGCUGCCAGAAGCUUCACCCCGCCGGAGAAGGAGAAAGAAGAAAUGAGAGGAAGGAGAAGAGAAAGAAAAAAGAAAGGAAAGAAAAGAAAUCGAAAUGGGCUAAUUUUUUAUUUUUUUCGGUUGGGCCAAGAGUUAGUUUUUGGUUGGGUUUUGGAAAUGGGUUUAGGUUUAUUUCUUUGGGUUUCGGUUGGGUUAAAAGGUCAGAAUCCAUGCAUGUUUUUAGUCGGGCUUGAGCGAUAAAAAGAUGGACUGGACUGCUUAUUUCUUUUGUUUGGUUUAAAUAGUUUUCGGCCCAAAUAAAUAAAAUGAUGGCCCGAUGGCCUUUUCUUGUCCAAAUCAGAAGCAAAAUUUGCAUUUUAGCCCCUAAUCUUUGGAGUAAUUUUACUACGGCCCAGAACAUUUUAAAUCUCUUUCACUUAGGUCCUUAAAUUAUUUGCACUUUGGUCACUGAAUUUUAUCUUUCAUUUAAUUUUGACCCUUAAACUUUAAAAAAUAUAAUUUUUGUCCCCAAAAGUUUUUUAAUUUUUGCAAUUCAGUCCCUGAUGAAUUUUGACUCUCUUUAUUAUGAUUGUUUCUUUUCUUUAAUAGCUAAUUAUGUUACUUUUGAGUACGUUUAAUUUGUAAUUUUUAGAUGUUCUUAAAUUUCUUUACGUUUGACAUAUUAAGGUGAAUUUAGAAUUUUAAUAUUUAUUAUUUUUUUUCAAUUAAAUUGGUGCCAUAAUUCUUUUGUUCAUUGUGAGUAUAAAUAGGACAAUUUGACUCCAUUUAGUCACCACUUCAAAUGGAGGUACUCCUAUUUUAUUAUUUUAAUGUCAAUUACAUGCUCUUAUGUGCGCUUAUGUGUUCAUAUGUUUUUGUAUAUUUGUAUAUGCUUGAUUUAUUGGAUUUAAAUGUUCAUUUAAAAUUUCUUAUAUUAUAUUUGUUUAGUUAAUUUUUAUAAUCAUUCGAGAGGCAUUUAAAUACCUCAAAAAAAUGUGAUAGAUAGGAUAACUAAUUUUAUUUUAUUAUAUUUUUCCCAUUUUAGAUUGUAGUUAGAUUUCCCGAUGUAAUAGAUAGGUUGCGUGUUUAUGUGGCUUAUGUGUUAUGUGUUUUAUCCGCUUUUCUUAAGAUUUUGGCAUCUAGAUAUUAUGUUUACGUGUUAUGUGCUACGUGCUUUUAUGUGUUUAUUUGUUUUAAUUUAUACUUUAUUUGUUUCACUAUGAAUUGUUAAUGUAUGACGUCACCACACUAAUCCAACGCUAGUUGUGGCUUUUCCCUCCGCUUACUUGCUAGUCCAACGCUAGUAAGGAGUUUUGGAAAUGGGCUAGUCCAACGCUAGACCCUUUAGGUCGUCUUGUGCUAGAUUCAUCUAUGUGUGCUAUUCAUUACAUUUUCAUACAUAUUUUCAUUUUUAAGACCUUUUCUCAUUUGCAUGAUAUUUCCUAUUAUAUUAUCUCUUACUUUCUAUAGGUGCUAAUCAUGUCAUUUAGAAUUGCAUCUCAUUUAAACUAGUUCAUGUUAGGAUAAUUAUUUUUCAAACAUGGGAAAUAGAUGAUUAUAACUUUUUAGUUUAAAUAUCCCAUUAAUUCCCGUGUAAGAAAAUUAUGUCACGAGUUUUUGCCUUCCGUACCCUUUAUGUUGCACUCCCUUUUUCUUUGAUCACUUAUAUCUAUGUAUAUAAUUUAAUUUCUUUUCUUUACUUUUAAUUUCAUCAUUUGCAUACUUGUGACACCUUCAAGGAAUUAUUUUGGCCUUCGCAAUUAAUGCGAUUAGUUCAAUUAAACCCUUGAAUGAACAUUUUGUCUCUUUCGAUAUUUUUAUAAAUUUAGAUUUGCAUCUAUGUACGAAACAUCCAAAUGUGAUAAAAUUAAGGGUUAGAUUAGGAAAAUUUUGACUAAAUCUCGCAACUAGCUUAGACUAGGUUGAAAGGGUGCCUUAGUUUUGAUUUAAUCGAACCUUUGCCUUCCCUUUCUUCAAUCGUGACUCUCGAACCCAUUUUCUCUUGUUUUUUGAAGACCUGGAGUUAUCAAAAGAGUUUUUAUUUUAUCUUAUUUUUAUCAAAAAAUAUUUUUGGGGUGACUUGGUACAUCCAAACUCAAUACCAAGUGGCGACUUCUCUUUUUCUUAAAAAACCCUUUUUAGACUAAAUUUUUGGAUCCAAAUUGUUGUCUUUGUUAAGUCCCAUUCUAGGUACUUUUUCACUUAUUUUUAAAUAAAAUCACAUCUUUUAUAAACCACCUUUAUUCUAUUUCGCCAUUGCGAAAAAAUGGAGCGCAACAACUUGGCGACUCCUUUUUUUCUUAAAAAACACUUUUUAGACUAAAUUUUUGGACCCAAAUUGUUGCAUUUUUCAAAGUCCCAUUCUAGGUUAUUUUUCACUUAUUUUUAAAUAAAAUCACAUCUUUUUAUAAACACUUUAUUUUUCAUCUCUUCAAUCUGGCCAAGAAUCUGGCCCGUCAUCAAUUUUGAUCGGCUGUUUCAUUUAUUCUUAUCCAACUUUUGGCCAAAAUAUCUUCCAUUUCUUCACCUGGCUUGUCCGUGCAUCAUAGAGAGAAAAGCUCUCAAUUUUCAUAGUUUUAAUCUUUGCCAAAAUCUUGAGAUUUCAUCGAUGGUUUUGGAAACAACUCCAUACAUGGGCUCACUAUGAAAGUUUGAAGAAGUUGAUGGAGUUGUUUUGAAAUGGGAAGCUUUAAGGUGCUAUCUUUCUUGAGUUUAUAAGGUGAGUUACUAAGAAAAUACCCCUGUUGUUUUAAUAAUGAUAUAUUGUGGGUUGUAGUGGUUAAAUAUGUUGUAUUGUGGAUGAUUUUAUGAUUUUAAGUAAAGUUGGACCAAUUUCUGAUUUAUUGGGGAAUUUUCUGAUUUUAUAUGAUUAUGGUAUGUUGGUCAUGGAAUGAUAGCUUGUUGUGGUGUAAAAUGGAGCUUGUAUACAUUGGAUAUGAUUGUUUGCGAAAAAUUUCUGGUUUGUGCGGAAAUUCCGGUUUUAGGGUUUAAUUUGGGGCUUUCUUAUGGAUUGGCUGUAAAGUCCCUAAUUGGCUUUGAUUGAAGGGUAUUGUGACCCUAAUUGGAUGUGUUUUAUUUCUUAUGAACAGUAAGUGUAAUUGUGGUUGGUAAGAUGCAACUUGUUAUUUUUAUUUUGGUUGGAAAAUAAAAAAUUAAGGGGAAAUGCAGUCCGAUCUUUGAGAGCGUUUGAUUGCUUUGAGUUUGAGUUGAAGGACUUGGACUUGAUCAAGGAACUGCAUAUGAUGGAUGAGGUACAUGAGCUGUGGUUGGUGAGUGAUCCCAAAACUGUACCAAAGCUACUUUUGAACGUUUUCUUGCAUUGUUUACUCGAUUACAUAUCAUGUGUGCUUGCAUGUUAGUUCAUGAAAUGAUUUGGCUUCAAUGAGUUCUUGGGAAGUCUUGUGCUUAGCACCAAUGUCUCCACCACUGUUUACUGUUUAUCUGGAGCACCAAUGGCUCCCUAUCACUGUUUCACAAUUAACUGAUCAAUUUGAGCGAUGGAUGCUAAGUACAAUGAUUUCACUGGCUCACGAGAGCAAUAAACGUACACUUGAUUUUUGAUUCAUGACAUCAUUGAAAUGAACUAUUGUGAAACUGAUUUGAUUACUGAUUUGACUGAUUACUCGCUGAGUUUCUAACUCACCCCAAAACUAUUUUAUUCCCCUCCACAGGACUCAAGGCGAAGGAGGUGUUUGUAGUACUUAUUCAUGUGAUUGGAUGGAUUACCUCAUGUACAGUUUGAAUUCGCACUCCUCUUGUGUAAUAGCUAGGGUUACUUGAAUGUUUAGAGUGGAUUGGAUGUGUGUGUAAGUUCCACGCUUGGGAACUAGUUUCUGCUUCGCUUAUGAUAUGUAAAUUUGUGGAACCAUUGAUGUAUAUUUGAUAUUUAAAUUAUAAUUUGUUUGAGAACUGUAGUGACUGAUUGAGUCCCGGCGAGAGCUGGACAGGCGGUCCGCCGAACCUUUUGGUUCGCCUUAGGGGGAGAGGGGCCGUCACAGUUGGUAUCAGAUUUUAGGCCUAAGAUCUCCGUAGUGUAUCCUAAACUUAAAGUUUAGGAUGCCGGACUGUGGAUAUUGUUUGAAAUGUCAGUGAUUUCUUGUAGCAAUGAAAAAUUUUAUAAGUGAGAUUAGAGUAACUCUUACUGCUUGCUUGGAAGUGCUUGUUUGACUUUUGUGGGAUAUUUUGAUCUGAUUAGUACAAGUUGGAAUGUCGAGGACGACAGUCUAUUAAGGAGGGGAGUUUGAGACGCCUGGAAGAAGGAAAAGGAAAAAAAUUCUGGUUCGCUUUAUUUUUGGCCAAUCCGGCCGGAAAUCCGGCCAGUUUUUGGCCGGAUACCUGGCCGGAAUGCCUUGGAAAUUUGAAAAAAAAUUAUUUUACCGUUGCCUUGAAUCUGGCCAGGAAUCCGGCCAGAUUCCGACCGGAUUGUGACGUGUCACAGUCGGUCAUCAACUUUGUCCCGCUGUUUCCUUCAUUCUUAUCCAACUUUAGUCCAAAAUAUCUUCCAUUUCUUCACCUGGCUUGUCCGUGCAUCAUAAAGAGAAAAGCUCUCAAUUUUCCUAGUUCAAAUCUUUGCCAAAAUCUUGAGAUUUCAUUGAUGCUUUUGGAAACUAUGGGCGCACUAUGGAAGUUUGAAGAAGUUGAUGGAGUUGUUUUGGAAGGGGGAGCUUUAAGGUGCUAUCUUUCCUGAGUUUAUGAGGUGAGUUACUAAGAACGUACCCCUUUUGUUUUAAUAAUGAUAUAUUAGUGGGUUGUUGUGGUUAAAUAUGUUGUAUUGUGAAUGAUUUUAUGAUUUUAACUAAAAUUGGACCAAUUUUUUAUUCAUUGGGGUAUUUUUUGAUUUUAUAUGAUUAUGGUAUGUUGGUCAUGGAAUGAUAGCUAGUUGUGGAUUAAAAUGGAGCUUGUAUAUGUUGAUAUGAUUGUUUGCGGAAAAUUUCUAGUUUGUGCGGAAAUUCCGUUUUAUGGUUUAAUUUGGGGCUUUCUUAUGGAUUGGUUGUAAAGUCCCUAAUUGGCUUUGAUUGAAGGGUAUUGUAGCCCUAAUUGAAUGUGUUUUGUUGCUUAUGAACCGUAUGUGUAAUUGUGGUUGGUAAGAUUCAAUUUGCUAUUUUUAUUGUAGGUUGGAAAAUAAAGAAAUUAAGGGGAAAUGCUGUCCGAUCUUUGAGAGCGUUUGAUUGCUUUGAGUUUGAGUUGAAGGACUUGGACUUGAUCAAGGAACUGCAUAUGAUGGAUGAGGUACAUGAGCUGUGGUUGGUGAGUGAUCCCAAAACCGUACCAAAGCUACUUUUGAACGUUUUCUUGCAUUGUUCACUCGAUUGCAUAUCAUGUGUGCUUGCAUGUUAGGUGCUCGAGACUCCGAUUCUUGAUCCGCUUGUUUUUUCAUACACUUCACUUGCAACACUAAUUGAGCUGAAAAUUUCAGAGGCCGGUUUGCAACGUGCGAAUCGUGCCGAAUUUUCAAAGUUGGCCAAAAACCAACUUCGUUCUGCCUUGUGAACCAACCCUGCAUCUUCAAGCUCAUUUUUGACCACUUUCCACUUCGAUUCAUGGAAAAGUGUCUUCUAGGAACUUAUAGUACUCUCUAAGAGGUUUCCAACGGUAUAAAGUUUUCCAAUUCUUGACUUAUAUCGAGCGAGUUACGAUUUUUCAAAGAUUUAUCGUAAAACUGAAAAAUUUUCCAACUUCAAAGAAAUAGAGUUUUUCAAAAACUCUUUAUUCUUUUGAUGUUCUUAAACGUUUUGUUUACGAAUUUCAUGAUCAAAACUCAAAUAAUAUUGUACAUGAUAAAAGGCAAGUUGAACCUCGAUUUACGUGUAAUUGAGGUUCCUUUUUACAAAAUAAUUCUUAGAUUGUACUAGUGUACAAUCUUCCUGAUAAGUGGGUUAAUUGUAUGAUUUCGCCAUUUAAUUGUCAGGCGCGCAAGGAGACCUUCAAGAGGAUCUCACCGCGGACACUUGAACUCCCAGAAAAUAAUUCUUAUUGAAUUGCUCGGUGAGUGUCAAGUGUAUGAAUUUGAUACUUGCUAUUGUGAUACUUGUUGGGAGUUUUAAAAAUAAGGGCGGGUGCGUACUUUAUCGCACUCGUUCUAAUUUCAAAUGAAUGAAUGAAUGAAUGAAAUGUAUUGAAUGAAUGAAAUGUAUUGAAUGAAUGAAUGAAAUGCAAUGUCAUGUCAUGAAUGAUUGUGUCGUUGGAGUGAAUCUCCUCGACUACCAAAUGAAUGGGGGACGCCCAAACUCAUAGGCCGUCCUUAGACUCGAGCCGGCAAUGGGCUUGGUCGGGAACUUGGGCGAGCCAUGAGAUUAUAAGCUCGACCUAAUAAGAGGUCUUGCUUGGCAUACUCGUCGAGUAUCGCCCUAAAAAUAGACUUGUGGGCCCUUGGGGUGUACGGUGGACGGAGGGAAGAAAGUGGUGAUCUACGGAAAUGGAAAUACCGACCCGGUUGACAGGAGGGUCAAUGCGGGAAAGUAUACGAAUGACAUCGACAGAUCGAGUGGAACUUAGCUCCUGAGAGCUACUAUAUCCUUGAAUUGUUUCUGAUUACUUUUCCUGUUUGAUAGAUUGAUUAUUGAAAAGACAUGGCUUUAUUUAUUAAAGUUGGGAUUGUUAUUUGAUUACGUGCUUGCAUGUGUGUUCUUGGCCUCACGAGCGUUUAGCUCACCCUAUAGUUUUGUUUUCCUUAACAGGACCGACUCUUGGAGAAAUAUGGAGAAACCAUCCGUUGUAAUUUUGUUAAGACUCCUGUUAUAUAUUUUGACUAGGCCCUGGUUUGGGUUGUACUUUUGGAAAUUGUAAACUUGAAAUGUUUGGGCCCUGAUGUGUACUUUGAAUUGAAGUCGUUUCAUGAUUACCCGAUGUACUGGUUAUACAUUAAGUGACUUAUUAAGCUUGAACGCUUCCGCAUUAUUGUAUUCAUGUUGCUCUCAUCGAAGUGCUUAAUUCGGUUUUAAAUUGAAUGGAAUUGCUUGAUCCUGGCGAGAGCUGGGCAGGCGUCCGCGGAUACCCUUUGGUCCGCCUUAGGGAGAUGUGGGGCGUCACAGUUGGUAUCAGAGCACUAGGUUAGAGGUCUAUAUGGGAGACAUAUUAGAUACUCUACCUUUAAGACUCGAUAUGGGAUAACUUAAUCCUACCCUAAGUGAUGCUUGAGGCGAGCUAGCAGUUAAGUUAGUCCUACCUCAAGUGACGAAUGGGAUGAACCAGCUAUUAAGAUAGACAUGCAUUGCAGGAUAUUGGAACUGAGUAGUGAUUUAAGUUCUAACCUGAAAAUAUUAUUAUUGUUAUUAUUUUGCAGGGAUGGCUGAUGGAAACGGAGCCCCGGCAGCUAACGGGAAUGGCCAUGCGAAUGGUCAUUUCGAGCCCCUUAGGACUAUCUACUACCGAUCUAUAGCAGGAGGAGCUCGUGUACGCUACUCACCCUAUGACAGAUACCCUCGAUGUUCGUGUAGGUUGACCUUCGCCUACCCGAACCAUCUAGUGUUUGCUUUGGACGACGAGCGUCGUCAGUUGGUGGAUGCCAACCGUGAUUUGCAGACUGAGGUAGAUGAGCUUAGGUAGAUGGUUGGCGCUCAGGGUGAGCGGAUUGCUGAGCUUGAGGAGGUGCUAGAGGGUGAGGUAGCCACAUCUGCAGUGGUUAAUGAGGAGCUUCGGGAUACUAGGGCUCGACUCAUUAGGUUAGCACGAGAUGUCCGUACUCGGGCUUUCGAGAUGCUGGUUGAUGCUACUAGUCUGGUUGAGGACGCUGCUGUGGUGAUUCCUGAUGAUGAGGAGGAGGAUCCGGAGGAGGAUCCCGAGGAGGAGGUUCCUCCUGAUAGCCCUGCUAUGGACUAGGAUCUUGGUCGUUGACCCCUAUUGACUUUUGACUGGUACAGUUAGGACUAGUUAGGGUGACGCGAGUGCCGAGGCCAUUGUAUUUUGCAUGCUUGUGUGGCCUACUUUUGGGCACUUGUUCUUACUUUAGUCUUCUGUGACUAGAAGUAUACUUCUGAGCACCUGUGUGCUAUAUUUUGUGAAUUGUCCCUAACUUGUUAAUUGUACGAACUUGACAUGCUUAUGAAUGUAAAUUAUUGUUAAUUUCAAUGCUUCUUGGUUAGUUCUAAAUUCGAUAUAAUUCUUGUUUUCUGCUUAAAUUAAUUUAUUUCUUGCACUAGGCACGUUUAGACUAAUGGAAGGAUUAAGGAGUGGUCGAGGCCGUGGACGAGCGUCUAGACAGGCCCAACCUCAGGGGGAUGACCAGGGUUCGGCAACUGGACCGACCCAGGGACAGGAAAACGUUGAGGGUAACCAAGUGGCUACUGCCAUCAAUAGGAUGACUGAUAUCCUAGAACGUCUAGCGGAGAGACAGGGUCCUGGACCAUUUAACCAACCUGGGGGCCAGGAUAGGGGAGAGGAUAGAGCCCUGGAAAGAUUCCUAAAGUUUAACCCGCCUAAGUUUAUGGGUGAACCUGACCCCGAAGUAGUGGAGAACUGGUUAGAAAGGAUGACCAACAUAUUCGCCGCUCUAGACUAUACUGAAGAUAGACGAGUGAACUUUGCUGCUUUUCAAUUUGAGGGAGUAGCCCGUGCUUGGUGGGAUUUGAUAAAAGGAAAAUGGGAAAGAGCUCGAACCCCUUGGACUUGGGAGAAUUUCACAAGGGAGUUUAAUGAAAAGUUUCUUCCGCCCUUGAUUCAAGAGAAAAGAGAGGACGAAUUUAUUAAGUUGAAACAAGGAACCCUUACUGUAGCAGAGUAUGAAGGGAAGUUCACUAAACUUUCCAAAUACGCUCCUGAGUUAGUAGCCGAUGAACGGAGAAGGAUUAGAAGGUUCAUACAGGGACUUAAUGUGGAACUUCAGGAGGGCCUGGCUGCAGCCCAAAUCUCUACUUUUACUGAGGCUUUAGAGAAAGCGCAAAGGGUUGAGAAUGCAAGAUUUCAAGUGAGGGAUUUCCACAAUAGAAAAAGGAAUUUCCCUAGUCGCACUACUGGGCAGACCAGUAAGUUUGUACACCCUUCUAAAAAGGGAAGAGGUGAAGGAGGAACGAGAACUGCUGGAGCUUCUAGGGGAGCUCUAUCUAGGGGAGGUCGUAGCGGGACGACUCAAGCUAGGGGAGCACCAUCUGUUGGAUCGACUGUGACCCCUCAAGUUACUUGUGGGUAUUGUGGUAAACCCAACCACUCUGAGGAUGACUGCUGGAGAAAGCUGGGAAAAUGCUUACUGUGUGGGAGCACUGAGCAUCAAAUUGCAAAUUGUCCGAAAUCGUCAAAGACAGGGGGAAACCUGCAGAGACCUGAAAAAUCAACCUCUAAGCAGACCAGUGCCGGAGGGAGUCGACCGAAAGUACCGGCUAGGGUCUACGCAUUGGACUAUCCACAAGUUCCAGAGGCGACCGAAGUGGUCGAAGGUACAAUUCCAAUCUUUCACCGCCUAGCUAGGGUUUUAAUUGAUCCGGGUGCAACGCACUCUUUUGUAAACCCUGAUUUCAUGAGUGGAAUAGACUUGAAACCAAUUAAGUUACCAUAUGACUUGGAGGUUAAAACACCCACUGGGGACAAAAGUCUAAUUGCUAAUAUGGUGUAUAAGAAUAGUGAAGUUUGCGUGAGGGAAAGAAAAUUGCUGGCCGAUUUGAUAGGCUUAGCGAUUAAAGGAUAUGAUGUGAUCCUAGGGAUGGAUUGGUUAGCCCGUUAUAAUGCUCAGUUAAAUUGUAGGACGAAAAUUGUAGAAUUGUGUAUUCCAGGGGAGGCAACCCUGAAAUUGGAUGUGAGGGGUAAGUUAGCCUCGUCUGCACUUAUUUCGGGAAUUCGGGCUAGAAAGUUGUUAAGUAAUGGAGCUCAAGGGUAUUUGGCUUUUCUUAUUAAUACCCCUAACGAUAAGGUGAAUCUGGAAGACACCCCGGUAGUAAAAGAAUUUUCUGAUGUUUUUCCUGAAGAAUUGGAGUCUCUACCUCCGGAACGGGAAAUAGCUUUUAAAAUUGAUUUAGCUCCGGGAACAGCACCUAUAUCAAGGACACCAUACAGGAUGGCUCCAGCUGAGUUGAAGGAGUUGAAGUUACAAUUACAGGAUUUGUUGGAACGGGGUUUUAUACGAGAGAGUGAUUCUCCGUGGGGAGCCCCAGUUUUGUUUGUAAAGAAGAAAGAUGGGAGUUUGAGGUUAUGUAUAGAUUAUCGAGGUUUAAAUGAUGUUACGGUUAAGAAUAAAUACCCACUACCCCACAUCGAUGAACUGUUUGAUCAAUUGCAAGGGGCGGUAGUGUUUUCAAAGUUGGAUCUAAGGCAAGGUUACUAUCAAUUGAGGAUUUUGGAGAAGGAUAUACCUAAGACUGCUUUUAACUCAAGGUAUGGGCACUUCGAGUUUGCAGUGAUGCCUUUUGGGUUAACCAAUGCACCUGCCGCUUUCAUGGAUUUAAUGCAUAGGGUUUUUAAGCCUUACUUGGAUCAAUUUGUGGUGAUUUUCAUUGAUGACAUUUUAGUGUAUUCUAAGAAUGUGAAAGAUCACGAGAAACAUUUGAGAAUUGUUUUACAAAUCCUGAGGGAACAUCAGUUAUAUGCUAAGUUUAGCAAGUGUGAAUUUUGGCUAAAGGAAGUGACCUUCCUAGGGCACAUAAUUUCAAAGGAUGGGAUUAAAGUGGAUCCAGCUAAAGUGGAAGCUGUUUCGAAAUGGAAACGACCGGAAAACCCAACGGAAGUUCGGAGUUUUAUAGGACUGGCAGGAUAUUACCGGAGAUUCAUCCAGGAUUUUUCGAAAAUCGCUGGACCUAUGACUGAGUUGACCAAGAAAAAUGGAAAAUUUAUUUGGAGUUCUAAGUGUGAAGGAAGUUUUCAGGAGUUGAAAAGACGGUUGACUAGAGCGCCUGUUCUAGCUCUACCAAAUGGACAUGAUAGUUUUGUGGUUUACACAGAUGCAUCUAAGGAAGGUUUGGGAUGUGUUUUGAUGCAAAAUGAUAAAGUGAUAGCUUAUGCCUCUAGAAAAUUGAAGCCGCAUGAAGGAAAUUAUCCGACCCAUGAUUUGGAGUUAGCGGCUGUGGUCUUUGCUUUGAAGAAAUGGAGACACUAUUUAUACGGAGUGACAUUUGAGGUUUUUACAGAUCACAAAAGCCUUAAGUACUUAUUUUCUCAGAAGGAGCUGAAUUUAAGGCAACGUAGAUGGAUGGAAUUUCUGGAAGAUUAUGACUGCAUUAUUAAGUACCAUCCUGGGAAGGCCAAUGUAGUGGCCGAUGCUUUGAGCCGUCAGGUACAAAUGGCUGGAUUGAUGGUUAAGGAAUUUCGAUUGUUGGAAGAAGUUAGCUAUUGGAAUCCCCGAUUAGAACCAAGGAAAGUGAUUUUGGGGAACAUUGUGAUAACCUCCACUUUAUUGGAACGUAUUAAGGAAUCUCAGGAAAAGGACCCUGAAAUGCGAAAGUUGGUGGAGAAAGUCCAGAUGGGAGACCAGACCGAUUUCACUUCGGGAUCAGAUGGAAUAUUAAGAUUUCGAAAUCGGGUGGUUAUGCCAAAGGACGAAGGGCUUAGAAAAGAAAUUUUGGAAGAAGCCCACCGAUCAAAGUUUACAGUACAUCCAGGAGGGAAUAAAAUGUACCAAGACUUGAAAGGUCUUUAUUGGUGGAAAAAUAUGAAGAAGGAAAUUGCCCAAUUUGUUCAGACAUGCUUGGUUUGUCAACAGGUUAAAGCCGAACAUCAGAAACCAUCUGGGCUUUUGCAACCUCUAGAAAUACCUGAGUGGAAAUGGGAAAAUGUUACCAUGGACUUUGUAUCAGGUUUACCAAGGACACAGAGAGGCCAUGAUGCCAUUUGGGUGAUAGUGGAUAGAUUGACUAAAUCGGCUCAUUUUCUGCCGAUUAAUAUGAAAUAUCCAUUGGAGAAGUUGGCCAGAUUAUACUUGGAUGAGAUCAUCAGACUACAUGGUAUACCUGUGAGUAUUGUGUCGGAUAGAGAUCCAAGAUUUGUUUCGAGGUUUUGGCAAAAGAUGCAAGAAGUGUUGGGGACUAAGUUGAACUUUAGUACCACCUAUCAUCCCCAAACUGAUGGACAAUCUGAAAGAACGAUUCAAACUCUUGAGGACAUGUUGAGGACUUGUGUACUGGACUUUGGAGAGAAUUGGAGUAAGUUCUUGACUUUAGUGGAAUUUGCCUAUAACAAUAGUUUCCACUCUUCUAUUCAAAUGGCUCCGUAUGAGGCACUUUAUGGUCGGAAGUGUAGAUCCCCCAUUUGUUGGGAUGAAGUAGGUGAACGGAAAAUCUUAGACACGACUACUGUAUCUUGGAUUGAGGAGGCCAAUGAAAAGGUGAAAUUGGUACGGCAAAGAAUUCAAACCGCUCAGAGUAGACAAAAGAGUUAUGCCGACAAUCGGAGGAAGGAUUUGGAGUUCACUGUUGGAGAUAUGGUAUUUCUCAAGAUUACGCCUUUAAAAGCAAGUUUGAUGUCCGGAAAAGGGAAGAAAUUACAACCAAGGUUUGUAGGGCCUUAUAAGAUUAUUCAGCGAGUUGGGAAUGUAGCCUAUAAGCUGGAAUUACCACCGAGUUUAUCUCGUAUCCAUAACGUGUUUCAUGUGUCCAUGCUUAAGAAGUAUCAUCCAGACCCCUCUCAUGUUUUACAACCGGAGAAUAUUGAGAUCGAUGAAACCCUAACCUAUGAGGAGAGACCGGUAAAACUUCUGGAUCGAAAGGUGAAGGAAUUGAGGAACAAGCAGAUACCACUAGUGAAAGUUUUAUGGAAGAACCAUGGAGUAGAAGAAGCAACAUGGGAAGUUGAAGAGACAAUCAGAGAGAAGUAUCCAGACUUGUUCACCAACCAAGGUAAAUUUCGAGGACGAAAUUUUCUUAAGGGGGAGAGGAUGUGAGGACUCGCAAAAAACUAUUAUUCUAUGCCUAAUUUAUGGCUUAAUAAAUUAUUUAAUUGGAUUUUAUUUCCUCGGAAUAUUUUAUAGUCUUAUGAGACCUAAACGCAUGAUAAUAUAACUUCGUUAUAUUUUUAAAAUGAUUCGUUUCGAAAAUUAAUUUCCUAGAGCGCGUUUAGUAAAAAUAGUGAAUAGUACUUGGAGAUUUUAUCCGCGUAGUAGCCCAAUAAGCUUGGAAUAUUGGAGACUUGUACUAGGGUCCUAAAAUAGGUAAUUUUAUGAAUAAAUAUUCAAGUGAUAGUUAGUAGUGCAAUCGUUAUAAGAAUUUUUCGAAAGUUCCGCGUUAUAGCGGUAAAAUUUGACGGUACGCGUUUUCACACGCGCGACUUCAAUUGAAGGACUUUAGACCCUUAUUUCGGGACAAUUAAGAGUGAAUAAUAAUUACAAGAAUAUAUAUGCCUUGGAGGUUUAGUGCACUAGUGAACCAAACGCGCGAGAAAAAUCGAGUCCAAACGCACCCUAAAUUGCACUAUUUCAAGUUGACUUUGAGGUGCAUUUUGCACCACACAAAGAAUCUUCCUUUGGAAGCCAAUUGCAUCAGCACUCUCUCUCUCUUCACCUCACUUGGCCGAACAACAAGAAGGAGAAGAGCUCUCCAUUGUCUUCAUUUUUCAUCUUCAAUCCAUGCACCAAAAUCCACCCAAAUCACACCAAACUUGGAGAUCUCUUAGCAAACCACUUGGAGACUACAUCUAGCUAAGGAGGAAGGGAGCUUUCACGGUUUCUUUGGAGCUUCAAGAGGGCCGAAAAUUCUGACCUUGCAAACCAAAGGAGUAGGUAAUGAUCAACCCUUGGAUUCUUAUCUUUUGGAGAUUAUAUGACAAGAUUAAGUUCAUGCAUGCACUUAGUUACUUGUUUAUGGUGUAAAAAUGUGAUUGUGGGCUCUUGGAAUUCCCACACUUGGGUUGUUGUUGCUGAUGUGAUGAUUAAUGGUGAUUAUAUUGUUGGUUUAGUGAUUUUAAUGAUGCAUUAGUGAUGGGUAAUUAGUGGAAACUUCAUUGGGUGUAAGAAGCUAAACUUUCCGAUUUUGCCCCUGCCAUGUUCGGCCAUUUUCAGGCCAAUUUUUAAUGGUUUAAUUGCUUGAAUUGGAUGUUUGUAGGAUGUAUUAGAUGUGUGAAAAAUUUCAUUGAAAAAUAAUGAGGUUUGAAUGGGCAAAUGAAUUUUUUUUAGAAACCAGCAAAUCUGGAAAACUGAUUCGCGUAUGCUCUGACCAGCAGUAGUAUUUUGGCUAUAACUCUGUCCUCGGAUGUCGAAAUCAUGUGCCGUUGGUGGCGUUUGAAACUAGACAUUCCUAGCUUUAAUUUGGUAUAUAAUGCACGUUCUGAGUCUUUGUGAGCAGGCCGAACCAAAUGUUUUAAGUUCGCUGUCCUGUCACUCUGUUCAUCUGGAAUGAAGUGUGCAGGCUGCAACUUGAUGCCCGAAUUUGAACCAGAUGGGUGCCGAAUUUGGAAACGAUUUCUUCUAUGAUAUUUUAACUCUAUGAAUGUAUUUUCCAACGGCAUAAGCCAUGCUCAAUUUCGAGCUAUAUUGACUGAGUUGUGACUAAAACAAGUGGACUGCUCUGUUUUGGAAAACCCUAAUGUUUGGACUGGUUUGGAACAAAAUCUCGGAGUGAACUUGUUAGUUGAUGUUUUUGAUAUUAAACACUUACCAAAGGUAUCAUGGGUAUAUCUUAGACCCUUAUUUCACAAAUGAACCAUGGUUGGAUAACUUUCUUGGUUAAACGAUUGGAAAUUUGGAAAAUGAAGGUCCAAGGCAGAUUGCCUUAGGAUUUUUCUUGAACUUCGGUUGGCUCAUUAACUACCUUGCCGAAGGUAUUUUUCCCCGAAAUUCGAUAGAGAGAUACUUUCCAUAUAGUAUUGAAAUACUGCCAAUUUUGGUGCCGAUUCAAGUUCGUUUCGAUACCAAUUGAAUUACUAAAGUUAGAGGUUCAAAUCUGGAAAAUUCUCAUCCAGUCUUGAAUUUGCUCAACUUCGGGCUACCGUAUCUCGGUGCUCGAGACUCCGAUUCUUGAUCCGCUUGUUUUGUCAUACACUUCACUUGCAACACUAAUUGAGCUGAAAAUUUCAGAGGCCGGUUUGCAACGUGCGAAUCGUGCCGAAUUUUCAAAGUUGGCCAAAAACCAACUUCGUUCUGCCUUGUGAACCAACCCUGCAUCUUCAAGCUCAUUUUUGACCACUUUCCACUUCGAUUCAUGGAAAAGUGUCUUCUAGGAACUUAUAGUACUCUCUAAGAGGUUUCCAACGGUAUAAAGUUUUCCAAUUCUCGACUUAUAUCGAGCGAGUUACGAUUUUUCAAAGAUUUAUCGUAAAACUGAAAAAUUUUCCAACUUCAAAGAAAUAGAGUUUUUCAAAAACUCUUUAUUCUUUUGAUGUUCUUAAACGUUUUGUUUACGAAUUUCAUGAUCAAAACUCAAAUAAUAUUGUACAUGAUAAAAGGCAAGUUGAACCUCGAUUUACGUGUAAUUGAGGUUCCUUUUUGCAAAAUAAUUCUUAGAUUGUACUAGUGUACAAUCUUCCUGAUAAGUGGGUUAAUUGUAUGAUUUCGCCAUUUAAUUGUCAGGCGCGCAAGGAGACCUUCAAGAGGAUCUCACCGCGGACACUUGAACUCCCAGAAAAUAAUUCUUAUUGAAUUGCUCGGUGAGUGUCAAGUGUAUGAAUUUGAUACUUGCUAUUGUGAUACUUGUUGGGAGUUUUAAAAAUAAGGGCGGGUGCGUACUUUAUCGCACUCGUUCUAAUUUCAAAUGAAUGAAUGAAUGAAUGAAAUGUAUUGAAUGAAUGAAUGAAAUGCAAUGUCAUGUCAUGAAUGAUUGUGUCGUUGGAGUGAAUCUCCUCGACUACCAAAUGAAUGGGGGACGCCCAAACUCAUAGGCCGUCCUUAGACUCGAGCCGGCAAUGGGCUUGGUCGGGAACUUGGGCGAGCCAUGAGAUUAUAAGCUCGACCUAAUAAGAGGUCUUGCUUGGCAUACUCGUCGAGUAUCGCCCUAAAAAUAGACUUGUGGGCCCUUGGGGUGUACGGUGGACGGAGGGAAGAAAGUGGUGAUCUACGGAAAUGGAAAUACCGACCCGGUUGACAGGAGGGUCAAUGCGGGAAAGUAUACGAAUGACAUCGACAGAUCGAGUGGGACUUAGCUCCUGAGAGCUACUAUAUCCUUGAAUUGUUUCUGAUUACUUUUCCUGUUUGAUAGAUUGAUUAUUGAAAAGACAUGGCUUUAUUUAUUAAAGUUGGGAUUGUUAUUUGAUUACGUGCUUGCAUGUGUGUUCUUGGCCUCACGAGCGUUUAGCUCACCCUAUAGUUUUGUUUUCCUUAACAGGACCGACUCUUGGAGAAAUAUGGAGAAACCAUCCGUUGUAAUUUUGUUAAGACUCCUGUUAUAUAUUUUGACUAGGCCCUGGUUUGGGUUGUACUUUUGGAAAUUGUAAACUUGAAAUGUUUGGGCCCUGAUGUGUAUUUUGAAUUGAAGUCGUUUCAUGAUUACCCGAUGUACUGGUUAUACAUUAAGUGACUUAUUAAGCUUGAACGCUUCCGCAUUAUUGUAUUCAUGUUGCUCUCAUCGAAGUGCUUAAUUCAGUUUUAAAUUGAAUGGAAUUGCUUGAGUCCUGGCGAGAGCUGGGCAGGCGUCCGCGGAUACCCUUUGGUCCGCCUUAGGGAGAUGUGGGGCGUCACAAUAUGCACUUAACACUUCAAAUUAAAAGAAGUCUUGAUUCAAAAUCCUAUGAUACCUACAAAGGGAUGACCGAAUUAAAGACAAAUAGGGACCUUCGUCCAAGCCUAGAAUGAGGACAAGACUCUCGGCCAAGGGGAAGAUAAUAAAUGCAGCAACCAAAAGGAAGGUUUGAUUCCAAAUUUCUGUUACAACUUAUAAACUUUCGACCACAAGAAUUCACAUAAUCCUUUGGACUAAUUUCAACUAAACAGGGGCAAACGAUUGUUAACCAUGGAAUUAUUUCAUACCAGUCGUUGCAACAACAGAAUUGUGUUCGUGUGCCGAAAUUCUAACAAGUUUCUACUAGUUUAAACCGCCAAACCCAAACACAAGGCCUUCAUCCCAUUAUUCACUACAUAAACAUCAAUCCUGGAAAAACCAAUCGAAACCAAUGAACCAGAAAUGCAUCAAAGAAAUAAAAUGCACCUUGAGGCAAACACAUUUGGCAUGUCGAUUAACAAACAAGUAAAUCACCCACUUUUGUUCCCCAAAUCCAAGUUAAAUCCACGGGUUUUCUUAGCAAAAACUGGAGAAAAAUUAAAGCUUCCAUGAACCACGCAAUCCAACCAUGAACCCCAGAGAAAUAUCGAAUGAAAUGCAGCAACAAAACUUUGGACUGUGAAGUGCGGCAAAACCAGAUUGUUUAUCAGUUUCAAAACACAUUUGCAGAUUCAAACUCAUAGUUUCCCUAUCAAAAAACACGACCUAACCAAAACUUUCUACUCUAACACGCAACACACUCAUUCAAACAGGCCAACAUAACUAAGAACUCAGGAAUUCUAGUAAUAUAGGUUAGAUGUUAACGGACUAAGCAGAAUAGAAAGCUACCUGUUCACAGCUGCGGAUUAGACACUUCAGCCUGGAUUCAAUGGAAGUAUUAGCGGCCAAUCCUGAGCCUUAAGCUUCAGCUCGAAUCACCUCCUCCACUUGCUCUCUCUCAGAUUGCUCGGCCAUGUUUUCUGGUUCCUUUUCCUUGUUGUUUUGCCGUAUCUUCCCUCCUCAAUCUUUCGUCACUUCCUUUCUUUUCGUCUGUUUUGUUUGCCUCCCGUCACUCUCUUUCUAUCCCUCUGUCUUUCCUUUUCUCCCUCAGCCCCCAGCUCUCUCCCCUCUCUUCACAGCUUUUCUGGUUCUCCACUCAAUUCUUACGGCUGCCCUCUUGUUCUUCUUUGUUCUCUGCCGUUUCCUUUUUUCGAUUUCUUGCCGUCAAUCUCCUCUAUCCCUCUCCCCUAGCGGCUGUCUUUUCUUUUCUUUUUAUAUCUAGUUUCUAACCCUAAAAACUUCAGGUCCUUUUCUCCAUAUUUGCACUCCCAGGAGCCGUCCCAAUCCCCCUUUGCAAGCUGCGCAAGUCUGCAGCUUUCAUGCUGCGGCAUUUUUUUUAUUUAUUUAUUUAUUUAUUUUUGAAACUAAUUAAAACAAAAAUUAAAAAUAAACUUAAAACAUAUAACAAAACAAUUUAAUUAACGAUGAAUGGAAAAUAAAUGGCCUAAAAACAACAAAAAUACAACUUCCAUUUCUCGUCGAUUUUCCCCUUUUCAUUUUUCUCUUCUUCUUUUUGGCACUUUCUCUUUUUUUUUUUUUUCAUUUUCCGAAUUUUCACUCUCAUUUUUCAUUUUUUCCAAGAAAACAUUGAAUAAAAAUGACUAAAACAUAUUUUUGAUGUUUUCCUUUUCUUUUCUAAAAAACUCUAUACUAAUCUUAAACUUAAAAGCUAAAAACUGAAAACUAAAACUAAAAGUAAAUAAGAAUGAAUAGCAAAUGAAAUAAGUCAACUAAAAGGGCGAAAAUGAAUAAAACUAAAACAUCAUAACAACUAAUAGUGCAAAACACACAAUAACGAACUAAAAUGCAAGCAAUCUAAAAAUGAAAAUCAUGAAAUAGAUGCUACAUAAAAUUAUUCAAAAUUUGGUGUCUACAAAACGCAUUGAAAUUUCAUCAGAUUUUUGCUCAAUUUGACGUAAAUCAGCACCCGAAAUUGGUAAGAAACAUAAAGACGUUCAGCCCCAAUCAACACAGAAAUCAUGUAUGCUCAAAUUUACGCACAAUCAACAUAACAAUCACAAUAAGCCAUUCUCUUUUGAGAGUCUUAUAGGCCUAAGCUUAAAAAGAAAACCAAAAAUUGAAAGGGGGAAGAGGACUCACAGCAUUCGCUCGGUGAGGAUCGGCAACGAAUGGUGAUGGAUAUCCGAUGAGGUGGUUACAGCUUGGUGAAUUGUAAACCUCCGCUGCCAUCGCUGCUCAAGUCAUCCACGGAAGAGAAGCAGAUGAAGAAGCAGUUGAUGAGAGGCUCUGGAAGCGCUGAUGGUAGCCAGCUUGGUGAAGAUGGCGGCAGAAGCCCCGGCUGCUUUGAUGGCUACGGUGGUGGCGGGAGAUGAAAUGACGGACAGCAGCGGCGGCGGAUGCGGGUCAAUGGCGGCUUGGGCUGAUAGCAUGAGGAAGAGUCUGGGCAGGCAGCGGAUGGAGUUGAGAUGGUUGCUGUGGUGGUUGGAAACUCUUCUCCUCGCCGAUCAUUGAAACCGAAGCCUCCCCUAUUUUCUCACUCAGCCGCCAGCUUCUUUUUCCUUUUUUUAGUUUCGUUUCUUGCCUCUCAACCGUAGCUCCCUCCGUUUUUCUUUCCUUUUUCUUGCUCAAAUACUCCGCCGCCACUGCCCUAUCAGUUCUCUCCUUUUGCUCCGUCCUCCCUUGCGUUUUUUCUUUUCCAAAACCUCCCUUGGGUUCUCUCUCUCAGCCGCCCCCCAGACGAAACUCCCUUGUUUUCCUUUUCCUUCCAUCAAGCCCCUCUGUCUCUUCCUUCCUUUCUGUUUCCCUUUCCGUUCACCGCCCCACUUUCUUUCCCCUGUUUUUCUUGUUUUUUUUUCUUUGCCUGCCGAAGCUCUCCAGUUUUUCUAGCCGCUGUCUUUUUCCCUUUUUCAUCUAAAACCCUAGCCGCCCUUUCUCAGGCUUCCCCCUCUUUUCCUCCGUUUUUUUUCUCUCGGCCCCUCCUUUUUUUUAGCCGUCCAAAACUCUCCCUUAUAUCGGCAUCCGGAAUCCCCACGUAACCUAAGACCAAGGGAUGAGAUUUGGAGUUGCAUUUUGGCUCUUCCUAUCAAGACCAUCGGAUGGCAUCUUGCAUGAAGCUUGCUUCCUUCUUUUUCUUUUUUUUCUCUUUUUUUUCUUUUCAUUUAAUUGAUAAUAAACAAAAUAUGAAGAAAAAUAACUAAGUAAGUAAGAUCGAAUAAAAAUGAGCGAAACUAGGCAUAAAAAGAUAAAAAUGAAAUGCUAAUUUUCUUUCUCUUUUUCUUCUUUUUUUUUUUAAAUUAAAUAACAAUGAAUUUGAAUCUAAAAUAACUAAAGCAUAUUUUUGUGAAUGAUUUUCUUUUUCGAUAUAUCCUGCGCUAAAAUGGCUUAAAAUAAAAAAUAAACGCCUAAAAGUAGAUAAAACUAACAUGGCAAAUAAAAAAUAAAAAUAAAUAGUAAAUGAAAUUAUACUAAGAAUUUGGUGUCUACAGUUUGCCCCUCUUUGUCUGAGUUUUGGAAAAACUUGAGACAAAGAAAUAGAUACCAAAUACUUACCUGCAAACUAGCUGCAAAUUACUCGAGCGACUGACACUUUUGAAAAUGAGGACUAACCUCCUUCAAAAAAUUCAAAAAUGGGAUUAACCUAGACGAGAACUUUGAAACGGGACUGACCCGUACAAAAAAUUAGACCAAGGGACUGACCCGAAUGAGAAUUUAAUCAUGGGAUUGACCCGGACAGAAAAUUUAAAAGGGGACUGACUCCAACAGGAAUUUAAAUCGGGACUGACCCGAAUAGACAAUUUAAACAUGGGAUUGGCCCGAACAGAAAAUUUAAAAGGGGACUGACCCCAACAUGAAAAUAAAAUCGGGACUGAUCCGGGGGACUGACCCCAACAUGAAAUUUAAAUUCGGGACUGACCCGAGGGGACUGACCCCAACAUGAAAUUAAAAUCGGGACUGACCCAAGGGGACUGACCCCAACAUGAAAUGUAAAUUCGGGACUGACCCGAGGGGAUUGACCCCAACAUGAAAUUAAAAUCGGGACUGACCCCAACAUAAAAUUAAAAUCGGGACUGACCCGAGGGGACUGAACCCAACAUGAUAUUAAAAUCGGGACUGACCCGAGGGGACUGAACCCAACAUGAAAUUUAAAUUCGGGACCGACCCGAGGGGACUGACCCCAACAUGAAAUUAAAAUCGCGGUAUGCACACUAGUGGGACUGACCCAACGGCUAGUGGCAAAAUAAAAGAAAUGCGCACUAGUGGGACUGACCCAACGGCUAGUGGCAAUGCAAAUGAAAAUGCCUUGACCAUCGGUCAGUGGGAUUAAACCCGAGCCUGCCAUGAUAAAACUUGAUUUGAUUUUUGAUUUUGAUGAAUUUUUGAUUUUUUUCUUUUCUUUUUUUUUGAGAAUCUUUUUGAUUUGAUUUUUUUCUUUUCUUUUUUUUUUGAGAAUCUUUUUGAUUUUUUUUCUUUUUUUUAUUUGAUUUUUUUCUUUUCCUUUUUUUGAUUUUUUUUGAGAAUCUUUUUGAUUUAUUUCUUUUUUUUAUUUGAUUUUUUUAUUUUCUUUUUUUAAAAUUUUUUGAGAAUCUUUUUUAUUUAAUUUUUAUUUGUUUUUUUUAUUUGAUUUUUUUCUUUUCUUUUUGAGAAUCUUUCCAAAAAUAAUUUGCCCGAAUUUCUACCAAUUAUUGUGCAGCCGAUCCUUUGAUUUGCGUUACGGCAUGGUUGCUCCUCCUUAAGGCCUCGAUUCGCAAGAUUUUGACUUAUGCUUCUUCAUCGAUUUCAAGCCAUGGAUUCCUGCACAAGGGGCUUAUCCAAGUACAACAUGCACUUAAAUUUCUUGAUGCAUCUACUACUCAUAAAAAGAGCAGUAUGAUUGAUUUAAAAACGUCCUGUUUGACUCUUGGACGAAAUCCUUAAAUGGGUUACAAAACAUUUUGCCCCAGUGUGGUGUGUUGUCCUUUUCACUUGAAACUUUCCUUCGAAAAUCGUGUAAACAUGAGUCUUCAUGUGACCUUUCCAAAUCUUAUCAUCCGUGAUGUCCAUUUUUGUUCGGCAAGCUGUUUUGACAUCAAGCCACUUUGAGACUUUCAAUUUCUGACAUUCCAUUGAUACAAACCUCUCUGUCUGGAAUCAAGAUGGUUAACUGUUCGUUGUUUCAUCAUACUUUUCUAGGGAUGAAUAGAUCCAAAUGCUCUUUUGAUUUGAUCAGUUGGAUGAAUACCCGAGCCUACCUUUAUUUGGGUCAGUGGGAUGAAUCCUGAACCUGCCUUUGAUCAUCGAAUUUAGCAAAACGAUUGAUCACUGAAAACUUUUCUAGAUUUUGACAUUCCAUUACCAAGUCCAAACUGAUACUCUCUUGUCCAACCGCAAAACUUAUCUCCAAGCUUUCUUGCUCUUGCUGUGAGAUCAUCCAUGAAUUUUAACAGAAGCUGAUCCUUAAUGCUUCCUGAUGUUAUCCUCUAAUGCUAAUCUGAGCAACCCACACUCCCAUAUUCUAAAUUAGCAUUCACAGACAGUAUUGCUGCUGGUGGAAGGCGACGUAAUUUUUUCAUAAAUUGUGUUGUCAAGACAAGCCUUCUUUUGGUGUUAAAUAUCAGCGAUCCAUCAUCAAUCUCACAUCAUCUUCGACCUUGUCAACAAGUCGAUUUGCUGCUUUAGCCCACCUAAUCUCCUCCAUACUGAUAUUUUGAAGAUCUUGGGAAUCUUGUGACACUUCUUUGUGCCAGGGGUGAAGUUCAUAAGUAGCACUCUCGCGCUUCUUCAUCAAUUUUCAGUUGUAAACGCCUGUGCAGUGGGCUUACCAAAGUACAACAUGCAACUAUUCCUCAUGAAAAAGCAGUGUUAUUGCAAUUAAAAGUAUAUUAGUUGACUCUUGGGCGAAGUCCUCAAAUGUGUUCCAAAAACUUGCCCCAGUGUGGGCUUAUUUCGUGAAAUCUCACAAAUAAAAAUUUGUCCCAGUGUGGGCCCCCUUGGUUGUAAAAAUUUGUUCAGAUGAUUCCCUAUUUGAUAAGGCAACCCUAGGGGAAGACCCUCCUAGAACCUCCCAACCUUGUAAUUAUCAGAGUUGGAUCGUUUCUCCCAAUGGAAAUUGAACUCGAUUGUUCUCAUGAACUCAAGACCUCUGACACACAAAGGCAAUCAGCAACCUUAAGCAAAUAAUGAUGGAUGAAGAGACACCACGAUUAGGGAACAAGCUAAUCGAUAAAGUCAGAUUUGAAUCCUAAGCAAUGAACUCAAGAAUUCAAGAGUAAGUUCGAUUAAGAACUUGAAGGAAAAUUCCUCACAAUUUCUGGUUGUAAAAUAUUCUGUCUUUUACUCAUACAAGAGGUGCCUUUUUAUAGGCUAAAACUAGGGCAAAAUCCGGCCCACAUAAACCUGGAAGAAAUUCGGUCCGCAUAAAGAGCUUAAAGAGCCAGCUCUUUAAGGCUUUCCGAUAAGGCCCAAUAAGUAAUAAAAUACUCAACGCCUAACAACUACUAAACUAGACAGUCUUAAAACAACUACUAACUAAUCUACCAAGUAGGAGAUCAUUCUUGCACUUCAAAUGUACAAGUGAGCAAGGUAACUUCAUGGUCCAUCAAAUCUUCAAAUUUAGGUUGCUCCUUGCUUGUAUGGUGAAUGAUCAAGGCUUGUAAAGCUUCCUUCACCUUCUUGGAUCUUAAUCUUGUCAUCGGACCACCAAUGUUAACCAAAGGAUCCUUGACCCAAGAUUGAAGUUGCUGCACACCCGUAUCCGCAUCACUAUUUAUUUGAACAAAGAGAAACCACACUUCUAAAAUUUAGAAAAUAGUCAUAUAUACAAUGUGAAGAAACUUAGACGUCGAGUUUGAACUCAUGCAGAAAUUUCAUGAUGAAUCCCUCAUAGUAAUACCAAAUUCAAAAAGAUUUCUUCCUCACUUUUAGCAUCGAUGCUUAGGGUAACGGGUCACCAUUUCUUGUUAGCUCGUCUUUCAGGACUAAUCAAGUGGGUAUUAUUUCUGAUUUUGCGGUGACUGAGGAAAAUGGGAGGUUAGGAUUUGUCUUAUUCUUGUGCCCAAUGGUAUCUAAUUCAUUCAACAUCACAUCUUAGUGAAAGCAAAUAGUAUGUCACCCCUAUUUCUUAAGAAAAUUUAGUUAACAUAUAAGUUUUUUAGGCUUGUAACGUGUGGACAGAAACGAUAGCUAAACAUGUGGAAACAGGUUAUAGCCUUAAGAUCACAAAUGAUUGAUGGAUUCCUCAGAAGCAUAAUCUUCACUUUGAGUUGUCAUGAAGGAUAAGUCAACGAUGGACUUUAUGAGCUUGUAAUGGGGCUUGAAAGGGAUAGUUAAAGGAAUAAAAUUCUCAAGGACAUUGCACUGAAGAUCGCAUUUUUCCAAAAUUGCCCCUAUUUUGAAUUCGAAAAUCCUGGACUUCGUUUGACUUUUAUCAUUACUUAACGGAGACUUUCAGCAUUGAAAUUUUUUUGUAUUUCUUUUGCAUUCAUUUUGCUUGCUUUUUCUUUUCUUUUCAAAUGUGCCCUUGCGGAUUUUCACAUGAUGAGCAGUGUCAACCUCAUCUAAUCAAUUCAGAAAUACAUCUAAAAAAAAUUUCUCGGCAUCAGUACCUGAGCAUCACUUGCCAAUUAAUUUAGAAAAUUUCUCGACAGAGAUAUUGCAAAGAACAGAAGUCAGGACUUGCGACUUUUUGUAAUGGGGUCUAGUAGGGUGCUUAGAAAAGUUAAGGCUUGAAAGCAGAUGUCAAAAGCGGUUUGAAUGACCUGAGAUCGCAUUAUUGCGCCAACCCUAUUUUAGGGUUAAAUCAGAACUUACUCCAGUUUAUUCUCAAUUGAGGCUUUUUCUCUUUCAUUUGCUUCUUUUUUCUUUUUGGCCUUCUGCCAUUCUUUUGAACUUUUCAAAAUUUGCCCCAAUUUAUGCUUAACCGAGGCUCUCUUUUCUUUCAUUCAUUUUUUUCAUUUUUCAUUUUUUUUGAUUUUGUUGCUUCAUCCCGUUUCGCCUCUUGAGACUUUUCUUUCCUUUGCAACUCAAACUUGCCCCAGUGUGGGGUUUGCGAUUCUCAGGGGUUGUCAAACGAAGUAUUUUACUCUGAAGGCUCAAAAGGGAUAACUAGAGAUAGAAUGUUUGGUUGGAAUAGAAGAGGGCCUGACUUUUUAUUCCGUUCCUUACAUUAACUCUGAAAGGAAACUUUCAUUAAUACGAAAUUUUUUGCAUGCAUCUGAAUCAAUUAACCGAGGAUGACUUCCGUUCAUCCAUAUCCGUGAAAUAUAAAGGAUCCACCAGACAACUUUUCUUUCUUUUCUCUUUCACUAUUUUCUUUUCUUCUUUUCUUUUUUUGAAAUUGAAGCCCAGGUAGAAUAAAUUUUCCCAUUCGGGGCUCUCUCUUUCUUUUAAUUUUAGCAUUUUGCUUUUUCUCCUUUUUGGAAAAAUUCUCCAAUCUCCUUCCCCAAUGUGGGGUGCGAUCGUAAGUGCCUUGUGAAAAGAAAACACCGAUUUUAGCUCAAAUGAGGAUGCAAGGGGUAAAACAGUGUUUAGGUUGUAGAAACGAUGGCCAGAACAUCAUUCUUACGCUUUAUGACAACCAAAGUAACGAAUUGCUCAUUGAAAAUUCAUUUUCUUUUGAUAUUUGAAAAUUUUCCAAUGUAGGGUAGUGAUCAUUAAGACUCUUAUUUGAAACGAAAUUAUUCUUUCAAAUACUCAAAUGGGAGAGCAAAUGAUAAAAUCUGUAUGGGUAGAGAAACGAACGCUUGAAGUAUCAUUCCAAAUUUCCAAAAUAAACAAGGAUAAUGCACAUUUUUUGCUUUCACUUAGAUGUGAAUUGAAUAUAAUUAGACACAAUGGACAUUUUUCGAGCAAAGAUUACCCCAAUUUGUAAUUUAUCAAUCAAUGUGGCUGAUUUUAUUUUGGGGUUAAGUGAAGGAGAAAAGGUAUCUCAUUUGGCCUUUUUGAGUGACCGCUCACCUUUUUUUUUUUCUCUCUUAUUGUAUAGCUCGGAUCACCAAUUGAGUGUUGUAAGGACUUUAGAAAGCAUACACUCGUGAAAUUUCAGUCUGGAGGUUGAAAAAUCUCAAUUCGGUCUUAUUUCUUAAAAUUUAUCAUGAAAUCCCUCAAAUAGCCAAAAAAGAACAACAAUUGUAUAAAUAAAAAAACUUUAUUGCUGAAAAAGUUUGAAACAAAAUUUCUACAAAUGAGAAGAGAAAGACUUCUGAAGAGCUCCACAUAUACACACUUGUUUGCCUCCUUUUCGGAACAGAAUUUUUCUUUUCUUUGAAAAAUAAUGAUGAAGACUCUUAGAGGCUUUAGCCUAGCGCUUCCAAAUAGAUCCUUCAUGUUUUUGUUGCAGGGUCUGCCCAAGAAUCAAGUAUUACCUUUCAAACUUUAUCGGAUCAAAAUUGUUAUCAGAUAUAGAAAAAUAUUUCCACCUUAUUGAAACAUUUUUAUGAAUGCAGGGGAAGGGGAAAAAAUAAAAGAAAAAAAAAUACCCCGGGUCAGUAAGCAAGAAUAAAAGAUCGGUACGCAUGUCCUAUGGGGGAGCCCUUUUAUGCCAAAGGUAGACCUAGCAUGAAAAUGCAAUCCUCUAGGGUAGGCACCAUACAAUACCUGAUGAAUCCGAUCAACUGAUUGGGUGAAAAAUGAUUGAAAAAAAUUUGGCCAAUUUGGAGCGAGAAGGAACAUUUGUCCUAAAAGAUGAGGAUAAAGUCCGAAUGGAUUGCUUACUUUGAUCAACACAUGAUAUGUGAAAGAGAGCUUACUUCUUGAAAGGAUCGCAAUGCCUCGACUAAUUUAUUCAGUGAACUUUAGAUUUGAACCCUAAAAAGGAAUAAGCAGAUCUAGAGGAUAGGAUGAAAUUGAUGAUUUAUUAAAAAAUUGACUGGAUCACCUUUAAAAGGGUAAAAUGGUCAAAUGUAUUGAAUAAAAUUUGAUUAUUUAUUCAAAAUUGAAUGGACAACCCUAAAAUGAAUUAAACUACUCAAAUGAAAUCAAUUGAUUAAGCGAAAUGAUGAUUUAUUCAAAAUCGACCGAAUUGCCCUAAAAAUAGAUAAACUGGUCAAAUGUAUCGGAUGAUUUAUUCAAAAUUGACAAGAUCACCCUAAAAAGGGUAAACUGGUCAAAUGAAAAUUGAACGAAACUGAUGAUUUAUUCAAAAUUGAUUGAAUUGACCUAAGAAUGGGUAAACUAAUCAAAUGAAUUAAAUGAAAUUGAUGGUCUAUUAAAAUCGACUAAAUUGCCCUAAAAAUGGACAAAUUGAUAAAAUGGACUAGAUGAAAUUGAUGAAUAAAAUGGUCCAAUGGAGGGAAUUGAAUUGACAGCUUAUUUGAAAAUCAAUCUAUCCACUGGAAGCUUCAAAAAUUUAUUGCGAUGCAUUAGUCUAUGAGCCUUCUAAAAUCAAAUUUUGGCCUCAAUUUAUUUAUCGUCUCAAUAGUGAGGAAUUACUCAUGAAUUUCUUCAAAUUAAUGUCCUUUAAACAAGGGAUUUUUACCAAUUUUGAUAAAAUGGCCAAAAGGUGAUUAUUAGACGCUCAUAUUCCAAAGAUCGCUCUUGAAAAUAAUCGGAUCCUACCUUACCUCGUGCACUACCCCUUCGGAUGGUACAAAAUGUAAACGUGCAAGUCUCCUUGGAUUAAGUAUCCGAGACACGAGGUGGUUUAUUCCUAACACGGGAUCCCCUAAAUGGCAUUCCCUUUCUAGGGUUUUUGCAUGAUGCCAGUUUAUUAAAGCGGUAAAAUAUGCAAUUCGAAAUGAAACGUGACCUAAGGAACCCUUUAUUUGCCAGGGUAGGCCUAAAAUGGUAUGGUAUGAACGAAAUAUACCACAAUUUUUUAAACGUGCGAUAGCCUAUCUAUAAGGGUAGGUCCUAAAAGAGGAUCAUGCCAGACCUCUUAUUUCCUAAUAUUUGUGAAUGCAAAAGACAAGAGACAAGGAAAUGUCAGUUCAACACAUAAUCACAUAACACAUUGGACAAUUAGAUGAUAUAAAAAGCAACAAAAAUAAAUAAGGAAAGAGGGGUAGGACCCCUCCCCUCGUGCCUAGUGUCCUUAAUAGGGUAAGGUCGACUCUACCCUAGGCAAUUCUAAUAUGGAUGCAUGAGGUUUGGCUCACUAAUGCAUCUAUACUCAAUAAGGCUUCGGCUCCCAAGCCUUCAGACCUAAAGGCAAAGGGUCAUCACUCCCAAGGCCUUCGAUCGGUAGCUCGAGUGAUCCCUUAGGUAGCGCUAUGGGCGCAGAGCACACCAUCCGCCUACCCAAGGCAAUCGAUCAUAAUCCUACAAGGAGGUGUGGGAAACGCCCACGAAAAAGAGAAAAAAUAGGGUGACUAAAACUACGUAUGCACGUAUGAAGUGCUUCGUUUGGAGGGGAAGGAUCGAGAACCAACGCGAGGCUCUAGGGUAAAAUUUCCCCUACCCAAAUGCAAUGCAAAGCGCGGGAUCACAUAAAUAAAUCAUCCAUCCAUCCAAACAAUCGUAUGCAAAUGUGUGAGGUAGUGAAUUGAUACGCGCGAAAUGCAAAAAUCCUAAAAAGGAAAAAUGCAACCCUAAACAUCCAAAUGUGAUAUAUGAAAAGGUUAAAAGAAGAAAAAGAUUGACUAAAUCAAAUUUGCUCGGACUAUCAAAAUCCCCAGUGGAGUCGCCAAGCUGUCGCUCCCCAUUUUUUUAUAAAUAAGAAAAUAAAAGACGAGUUUAGACAAAAUGGCUUUUGAUUCAAUUUUUGAAUGGAAAAUGAAUUUUUGAUUUAAAAGAAAAUGAAAACAUGUAUGGGUCUAAUGGGACAUGAAAAUGCGACGAUUUGACCCAAAAUAUAGUUUAAAAAGGGUUUAUUGAAUGAAAAAUGGAGUCGCCACUUGGUAUAGAGUUAAGGUGUACCAAGUCACCUAAAAAUGAAAAGAAAAAAACAGUAGAAAAACCCUUUUUAAACGACUCCAAAUCUACGAAAAUCAGAGAAAAAGAUUCGGGAGUCACAUUUGAAGAAAGGGAAGGCAAGGAUAAGAAUCCAAGGCACCCUUUCAACCUAGCCAAGGCUAGUUGCGCGAUUUAGUCAAAGGUUUUCUGAUUUUAACCUAAUGAUUUAUCACAUUUGGAUGACUAUAUGAAUGCAAAACCCUAAACCUAGGAGGGUAUCGGGGGGUCGAAAUGUAUCUUCAAAGCUUACUUGGUACCAAUCACAUUAAUUUGUGACGCCCAAUGAAGACUCUUCGAAGAAGUCUUUGGUGAAUCCCUCGGACAGAAACCGAGCCAAGAAAACAAAGACAAAGCAGCAAAAUGCAGCAAAGGAAUCCAGCCAAAACUUCAUUUAGAGCAGCUGGAGUCCUUUUCCUUUUAAUGCAGAUAGUUACAAUGGAUUCACAGUAUUGCAGCAAUUCAUCUUUUAUUAUGUUCUUAACUGGCACAUGGGCAACACAAUCCAAGCAGCAAAUGAGAACAGGUCACAACAAGAGUGAUAAGCUCAUGAAGCUUUGGAACCUCAACAACUUCCAGUCACAAACACAACCAAUGUGACUUGGAUAUCUACUAAGACUCGACCAGAAAAUCAAGGAAAGAAAAGGUUCUGUAUAUAUUGCUGUAAUAUCUCAGUCCAAUAGAAAUAAAAUUCAACCUUCUUCAAAUGCAGAAACAAACAGGAAGCUGAAAGUGUUAGAUGGGGCAUUACAAGAACAAGCUAGAUUCGGGCUGCGAAAAUGCAAAUGAAGUGCAAGAAAAUAGCGAAAAUCCCCUUUUUAUUUCAUGCACUUUAAGGGCCAGUAGCUAACAAUCAUCAACCUGAUGAUAGACUUCAAUUCAAACAGGAAUGAAGGUCAUGCAAAUCAGGAAGACUUUCUACUUCCUUCCACUUGCUGCAACUGACGAAGCUCUAAGCUUCAACAGCUUUACACGGCAAAAAUUGCACAAAAACAUCACAACAUGCGACAACAAGAAUGUAACAACUCAACUAAAAAAAAAUCAUGGCCUUUCUUCCCUCUCCAACUAAUCAAGCGUGCAGAUUCUGGCCAGUUCUGGGCUAGCCAGGUUGAACGCAUACAGAAAAUACACAAUACUUAUCCUUUUGGGUUCAAAAAUUUCAUUUGGCCAUUUUAACAAACAGGUGAAACGCAUUGAAAUUUCAUCCGAUUUUUGCUCAAUUUGACGUAAAUCAGCACCCAAAAUUGGUAAGAAACAUAAAGACGUUCAGCCCCAAUCAACACAGAAAUCAUGUAUGCUCAAAUUUGCGCACAAUCAACAUAACAAUCACAAUAAGCCAUUCUCCUCUGAGAGUCUUAUGGGCCUAAGCUUAAAGAGAAAACCAAAAUUUGAAAGGGGGGAAGAGGACUCACAGCAUCUGCUCGGUGAGGAUCGGCAACGAUGGUGACGGAUAUUCGAUGAGGGGGUGACAGCUUGGUGAAUUGGAAACCUCCGCUGCCGUCGUUGCUCAAAUCAUCCACGGAAGAGGAGUAGAUGAAGAAGCAGUUGAUGAGAGGCUCUGGAAGCGCUGAUGGUAGCCGGCUGGGUGAAGGUGGCGGCAAAAGCCCCGGCUGCUUUGAUGGCUACGGUGGCGGCGGGAGAUGAAAUGACGGACAGCAGCGGCGGCGGAUGCGGGUCAAUGGCGGCUUGGGCUGAUAGCAUGAGAAAGAGUCUAGGCAGGCAGCGGAUGGAGUUGAGAUGGUUGCUAUGGUGGUUGGAAACUCUUCUCCUCGCUGAUCAUUGAAACCGAAGCCUCCCCUAUUUUCUCACUUAGCCGCCAGCUUCUUUUUCCUUUUUUUAGUUUCGUUUCUUGCCUCUCAACCCUAGCUCCCUCCGUUUUUCUUUCCUUUUUCUUGCUCAAAUACUCCGCCGCCACUGCCCUAUCAGUUCUCUCCUUUUGCUCCAUCCUCCCUUGCGUUUUUUCUUUUCCAAAACCUCCCUCGGCUUCUCUCUCUCAGCCGCCCCCCAGACGAAACUCCCCUGUUUUCCUUUUCCUUCCAUCAAGCCCCUCUGUCUCUUCCUUCCUUUCUGUUUCCCUUUCCGUUCACCGCCCCACUUUCUUUCCCCUGUUUUUCUUGUUUUUUUUUCUUUGCCUGCCGAAGCUCUCCAGUUUUUCUAGCCGCUGUCUUGUUCCCUUUUUCAUCUAAAACCCUAGCCGCCCUUUCUCAGGCUUCCCCCUCUUUUCCUCCGUUUUUUUUCUCUCGGCCCCCCCUUUUUUUAGCCGUCCAAAACUCUCCCUUAUAUCGGCAUCCGGAAUCCCCACAUAACCUAAGACCAAGGGAUGAGAUUUGGAGUUGCAUUUUGGCUCUUCCUAUCAAGACCAUCGGAUGGCAUCUUGCAUGAAGCUUGCUUCCUUCUUUUUCUUUUUUUUCUCUUUUUUUUCUUUUCAUUUAAUUGAUAAUAAACAAAAUAUGAAGAAAAAUAACUAAGUAAGUAAGAUCGAAUAAAAAUGAGCGAAACUAGGCAUAAAAAGAUAAAAAUGAAAUGCUAAUUUUCUUUCUCUUUUUCUUCUUUUCUUUUUUUUUUUAAAUUGAAUAACAAUGAAUUUGAAUCUAAAAUAACUAAAGCAUAUUUUUGUGAAUGAUUUUCUUUUUCGAUAAAUCCUGCGCUAAAAUGGCUUAAAAUAAAAAAUAAACGCCUAAAAGUAGAUAAAACUAACAUGGCAAAUAAAAAAUAAAAAUAAAUAGUAAAUGAAAUUAUACGAAGAAUUUGGUGUCUACACAGCCCAGGUAUGGCCGAGCAGGGCCUCGACCUCAGGCUCCUGGUAACAGUCCUGUGCCGUAGUCACUAGGGCUCCAGAAGGGCCAGGGGACCAUCCCGCAGAGGUCGGAGGAGAUCCCUCUCGGCGCGGGAUAAGGGCUAUCCCGGGCAAGUCCCGAAACGUACGGAGGUCGGACUCUUGAACAGGUAUAAAUGGUAACGCCCACCACCUACACAAGGUACGCUCACUAGUGGCACAUUACUCUCGGCUGCUUAAUUCCCGUAAACCUCAUCCACCGGAGAACUAACUUGACCGUCGGAGUGCCGUCGGGGACGACCUCGGGGCCCCCUGUUAGAUCACCCUGUUGUCUGUCUUGCAGGCUUGGGACCAGCUCUACCCAUCAGCACACCGAGCUCAUCAGUUCAGCUCGGUCCGGGGAAGCUCAGCGCUUCUUCACCCCCAAUCUGUUUGUUGAAAUGUCUAGCCGAAAAUUCUUGUCGAAAAAUGGUUUUGUUGCAUUUUUUUUACGUAUGAAGAAAUCGGAUAAGUCAACGAGUUAGGCUUGUUGCAAUAGUUCUUUUGUUUCCCUUUUGGUUUGCUGAAGUAUUGUUUUCUGAUGUCAAUAAGAUUGCCUUGUGUCUCCUCUGUCAUCUAUGAUCUGUUCCAGAAGCCUAGUUCAUCAGUUUUGGUAUUUUAGUCAAUGUUUGUUUCUGAUUUUAGAUGAGUAAAUUGUCUCGGCUGUGGAUUUUUUUUUUUUUUUUUUUUGGCAAAAGCAUCUAUUGGAACUCUGGUUUUGUAUUAUGAUUUUGUUUGUUUGGUCCUAAGUGACUCGGGUUGAGCCUUGGGGCAGUAGUUGAUGUAUCUACAUGCUCCAUUGGGGUUUAUAAAUUCUGUCACAUGCAUGCUGAAAUGGUAGAAAGGAAGCUGCCACAUGAUUUGUUAGUCAUCUUGGGUUGCUGAAAUUCAUAGUUGCUCCAAAUACUUGAUUUUCUUGCUGUAUGGUCAGGAUAGCUGGUAUAAAAUUACUAUAAGCUAUGAAGAGCUGACUUGCAAAGUGGCCAAGGCAGAUUUCGCAAGUCUUUUGCCAUGUUGCAAAAAUCUGCACUUUUAAAGUGUUAUUUGCUCCAUUUCGAGUUUAUUGAUUUAUAAACAUAGCUUGCUCAUCUGGUUCCCUCAUGAGGAGUUUAACGUUUGGUCGAAGAGUGAAAUGUUUUCUGUUGCAUGUUUUAGUUGGUCAUUGCAAGCAGAUGAUGAAGUAUCUUUUGCUGCAUUUUUUUGUUUUGUCCUUGUUUUCUUGGCUCGGGUUCUAUCCAAGGGGAUCUUUAAAGUUGGGAAACUCAUGUUUGGUUUAAGCAAUGAUUUGUGGAUAGGUAAUGAGUAUUGGUAUGAAAUUUGUGUGAGUUGAAAUUGCAAUUUUGAUAACAGAAGUUUUCUCCGUAGCCUUUUGCAUGGAUUUUGCAUGGGGAAAUCUUUCUAAAAUUGCACUUUGGCCUCCCAAGUUUCCUCUUGUUUCACUAUGGCCCAAACAAUUGAAAAAAUCAAUCAAUUUGACCCCUCAAAAUUUUUUAGUUUUUGCAAUCAAGUAACUACUUGUUUUAAUCUUUACAUGGGUUGUUCACCUUCCUUUAAAUGCCUUGAAUUUCAUGCUUAUUCUCAUUUCUUGUGAUCACUUGUUCAUUAAAGCGAUAGCUUGACCUUUUCUUUGAUUUUGGAGGAUAACUAAGUAAUUUCAUUCCGUUAGAGCCCCAUUUCAAGGGAGGUACCCCCUAUCCCUUACUUCUUACUUUAUGUGAUCCUACGUGCCCUAUAUGACUUUACAUGUUUGACUGUAUGCCUCUUGAAUGUUUUAUUCAUUUGCUUUAUUGGCUUUGUAUAUUUAUUUUAGUUCAAUUUGAUCAUUUGGAAGGCACUUGAAUGCCAAAUUUGUAAUAGUUAGGUAUUCCUUUUCAUUAUUUAUUUUAUUUCCCCUUUUAGAUUGUAGUAGGGUUCCCCUAAUGUAAUAGUUAGGGCUUUAUUUGCUUUAUUUGCCUUGUGUGUUUUGCAUGCCUAUGUGUUAUGUGUUACUCGCUUUCCUAGGGUCUUGCAUCUAGACACCAUGCUUAUGUGUUAUGUGCUAUAUGUGAUUUAUGUGUUUAUUUGCUUUAUUAGACUUUACAUGAUUUAUUUGAUUGUAAUGAAUGUGUGACAUCACCACACUAGUCCAACGCUAGUUGUGGCCCUUCAUUCCGAUUUUCCACUAGUCCAAUACUAGUAGGAAUUCAUAGAUAUGGGCUAGUCCAACGCUAGACCCUUAGGGACCUCCUACUCUAGAUCAUGUUUGUAUGACUACAUUACAUUCUCAUGCAUAUUUUUCACUUUUAGGGUUUUUUAUCAUCCCUCCUUGUACAUAUAUACCUUCCCCCAUAUUUCCCUUAUAUGUAUAUUACUUACCCCUUUGUAUGAAAACAUGACAUUAGACCUGCAUUUCAUCUAAGCAUUAGACCUAGGUUAGUACAUGUGCUUGACUAGAUUUGGAAAAACCUCUUGGAUAUGGGAUAUGGACGAGUUUGGCUUUUCUAGCCUUAGCACGCUCGUAUUCCCUCUAUUAAAGGGAAAAUUGAGUCACGAACAUUAGUCCCCCGCACCCGACAUGAUUCAUUCCUUUAGGUCAUAUAUAUUUGUAUAAUUAUUUUUAUUUUUAUUUUUCCUUUUCUUUCUUUUGAGUCUCAUGACUUGCAUUAUUCGUGACUUUUUCGAAGAGUCUUUAUUGGGCGUCACAAUUAAUACGAUUGGUACCAAGUAAGCUUUGAAGAUACAUUUUGACCCCCCGAUACUCUCUUAGAUCUAAGGUUUGCAUUCAUAUAGUACAUUCAAAAUGUGAUAAAUUUUUAGGUUAAGAUAGGAAAAUCUUUGACUAAAUCGCGCAACUAGCCUUGGCUAGGUUAAAAGGGUGCCUUGAAUUCUUAUCCUUGCCUUCCCUUUCUUCAAAUGUGACUCCCGAAUCUUUUUCUCUGAUUUUCGUAGACUUGGAGUCGUUUAAAAAGGGUUUUCUACUUUUUCUUUAAAAAUUUAUUUUUUGGUGACUUGGUACACCUUAACUCUAUACCAAGUAGCGACUCCAUUUUCAUCAAAAAAACCCUUCUUAAAUUAUAUUUUGGGUUAAAUCGUCGCAUUUUCAAGUCCCAUUUAGACCCAUGUUUUUUAUUUUCCUUUUAAAUCAAAAAUUCAUUUUUCAAUCAAAAGCCAUUUUUCUAAACUCGUCUUUUAUUUUCUUAUUUAAAAAAUGGGGCGCGACAGUUGGCGAAUCCACUAAGGACUUAGAGAGUUCGAGCAUAUUGAUUUAGUCGAACCUUUUCUUCUUUUAAUCUUUUCAUAUAUCGCAUUUGGUUGUUUAAGGUUGCAUUGUCUUUUUUUUAGGAUUUUGCAUUUCGCGCGUAUCAACUCACUCCCUCACCUAUUUGAGUACGAUUGAUUUGAUGGAUGGAUGGUUUAUUUAUGUGAUGUGAUCCCGCGCUUUGCAUUGUAUUUGGGGUGGGGGAACAUUUCUCUAGAGCCUCGCAUUGGUUCUCGAUCCCUCCCCUCCAAACGAGCACUAGUAUACGUGCAUACGCUUUAUUUUUAUCCCUCAUUUAUUUUUCUUUUAGUGGCUUGUCACGCCACUCCACCCCAUUAGGAUUUUAGGCGACUCACUUGGACUUGUGAUCGCGACACGAUGUGUGCGUAGCAUGAUCCGAGGGGUCACUCAAUCUUCCAUUUUAAGCUUUGGGUUCAUAGCCUCUAACUUUUAGUCGAAGGUUGAGAAUUUUCGAUAGAUUCACUCAUGACAUGUAGCCGUGACACGAUGUGUGCGUAGCAGUGUCUGGGGAAUCGCUCAAGCCACCGACAAAGAACCUUGGGAUUGAUGACCUUUGGUUUCUAAGUCCGAAGGCUUGGGGACCUAAAACCUAUCGAGUCUAGAUGCAUUAGUGAGCCAAUACCUCAUGCAUCCAUGAUAGUUUGCCUAGGGUAGAGUUUGCCUUACCUUAUUAGGGACACUAUUCACGAGGGGAGGGAUCCAACCCCUCUAUUCCUUUUAUUGCUUUAUCUCUUUGUAUUGCUUUGCAACAAUGUGUUAUGUAUUUAUCUGAUUGAACUAACUUUUCUUGGUUUUGUCUUCACUGCAUUCAUAAACCCUAGAAAAUAAAAGUCCUGGCAUGGUACUCUCUAGGAGCCUACCUUAUUUGAUGUGACACGUUUAAAUUCAAUGCUUCGCAUUUUUUAGCAUGAAUACAUGUCAUUUUAGGCUCACCUUGGCGUACAAAAGGGGUUCCCUUUAGGUCACGUUUCAUUUGUAUACUGUAUAUUUACGCGCUUUGAUAAAAUGGCAUCAUGCAUAAACCCUAGAAAGGGAAUGCCAUUUAGGGGAUCCCGUGGUAGGAAUAAACCACCUCGUGUCUCCGAUACUUAAUCCAAGGAGACUUGCACGUCUACAUUUUGUACCAUCCAAAGGGGUAGUGCACAAGGUAAGGUAGGAUCCGGUCAUUUUCAUAGAGCGAUCUUUGGAAUAUGAGCGUCUAAUAAUCACUUUUUGCCAUCUUAAACAAAAUUGGUAAAAAUCCUUUGCGUAAAGGACAUUAAUUUGAAGAAAUUCACAAAUAAGUCUUCAUUGUUGAGACGAUAAAUAUAUUGAGGCCAAAUCUUGAUUUUAGAAGGCUCAUAGACUAAUGCAUCGCAAUGAUUUUUUUGAAAACUAUCAAUUUCAUUCAAUCCAUUGGACCAUUUUUUUCAUCAGCUUCAUCCAAUCCAUUUUAUCAAUUCAUUCAAUUUUAGGACGAUCUAAUCAUUUUUGAAUAAAUCAUUAACUUCAUUUCAUUCAUUUGGCCAAUUCACCCGUUUUUAGGGCAAUUGAACCAAUUUUGAAUAAAUCAUCAAUUUCAUUUGAUCAAUUUACCCCUUUUUAAGGUGAUACGAUUAAUUUUGGAUAAAUCAAAUUUCAUGCAAUUCAUUUGACCAGUUUACCUAUUUUUAGGGCAAUUCGGUCAUUUUAUAAUAAAUCAUCAAUUUCAUCCUAUCCAUUUGAUCCGUUUUUCCCCUUUAGGGUUUAAGUUUAAGGUUCACUGAAUAAAUUAGUCAAAACAUUGCAAUCCUUUCAAGAGUAGACUCUUUUACACAUUAUUUCAUGUGUUGAUCAAACCAAGCAAUCCAUUCGGACUUUGUCCUCAUUUUUUAGGACAAAGGUCUCUUCUUACUCCAAUUGGCCAAAUUUUUCAAAUUAUUUUUCGCUCGAUCAGUUGAUCGGAUUCAUCAAAUAUUGUAUGGUGCCUAUCCUAGAGGAUUGCAUUUUCAUGCCAGGCCUACCUUUGGCAUAAAAGGGCUCCCCCAUAGGACAUGCAUACCGAUUUUGUAGUCUUGCCUACUAACUCGGGGUAUUUUUCUUUUGUUUCCCCCCUCCCCUGCAUUCAUAAAAAUGCUUUAAUAAGGUGAAAAUAUUUUUCUAUGUCUGCUAAAAUUUGAGAACUACAAGUAUUAUUUGAUUCUUGGGCAGAUCCUACAAUGAAAACAUGGAAGAUCCAUCUGAAGGCUCUAGGCUAAAGCCUCCGAGAGACUUUAUAAUUAUUUUUCAAAGGAAAAUUCUGUUUAUUGGAUUUGUAGAUACAUUUUUGUUCCAAAAGAAAGGGAGAGAAAAGUGUAUAUGUGGGUUUUUUUUAGAAGUUUUUUUCUUCUCAUUUGUAUUAUAAUUGAACGAGAAAUGUUGUUUUAAACUUUUUCAACAAUAAAGUUUUUGGACAAUUAUUGUUUUGUGUAUAUUCAUGUACAUUUGAUUUUGUAUCUUGCUCAUUGGAGAUGUCAUGAUGAAUUUUAAGAAAUAAAACUAAAUUGAGAUUUCCUCAACCUCCAGCCUGAAAAUUCACAAGUGUAUGCUUUCUAAAAUCCUUACGUAUACUAGAUUGGUGAUCCGAACUAUACAAUAAGAGUGCUCAGGGUAAAAAAAAAAAUUUGAGCGGUCACUCAAAAAGCCCAAUGAGAUAUCUUUUCUCCUUCACUUAACCCCAAAAUAAAUUGCAAAUUGGGGCAAUCUUUGCUUGAAAAGUGUCCCACUGUGUCUAAUUAUAUUCAAUUCACAUCUAAGUGAAAGCAAAAUGUGUGUUAUUCUUGUUUGUUUUGAAAAUUUGGAAUGAUACUUCGAGCGUUCGUUUCUCUAUCCAUACAGAUUUUAUCAUUUGCUCUCCCAUUUGAGCCUUUGAAAGAAUAAUUUCGUUUCAAAUAAGAGCCUUAAUGAUCACUACCCUACAUUGGAAAAUUUUCCAAUAUCAAAAGAGAAUGGAUUUUCAAUAAGCAAUUCGUUACUUUGGUUGUCAUGAAGCGUAAGAAUGAUGCUUUGGCCAUCGUUUCUACAACCCAAACACUGUUUUACCCCUUACAUCCUCAUUUGAGCUAAAAUCGGUGGUUAUUUUCACAAGGCACUUACGAUCGCACCCCACAUUGGGGAAGGAGAUUGGAGAAUUUUCCCAAGAAGGAGAAAAAGCAAAAUGCUAAAAUUAAAAGAAAGAGAGAAACAAAUGAGAAAAUUUGAUUCUACCUGGGCUUCAAUUUUGAAAAAAAAAAAAGAGAAAAGAAAAGAGAGAAAGAGAAAAGAAGGAAAGUUGUCCGGCGGAUCCCCUAUGUUUCACAGAUAUGGAUGAACAAGAAUCUUUCUCAGUGAAUUAAUUCAGAUACAUGCAAGAAAUUUCGCAUUAAUGAAAGUUUCCUUUCAGAGUUGUUGUAAGAAACGGAAUGAAAAGUCAGGCCCUCUUCUUUUCCAAUCAAAUAUUCUAUCCCUAGUUAUCCCUUUUGAACCUUCAGAAUAAAAUAUUUCAUUUGGCAACCCCUGAGAAUCGCAAACCCCACACGGGGCAAGUUUGAGUUGAAAAAGAAAGAAAAGUCCCAAGAGGUGAAAAGUGCUAAAACAACAAAAGAAAAAGGCAAAAAAAGAAGAAAAGAGAACCUCGGUUAAGUAUAAAUUGGGGCAAAUUUUAAAAAAAUUUCAAAAGAAUGGCAAAAGGCCGAAGGAAAAUCAAAAGAAAAGAAAAAAUUGAAAGAAAAAAGAGUCUCAAUUGAGAAUAAACUGGGGCAAGUUUUGAUUUAACCUUAAAUAGGGUUGGCAAUAAUGCGAUCUCAGGUCAUUCAAACGGCUUUUGAAAUCCGCUUUCAAGCCUUAAACCUUUCUAAAACACCCCACCUGAUCCCAUUACAAAAGCCGAAAGUCCUGACUUCUGUUCUUUGCAAUAUUUCUGUCAAGAAUUUUCUAAUUGGCAAGUAAGGCUCCUAUGCUGAUGCCAAGAAAUUUUUUAGAUGUAUUUCUGAAUUGAUUAACUGUGAGGUCGACAGUACUUGUUAUCUAAAAACCCGCAAGGGCACCUUUGAAAAAAAAGGAAAAGAGAAGAAAAAGAAGAAAAAAAGAAGAAGAGGAAAAAGCAAAAAUAAAUGCAAGAGAAAUGAAAAGAUUUGAUGGUGAAGUCCCCGUUAAGUGAUGAUGAAAGUCACCAAAUCUAUGAUCUUUGAGUUCAAAAUAGGGGCAAUUUUGAAAAAAUGCAAUUUUCGGUGCAAUGUCCUUGAGGGUCUUAUUCUUUAACUAUCGUUUUCAAGCCAUAUUACAAGCUCAUAAAGUCCAUCGUUGACUUAUCCUUCAUGACAACUCGAAGCGAGGAUUAUGCUUCUGAGGAAUCCCUCAAUCAUUUGUGAUCUUAAGGCUAUAACCUGUUUCACACGUUUAACUAUCGUUUCUACCCAUAUGUUACAAGCCUAAAAAACUUAUAUGUUGACUAAAUUUUUUAAGAAAUAGGGGUGACAAACUAUUUGCUUUCACUAAGAUGUGAUAUUGAAUGGAUUACAUACCAUUUGGGCACAAGAAUAAAACAGAUCCUAACCUCCAUUUUUCCUUAGCCACCUCAAAAUCAGAAAUAAUACCAACUUGAUUGGUCUUGAAAGAUGAGUUAACAAGGAGUGGUGACCCAUUACCCUAAGCAUCGAUGCUAAGGUGAGGAAGAAAUCUUCUGUAAUUUGGUUUUGUUUCGAGAGAUUCCUCAUAAAAUUUUCUGUUAGGAAACAUAGUUUCUUACAUUGUUCAAAUAAAUGGAGAGUCAUCCAAACAAAUUGUUGCAAUUAAAUAAACCCACACUGGGGCAAAUUUUCAUUUGAGAGAUUUUGCAAAAUAAGCCCACAUUGGGACAAAUUUUUUUGCAAUACAUUUGAGGUUUUCGUCCAAGAAUCAAAUAAUACAUUUUCGAAUCAAUCACGCUGCUCUUUUCAUGAAAAUUAAGUGCAUAUCAUACUUUGGUAAGCCCCCUGUGCAGGUAUUUAUGGCUGAAAUCGACAAAAAACAUUUGGUGAUGUGGAAGCUGAUGCCGAAGAAAGAGAAGAAAGAGGAAACAGGACCCGACACUGGGGCAAAUUAUUUUUGAAGAGAUCAAAUCAAAAAUAAAAAAAAUCAGAAAGGUCAAAAAUCAAAAAUCAAGUUUAAUUUCUUGUUUCUUGACAAAUCAAAUUCAAUUUCUUGUUCACAAAGAUCUUGUUUAGGACCGGGUUUCAUCCCGCCAACCUCGUCAGGACCGGGUUUUAUCCCGCUGACCAAUGAACAUUGGGACCGGGUUCCAUCCCGCCAAUCUCGUCAGGACCGGGUUUUAUCCCGCUGACCAAUGAACGUUGGGACCGGGUUCCCUCGUCAGGACAGGGUUUUAUCUCGCUGACCAAUGAACGUUGGGACCGGGUUUCAUCCUGCCAAUCUCGGCAGGACCGGGUUUUAUCCCGCUGACCAUUUAUACCUCGGCAGGACUAGGUUUUAUCCCGCUGACCGCUUAUAUCACGUUGGGAUCGGGUUUCAUCCCGCUAACCUCAGCAGAAUCGGGUUUUAUCCCGCUGACCGUUCAUACCUCGUUGGGGUCGGGUCUAAUCCCACCGACCAAUCAUCAAGGCAGGCUCGGGUUUAAUCCCACUGACCGAUUCUCGAGACAGACUCGGGUUUAAUCCCACUGACCAAUUCAUCACAUUGGGGCAAAUCUUUGGAUAAUUUUCCAAGCAAGUCUUAUACAAUUUCUUUAUACAUACCAGUAUUUCAUUUUACACCGCCACUAGCCGUUGGGUCAGUUCCAUUAGUGAGCUUUUCAUUUACCCUGCCACUAACCGUUGGGUCAGUCCCACUAGUGAGCUUUUCAUUUAUACCGCCACUAGCCGUUGGAUCAGUCCCAUUAGUGAGCAUUUCAUUUUGCACCGCCACUAGCUGUUGGGUCAGUCCCACAAGUGAGCUUUUCAUUUACCCUACCACUAGCCGUUGGGUCAGUCCCACUAGUGAGCUUUUCAUUUAUACCGCCACUAGCCGUUGGGUCAGUCCCACUAGUGAGCUUUUCAUUUUGCACCGCUACUAGCCGUUGGAUCAGUCCCACCAGUGAGCUUUUCAUUUACACUGCCACUAGCCGUUGGGUUAGUCCCACUAGUGAGCCUUUCAUUUACACUGCCACUAGCCGUUGGGUCAGUCCCACUAGUGAGCCUUUCGUUUACAUUUCAUUUUCAUUUUCAUUGCCGCUAAACAUGGGUCAGUCCCACUAGCGUGCAUUUCAUUGCCACUAAACAUGGGUCAACCCCACUAGUAUGCACCAUGAUUUUAAUUUUGUUCGGGCCAGUCCCAUGAUUUUAAAAGUUUGUUUGGGCCAGUCCCAUGAUUUAAAUUUUGUUCGGGCUAGUCCCAUGAUUUAAAUUUUGUUCGGAUCAGUCGCAUGAUUUUAAAGUUUGUUCGGGUCAGUCCCAUGAUUUAAAUUUUGUUCGGACCAUGAUUUAAAUUUUGUUCGGGCUAGUCCCAUGAUUUAAAUUUUGUUCGGGUCAGUCCCAUGAUUUUAAAGUUUGUUCGGGCCAGUCCCAUGAUUUAAAUUUUGUUCGGGCCAGUCCCAUGAUUUAAAUUUUGUUCGGGUCAGUCCCAUGAUUUUAAAGUUUGUUCGGGUCAGUCCCAUGAUUUAAAUUUUGUUCGGGUCAGUCCCAUUUUAAAUUUCUGAUUCGGGUCAGUCCCGUUUUAAAUUUCUUGUCUGAGUCAGUCCCAUUUUAAAAUUUUGUCAAAGGGGUCAGUCCCCAUUUCUAAAGCGUCCAUCGUUCGAAACGUUCGCAGCCGAAUAACGCAGGUAAGUAUUUAGUGUCUAAUUCUUUGUCUCAAGUUUUUCCAAAACUCAGACAAAGAGGGGAAACUGUAGACACCAAAUUUUUUAUUCUUUAAUUUUAUUGGUUUAAUUAAUUUAAUUUUUUCCUUUAUUUGUUUCAAUUUUAGGGUUUUUAUUUUAUUUUAUGUUUAUUUUAUUAUCCAUUUUGCUCAUUAGUUUUUUAACUUUUAUUUUAAAGUUUUUAGUAUUAAACUUUAUCGGAUUCUACUUAUAUUUGGUGUUUUAUAUUAAUUGCAGGGCAUUGGAGUAAAAAGUGCUAAAAAGAAGUAAUUUUCUUGGAGUUGAUUGUCAAGCGCAAGUGUUCCAAUUCAAGAUGGAGUCUACGUGGAGCAUUGGUUGAAAAUUAGGAAACUGCCACCUUUUAUUAGAUGUUUUAUUAGGGAAUAAUUAGUAUUAUGUUUUAGAAGGUUUCCCUUUUUCAAUUAGAAUUGGAGUUCUAUUCUUUUGCGAGCCUUCAGUUAGUGGAGGCCAAGGUAUUAGUACUUGAUAGGAAACAAAGCAAAUAAGAGGAAAGAAAGCCAGAUCCCGCGGGAUUGCUACUUGGCCAGGGCUCCUAUUUGACUUCGGGUAGGAAACAAUAAGAGACGUGAGGGCAGUAGUUUUCAAAAACAAUUCCUUAGCUUUCGAAUUGAAGGGGCGGCAGAUGAGGAGUUUGGCCAGCAACAAAUUCGCAGGCACUUAGGUCUUUAUUUUUCCUCCGGAGCCGACUUUUUAAAGGAGAAAAACAUUAGAAAAGCUUGGCUAUUAUUUUUAUUCUUGGACAGCUGGUUCUCCAUUAAUGGAGAACUAGCUUCUCAAUUCUAGUUAAGGGAACAACUGAAGAUUUGGUUCAACAAUUACUGUGAGAUCUAAUUUAUUUUAAUUGCUUCCUUCAUUUAUUGGUAUUCAUAUGUUUCCUGCUUUUAACCGUUAUAGCUCGUGUGGAUGAUUGAUUAGUGCACAAUAAUUAAUUAUUCAUAUAGGCUAUUUUGCUAAAUAGGGGUAACUGAAUCCGUAAUUGUUCGUUAUCCCUAUCUCAGUAGCAACUGGCGUAAUUGGGUUUAUGUCAGGGGAACAUACGAUCUAACUUAAACAAACCCUCGUAGCGUGUUUGUUAGUUAGGAUUGGGCCUUUCUAAUUAUUAAUGCAAUCUAGAAAUUAAAUCCUACGGUCGUACCUAGGGUUGUUUUUGGGUUAGAGAAAUAGUUAACGGUCGUACCUUAACUAUCGGGAAAUUAAGGAAAGGUUGGUUGUUUAUUGCGUGCAUGACAACUAUAACUAAUCUAUUAAUAAAUGUGGAAUUAUCUGUGAAUCAAUGAUCAGUGCCUGAACCAUUUCUGAAGUGUACCCUUGGCUAGAGUUUUCCCUUAAUUAUUUCUCUUAAUCAAUUAUUUUCUGCAGUUAAUUUAUUUAGUUAGCAUUUAAUCCAAAACCCCCCAUACCUUGGACUCUAGAAGAAAAUGAAUUAUCCCCAAUCCCUGUGGAUUCGACCCUACUCACCGCUAUAUACAAAAUCUGUAUUUUUCUCGAGUAGGUACUUAUUAUUGCACAGGUUCGGCACCUGUCACCAGUGUUAUAAUGGAUUGACCUAGUUGGGUACUUAGUGAGGUUCUCCCCUGUGAAAUUUUAAUAAUUGUUCUACACGUAUCUUGUGAUUGGUCCUGUGGACAUGUUUCAACCUUUUAUGAACAUUUGAACUCCCAAAGUAUUGCGUUGGUUAUUAGUGAGGUGACUUGAACUCAUUAUCUAUUUGUUUUAAUUGAAUAAAAGCACUUUCAAUUUUUGCUUGACCAUUACUAUAUAUACACAUAUCCACUUACCUAUUGUCCCUUUUCCACAAAUAUCUAUAUAUAUGUAUAUACAUUUUGAACCCGCAUGAAAGUCGAAAAUCAGGCAGAGCUUAGGUUCGGAUCUUUUCUUAGGACUGAGAAUGAAUAUUUGUUGUGAAUUGGAUAGUAAAAAAUGACCGAACUUUAUGUACCAUUAGAGUUAGCUCUUGGAUUAGAUGUGACGGGUGGUAAAGGUGUUGGAUCGAAGUUUAUGCAUAAAUGAACCUACAUGUUUACUUAUCUUUCUUAAAAGCAUUUUCUAAAAUAUACAUUUUACUCAAACGCAGCUCUUAACUCGAAACUUUGAGGAAAUUUUUGAAACAUCCUCCAUGUAUAUGUUAUUUUAUUAUAUAUGUGUUUUAAUACCCACGCAUUGAGUUAGAUGAUUAAUCUUCUUAAACGUAUUUGAGAAAUUUGAAAUAUGUAUUGAUGAUUGUGGCAAAAACAUUAUUUGAAGUUUCUUACUAAGAAAAUUUAGUUUCGGGCCAUGAAGAAAAGUUUGUAUCUUUAACUCUAAUUUUGAAAUUUUGAAUCACAUUCUGCCACAUACAUAUCCAAUAUACAUUAAAGCCCUCGAUUAUAUCUCGCAUAUUAUGAUUGACUUGACUUGGACAAAAAUUUGGUUGGUCGUUUGGGACAAAAGAAACCAGGUCAUUACUAAAAUUAUUAAUUUUGAAAAUCGAAUGCCAGUAAAUGGUUUUGGACAAAUUGAGUUCGAAAAUUUUGGCAAGCUUAGUCUUCUAUUGAAAAUAUAUCCUUCUAUUCGAGUUUUGAACUACAAAUUGAAUCAUUUAACUAGAGUUUUAAUUGACCUUGGAGCCAACUAUUCUUGUGCAAACCCGAGUUUAAUGAAUGGUAUAAAUAGAGAAUGAUCACUGGCCCUAUGACUUGGAGGUUAGGACUCCUACGGGGGAUUAGUGUUUAAUUGUUAGUGCAAAUUAUAGAAAGUGUGAAUUUUGGUAGAUCUUGUGGACCUAGCAAAUAAGGGGUUUGAUGUGAUAUUAGGGAUGGAUUGGCUAGCUAGAAGUAAGAAGCAAGCUGGGCAUCGUCUGCUCUUGUAUUAGGAAUCCGAGCUAGAAAAUCUAUGCAUACUGAAGCAUGAGGAUAUUUAGCUUUUCUUAUAAAUACACCCGGGGAUAACAUGAAGUUGGAAAACGUACCAGUGGUGAAAGAUCCAUUAGGAGAGAAAAACGUACGCUUUAUUUGAAAGAGGAUUCAUUAGAGAGAGUGAAUCCCGUGGAGGGCGCCUGUACUCUUUGUUAAGAAAAGAGAGAAGUUUAAAGCUAUGCGUGGACUUUCGAGACUUGAAUGAGGUGACCAUUAAGAAUAAAUACCCUUUUUGCCUCACAUAGAUGAAUUGUUUGACCAAUUAUAAUGAGUCAGGGUGUUUUCUAAGUUGGAUCUAAGGCAAAACUAUUAUUAGUUAAGGAUCUUAGAAGGAGUCACACCUAUGAUUGCUUUUACUUCAAGACGUGGCUAUUUUGAGUUUGUAGUCAUGUCUUUUGGGUUGACUAAUGCAUCGGCAGUUUUCAUAAACUUGAUGCAUUGAGUUUUAAGCUCUAUUUGGAUUAGAUUGUGGUGGUGUUCAUAGAUGAUAUAUUGGUGUAUUCUAAGUCUAGAGAGAAUCAAGAUCGACACUUGAGGAUAGUUUUGCAAACCUUGAGAGAGCAUUAACUUUUGCUAAGUUCAACAAGAGUGAAUUUUGGGUCAAAAGAAACUCACCAUUCUAAGUAGGCGGUGCACCUUGGAGGUAAUAAGAUGUACCAGGAUCUGAAGAGCCUUUAUUGUUGUGAUAAAUGAAAAAGAAACCCAAAAGAAGUACCUAGAGUUAUUUGAAAGCCAAGAUAUGAAUUUUGAGUAUGAAAUUCUCUUAAGAGGGAGAGGAUGUAAAGACCUACAAUUUUUAAACAUUUUAUUUAACUAUCUAUUUAUUUGAAUAUUUAAUCAUUUAUUUAAAUUAUCCAUUUUUAUCGCUUUAAAUCAUCUACAAUAGCAUACCAUUUACUUUUAUCAACUUAAGCACGAAAAUUUCUUUAAAAGUGCGUAUGCUUUUAUUUUUGCAAAAAGGGUGAGAUAGAGCGUUUAAGUGGUGAAUUGGUGAAAUGAACUGGGACUGGUGAUCGUAAGUGUUAGUAGUAUAGGAAAAGUUUACCUGGUGGAAAUAGUAGACUGAUACCAGUUAAAGAAAUGUUAGGCAAAAGCCAGACAAAAUUCACUAUUGAUAGUGACUCGUGUCACUUCACACCUUUUAUGUCAUCUCACAACUUUUUCUAUCUCCUUUUUUUUCCUCCACACAACCGGCCUCUCUCCCUCUCUUUUUCUUCCCUUUAUUUCAUUUUAUCACAUAACAUUCUCUCUCUUCUCUCUUGCCCUCUCUCUCACCCGAACUUCCCCUCCCUCUUUCCCCUUCAUUUUCUUCUUCUUCCUUCUUCAAUUCUUGCUCAAGUCUUGCUAAGAUCAACCAAAAGAAACCAUUGAAAGUGCUAAGAAGAACCUUGGGAAGCUAAGAGGAGAAGAAAGUUGAAGUCUUUGGCUCAUUUGAAGGGGCAUUGUUGGCCAUCUCUCAAGGUAAGUCAUGAAACUCCCUUAAUCACCUCUUAACCUUGUAGAUUAGGAGCUUUUCAUGGAGGGUUCUUAAAGCUCUCCCUAGGUAGUUGACUUGAGGUGGAUUUCAGGUAGAGAGCUUGAGGAUUGUGGUUGUUGUUGUUGUGAUUGUUGUGUUAUUUAUGUGAUACCCCAACUUUUAGGAUCAUCUUUUGUUUAGUCUCAAAGAGGAUAUUACGGUUUCUUUAGUUUAUUUUUAUUUUAAAACAUUAUUUUGUUUCAAAUAAGAUACUAAAGUUAUUUCUUUGGGUUUGAUUUAAAACCUUGUUUUGUUUUAAAAGACUAAAAACCCUAAAAGUCUAAUCAAAACCCUAGUUUCACUUGUGACUAACCGUUUUCUCAAAUUUCUCAUAUUUCAAUCGAAACCCUAAAUUCAAUUUAUGAAAUUGUAAAACCCCUCACGUUUUCUUAAAAACACCCUUUUAUUUGGAAAUUUUUCAUUUAUUAUGGCCCUACUAUCCAAUCACCCUACAAUAAGUGUAAAUGAAUAUAGAAGUAAGGGUUUUCGUUGUCCGUUUUCAAGUUGAAGCGAAUUAUGGUUUUCACGUUUUUCUAUAGUGUGACUAUUCGGUACGGAGUGAGAAUCAAAUUUGGUAGGUAAGAGUGACUUUUGGAUGAGAAAAUAUUAUAUGAUUAGAAGUGAUAAUAAUAAGUUAGUGAUUAGAAGUUAAAAACCCUAGUACAUGCGAAAUAAGGAAAAUCGGGUUGAAUCGAAGUGUACUGUUCGUUACCGACUGAGUGCACCACUUGACCCAUACUUUAUUACCUUAAUCUCCUUAUUAUUAAUUGAACAAAAUCAUACCUAAAUAUCUCCUUAAGCCAACCGAAAUUGUGGACCAAAAUAAGAGAGGGAAAAGAAAAUUUUAAAAGCUAAUCUCAUCGCAACAAGUGGCAACCAUUCCAUGGUUGUUUGACCAACUUAAUUCCUACCUUCUUAUCUUCCUUCUUAGAUGAUUUUUCUUCAUUUCUUGCUGGUCUUGGUCAUGUCUUUGGAGAGAAAAAACAAGAGAAAGAAACCACAAUCCAUCUUGAGUUUGAUCCAUUUAAGUGAGAAAACAAGAAAUCUAAACCGAUUAAUCAAUAGUUUGAGAGCUUGGGAAGCUUAAGGAACCAAAAAUUUCUAAGAGAGGUGGAGGAUAUCCUUUGAAAGCUUGUUCUUGAGGUAUAUUGGCAUAUUGGCUGUCCCUUAUCUUUGGUUCUUUUGCUUUUGUUUAAGUUGUUAUAUAACUCAUGAUUUGGUCAAAUUGGUAGCUAUGGAAGUAGUUGUGAUGAUUUUGGGAGAAUUGGUGAGUUAGGGUUUGUAUUGAUCAACCAUAUUUCUUCUUGUUUAGAUGGAUUAUGAUGGGAAUAAGUGUAGAUAAGGAGGUGAGGUAGUGUUUUAAGGCUAUAAUUAUGAAGAUUAGCACUUGUAGGCAUAAAUUCCAGAUUUUCGAUUUUGCAUCCCCCCUGCUCUGCCUGGUUCUAGUUCACCAUGUUAGAAGCUGAAUUAGGCUUAGCACAAAACAUGAAAGUUGUAUAGAACAAUAUUUUAUGGUGGCAUACAAAAUUUCAACUCAAUCGGACUAAUGUAGCCUAUGAAAAGACGAAAAUACUUUGACUGCCAUAGGAGUAAAGUCAGUGGACAGUUUUGACAGUACGCUGAGUUGGUUGCAUUUGUUUACCUUGAUACACACUGAACUAGCUUCUAGUCAAAACAUGAAAGUUUUAUCCCUAUGCUUCGGCUUUCCAAUGCAACUGAAAACAUCCAAAUCGGACUUCGGUAGCCUGAGUUAUUGUCAUUUACGCAUAAUGCGGUUAACUAGCCCGAAUGUGAGAUUUUGGUUCUGUAAUCUGGACUUUUGACCGAUACACUACAAACUGGACUGAGUGGUGUUCAUCAAAGUCAUAGACCUUUGUCUUAGCUUCGAAAUGGUAUCAAUUUCAUCCCAAUCCGAUAAGCGUAGCUUUGGUUGUGCUCGUUACGCUAAGUGACGGCAAAUCUGUCUUUUGAUUUAUGCCUUACAUUUCAUUUCCGGACAUGUACCUAGUUUAAUUUGGUAUUUGUAUGGCUUUGAGCUUAUUGAAUGGCUAUUGAAAUGAGGUUAUUCUAUGUGUGACUUUGGAAUUAUUUGAGGAAAAUAUUGAAGCCAUAAAUGGCUGGAAAAUAGGUAAACACAAGGGACAUGCCGCCAAAGUUUCACUAGAGGACUAACCUAGCCUUUGGAGUUCUAGUUCUAUAUUUUGCAAAUGUGACUGGAAUACACUAAAAACUGGGUCGAGGUGUCUUCAUGGAAGUUGUAAUCUUUUGUUUAAGUUUCGAGACACUACCUAGUAUAUUUUGAUUCGAUAACCACAGCUCCAGUUAUGGUCAAAGAUCGUGUAACCCAUGUUGUACCAUUUUCAUUUCCGCGCACGCGCACGUGUAUUUCUCAACCGUUUUUGCCAUUUUGGACCAUUUAAGAUUAUUUUUUUUAUUUUGUUAACAUUCCAGCCGUUUCGGCCAAUUUUGACAUUCUUUUGGCCUUAACGUCAUUUUUGACCGUUUUCAACCGUAUUCGAUCAUUUAAGUUAUAAACUGUUAUUGUAUGGCCGUUUCACUUAUGUGUGUACAUAAUCUGUCAAUACAGAUUGUGAGGUUUUGACGGUGAUGGUCAAGCUCAGUUAAUUGUAUCAUUUUUCGUGCCAAGUUUUACCAAGUAAGUAAUUGUGCUGUUAUUGAUGUGGAGUUGUUAAAGUGCUUUGUACAUGUUAAAUGGGUACUUAGGUGAGGGUGUACUUUAUCUCACUCGACCUAAACCCGUCCUUUGUUUUGAUUUCUUAUGUGAGAAUACAUGUCUUAUGUUGAGUAUCACCAUUUUGCUGUGUGCUGAUGGGGGUGAUUACAUGAGUUGAGUAUCACCCUUUUGCUGUGUGCUGAUGGGGGUGAUUACAUGACUUGAAUUAAACCCCUUUUGCUGUGUGCUGUUGGGGUAAGUACUUUGUUGUGUACUUUGUUGAGAGAUACCAUCUAUUGAGAGAUUGGAUAUCUCAGGGCUUGGUUCCAGUCCGGUUCUAAGGGUUAGACGAACUAUUUGAACCAGUUGGGGCUUGGUCGAAGAUAGUUCCAUGCUAAACUUGGGAUUUAGUUCCUUGUUAAAGCUUUGACGAAAGCUAAGUUAUUUUGUUUCACUCGAGUUGCUGUCUGCUGUUGACUGACCAGCGGGGGUUGAUAAGGUGAACAAGAAAAGUUAAGUGGAGUCUACGGACCAUGAGUACUUUGGUUGACAGAGUGUCAACAGGCGUUCAAGCUCGGGAAAUUGAACUGGCUUUGGAGCCACCCGUAGCCUACCAUUGUGAUGUUACUUUUCUGUUGUUGAUGUGAUAUAUCCUGAUUUACUUGUCUAAUUAUGUGAGUUUACAUUUUUACCCCUGAUUAUUCACUAAGCAUAUAGCUUACCCCAUUUCAUUUGUUUUUCUUAGUAGGGGGCCGACGCGGGAUCGCUCGGGAAGGUGUUUAGACUUUUGGCGAUAGAAUAGUUGAAUUGUACUUGUUAUAAGUUGACUAGUAAGAUGUAUAUAUUUGUCAUGGUAGUUAUAGUUAUCAGCUUUUCUAGGGUUUACUUUCGGGUACUUGUGGUAUGUAUGACUUGAUGAACUAGUCUAUGCUACUUUUGAAGCUGUAAUAGAGUAAAUAGAGCUUUCUUUUAGCGUGGAAUCUAUUUUCUCAUUUUAAGUAUUGAGUCCUGGCGCGAGCUAGACAGGCGUCCCGCCGAUACCCUAGGGUUCGCCCUUAGGAGAAGUGGGGGCUGUCACUGGUGGUAUCAGAGCCUGCUUCGCGUGGUCUCUGCGCGGAGUGAGUUUGGGCCAAGUGGUCAAUAAGUAUGAAGGACUAAGUGCUCGUUCGAGCAUUAGUUAUGGAUCAUAAAUGUUAUAGGCCUUAAAUCUUUCUCAUAGUAUCUGAGGACCAUAGAUAGGUACGUCAGGUAGGAAUUUCGAAUGUAGAUAGUUUACUCUUGGGACUGGCCAGCUCGAGAUGUGAAUUAUCUUAUUUCGGAUUCUCGUGCCUGAGUACUCCAGAGUUGAGGCGCUGCUAAGUACUUGAGACUUGCAUUUUGGGAACAUGAACAGACUUUGUUUGGCUAGAAUGAGUACAAGAGAUCAACGGGCACAUUGGGAAGUGGAGUAGGAAACCAGACGGGGGUGAUUUUCACUGAGUGUGGGACAACAAGUCGCGUUUUCUUUCAUUUUGCCCUUGCAUUGUCCCUACAUGUCAUUUACUUAUGGUAUGUUAAUGCCUACAUAAAUAGUACUUACUGCAUUUGACUUUGUCUAACUUGAAAUGUCCCUUGGUGUAUAUGGUGCAUUAUAUUGUGUAUAUCUUUGGCGUGACUUGUAUAUAUAUAUGUACACAUUUUGAUCUUUUGAUUAUUUCGUGCAUUAUAACUUUUCAACACUUUGAUCUUGUACCAUAUUUUGUCCCAAUUAUAGAAACUAUAAAACCAUCAAAUGGAGACUUGUGGUGGGGGUAGAGGACAAGAACAAGGAACCGAAGGGGUAACCAAUGAAAAUGCGAAUACAUAAGCCGAAACUCAGGUAGCUACGACUAUACAGUGAAUGGCCGAUUUAUUAGAACGAAUGGUCAACCAACAGGGUCAAGGCUAAGUACAGCAUCCUGGAAAUCAUGAAGGAGAGGACCAUGCCUUAGAACGGUUCCAAAAAUUUCUACCGCCAAAAUUUUUGGGUGGAUCUGGCCCGAAUAUAGUGGAGAGUUGGUUGGAGCGAAUGUUAGACAUUUUUGUUGCAUUAGAAUACUCGGAGGAACGGUAGAUAGCUAUCGAUGUUUUUCAAUUUGAGGAAGUGGUUCGUGCCUGGUGGAAUGUGAUUCGAGCCAAAUGGGAUAGAGAGCAAACCCCAUGGACAUGGGUGAAUUUUACUCGUGAGUUUAAUGAGAAGUACUUACUGCCACUUGUGCAGGAAAGGCGAGAGGAUGAGUUCAUACGCCUACGUCAAGGGACUAUGAGUGUGGCGGAGUAUGAGACACAGUUUACCAAACUCUCUCGUUUUGCUCCAGAAUUAGUACUAACAGACCAAAGGAGAAUUCAUCGCUUUGUUCAGGGUUUGAAUGUGGAGAUUCAGGAAGCACUGGCAGCUGCCCAAUUGGAAACUUAUAGUCAAGCGAUUGAAAAGGCACAAAGAAUUGAAAGUACUAAGAGUCAAGUAAAGGCCUUUCAUGAUAAGAAAAGAAGGCACCCAGAUACAAGUAGUUAUAUUGAGGGACAGAGCUCGGGGAGCGAGCCGCCACCUAAGAAGGGUCGAGGAAUAGGUGGACUACGAUCCACUAGGAUGCCAAAUCAAGGAAAUGUUGAGAAAAAUCAAGUAGUGAGAGAGAACCAAAGGGGUACCUCACGAGAAGGUCCGACAUCAGGACCUAGAAUGGCAUGCGGAUUUUGUGGAGCUGGUAAUCACAUAGAAGAUAAUUGUUGGAAGAAAGGACAAGUACAGAAAUGCUACCGAUGUGGUAGUGCUGAGCAUCUGAUUGCUCAGUGCCCUCACCUGCCAAAAGAAGGAAAUUUGCCAAGGGCAGAAGGGAACACGUCUAAGCCGACUAAUGCCACGGGUAAUCGACUGAAAGUGCCGGCAAGGACCUAUGCAAUAGGAAGCCAAGAGGUGACAGACCCAUUGGCAAUCACCGAAGGUACCUUCCCUAUUUUCCAUCGUAUUGAGGUUUCCUUCUACUCAUUUUACAAGAUAUUUAAAGACCAUUGAGACUGUGAGAUAAGGAUUAUACAGUUGGAUCUUGGAUUGCGAUACAUAGAGUGACCAAUUCAUGAGGUAAUCUUUACCACUACAGAUGAACUCGUUAAUGAGGUAUUCGAAUAUUCUAACCCUUAGCCCGUUGAUUACAAUUUCGAGGACGAAAUUCUUCGAAGGAGGGGAGAUUGUGAUACCCCAACUUUUAGGAUCAUCUUUUGUUUAGUCUCAAAGAGAAUAUUACGGUUUCUUUAGUUUAUUUUUAUUUUAAAACAUUAUUUUGUUUCAAAUAAGAUACUAAAGUUAUUUCUUUGGGUUUGAUUUAAAACCAUGUUUUGUUUUAAAAGAUUAAAAAAUCCUAAAAGUCUAAUCAAAACCCUAGUUUCACUUGUGACUGACCGUUUUCUCAAAUUUCUCAUAUUUCAAUCGAAACCCUAAAUUCAAUUUAUGAAAUUGUAAAACCCCUCACGUUUUCUUAAAAAUGCCCUUUUAUUUGGAAAUUAUUCAUUUAUUAUUGUCCUACUACUUAAUCACCCUACAAUAAGUGUAAAUGAAUAUAGAAGUAAAGGUUUUUAUGGUCCGUUUCAAGUUGAAACAAAUUAGGGUUUUCACAUUUUUCCAUAGUGUGACUAUUCGGUACGGAGUGAGAAUCAAAUUUGGUAGGUAAUAGUGACUUUUGGAUGAGAAAAUAUUAUAUGAUUAGAAGUGAUAAUAAUAAGUUAGUGAUUAGAAGUUAAAAACCCUAGUAUGUGCGAAAUAAGGAAAAUCGGAUUGAAUCGAAGUGUACUGUUCGUUACCGACUGAGUGCACCACUUGACCCAUACUUUAUUACCUUAAUCUCCUUAUUAUUAAUAAGCCAACCGAAAUUGUGGACCAAAAUAAGAGAGGGAAAAGAAAAUUUUGAAAGCUAAUCUCAUCGCGACAAGUGGCAACCAUUCCAUGGUUGUUUGACCAACUUAAUUCCCACCUUCUUAUCUUUCUUCUUAGAUGAUUUUUCUUCAUUUCUUGCUGGUCUUGGUCGUGGCUUUGGAGAGAAAAAACAAGAGAAAGAAACCACAAUCCAUCUUGAGUUUGAUCCACUUAAGUGAGAAAAUAAGAAAUCUAAACCGAUUAAUCAAUAGUUUGAGAGCUUGGGAAGCUUAAGGAACCAAAAGUUUCUAAGAGAGGUGGAGGAUAUCCUUUGAAAGCUUGUUCUUGAGGUAUAUUGGCUGUCCCUUAUCUUUGGUUCUUUUGCUUUUGUUUAAGUUGUUAUAUAACUCAUGAUUGGUCAAAUUGGUAGCUAUGGAAGUAGUUGUGGUAAUUUUGGGAGAAUUGGUGAGUUAGGGUUUGUAUUGAUCAGCCAUAUUUCUUCUUGUUUAGAUGGAUUAUGAUGGGAAUAAGUGUAGAUAAGGAGGUGAGGUAGUGUUUUAAGCUAGAAUUAUGAAGAUUAGCACUUGUAGGCAUAAAUUCCAGAUUUUCGGUUUUGCACCCCCCUGUUCUGCCCGGUUCUAGUUUACCAUGUUAGAGGCAGAAUUAGACUUAGCACAAAACAUAAAAGUUGUAUAGAAUGAUAUUUUAUAGUGACCUACAAAAUUUCAGCUCAAUCAGACCAAUGUAUCCUAUGAAAAGAUGAAAAUACCCUGACUGCCAUAGGAAUAAAGUCAGUGGAUAGUUUUGACAGUACACUAAGUUGGUUGCGUUUGUUUACCUUGAUACAUACUGAACUAGCUUCUAGUCAAAACAUGAAAGUUUUAGCCCUAUGUUUCAGCUUUCCAAUGCAAUUGAAAAAUCCCAAUCAGACUUCGGUAGCCUGAGUUAUUGUCGUUUACGUAUAAUGCGGUUAACUAGCCCGAAUGUGAGAUUUUGGUUUUGUAAUCCGGACUUUUGACCUAGAUACACUACAAACUGGACUGAGUGGUCUUCAUCAAAGUCAUAGGCCUUUGUCUUAGCUUCGAAAUGGUAUCAAUUUCAUCCCAAUCCAAUAAGCGUAGCUUUGGUUAUGCUCGUUACGCUAUGUGACGGCAAAUCUGUCUUUUGAUUUAUGCCUUACAUUUCAUUUCCGGACAUGUACCUAGUUUAAUUUGGUAUUUGUAUGGCUUUGAGCUUAUUGAAUGGCUAUUGAAAUGAGGUUAUUCUAUGUGUGACUUUGGAAUUAUUUGAGGAAAAUAUUGAAGCCAUAAAUGGCUGGAAAAUAGGUAAACACAAGGGACAUGCCGCCAAAGUUUCACUAGAGGACUAACCUAGCCUUUGAAGUUCUAGUUCUAUAUUUUGCAAAUUUGACUGGAAUACACUAAAAACUGGGUCGAGGUGUCUUCAUGGAAGUUGUAACCUUUUGUUUAAGUUUCAACCAACUACCUAGUACAUUUUAAUUCGAUAACCACAGCUCCAGUUAUAGUCAAAGAUCGUGUAACCCAUGUUGUACCAUUUUCAUUUCAGCGCAUGCGCACGUGCAUUUCUCAACCGUUUUUGCCAUUUUGGACCAUUUAAGAUUAUUUUUGUUAUUUUGUUACCAUUCCAGCCGUUUCGGCCAAUUUUGACAUUCUUUUGGCCUUAACGUCAUUUUUGACCGUUUUGAUUAUUUUUAACCAUAUUCGAUCGUUUAAGUUAUAAACUAUUAUUGUAUUGCCGUUUCACUUAUGUGUAUAUAAUCUGUCAAUACAGAUUGUGAGGCUUUUGACGGUGAUGGUCAAGCUUAAGCAAGUGAGUAAUUGGGUUGUUAUUGAUGUGGAAUUGUUAAAGUGCUUUGUACAUGUUAAAAGGGUACUUAGGCGAGGGUGUACUUUAUCUCACUCGACCUAAGCCCAUCCUUUGUUUUGAUUUCCUAUGUGAGAAUACAUGCCUUAUGUUAAGUAUCAUCCUUUUGCUGUGUGCUGAUAGGGGUGAUUACAUGAGUUGAGUAUCACCCUUUUGUUGUGUGCUGAUAGGGGUGAUUACAUGACUUGAAUUAAACCCCUUUUGUUGUGUGCUGUUGGGGUAAGUACUUUGUUGUGUACUUUGUUGAGAGAUACCAUCUAUUGAGAGAUUAGAUAUCUCAGGGCUUGGUUCCAGCCCGGUUCCAAGCGUUAGACGAACUAUUCGAGCCAGUUGGGGCUUGGUCGAAGAUAGUUCCAUGCUAAACUUAGGAUUUAGUUCCUUGUUAAAGCUUUGACGAAAGCUAAGUUAUUUUGUUUUGCUCGAGCUGCUAUGUGCUGUUGACUGGCCAGUGGGGGUUGAUAAGGUAAACGUGAAAAGUUAAGUGGAGUCUACGGACCAUGAGUACUUUGGUUGACAGAGUGUCAAUAGGCGUUCAAGCUCGAGGAAUUGAACUGGCUUUGGAGCCAGCCACCUGUAUCCUACCAUUGUGAUGUUACUUUUCUGUUGUUGAUGUGAUAUAUCCUGAUUUACUUGUCUAAUUAUGUGAGUUUACAUUUUUACCCCUGAUUAUUCACUAAGCAUAUAACUUACCCCAUUCCAUUUGUUUUCCUUAGCAGGGGGCCGACGCGGGGAUCCCUCGGGAAGGUGUUUAGACUUUUGGCGAUAAAAUAGUUGAAUUGUACUUGUUAUAAGUUGACUAGUAAGAUGUAUAUAUUUGUCAUGGUAGUUAUAGUUAUCAGCUUUUCUAGGGUUUACUUGCGGGUACUUGUGGGAUGUAUGACUUGAUGAACUAGUCUAUGCUACUUUUGAAACUGUAAUAGAGUAAAUAGAGCUUUCUUUUAGCGGGGAAUCUAUUUUUUGAUUUUAAGUAUUGUGUCCUGGUACGAGCUAGGUAGGCGUCCCGCCGAUACCCUAAGGUUCGCCCUUGGGAGAAGUGGGGGCUGUCACAAUUUAGCUAUUUGAUGAACCCUUGAGAAAGUUGGUUGGAAAAAUUGAAGAGCUUUGGCUCUUGUCUUGGCCGAACCACUCCCCUUCCUUUCUUGCCUUGAUUUUCGAAAUUUGUAAGAUUAUUGAUGUAGUUAAGUUUCUUGUUGGUAGGUAAAUGUAUAUUAUGAUUGGUUAAUGAAUUUGUUGUGGUUUGAUUGGUGAAAGAGUUGAAAGCUUCAAAGCUUGAAUUUGUCCGUAAUGGGAGAGAGGAAGAGUCGAGCUUAACCUUUGGUUUUUGUUGAAAUUUGAUGCUUAAAUUAUGUUAAAAUUGCUGGUAUGAAUGUCAUACUUAAGUGUAUGGGUGGUUUGAAUAAAAGUCUUGCGGUUUUAAAAGAGAAAACGAGUUUUUUCAAAUGAAAAAUGAGUUUCCAGAUUUUCGGAUUUCACUGACUAGUCUCAGUAAAAUGCUUAUAUCUUGGUGUAGAAAAAUUUGAUUGAGGUGCUGUCAGCGGCAUUUGAACUAGACUCAUGGACCUUUGUUUUGUAAAAAUUUCAUAUUUUUCCCCCAUGUGUACUGCUGGCGUGACUCCUCAAUGUUGGCUGUCCUGCUUGAAUGUCCUGUUUAUUUAGGAAAAUGAUUUUUUGACUUGGAUAGAAUAUUUGGCCUACUUGUGAUUUGAAUCCCUAAAAAGUGUCUUCUGGGAUAUGGUAGUGUUAAAAAUCUAUUUUCCAACGGUAUAACUUUCAUAAUUUUUCGACUUGUGGAACUCAAGUUACAAAUUUUUAAAGUUCACUGUUACUAUUCAUCUCAGUAGAUUCCUGAAGCAUAGAAAUGGGGUUCUUGACUUUAAAACCUCGGACGGCCUACUUCCAACCUGUUACCUUGAUUUUUCCUCUUCCUUGACUUCAAAUGUAUCCCUAUUGAACUUCUCUCGCUAAUGUAUCUCUCAUUUCCUCAAAAUUUUAUACUUUUAACAAGUUACCUUAAUUAAAGCGGUCAAGACUUGUAGUUGGCUUUUAGCCACCAUUUUCGAAUUUCCAAGUGAAGCUUACUUGCUAGACUUGUCCAUAUGUUGGUCUUGAUACUUGUACUAGAGUUGGCAAUCAUACAGUUGCCUCUUGUGGCUCAAUUUUGUCCCUCUCGUGAAACGAAUUUGAAAAAGAUUUCUUCUAAUAAUUUAUAGCAUUUUGAACCUAGUUUUCAACGCCAUAAACCAUUCCCAAUUUGGACUUGUAUAGAGUUAGUUAUGGCUUGAUUUCAAAACUGUGCUGAAGCUUUGUGACUGAAAAUUCGCGGAACAGGUUGCGAAAACCAGUUUUCUUAAAACUGUUGUGUCUUGGUGUUAGAGAAUCUAAAUUGAGUUCCGCUUGUUGUGGUUGAACCUUGACUUGAAGUUCUUGUUGUGCUGUAAAAUUUAGAGGCUAAUUCAAUUCCUAUGAAUUUUGCCACAUUUUCAAACUUUACCGAAAAAUCAAGACUGUUUCUGUCCUGUUUUAAUAAAACAGUAGUUUUGAGCUGAGAUUCAAAUGAUUUCUAGUUGGAAUCUAGGAAAAGUGUCGCUGGAAAGUUUUAGUACUAUGAAUCUAGUUUCCAACGAUGUAAAGUUUCUAAUGUUUGGACUUACCAAACUCAAGAUCUGAUUUUUCAAGUAUUGUCGCGUAAAGCUGAAAAUUUCUGAUUUCUUAAGAAAUGAACUUUUACGAACUUCCAACUUCUUUUUAAGAUUGAUAGUCCGUUUUAAACUUGAUUUCAUGGAUGAUACCAGUUUCCCUUGUGACUUUAAAUCCUCAUUUUUGAAUCUCGAUUUUCGAUGAAUUAAAACUCUUUUUGAGGUAUUGUUUAAGUUUUAAGCAAAGACAUUUUCUUCCUUGAAUGCUAAGUAGCAUAGGGUAUCCGUGAGUGAUGGUUGGUUAAUAUUUCUUCAGGUGCUCAAGAGGGUUUCGAAAGGAAUCUCGGUAUGGACAACUAAAGACCUUAGUUACUCACUUGCUUUUGAAUUGGUGAGUGUCAAGUGCAUGACUUGUUGUUUGAUACUUGAACUGCUUCUUGUUGAAAAUAUGAAUUGGACUUGUCGAGAUGAGGGUGUACUUGUACUUGUGGGGACGCCCAAAACUCAUUGGCUAACCUUGUGACUCGAGCGGGCAUGAGCUUGGUCGAGAAGCUUGGUGAAUCAUGAGAAAAUUAUAAAGUUUGAUCUUUUGAGAUCUUGUUUGGCAUACUCGAAUAGUAUUGCCUUUUCUAUUUGACGUUCGGGCCUGGUAGGGGGUGUAACGAUUGACGGAAAUUUGAUGAAAAGUGGAGUCUAUGGAUUUGAUACUUGCUCGGUUGACGGAGAGUCAAUGUGUGAAAUUUUGGAUCAAGGUCUUGGCAAAGCUGUGUGGAGUUAGUUCCUGAGAGCUUCCGUAUUCUUAUUGAUUGUGUUUGACUUUCCUUUGUGAAUUACAUGAGUUUUAUGGUUAUCCUUCUUGCCCAAGUUUUAUUGUGUGACAGCCCCACCUUCUCCUGAGCCGAACCAAAGGAGUUAGCGGACUGCCUGCCCAACUCUCGCCAGGACUAACGGUGCAGUUACAUCGAUCUAAUAUGUUCCGGAACAUACAAGCGCGCGUAAACCAGUCAAAAUCACAAAAUAAAAAAAAUGAAAAUUGGAGCCGGUCAUGAAUAGUACCGGCAACGUCAAAAUCCAGCCAAACAUCACGCAAACAUACACAUCUUGAAAUUGAAUAUUUACAAACCAAAAUGGCAUACAAAAUUAUCCUAUAAGUUUAUACAUAUACGGUUUGCCAAAUCAAAAGAGAAAUCGGACCCAAAAGUAUAUUUAGGGUUUCAAUCAAUGAGCUAUACAAAAGCUAUGUACAUCUAGCUCAAUUCGGCAACCAACUAUCAAAUCCAGUCCAAAAGCAUUUAUUUUCCUGUAAGGAAAACAAAAGGAACAGAGUGAGCUUACGCCCAGUGGUAUACUAUCACAUAAGCAACCAAGUCAUAUAGGCAUAAAGCGGUCAAAAGAAAUAAACCAAGAUCGCACAUUAACAAGAUGGUAAAAGGAUACGGACGGCUCUCAAGAGCCCCUUUCCUCGCUCGUAUACUUGAUCGAACUUCAUUGACCCUCCGUCAAUGUUUACAAAGUAACCAACUGUAGACUCCACUUUACUUCCAUUCCUUCCACCCAACAUACCCCUACCGGGCCCGAACUCCAAACAGUAGAAAUUUGGUAAUACUCGAGUAUACCGGAAUCAAGAGUCUCACUACUACAAGAUUCCAAAUAACAGUCCCCAUGGCUCAUCGACUUUCACGACCAAGCCCUCACUGGCUCGAUUCAAUCGAUUACCAAUGGGGUUGAGCUCAGUAGUACAGUAAACGUCGUUGGAUACUCGUCCAAACGACACCAAAAUCAGUUUUCCAUGUACAUAUCCAGUAUCACAGUGAAACAGUAGACAAUCAGUAAUAAUAUCAAAAGGGGGUGAGGGCGAUCAAGUACACCCUCACCUUAAUCAAAUUCAAUGGACAAAUAAGCCUUCAAGGCAUCACAUUCACAUAUAGCAAAGCCACAUUGUAAACAAACAAGUGAGUAGUACACUCACCAAUUAAUCAAAUGAUAUUUCAUGCACCUCCGCCUAAGAGUGUCUUGCACCAACGUCACGUCCUAACAUAUUCAAAUAAGCACAAUAAGACUCAAUUCCAAGUCAUACACCACUACCAAAUGCCAUCAAAAUAGGGUUCCAUAAGAAUGUAUAAACAUUAGAGUAAACCAGGGAAAUCUGGAAAUGGAAUUAAGCACUAAGCUAGAAAAACAGUUUUUGACGUCAUUAUGCGGUUUUGGCACCAAUGGCACUAUGAUUAUCGGAUGGAGGUGUAAGAUACCCCGUUUCGAAGCUAUGAGAUAGGGCUACAAUGUUACAGAAGGCUACUUUGUCCAGUUUCGAGUGUAACCAGGUCAAAAAUGCAAUAUACUACACCAGAACUGCAAAAACAGGUUCACAAACCGCAUUCUGGUUCAAACAUCAUAAGUCAGGCUACCUAAGUCCAAAUCAGGUGAUUCCAAAGCCAUCCAAAACCUAAAAUACAAGGCUACAAUUCAUAAGAAGACAUCAACAACAAAAUCAGAAGCAUUCCCACUCAAAUUAACCAAUCACAGACGCAAUUAUCAAAUUCUGGUAGAAACAAGGUAGCAGGGGUAAUUCAGUCUCUUCACAAGCUACGUUGCUCCGAUUGAUCUGAAAUUUUUCAGGAAUUCCGAAAAUAUCAUUCCCUACAACUUUCAUGUUUUAACCCAAGGCCAAUUCGGCCUCUAACUAUGAGGUACAGUGCCAGGCAGAAUGUAAGACAAUGAAACCCUAACUUUUCCAAUUUUCUUCCAAAACAGAAAUUUCCUGCAAUUAACCACUUUUUCCACCUUCUAGCUUCCUUAAAUAUCAUUUCCCAUCAUCAUACAUGCCCACAUAAUAAUAAUCAUAUGAAAAUAGAAAAUUCACCAAUAAUUAUAAAACUUCACCAAUUCAACCAAAAAUCAUGAAAUAACACCAAAGAUCAUUACUUCAACUACCUCAAGUCACAAAUUAAACAUCAUUAGGUGGAGGAGAGGGGUUCCUUCACAACUCACCUUAGCAACACAAGAAAGAGAGAAACUAGUCACCUUAGCUUUCCAAACAACUUCACCAAUCACCUCACCAACACUAAUUGAAGAGGUUUUAUGGAACAAAAACAAGUUUAAGUGGUUGAUUUGGUAGAUUUGAGCAAGAUUGAAGCCAAAAACUUGUAGAGUUUUCUUUCUUUUGUUGCUUGAAGAGGCCGGCUAUGAAGAGGAAGAAAAUGGUGAAUUUUUGGUAUUUUUUUGAUUUAUUUGGUCAAUUGGUAAGAAAAUGAAUAGUGGUCAUAAAGUACAACCAACCAAAUGGUGACACUUGUCACCCUAUUUAAUGCAUACAUAUCCUUUUGUUCCCUCUCACACCAAUCCAUAUAACAACCUCUAAUUAUCUCAUAGCACUCGAUAAUCUAACCCCCAGUAUCCAAAACUUAACCUAGUUGGCCGAAUUUUUCCGAACUUUCCGCACUAGCGGGUCCCACGUCCGGUAUACGCUCUUAAUUUCUCAAAAUCUAACCGAUACUAGAAAAAUCAUCUAAAAACUAUAUUUACUCAUAAAAAUUAUCAGGAAAAUUUUCCUAAUAAAGAAAAUGCAGAAAACAUGCCAUUAACGAGAAAACCCCUAGAAAAAUGAGAAAAUUACGGGUACUCACACUCUCUCCCCCUUGAAAAAAUUUCGCCCUCGAAAUUUCUCACCUUAACUCCCGAAAAGGUCAAGGUAUUUCCUUUGCAUCUCUUCUUCCACCUCCCAGGUAACUUCCUCUACCCCAUGGUUUCUCCACAGUAUCUUAACCAACGGAAUCUGCUUGUUUCUUAGCUCUUUGACUUUCCGGUCAAGCACUUGGACAGGUUUCUCUUCAUAAACAAGCAAUUCGUCUACGUUGAUCUCCUCUGGUUGUAAGAUAUGGGAUGGGUCGGGAUAGUACUUCUUGAGUAUCGAGACGUGGAAGACGUCGUGAAUUCGAGAGAGACUGGACGGCAGCUCUAAUCGAUACGCUACAGCUCCUACCCUCUGGAGGAUCUUAUAGGGUCCAACGAACCUCGGUUGGAGCUUCUUCCCUUUGCGUGCUAUGACGCUCCGUAAGGGUGUGACCUUGAGAAACACAUGGUCUCCAACUGCGAACUCCAAGUCCUUUCUUCGAUUGUCAGCGUAACUCUUCUGUCGGCUUUGAGCUGUUUGGAGUCGUUGCCGUAUCAACUUGACCUUUUCUCGAGUCUCUUCCAUCCAUGGAAUAGUUGCUGGAUCUAGCGUGUGACGCCCCGAAAAGUAUGAGUGUGAGAACCCGUAAAAACCCUAAUCCUUUCCGAGGGUUUUACUUCCUUUAAUAGCAUGUUUUCUGCGUUUUCUGGCUUAGGAAAUUUUCAUGAGGAAUUUUUAUGAGUAAUUAUAGUUUUUAGAUAAUUUUUCUAGCCUUGGAGAGUUUUUGGAAAAUUAAGAGUGUAUAAUGGACGUGGGACCCACUAGUGCGAAAAGUUCGGAAAAAUUCGGCCAAUAAGGUUAAGUUUCGGAUACUGUGUAAAAAUUUAUCGGGUGUUAAGAGAUAAGUAGAGAGUGAGAUUUGAUUGAUGUGAGAGGAAAAAGAAGUGAUAAGAUUGCAUUAAUGAGGUGACAAGUGUCACCCUCUUAUUGGUUUUACUUUAAGAUUUACUAUUCCAAUUUUUGACUUUUUUUUACCAAAGGUUAAAUAUCUUAAAAAUUGCCCAAAAAUCACCAUUUCUUACCUUUGGAUGGCCGGCCCUCUCUAGCAAGAAGAAAGACAAAACUCUUCAACAUCUUGGCAAAUUCCUAGCUCAAAUCAUCCAAACUACUUGCCUAAAUUAGUUUUUACUCCAUAAAAUUCCUUCCUUGGGUGCUAGUAGGUAGUUUAGUGAAGUUUGUUUGAAGAGCUAAGGUGUCCAACAUCUCUAUCUCUCUUGGUUACUAGGUGAGUGGUGUGUGUAUCUUCCUCCUUCACUUAAUAAAGCUUAGGUUAUGCUUAGUAGUGGCUAAAGUGAUGAUAUAUAUGGUUUAUUUCUUGGUUUGAAGUGAUUUGGUGAAGUUUUCAUUUUAUUGAUGAAUUUUCUGGUUUAAUGUAAUCAUGGUGUUGUGGUUGUUUAUGAUGAUUGAUAAUGAGGGGUUAUGACUCUAGUGGAUGGAAAUGAUUGAUAUUUGCAACCAAUUUUGGGUUUGGAUUGAAACAUGAAAAGUUAGGGUUCAUAAACCCCCUUUUCUGUCCGGUUUUGGAUCAGGUGGUUAGAGGCCGAAUUGGUCUUUUCUUAAAACAUGAAAGUUGUAGGUAUUGAUGUGUUGGAGGUGGCUGUAAAAUUUCAGGUCAUUUGGAGUAGUGUAGAGUGAGAUAUGGCGUUUUUACUGUUGCUGUUCUGGGUUGAUCAGAAUGCGAAAACUGCACUUGUAAUUGGCCAUUUUGACUGGAAUUGCUUUGGUUUUAGAUGUUGGUGUCUUCUGAUGAAAUGUAGCUGGAUGUCUUAGCUACCAUAUGCCUUUGGAAUCAAUGCAUUUGGACUUGUAUAGACUGAGUUGGACUAAUUACAGCAUUGAGUGAUUUGCAAACCUGCAAUUACGGUUCAGGUUGUGGUAUUCUGCAUUUUUGACCUGUUUGCACUCAAAACUGGGUUGAGUGACCUUCUGCAAUAUUGUAGCCCUGUCUCUUAGCUUCGAAACGCUGGGUCUUGCACCUUCUUCCGACAAUCGUAGAGCCUUUGGUACCAUUACCGCAAAAUGACGUCAAAACUGUUUUUCUGGUUUUGAGCUUAAGUUUCAUUUCCGGAUUUUUUUCCCCUAGCUUGACUUGCACUAGUACUACUUGGAGCUUGCUGAAUGGCUAUUGGAUGAACUUGUUGUUGUGUGUCUACCUUUGGGACUGGCUGAGGAAAUAAUGAAGCCAUGAUGGCUGGAAAAGUUAGCAAAUUCAGGGGAAGUGCUGUCCGAACUUUUAAAGGACUUGUUUGCAUUGAGUUUGUGAUCUAAGACUUGGAUUUGAGCAAGGCAAUGAUACAUGAUGGAUGGUUUCUGAGCCGUGGAGGUGAGUGACCCCAAACUACUGUUAAAGCUUCUUAUGAACCGUUUCUUGCACUAUUUACUUGAUUGCAUAUCAUGAGUGCUUGCAUGUGGCCCAUGACAUGUUUUGGCUUAAAUGAGUGCUUGGAAUUCGUGUGCUGAACACCAACGUCUCACCUCUGUGUACUGUUCAUCUGGAGCAAAUGGCUCCCCACUGACUGUUUACUGUUUAAUGUUUGUUUGGAGCGUUGGGUGUUUAAGUACAACGAUUUCGCUGGCUCACGAGAGCAAUAAAUGUACAUUUGAUCUUGAAAUCAUGACAUCACUGAAAUGAACGACUGUGAAACUGAAUUGAUUACUGAUUUUAAUGGUUACUCGCUGAGCUUCUAGCUCACCCCAAAAUGUUUUAUUUCCCCCCCCCACAGGGCUCAAGGCGAAGAAAAGCUUGGAGUGCUUAUUCACGUAACUGGAUGGCUUAUAUCGUGUAUAGUUUAAGUUUGGAUCUAUUUUAUGUACGAGUUGGUCUUGUAUAAAUAUUUGAAAUUGAUAUGGAUGUAAGUAUACGUUUCACGAUUGGAAUCAGUUUCCGCUGCAUUUGUAAUAUGUAAUCAUUGGAGAAUUUGAUGUAAUUUUGAGAUUUAUAUUGUAAUUGGGUUGAGGAUUGUAGUGAGCGACUGAGUCCCGGCGAGAGCUGGGCAGGCGGUCCGCCGAACCCUGGGGUACGCCCUAGGGGGAGGUGGGGCCGUCACACCAAAAUUUGGAUGAUUUCUCCACCCCGGAUUAUAAGUGUUCGAGUAAGGGUUAUUUUGAGCAUUACGAUUGUAAUUGUUGACAAAUUGUACCUGCUUAGAAUCAACACAUUCAUUAGCAUCAUGUUCACCCUCCACAUAUAGAGCAACAAGCUACAUGUACAUUAGAUGAACUUGGACCAACUCCACCUUAUCUACUUAGCAUUUCAUCACAUUAUUCAUUUAAGCACUCAACAUAUUGAGAGUGUCCAUUUCUAUCAUACCUGCGUGACGUCUUAUAUUACCUCUUUCAUUGGCCCAUUGGUAGUUAUUUGAGGCCAUUUUUUCUAUCAAAUUCUGAGCAUUUUGGGGUGAUUUACCCAUUAAACUCCACCUGCAGCUGCAUCAAUCAUAGCUUUAGUAGAAAAAGAUAAAUCAUUAUAGAAGGUUUGUAUGAUUAACCAAUCGGGCAGUCCAUGAUGUGGACAUUUCCGUAGCAAAUCUCUAAACCUUUCCCAUGCCUCAUAUAAUGAUUCACCUUCCAAUUGGCUAAAACUAGUAAUAUCCAUUCUUAACUUAGCAGUCUUCCCCGGUGGAAAAUACUUAUUCAAGAAUGCUCUUGAUAAAUCAUCCCAUGCGGUGAAAGUGUUAGGAGCAUGAGAGUGUAACCAAAUUUUAACAUUAUCUCUUAAUGAAAAUGGGAACAAUCUUAGCCUUAUAGCAUCAUCACUAACUCCAUUCAUUUUAAUUGUAUCAUAUAUUUCCAAGAAUGUAGCUAAGUGAGAGUUAGGAUCUUCUACUGCAUUACCUCCAAAUUGAGAUUGUUGAACCAUUUGGAUAACUGAUGGUUUAAUCUCAAAAUUAUUAGCAUUUACCGUAGGUCUUGCUAUACUUGUUUGAGAUUUUUGUGUCCCUGGUAAAGCAAAAUCUCGUAGAGCUCGCCUAUUUGCUUCGUUUUCUGUCAUCUCUUCUUCAAAUGGUAGUUCUAUUAAGAUUUCCUCUAUCGGUUGCCAAACCUCUUGCUCCUCUUGCUAUGGUGUAUACUUCCUUUGUCUACGUAGUGUUCUCUCAAUUUCUGGAUCAAAAGGUGCAACGUCUCGAAAUACCUGGUGCAUACACUAAAAACAGAAAUAAGAGAGAUUACGCAGCUUCAAUUGUCAAAUACUGAUUAAAAUACAGAAUUAACCAUAAACAGCUUAAAUAAUAAGAAUAAAGCUGUGUAAAUUAAUAGAGAAUAUUAGGCCUUAAUAUUGCCGCUCCCCAACAACGGCGCCAAAAAUUUGACGGGCUUUUAUUAUAAGUGUCAGUUUAAUUCUGAUUUUAUACCCAUUUGUCUGCAAGUAUACAGGUCAAUCAAGUAGUAUAGGGUAUGUAUCGGGUCGAUCCCACGAGGAGCAAUGUCUACCAGUACUAGAUCCUUAUUUUCUCUAUUAUUUAGACUUAUAAUGAGAUUGAGCAGAAAAAUUAUAUUUGCUACUGUCUAUAAUCUGAUUUAAUAAAUGCAAGAUACAAUUGAGAAAAUUCACUAAAGACUUGAAUCCAGGGAUAUAGAUUCUACUUAUGGCACAAAAGAUCCAAUUAAAUGAAUUUAACACUUGCUACUACUUUGUUUAACUAGAUAUUCAUUUCCAAAAUUGCUAAAAUCUCAUUCUCAUGAUAAUAAUGGUCUAGAACAACCUAGUUUUCCCCAAUCUCUUGGUGAAUAAUUAAAACUGCUCUUGUUCAUGCAUGAAAUGUAGAUUUAAUCCACUUGAAUGUAUUUCUAUUAUCAUGAACCUACAACUCAAGCUCUACUCAUGUUAUUCCAUUGUGAUUACCAAUUCUCAUUGAGUAAUAACAACUAUUGUGGGAUCUUUCAAAUGGUAGCUACUCCUUUUGGCGGGACAAUUGGACUGGCAUGGGGCCGUUGGCGUGGAAGUUCCCAACACUAGCCUCUUCAGCGUUGGUUGGUGAAUUUUGGCUAGGUGAUCAUUGGAAUUUGCCCCUGUUACGCCAAAUUGUUCCUCCAGAGAUCUGUGCACUUGCUAGGUGCACCUUUCUAGCCACAGGAAAGGAGCUCAGACUCGCCAUUAUGGCUAUUCUAGAUAUUUUGAGGUGCGUUCGUUGAGGUCCAUUUCCCAUACUGCUCCCUCUUCAUAGAUUUCCUCUGGGAUCUGGCAGUCAGGGUUGCCUCUUAAAAUAUCCUUCUUUAUGCAACCGUUCUUGCGCAAUAAGUUAUCAAUGGGGGAGAUGCUAGUUAGGUUUUGGGUAUGUGGUCCGUUUAAAUGUUAUUGCUGUCUGUUUGCUAAAUAUGAGUCGAAUCAUCAUCUCUUUGUUUUGAGUGAUUUGUCUAACCGGGUAUGGCGGCACUUUGAGGAGCCGCUAGGUAUUUUUCAGGUUAACACUGGGAUUAGGAAGAGACUGGUAUCCUGGCAAAUGCUACAUUCACCAAAUCCAAAGUUUCGGUUGCUGUUUAAGUUGGCCCUUCUGUUAUUUUCUGGUUCAUUUGGCGUUUUCGGAAUAAGGCUUGUUUCGAUAGGAUAGUACUUGAUUUUCACCAGAUGGUGUUCCAGAUCUCCACUGUGUUGAAGUUCAUGUUUAGGGCUCAAUUUGGUAAUUCCGUUUCCCCAAGACUCAAUUGGCGGGACUAGGUGUCUGAAUUACAAAGAUGCUAGCUUAGGAUCUGCUCUUUUUCAGUAAUUUGGUCGAAGCCAAUGGGUGGACAGCUUAAGCUCAAUACUGAUGGCUCCUCACAUGGGAACCCAGGGUAUGGUAGAGGCUGGGGAUUUCUUAGAGAUGGGGACCAAUGUUUUGAAAACCGGACCGGACCGGCCGGUUCGACCGGUUGAACCGCAAACCGGCCAUGGCACCGGUCCGGUCCAAUGCCAUAGUUGACUUUGUCAGAGAACCGGUCAAGAACCGGUCGAACCGUAAAAACCGUCAUUGAACCGGAUAGAACCGAUUUUCAACCUUCCUUCCUUUUUUUUUUUUUUGCAAAAUGUAACUAUCAAGAUUCGAACUCAAGACCUUUGUAAUAGAAGACCGAUGUAUUAACCGUUGCACCAUCACAUCUUAUUAGUUUUUUUUUAUAACUUAUUUAUAUAAAGUAAACACUCAUAUUUCUUUUUGUCAUUUUCUUACAAAAUCUCAUGCUCUCAUGGCUCUUUCUUUUUAAUUUUUAACUCUCUCUCUCUCUAUCCUCUUUUCUUUUGUCACUCCAUUUUUAAUCAAACCACUUUAUUUUUAAUUUAUUGAUAUUUUCUUUCAUCUUUUAAUUUUGUUUUUGUCCAUUAAAUUGAAAAAAGUUAAAAAAGAAUUAUUUUUUAACCCAAAUUAUUUAAUGCCACAACCACUCACUUUUAUCUCAUUUUUUGUUUCUUAUCAAGUUUACAUUUCUAUUUUCGAUUUUCUUGACUUCUUUCGAAUUCCAAAUUUCCUUUUUUAAAUUGCAAUCUCUAAAUCCCAAAACGUAAAUUAAAAUUUAAGUUCACAAUAUCUAAAUUCUCAUAGACAUGAAUUUUGUAUAAUUUUAAAAUAUUGUGAUAUUUUUGGGUUGGAUUUAGAUAUAAUUGUAAUUGAGAUGAAAUUUAUUUGUUUUAACUUAUAAUUUAAAAAAAUUAUUUUUAAAAAUCCAAGUUAUUAAAAAAUAGUAAACUUUUCAUCAUAUAAAGUAUUAAAUUAGUCCAUUACAUGUCUUAUUUUGUACAUAUAUGUAUUUAUAUAAAUUAUUUUUUAAAAAAUUUAUUGAACCGAGGUUGAACCGGUCCGACCGGUUGAAUCUCGACCCUUUCACUUCACCGGUUCAAUUAAUGGUCCAAUUUUUUAAACAUUGAUGGGGACAGCAAGGUGCUGUUUGCUUUUGCGGAAUACUAUGGCUAGGGCACGUCUUUGCAAGCGGAGGCUAGGGCGCUAUGCACUGGUCUUACGAUUUGUGCUCCGGAGGGUUUGUCCAAUAGUGUUGUGGAGAUGGAUUCUAAGGUGCUAUGGGGUAUUUUGAUGUCUAAAUCUCUAGGUCCCAUUUCCAUUCAGCUGGUGAUAUGUAAGAUUUGCUCGUUUGAAUAUUUGGUGGGUUUGUUUACGCAUUGUUUCCGUGAGGCUAACAAGGUGGCGGACUCUUUAGCAGGUUUUGUAAUCUCUUUGGGCUUCUUCUCUUUGUUUUGCUCUCAACAGUCCCUCCCCAAGCUAGUUAGAGGAUUGGUGCAUCUAGAUAGGCUGGGUAUAUUAAUUUUCACUUUCGAAAAGGGUAGUUGGCCUUUUUCCAUGUAAUCGUGAUAUUUUGUGCUACUAAAAAGGAGAUUUUUGGUUUAAAAAAAAAACUACAACUGUUUACUACAUACACAAAUUAGAUACAUUAAUUAAUUAAUACCAGCAAAUCCAAAAAAUUAUUAUCCAUAAUUAUGCUGUAACGUUACCUAUGUUUCCAAUUUGCUUAAUAAAUAACUAUUAAUUACAUUAAUUAAAUUUACAACGAAUAAUAAUAGUACAAAUUUUUUAAUUAAAUACAUAAAUCAAUCAAAUAAACUCAUAGAUUGAAAAGCAGAGUCGAACCUUCAUCACUGACGGCACAAGAUUGAAGAGCUGAGUCAAACCUCCACUACCAGCGCUAGAACGACCACCGAUAGAAACCAGACAUCACCAACAAUAUCGACCAAUGUGGCUUCAAUAGACUUCACCAAUGUGGCUGUGGAACGACCAUGAAUAGAAACCAGACUUCACCAAUAAUAUCGACCAAUGUGGCUCCAACAGACUUCACUAAUGUGACUUGAUGUUUGGAGAUGGGAACGAGGAUAUAGUGAGAGAAUCGGGAUAUGGGGAUGAGAAGAGAGACGAAGAGAUAGAGAGAAAGGAGAGUAAUGAGGUUGGUGUGGAUUGAAAUGAUGCAUUUGGUAUCGUAUUUAUAGAAAUUUUCUGUCCUUGUUUGUAUCGAUUGACUGUUGUUGUUGAUCAAAAUUUGAUGAAUGGCUUACAAUUUCCUUCAUUUGUACGAGGCAACUGAUGCCUCAUCUGUGUCAUUAGACAUGUCUAUCGCCACAUCCACUCAAAAGUGGAUAUAGCGACAGCUCAAUUUCAUAAUCACUGCAUCCAUUUCACAUACGGCGAUUAUGCAGCUAUAAAAAAAAAAUUCAGCCCCUCUGGUAUGACAAAAAAUAAUGGAAAGGAAAAUACCAUUUCGUGGUUGCAGCAUUUCAAAAAUGCAGUGGUUCAAAGUGGAUAAAAUUCUGCAGAACACCAAAAUUGAGAUAUUUUUUUAAUUUAACAAUAUUCUUAGAAAUUCACCCCAACAGGUCGAACUUUAGCAAGUCUGGGUUUUUCGCUGGCUAAUUUGCAUGUUAUCUUAGAUUCCAUGUCCAUGUUUGAAGUACGGUUAAGCUUAAGCAGUAAAGUUAAAAAUGUCAAGCAUGUCAAAUUAUAUAGGACCAUGCUAGUAAAUUUAUUCUUCAAAGUAGAAAUUCAUCAUUACCCCUCAUUGCAACUCCCGUGCAAGGCACGUGUUAUUUAUUUAUUUUUUAAAGAUUAUUUGAAUCCUCAAAUAAUCUUAAAAAUAUCUAGAUUUCUCCAUCAUCACUUCUUCCUUCUCAUUAGCAGUAACAUGUAGAAGUAACACACCUCUUUCUUGAAAAUUCUAACUUUCAUAAAGCAUUUGCGAUCCAUAUAUUUUAGUUCUUCCACCCAAAAUUGGGUCAAAUGAUCUCAAUAGGAACUUGAAAUUUCCCUUCUUAUUUCUUAUCUUGUUCUUCCAGCUGCUUAAAUCUCGUUCCCUCCGCCAUUAGGUGUCUUAUAAGAACUUGUAGAUCCAAGAAUCUAUAGGCUCUAAUUACCAAAUUGUCACAUUUUAACAUUUUAUAGUAAAAGAAUAGAGAAAUAGGAGAGAAGAGAAUAAGGAAAGAGGAAGAAAGAAGAAAAGGAAAGAAUUGGGAAGAGUUGAGAAGAAUUAUUAUUGACUUAAUAAGCAUUUUAGCUAUCUUCUUUUGUAUUUCACUAUUAUCUCCCAUUGCAUUUUCAUUCUUGACAUGCUCAAAUCCUGCCAUAUAGAAUUUUGAGAAGACAAAGUGGAGGUUGUUGCAUUAACCCUAGCAACUUCAUCCACAUCCUUUGAUGUUUCACUUGACUUCAAAACAUAAUAAGGUUCUUACUUUUUAGGAGAACCUCUUUCUUUUCCUGUGUAGGUCCAAAUACAAAUUAGUAGUAGUAACAUCCAUAAAGAUUGACAAGCAUGAUGUAGACUUCCUUUUACAAGUAUGGUUAUGAGUCUUCAGAGGGUUAUUAGACUUUUUCGAAGUAGGAUUGACCAAGAUGUUACAACUUUCGUGCAAAGCAUAUACAUUGAUGUUAUUUCUCUUGACCUUUCUUCUCUUGCUAUCAGAAUUAUGUUGCAUAAUUUCUUCUCUAUCUGUUUAUCUCAAUUCAUAUCUUUUGAUGAUUACAAAAUAAUUGGGUGUUUCUAAUACCUUUUGUAGAGAUCCUUUUCAGAAAUGAACCAAACAGGUCUGUGGAUUUAAAGCAGCAAAAGAAGAACAAAAAGAAUGAAGUCUGCUGAGGAUGAUGUCGGACGCACAAAAGGAGAGGAUCGGACGUCCGACAUUCUUUGAGUUCCUUCGGACGAGUAAAGAACUCAGACUCGGACGUCCGAAGAAGUCAAGCCAGGAGUUACUUGUUUAACUGAUCAGGAUUCGGACGCUUAACACCUGUGUAUCGGACGUCCGACAAGUUGUUGCUGCUCUUCGGACACAACAUUCUAAAUGCAUCGGCCGUCCGAAGAAAGUGAAGAAGAAAUUUCCAAGUACUCAUCCUACCUUCGGACGCAUAAAACCAAACAUCGGACGUCCGACAGCACCAACGGCUAGUUGACUCUUCAGCUGCCUUCUACCCGUUGACAGCAUUAAUUGAGGAAUUCUCUGGUCUCCUAUAAAAGGAACAAAGCCAACCACCUCAAGACAACUUUGUACAUCAAGCCUACAUCAUAUUGUGAGUGAUUCAAGUGCUAGAAUACUCAAAAGAAACAUUUGUAUUCCUUGUAUGUGCAAUCUUCGUGCAGUUGUUUUUCAAGGGUGACAUAGCUUCUUCAAUAGUGUAGCAUAGUGAGGAAACUUCCUUGCUUGACCAAGUGUGUUUUGGGGCAAGAAGGAAGUGAUCCCUUCCUUGUACACAUAAGAUUGGUUGCAAGUCUAUUCAACUUGAAGUAACUUGGUAUAUAAUAGUGGUGUUCAAACCUCAGUUGUGUUUGAAGCCUGGUUUGGUUCCUUACUCUUAUUUACUGCUUUUCUAUAUAAACUGUUCUUCUCUCCAUCUCACUAAUACCUGUGCUAUUGUAUUAUCUUGUUCAUUGGGAGGCAUUUGGGAAAAAGAAAGGCUGUCUGUUCAAAAGGUAGAGUAUUUAUUAGCAGGUUUUUGAAAGCCUAAUUCACCCCCCCUCUUAGGUUGUUUUCGAUCCUUACACUAUCUUUGUUGAACAUUUUUUGCAGCCAUUAGUUGCACCUGUGAUAGAAAUGGUACCAUCCAAUUUCUCCUUCCCAGCAUUCAACAAAAGUUUAUUUGGUGCAAAACUACACAAGAUUCAACUGGUGCACAAAAAUGAAUCCAACAAUUUUCAUUCUUGAAUUGAUGAUAACUAAUGCUCAGUUUUCACAGUUUUUGGGAAGAUUAUAAAUAAGCAUUUCCAAUAUAAGCCCUAGUUAUUUCUGAUAGGGAAAAACAUCUCGAAAGAGUCCAGCAAAGAGCCCAAUAUGUAAGUUAGGAACCCAAUUCUGAUCCAAAAGUUUAAAUCAUUAGGUCUUGGGCCCUUACUUACAUAUUAACCACUCUUUCUCCAUCUAUCGGACUAAUUUGAGACAUAAUCCUUUACUCAUGAACCUAACAAAUCUCCCCUUUUAUGAGUAACCCCCACAUUAAACCCAAAUUUACAAGCCCUUCUUUGAACCCACUUUAAUAUUCGACACAGGGUUACCUUAUCACCUAAGAUUACCUCUUCUCCCAAUCAUGGACCCACUCUUCUUCAACAUCCAAACUGCAUUUUGGACCCCUGCCAACCCUUAGUUUCUUGGUCUAACACCAACCGGACCCCUGCCAAACCCAUGGCGCACCUGGUCCAACACUAACCAAACUCUUUGGCACUUCAGUCCACCACCAAGAAAAGAAUUUUCAUCGGUCCAACUCUGAAAAGAAUCCACUUGCCCAUGAGUAGCCUAGUCUCGCAAUCUGAACCUCUGAUAUCAAUUUGAUAGGGAGAAACACCUCAAAAGAGUCCAAAAAGCCCAAUAUGUAAGUUAGGAAUCCAAUUCUGACCCAAAAACUUAAACCAUUAGAUUUUGGGCCCUUACUUAUAUUUUAACCACUUUUUCUUCAUCUCUCGAACUAAUGUAAGACAUAAUUCUUUACUCAUGAACCUAACAAUUUCUUCAAAAAUAAAUGAACUUCCAAAAGAGUUAAUCAACCAAGCUUGAAAGGGACAAGUUUCAAUUUUACCUUUUGCCUUCUCCUUUGUGUUCAAUAGUGGCUCGAUAUGUGCUAUAAUUGUUCUUCUCAUCAACUUGUGUAAACUUGUAAAAAAAAAAUACAAAAGGAUUUUAGACUACACUACAAAAUGCAUAAAAAGUUGUAAUGUAAAGUAUGCCAAUUAAAGAAGAAAAAGAAAAUUAACUAGAUCUAAAUCAUUAUCAUUAUUAUAUAAAAAGUAUGAUGAGUCUUGGUAAUAGAGAGUGUAAGAAUGUAAGCAUAUUUUGAUCUUAGUUUUUAUUAUGACUAAAUUACCUUUAUGUCUUUUAAUUAGAGUUAUUGCAUUCCAAUCAUGAAACUAAUAAGAAAAAUGAAAAGUUCAAUAAAUUACAUCUAAAAAAUGUUGGUAAUUAAAAUUAAAAACUGCCUAUUUACAACUGUAUUCACCAAUUAUUUCCCUCAUCAUCAAUUAUUAUAUGUGUUAAAAUUAUUUCCAACUAUUAUAUUGUUAUGCAUGAUAAUUAAAGUUAACCGUAUUUUAUAUACAUAUUGGUUAUAAGAAAAUCACUAUUAAUAAGAAGACAAAAGGUUAUAAACAUUUAAUGAAAAAACAAAAGGUUAAAUUGAUCCAAAUCAAAUUGACUAGAAGUAGAAGGUUAGGGGGCACCCAAGCUCUACGUCGCGACCUUCUUUUCAGCAUAAAUCUUUCUCGUCACUUUUUUCUUCAACGGAUGAUCCAACUCUGGAAUUGCAGAUAGACAAGACGACGAGAAGGGGGAGCUAGCGGUGGUUUUCUCUCCGAUGGAUGUGUCAAAAAUUGCAGCUUCUUUCCAGUUGUCUCUGGUUGGAAAGUUCUCAAAGGGUCACCCUCCAUUGGAGGAUAUUCAUCGAUUUUUCAAGGAAUUGGAUUUGAAAGGUGAGAUUUCAGUGGGUCUAUUAGAUCAGCGACAUGUGCUGAUUCGUUUUGCUAGUGAGAAGGAUUUCCAUAGACUUUGGGAAGAAACGUAUGGUAUGUAGUUGGAUGCCCAAUGCGGGUAUUUAAAUGGACUUCAUCAUUCCAUGUAGACAAAGAGCUAUUAAUAGUUCUAGUUUGGUUUUCCCUACCGAAACUACCGAUUCACUUCUUCAAGAAGGAAUGUCUGUUUCACAUAGUUUCUUGCUUGGGUAGACCACUUUUCAUGGAUGCUGCAACCACCUCAUUGGCAUGACCAAGUGUGGCCUAUGUGUGUGUGGAGGUUGAUCUGUUGAAACCUCUUCUCAAAUGGGUAUGGAAUGGUGUUGGGACAGGUGACUCGGAGGGAUUUUGGCAAGUGUUGGAGCCUGAAAAUUUACCGUCAUAUUCCUCUCUCUGUUUCUGCCAGGGCCAUGACAUGGAUGGGUGUCAUGUUAAAUACCCAGAACUGCAGGCAGUAUUGCUACACGAAGGCCAAAACAGACAGGAGACACAACGAAGGGCCACUGUGGACUUUCACCCCAAGCAGACCGGCAGUAUCGGAAAGGAUGGAGGCAGGUUGAUAGUGGAAGGAGGUCCAAGUGGAGUGGGUUGGCUGGGGAUACCUUACCUGAGGACUCUACUAAGGCUGGUCUUUCAGCAGCGACUGCUAGUGGAGGUUGUGAACCAACAGCAGUGGAGAAGGAGGACGCUCUGGGCAGUCACCUGUCCCAACCAACAGCAGCGGCUUUGAGCGUUUAUUUGGUUAGGCAAUCACCUAGCGCACAUUCGAAGGGAGCCAUACCUUCCCCUGUGGUGGAAGCGGAGAAGGUGUACAACCAGAUUUGUGCAGGACAUGAGGCUCUGGUGUCAAGGUCUGCCGCAAACCAUGCACUGCGAUUAUGACAGCGGGCAUGUCGGGGAAAUUGAUAGGUUCUCAAACCAGUAUGCUGCCUUUGGCUGGGAUUGCAGCACCAACCGAGUAUGAUCAGGAUGGGGGGAAGAGUGACAGGUCGGAUGAGGCACUCGCGGUGGGGUUAGCGAGGGAGGAGGAGGUGGUUCAUCGUGUAGAGCAAGUAGCUGGGAACUUGUCGCCGCGUAGCGAAGUGGUGGGUAUGCAAAGGGGGACUGGGUCGUUGUUUAUUGAUAUUUUUAAUUUAGAUCCUAUAGUUCAGCAAGUCCAUGAAAAGGUUCAGGCGGAGGAGGGGGAGAAAGCAAUCAUGAAGCUUCAACACAAAGGUACGCGUGCCCCAGCUCCUAAUGACCGAGCAUUACGGUCUAAGACAAAACUAUCUUCAAACUCUUCUGUAGCCUUGUCCAAUGAUUAAUUUCCUUUUUGGAAUAUUCGAGGUAUUUCGCGUGCCCAAAUCUUGGUCGAUUAAAAAGACUUAUUGUUGAUUACUCUAUUCAAAUACUUGCAAUUUGUGAACCUAAGUUAUCUGUGGUAGAUGCCCAGCUAUUUAGGGUAAAGUUGAAGAUGGAUGGUUGUAUUGUUAAUAGCGAGGGCUCCCUAUGGGUGUUUUUUCAAAGGUCAUUUAUCUGUGAGCAUACUGGGGAAUCUGAUCAACACUUGUCAAUUAAAAUACAGUCUCAGUUGUUUCUUGAGCUGAUGGUUUUUUCUUUUGUACAUGCAAAGUGUACUGGACAAGACAGAGCUUCGCUUUGGGCGGCGCUAUUAGUGGACAACCCUAUGGAUUGUCCGUGGUUUCUAGUAGGUGAUUUUAAUGUUAUUCUUAGCGGGGAGGAGAAAAGAGGUGGCUUACCUUUUCAACCGGAGAAGGGGUUGGAGUUUAUUUCGUUUAUGGCAAUGGCAGGUGUACAGGAUGUUGGUUUUUCAGGAUCCAGUUGUACAUGGUGCAAUAAUAGAGGAGGGAGAGCCCAAAUUUGGAAGCGGCUUGAUAGAAUGCUCUUUAAUCAAGCAGUGUCUACCUUACCUUUGAGCUUUCAGGUGCAACAUUUAGGGAGAGACCCCUCAGAUCAUGCACCCCUUUUGUUGUCGGUUGUGACUAGGCUUGAUAAUAAGCCAAAAGCAUUCCGGUUUCUAAACAUUUGGACAUCUAAAACAGAGCUACUGGAGGUAAUUCAGCGAGGUUGGGAAGGGUCUUUUUCAGGGCCUCCAUUGCAGCGGCUGGCUGCCAAAUUGCGACAGGUGAAAAAACAUAUCCAAGGUUGGUCCCGUGAGCAGUUUGAAAAUAUUUUUGACGCGGUGCAAGAUGCUGAGGAAGUGGUAUUAAUGGCAGAAGAGCGUUUUGAUAAUGAUCCCUCUAAAUCCAAUUUGAUAGCACUGCAAGAGACUCGCGCGGUACUAAGGAAUGCUCUUUUUGUAGAGGAGAGAUACUGGAAGCAAAAGGCGAGAGUUAAAUGGUUAGAGGAUGGAGAUAGGAAUACAAAAUAUUUUCACUCUAUAGUUGCGGAAAGGAGAGCCAAGUCGAUUAUUCAUCGCAUUAAAAAUCCACUUGGGAUUUGGUUAGCAUAGGAGAGUUAGAUUGCUACAGAGGCGGUCCAUUUCUUUGAGAGCUUGUUUUCAGCGGAUCCUUGUUCGGGGUCAUGGGACACAUUGGAUGUAAUUCCUAAAAUAAUAUCUCAUGAACAAAAUGAGGAGUUGGUGCGUGUCCCGUCCUUGGAGGAGGUUCGAGAGGUUGUGUUUGCGAUGGAUGGUGAGAGUGCCACUGGACUAGAUGGUUUAACAGGGAGAUUCUUUACCUUUGCUUGGGACAUGGUGGCCAAAGAUGUCUAUGAAGCGGUGGGCAGUUUUUUUUUUUUUGGAUAUGAGGUGCCUAAGGGUAUUACUUCGACACUGAUUGUGCUUAUUCCAAAGGCCAGUGCUCCUCAAGACUUUAGUUAGUUUCGGCCAAUAAGCUUGUGUAAUUUUCUUAACAAGGUCUUGUCAAAAGUUUUGGUAGUAAGAUUGGCGAAGGUAUUACCUUGUAUUAUCUCACCUCAACAAAGUGGGUUCUUUAAAGGCGACAGAUUUUUGACAAUUUUCUGUUAGCUCAGGAGAUAGUGUCCGAUAGUGGGAGAUCUACUAGAGGGUAAUAUUGUCUUAAAGCUUGACAUGGCCAAAGCGUAUGAUAGGGUUUCCUGACCUUUCCUGUUGCAGUGCUCAGACGGUUCAGUUUAGUGAGGUUUGGAUAGAUAUGGUUUGGAGAUUGAUAUCGAAUGUUUGGUUCUCAGUUAUUAUUAAUGGGUCGCCUCAGGAUUUUUUUAAAUCUAGUCGGGGUAUUCGCCAAGGGGAUCCGCUAUCACCAUUUCUCUUUGUCAUAGGUGGCCGAAGUUUUGUUCUCGACUUCUAAUUCGUUGGUUGGGCAACGAGGUUUUGUGCCUUUUAAGAUUCCACGAGGGUGCCCAGUUGUUACCCAUUUAGCGUAUACAGAUGAUGUUAUUAUUUUUUCGAGUGAACUGAAGAAGUCGUUACGGUUGAUUAUGAAGGUGCUAAAGGAUUAUGAGAUGAUCUCGGGAUAGAAGGUUAAUCAUAGUAAGAGUUGUUUUUUGUCUCAUGCUAGUCUCUUGGUAUGCGAAGGCGUAGUGUCAACAAAUCACUGGAUUCCAUGCACAAUCUUUUCCAGUAAAGUAUCUUGGCUGCCCGUUAUACUCUGGAAACGGAAGAAGAGUUAUUUUUCAACUUUAUGUACUUCAGUUGUGAAUAGGGUGCUAUCAUGGAAAGAGAAAUUGUUAUCGUAUGGCGGCAAGCUGGUUUGAUACGGAGUGUGCUGUCGUCUAUGCCUACUCAUAUUCUUGCGGCAUCCAACCCUCCUAAGGGGAUACUCAGUUCGCUGGAGAAUAUUUUUGCAGGCUUUUUAUGGGGCGUGUCAGAGUUUGGGCCAUGUCUACAUUGGAUCAAAUGGGACUAGCUGUGUAAGCCUUAUGGGGAGGGAGGUAUGGGCUUACGGUCAUUACAGCAUGUCUCUGAUGCAUUUCUUUUGAAGUUGUGGUGGAAGUCCAGGCAGAAGCAAUCAUUAUGGCAGAGUUAUGCAUUAGAAGUAUACCUUGAAUGUGCACCCUUGCUACUCAGAGGCUUGCCCAGGGCAAUCUGCUACUUGGAGGAGGAUGUUGGACGUUCAGUGGUGGCAGAGAGGCAUAUAAGCUGGAUAGUGGUAGUGGAAACUCAAGUUUUUGGCAUGAUAAUUGGUUAGGAUCAGGGCCGCUGUGUCAACAGGUGGAAAUUUUUCAAGAACAACCAGCUUGCGGACUUUCGUGGUUCAAGGUUGUUGGAAUGUGCAGCGGUUAUAUCAGGUUUUGCCUAUGCAUGUGUGCAGUGGGUCUUGGAUGCUGCUCCACCAUCUUCAGAUCAGGUGGAGAAAUGAUUUGGGCUACAAGUACCACGGGUGAGUUUUCUACGGUUCAGCCUUAGGUGGUGCAGCAAGGUGAUAAUAGUUCCGGGACUUUUCUUUUUUCUGGCAUCGGGUCUUACCUUGGAAGAUUUCCUUUUUUAUGGUGCGAUUAAUGAGGGGUAGGCUACCGGUUUUGGGUGUAUUGCAUAAUUUGGUGUAGUAGGGUCCGUCUCUCGUUUGUUUUUGCUGUCGGUACCCGCUCAAGAGACUAUUAAUCAUUUUUUGUAUUGGUGAACUUGCUAGACAGGUCUAGAAUUUUUUGAAGUGUCGUUUGGCGGGUUUGGUGAAGCUUUACGAUAAGGCAUAAGGUGAUUAGUUGGUGACUAAAGUCUGUUAGAGCCCCUAUAUUAGAUUAUUAUUUCGACUUUGCCCUCAUUGAUUUGUUGGAACUUAUGGAAAGCGAGAAAUAAGUUUGUUUUUGAAGAGGCUGUUGAUUGUGAAACAAGUGUGUGACUGAGUUUUUACUGAGCUUCGAGAAAGUUUCGGCGCUCAGUUCCGAGAGCUUAGUAGUUCCUUGUUCAUCGUGGCCUAGUUCUUUGAUGCAGUAGCUAGGUUGAGAAGUGUUGUGAACGUGGUGUAGGUUAGAUGGAGAUGUCCGUUGCAAGCAAUCGUGAAGUUAAAUUUAGAUGGGUGCUCAAGGGGCAACCCUGGGAGGAGUGGAGGGGGAGGUUCGUUCAGGGAUAGUGAUGGAGGGUCCUGUUAGCAUUCUCCUGUUACUUUGGGGAGAUGACUAGUUUACAACUGGAAGUGAAAGCGCUACUCCAUGGGGUGCAGUUAGGUAUAGCUCGAGGACUAGCCAAUUUUCAUUUGGAGUCUGACUCGUUGGUUCUUAUCAGAUUAUUCAAGGGAGAGCUAAGUGUCCGUGGGUGGUGCAGCGGGAGUUACAAGAAUUGGUGCAGUAUGGUCAUUACUACAUCGAGAUAUCCACAUUGUUUUCGCGAAGCGAACAAACCUGCGGAUAGACUUGCUAAGCUUGCGGCUGAUUCUGGGGAGUCAAUAGUUUUUUUGAUUCUGUCCUUGACCUUCUCCGCCUGGUUAGAGGAGAUAUUAACAUUAGUAGGUGGGGUUGUCUUAGUUGCCGUAGGGGUAGAUAUAAAGGGUAGCUUUGUUUAAUCGGUCACGCAAGCUGGGGGUGGUGUUUUCUCUUAAUUUGGUUUUCUUAUAUUAAUAAUAAUAGGCUAUUUUUCUUUUAAAAAAAAGGUUAUUGAUGAUUAAAUUCACUAUAUUAUGUCAUAUUGAUUAAGAAAACUCCCAAAACAAGUUAUCGAUAAUUAUAAAAUUGAAUAUAAUUGCUUUGUGUACAAUAAACUAUUUUAAUUAUAGAUUGCACAAUAAAUUUUUAAUUGCUUUGUAAACAAUAAUGUUUGUACCAACUACCAAUUGCUUAAUUUUAUUCGUUAUAUAGUUUCUUAGUUUAUAUUAUACCAAUAAUCAAAAUUUUUCACUGAAAUUUAGUAUAUUAAAGGUUUUAUAUCUUGAAAAAAUAUAUUCACGUGCAAAGCAUGUGAUUUUAUUACUAGUUAACUAUAAAAGUCAAAAUUCAAUAUCCCAAAACCCUAAAUGAGAAUGGAAAAAGAAAUUUUAGGGGAAUUAGAUUGUCUUUUAUCAAUGCAUAUUUGUAUUUAAGAGGAUAUGACAUGCAAGAGUAGAAACUGAAAAGAUGCUGAAUUAACCUUAUUUCUAAGUGGUCGUAAGUAUGCCAUUAGUUCAGAAUGAUGAAAAUCCAUGAUUUCCCAUGGUGAUUGGUUGAGCUUACAAUCAUAAGCCCGUAUCACUGUGCCAACUUGUAAUGAUGAAGAUGUAUAUUUAAGAGGAAAAACUUUGCGGUUUUUCCUAAUUCUUGAGUACAAAAGAACUACCAAAACAUAGGAUCAAAGUUAUAGGUUAUGUACUUAAUUUCAUAGCCUUUAAAAUUUUUCCUUAUGCAUAUUGUAGUUUAAAUUGAAUUUGAAUGGAUUAAUAUUUGCUUUACAAUGGAUAGUUUUAUAGUUUUUAUUUUGUUGGGCAUAGCGUUAGAAAGGAAAUACCAAACUUAAGGGACCAAUUGUAAGGGGAACUUAAUAUAAUUAAGAAAAAGUUCUAGCCUAAUUUACAAUUUCUUAAGUUGAAGGUGUCAGGCGUUCAACCUCUGCCCAAUCUAGCUACUCUCAUGAUAAGGUGGACCCAUGUACUUUAAAUGAUUGUACUAUUUGAAUUACUACUUGUACAUUCUAGAAAAGUACAAGUAUUUGAAGCAUGUAUGUACCCUAAAAAAGAAAAUGUAUGUCUAGAAGUCAGUUUUGCCCAUUGUCCUACUCGUAAUUGUUCUUUGUUUUCAGCCAAUUUUGCAUCUUUUAAUUUUUUUUGUAAACAGUACAUACAUAUGUAACACGAGCCAGGCAGCAAUGAGCGCAGGAGAAAUUAUUCCUCUGAUUUUGGUAAUUCUUAAAACUCUGUUAAAUGUAUAAAAAUGUAAUAUUUGUUUCCCUUUUUUGAUUUUUUUCUUCUGGGGUUUUAGAGCAAUGUGAAGAAAAUGAGACUAUGAAACUGCCAUCAUUUAAAGAAUGCAGUUUACAUGAGCUGAAGGUGGCGACUACAGGAUUCUCAGUUGAAUACAUUGUAUCAGAACAUGGAGAUAAAGCUCCCGAUGUUUGUCUACAAAGGGCAGCUUGAAGAUGACGGCUCUUAAAUUGCUGUCAAACAUUUCAAUAAGUUUGCUUGGCUGGAUUCUCGGCAAUUCCUGGUUGUUAUUACUUCUUUUAAGCAAGGCCCAGCUAUAGUGUUUCACAAAUGUGAUAUUAUUUUAUUUAUGUACGUGCUUUGAUAUCAGCCAUAGUACUUAGUUAACCAUGAGUAUGGUGGAUGUUAUUCAGGUUUAAGAUUUGUUGUAUGCAAUUUGUAGGUUGAUAAGUGAGGAAACUUAUUGUAGGUUGAUAUGAAUUGAAACAUUGAUUAUACGGUUGUUAUACCUUUGUUCAAGGUCAAAUGGGAUGAAGUAUUUUGUUUCUAUCAAUAAUAUAGAGUCAGUUUCAUUUAUUUUCUUACUCACUUUGGCCCUUACUAUUUUGCAUUUUCCUGCUCAUAGCUCUAUCAACUCUCCUCUUUAACUUUUCCUUUUUUUUUUCUAAUUUUGGGAAUGAUAUGAGAGCAUGGAAAGAUAGUAAAAUAUAAUCGCUAAUGAUGCUUAUAAGUUUUAAGUAGCUACAUUAUUAGGAAAUUAAUUGAACUCGUAAUUAAAUCAAAUCAUAAUGCAACCUAACUUUGAAAUAGCAAGGGCAGAUGACAACUUAGAUGGAGUCUUAUAAUAUUUUGAUUCUUUAAUGAGAAUGACACUUACUAUUUUUUAUAUGAUUACAUACUUAAAUGAAAGUUUACACUAAUUUUGGUUUAAUAUUUUUUUUUGGUUUAGUUGUAACUAAUUCCAUCAAGAAAAACAAAUUUCAUUAAUUAUCCAUUUUGAAUUAGUAUAAAUUAUUUUGUUAAAUUGGGCAUCUCCAUCCUUUUUCCCACCGUGCGUAGCAUGGUUUAUGCCUCCUAGUCCCAUUGAAAAUCACAUUGAGAGGUGGGCCAGCAUUUUGCUAUAUCUCGAUAUUGACAUUAAUGAGUUUAUUUUUAUUUUAUCCGAUAAACAAAUUCCUUUUUGCCUUCAAAAUGAGUACUUUAUUCUUAUAAUAGAGGAAAGUCAUAAAGAGCUGAUGAUUUAUUGAAAAAAUGGGUUUAUUUUUAUUUUAUCUGAUAAAUAAAUUUGUCUGAGAAAAAAUGGGUACUCUGUUCUUAAAAUGGAGAAAAGUCAUAAAGAGCUGAUCUUUUAUUAAAAAACGGGUUUAUUUUUAUUUUAUCCGAUAAAUAAAUUUAUUUAUGAAAAAAUGAGUACUCUAUUCUUAUAAUGGAGGAAAGCUAUAAAAAGUUGGUCUUUAAUUGAAAAAUAGAUUUAUUUUUAUUUUAUUUGAUAAAUAAAUUUAUUUAUGAGAAAAUGGGUACUCUGUUCUUAUAAUGGAGGAAAGCCAUAAAGAGCUAGUCUUUUAUUAGAAAAUGGAUUUAUUUUUAUUAUUCGAUAAAUAAAUUUAAUUAUGAAAAAAUAAGUACUCUGUUCUUAUAAUGGAGAAAAGCCAUAAAGAGCUAGUCUUUUAUGGGAAAGUGAUACUUUACGGAAAGUGACCACGAUUUGGUUUAUGAAAUAAUCCCAAAUAAAAAUUUAGAAUGAAUUUAUUUGUUUUGAAAGUUGUAUAACGGUCGUUAAAACUCCAGAAAUUGGCAAAAACAUUUUGGGGUUGCAGAAAGGCAGAGCGAAGAAGGAAAAGAAUUGAGUUUUUUGUCCGUUGCAAUUGUUCCGUUGGCUCUAUUCAAUUUUACCCAUUUUUUGUUGGGUAAAAUCGUUAGUUCUAACGAUCAAUUCUUCAUUUCCCGUCAAUUGUCCUUAAUUGGCCAAAAUUAAGAAACUUUGAGGAUGCAAUAUGUUUGGGGUGAAACUUUGAGAAUGAAAUUGGCCAACCACCUAAACUUUGAGGAUGAAAAGUGCAUUUUUUCCUAUAAAAUAUUUAAUCAAAUGUUAUUUCUUGUCUUAAUUUUUGUUAUGACUAUAUUACAUAUUUAUUAAAUAGACAUACCUUUAUAAUUAAAGUUAAUAUUUGAUAUUUUAGGAUGCCAUAUAUUUAAAUAGAUGAAAAUUAUUUUGAAUAUAACAUAUUAAAAUAAUUUUAUUUGUCAAUCAUUUUGGCCCCCCCUCCAAGGAAAAAAUCUUGAUUUCGUCACUGCUUAGGAAGAAAUUGGGGUCUAUUGCUAAUAAAAGAUUGUGAAAAUUUACCUUUAUAUCCUAAUUAUUUGAAAAAAUCUAAUGAACAAAUUUUGCAAAAAAAAAAACCUUGUUUCUUACCAACAAAUUAAAUAACUAAUAAAAUCACCUUUAAUGUUGUUUUAACAUAUUUAAUUUAUGUUAAAUACAAAUUUUACCAGUUUCUCUUUCGUAAAAAUAUAAGUAUAACACCUUUUCAAUUUUAGUUACAAACAUUUAUUUAUUUUACAAAAAUGUAGUGAUUCAGAAUAAAAUGCCCAUAAAUAGCUAGUAUUUUGUUAAUUUAAUGCAAAAAAUCCAUAAAGAGCUGGUAUGUUAUGGGCGCAAUCUUUUUUACUUUCACAUAUUUAAAUUUUGUUAAAUACAAAAUCUACCAGUUUCCCUUUCGUAAAAAUAUAAGUAUAAUACUUUUUCAAUUUUAGUUACAAAUAUUUUAUGUAUUUUAUAUAAAUAUAAUGAUUCAGAGUAAAAUACCCAUAAAUAGUUAGUAUUUUGUUGAUGUAAUGAAAAAAACUCAUAAAGAGCUGGUAUGUUAUGGGCAAAAACUUUUUUACUUUCACAUAUUUAAAAAUUGUUAAAUACAAAAUUUACUAGUUUCCUUUUUGUAAAAAUAUUAGUGAAACACUUUUUCAAUUUUAGUUACAAACAUUUAUGUAUUUUAUAUAAAUAUAAUGAUUCAGAGUAAAAUACCCAUAAAUAGUUAGUAUUUUGUUGAUGUAAUGCAAAAAACUCAUAAAGAGCUGGUAUGUUAUGGGCAAAAACGUUUUUACUUUCACAUAUUUAAAAAUUGUUAAAUACAAAAUUUACUAGUUUCCUUUUUGUAAAAAUAUUAGUAUAACACUUUUUCAAUUUUAGUUAUAAACAUUUAUGUAUUUUACAUAAAUAUAAUGAUUCAGAGUAAAAUGUCCAUAAAUAGCUAGUAUUUUGUUGAUAUAAUGCAAAAAAAAUUAUAAAGAGCAAGUAUGUUAUGGGCAAUUUGUUUUUUACUUUCAAAAUCAGUUUAUGCUAAAUACAGGACAAUCAGUUUACCUUUCACAAAAAUAUUAGUGUAACAGUUUUUCAAUUUUAGUUAUAAACAUUUAUUUAUUUUACAUAAUUGUAAUUAUUCAGAGUAAAAUGCCCAUAAAUAGAUAGUAUUUUGUUGAUGUAAUACCCAUAAUCGGGAGAAUCAAUUGGAAUCCACUAUUCCUCAGUCUUGGACGCUUUAUGUAAAGUAGAGAUAUUUGUAUUCAAUUAAAUAUGAAACAGGCAACAAUCUGUCUUCCCAUGAACCCAGUUUCCACAAAUGUUAAUAUUUUACUAAUAUAACAAUUAAAAUCAAUUUCAAUAAUUCAAAUUUAGUAGGUUAGAUAAAAGUUGUUAGAAAAGUGUGAAACCAAAAGAAAAAUAACUCAAAUUUAUUAAAAGUCCAAAAAGAAUUUAGUACUUCAGCUCUAGAAAUCCUCCAAAUGACUAUAUAUUAGAACAACGAUAAUCAAAAUAGAUUACAUAAUUAAAAAACUUAAUAUUUCAAACAUUUAUUUUCUUAAGUUUCACUUUUUAAAGGCUCUCAACUCGUUAUUCAAUAAUGUCCAUAUGUUGUUUCAAAACCAAGCAUGGCUGUGUUUAGUACUGCUUACGCUUCCUCUUGGGUGUUUUAUUUCUAGACCCAUUAUAUAUAUGUUAAUUCCGUGACACUCCAAUAAAUUUUCAGCUUCUGCCAUACGCAACAUUUCCAAACCGACCCGUGCCUGUUAUAGGUCACCACUUGCUUUUGUAAACAUAUUCCUUUCAUCAUCCGUACAUGUCAGUUUCUGUGCCAUAUUCUUUACCUUUCCACGUGCCUACUUCUUUGCCAUAUUUUUUACCUUUUCACACCUGUCUUUGGAUUAGAUGAAUACACUAUAGAAUUUACCGUGGAAAUGAACUCAAUCAUUUUCCCUUGGGACUUGCACCACUCCCAUAAACCGCUACAUCCUCACAUCCACUCCCAGAUUAGUAGUCAAUCAGAAUUUGCGCAACGCUGAAUCUUCUGUUAUAAAGUUUUCGAGCAACCGAAACAGUAGUUUCGAUGCAAAUUCAAAAGAACCGAGCAUAAGCUCAGGUAUAUGCAGCAGAAGAGGAGCAAUUGGCAUUGGUCUUUGCUUCAGUUUGGUUGAGUUCAUCCUACAGCCGGAACCAACUGCUGCUGCAGAAGCCACCCCCUGUGAAUUCACUGAAACCCCUUCAGGACUUGCAUUCUGUGACAAGGUUUCGGGCGACGGCCCUCAAGCUGAAAAGGGACAACUCAUUAAGGUAAGUUCAAGAUUGUUGAUGAAUAUUCCAUCAAUAAAGUCAUGUACAGAGUGAAAUUCUGUUUUACUGGUAGUUUCCUGAACCCAGUAAUCUUCUUAUUUCUGUUUCUUAGUUUGGCUGCUUAUCUGUUGUUGCUAAGUGACUGAGUUGAUUGUUCGAAAAUUGGUGAGUGUUUUAGAAUGCUUUUGAGGAUUUUAAGUGUUAGACUAUCAAUUUUGUAAUUUCCAGUCACCUCAAUUCAUCAAAGAAAAGGAAAUGUACACCAGUUGGGAAGUGUAGUUAGAAAUCCCUUUGGCAAAUUAAGAAAAGGGUUUUGAAGAAUUGUUAAAAUCUUUCUGCUCAAUUUGAUAUGGGAAGUGUAGUUAGAAAUCCCUUUGGCAAAUUAAGAAAAGGGUUUUGAAGAAUUGUUAAAAUCUUUCUGCUCAAUUUGAUACCUUUCCACUUGUACUGAAAGAAUUGUUUUCAACAAGAGUAAAGAAAUACUCUAAAACCAAUUGAUAAGAAUAGAACAGAAUGGCUUAGAUGCUGCACAGAUGAUUUCUUGAAUGUUGAAAAUGAUUUUAUCGAAUUCUAUUCGGUGAAUAAAAAUAGUAAAGAGACGGUGAAGAGAUUGAUUUUUUGCUGUUGAUGCCUUUCAUGCCGGGGUAACAUGUCAAAUCACCAAUGCUUCGAGAAAAUGAUACACCAUACGCACUAAAGUGGUUAAUGUAACCAACUUUCUACAAGUUUCUUACUGACGAAAUUUAUGCAGGCACAUUACACAGGGAAAUUGGUGAAUGGGACAGUCUUUGAUAGCAGUUACAAUCGGGGAAAGCCUCUUACAUUUCGUGUUGGUGUUGGUGAGGUAAGUACAUAUUCACAGAUUCCGAUGGUCAUGGGGAUCACAGAACUGUUUCUCUUUAAUUGUAUGCUUAUAACAGUAUAAAACUUGACUGUUAGUUAUAGUGAUUAUCAUUGAUUAGCAAAAUUAGUUAAGAAUCUACCACUUACUUUAAAUAGUGCUAAAGGAGAACCAGAACUAACUUAACAUAUAAAACUGCCAGGACAUUUUAAGCGUUCUUAGAUAGAACUAGCUCCACAUGGUCCUCAGCUUGCUGGUUUCCAAAUAACUUGUUAUGGUAAUGUUCUACUCCUAAACUUGUACAAGCAAAGGUUGAUAAGGUUAUGAUAACCGAUGAACUUGCUAGAAGUACAUAAUCAACCAAUUAUGGGUUCGACUACUUUUUCAGCUUGAGUCCUUCAGGCUACUUAUUACAUCAAGAUUUGACUGAGGUUUUAGGUUAUUCUUGAUAAAUGAGAUCAUACCACAAAAUGCAGAAGGUUAGCUAUGGUCCUUCCUUCAAGUGAUAUGGCUGUAUGACAAUAGCUAAAUUGGGACUUGAGGUUGCACUUGAGUUUUUUCAAACAAACAGUUGCAGUUUUUAUAUAUUAAGCCACGUAGUCCUACAGGUUUCCUAGCAUUAUCUAGCCAGAUAGAAGGCUGAAAAUGUACUUAUAAAUUGGUGUCAAAGAAGAACUACUUAUAAAAUUUUGGAGGGUGUGUUUAUUGUAAAGCCACCCGAACUUAAAUUCUGAACUUAAAAUCAGCUUCUGCUCAGUUAAAUUGGUGUGAUGUGUAUUCAGUAUUUUGUGAAUCCAUACAGAUCAGUUUGCAAACAGGUCCAAGUUACACUGCCAUUCAUUCAACUUGAACUGCAGACUUAACUCAGAACGAAUAAACGGUUGAACUCUGAUAUGGAAAUUGAGUUAAUAUUCAGGGACAAAUGCAUUUCCAUUUUGUCUUCCACUCUUCCUUCUACAGCAUCUGUAUGUUGUGUGAGGUUCUGUACUGCUGUGGUACUAGUUCUAACUUGUUUUUGACACAGACCUGGAGCUGUACUUCAUGGUAUCCAUAAGAGGUAACCGAAUGUAAUACCCAACUAUCAGUCAAAAUUUUUGGACACCAUGUCAUUAAGCUGUAUAUUGUGCAUUUUCUUAUUAUACAAGGGAGGGGAUGGGGUAAGGAAGACUUGUAUUUAUCUUGCUGGUAAUCUCAUAAAUACAGUAUACUUGAGGAAACAUUGACAAAGAAAAGAAAUUACUGUGAUUUUGGUUUUUUUAUCUAACAUGGCAAUUAAGGAAGACUUGUAUUUAUCUUGCUGGUAAUCUCAUAAAUACAGUAUACUUGAGGACACAUUGACAAAGAAAAGAAAUUACUGUGAUUUUGGUUUUUUUUAUCUAACAUGGCAAUCUCUAAUUUUUACAAUAUGUUCUUAAAACUGUUCUAAACAAAAAACCAUAACAAUAGAGUCCUAGCUUUGAAAGCUCUGCAGUCUUCAUUUACUCAUUCAACUCUAGGUCGUUCCUGGAAAACAUUAAGUAUUACAUCAACUUUUGAUGCCACUCAAGUAUUUUCAAUCUAAAAUAGCUCAUCUAUGUUAAUCAACCUUGUUAUCACAUCCUUUGCCUUGAGUUCUCUUGCCAAAUCAGUAACAAGGGACUGAUUAAGAUAAACAUAUUUUAUAGGCCUGCAAAAUGCAUGCCCCAGGAUUUUGUAGGGGCAACAAAUUAAGAUGCCUUUUACUAUAACUGGAGGCUAACUUUCAGCCAGAAUAUCUUGGCUUCCCUUUUUUCUGAGGAGAUUAUUAAACUCGCUUAGUUGCUCGUGUCAGUGACUCUUUGAAUUUACACAUGUAACAGUCUUACUGAUUAUCAGAAAUGACUGGAUGCUGAUCACAAACAUGUUCCUUUCUGAUGCUCAUCUAGUUGACAUGAAAUCCAUUCUCUAUGUUAAUUUAGGUAAUCAAAGGCUGGGAUCAGGGCAUUCUAGGUGGUGAUGGGGUUCCCCCGAUGUUGACCGGUAUGAAUACAGUUACUCUGGUACUGUUGUCCAAUAUAUCAAGCAUCAUAUAACGACUCACUGAUAGCAAUAUCUCAUACAGGAGGUAAAAGGAGCCUGAAAAUUCCUCCAGAACUUGCAUAUGGUGCAAGAGGCGCUGGCUGUAGAGGUGGUAAGUAACUAUCACUUCCAUCUAAAUAGCUGCAUAGUCCAUGGAACCUGCAUAUUCCUGAUUGGCAAUUGAUGGUUCCAUAAUAUAUUGGAGAAUAUUCUCUGAUCUAUUUUCUUGAUUUUUGUAGGUACUUGUAUUAUUCCCCCAAACUCUGUUCUUCUGUUUGAUGUUGAGUUCGUUGGAAAGGCUUAGCAAAUGAGCAGUAUAUGCUCAUACUCCAACACAGAAUCUUUUGAAACUUGUUAUCUUUUCUGCUUUUAAAGUGUUUUCGAAGGAUGAUAUAUUACUUUGCUUCUUUAUUUCUGUUUUGGAGGUCCUGAGAUAUCCUGCUACAAGAUUUUCCAAUUUAGGGGGAAAAUAAUGAAAAAGUUACCCGCUGAAGCCAGUUGACAUGGUGCAUGAACGGAGAUUCAUAAAAUACUUAUCCUUUUACUCGAAUUUCCAUUGAAUUGCACUAAUAUUUCCAUGAUUACAGCAAACUUUAGAACAGUCUUUAUGUGUGAGACUCGAACCCCAUCCCACAUUGGAAGAAAGGAAAGGAAAGGAAUAGUUAUUAGCUUGGGUCCAAAGGCUACUAAAAAAUUUGGGUUAACCAUUUUGGUUUGUAAAUUUUGUCCAAAAGUUGCUUGGGCCAGUCUUUGGCACCGGGUCAUGACAAAUGGUAUCAGAGUAGCCUUACAUAUUGCGUGGGGUGAGCCUAGUUUAAUGUAUUAUGGUUCCGACUACGCAAAACCAUCAAGAUGAACAUAGACUAGUGUGUUAUAGUUUCGAUUUCACAAGGAAGUGCAAGGAACUGUGUGCUAUGUACAAGACAAGUGUGUAGUUUGUUAUGGUUCUGACCAUGUAAGAUCACGCAAGGUGAAUCUAGGCUAGUGUGUUAUGAUUCCAAUUGUGCAAGAAAGUGCAAGGAAAUGCAUGCCAUGUACGAGCCAAUGUGUAGUGUGGUAUGGUUCUGAUUGCGCAAGACCACGCGAGGUGAACCUAGAUUAGUAUGUUAUAGUUUCGACUACACAAGGAAGUACAAAAUGCAUGCCACGUACGGGGCCAAUGUGUAGUGUGUAUGGUUCUGACUACGCAAGACCAAGCGAGGUGAACCUAAACUAGUGUGUUAUGGUUCCGACUUCACAAGGAAGUGCAAUGAACUGCAUGCUACGUACAAGACAAGUGUGUAGUUUGCUAUGGUUCCGACUAUGUAAGAUCACACGAAGUGAAUCUAGGCUAGCAUAUUAUGAUUCCAAUUAUGCAAGAAAGUGCAAGGAAAUGCAUGCCAUGUACGGGGUCAAUGUGUAGUGUGGUAUGGUUCUGACUACGCAAGACCACAUGAGAUGAACCUAGACUAGUGUGUUAUGGUUUUGAUUACGCAAGGAAAUACAAAAUACAUGCCAUGUACGGGGCCAAUGUGUAGUGUGGUAUGGUUCUGACUACUCAAGACCACACGAGGUGAAUCUAGACUAAUGUGUUAUGGUUCUGACUAUGCAAGGAAGUACAAAGAACUGCGUGCCACAUAUAGGGCCAAUGUGUUAUGUUUCUAACCACGCAAGGAAGUGUAAGGAACUGCAUGCUACGUACAGAAGCCACCUCUAGAGUUCGAGUAUGACUAAGUGGAUGUAUGGGGACCACCUCUAGAGUAUGAGUUUAAAUGUGAGACCCUAACUUCCGUCCCACAUCACAAAAAAGGAAAGAAAAGGAAUAGUUUAUAAGCUUAGGUCCAAAGGCUACUAAAUUACUUGGAUUAACCACUUUGGGUUUGUGGAAUGCAGCUAAAAGUUGCUUGGGCCACUCAUUGGGCUCGGGUCAUGACAAUUUUGGCUCUGAAUUCCAAUAACCAGGAAACUUAUAUUCUAGUCCACUCAUUGAGCAUAUAAGAAGAGUAAAAGUUCAAGGUGUAUUUGAAACUAAUGGGAAAGGCAAGAUUGCUAUUGCAUUUUGGAAGCUAGAAGCCAAUAAAUCUUCUAACAGUAAAAAGCAAUAUCACUCUUGCCUAUUUCUCUAUAUAACUGCAAAAUGAAGCUACAACAGAUGAAGCUAAAGGAAAUGCAAAAAAGGAAGUUAUCAAUUGAACUAACUAGAAACAACUGCAAAUGGUUUCUUCAAGCAAUGUAGGUGAAUCAUGAAAUUCACUAACUUAAUUAACAAUGUCAUGAAUACCACCAGUCACCAUCCUACAAUUAUAGAGAUUGCAUAAAGGACAACCAUCCUAUUCAAUGUUUAAUAUGGCAUAUGCAGGACAGUGUCCAAGUCUGAAACAAAUCAUAUAAAACCAGCUCAGUCCAACGCCUCCGGUUUCAAAUAGACCAUUUUUUAUGAAUGACAUAGAUAACACCAUCACAUAUGCAAGAAUACACAUUGCCAUUUAUAGCUAUUAUAACCAGAGAUCAGGAAAAUAUUGUCAUAAUUUAACACCUUUUCUAUUCUAAUGGUCAUCCACUGCCAACAUCCCCUACCUCAACUUUCAUUCCUGAAAAACAUGUUUGUUCCAUGAUAUUGAAACUAGUACUAAUGAACUCAACUGCAAAUACUAGAAUCCACUUUGAUAAAGCCAAAAAACAAAAUACAUCACACAAAACAUACUAUAAAUGCAUUGUUGUCAUGCUUUCCACUUUAUGCACCAGGUAAUUUAAUCACUUGUCCAAUAAAUAUAAAAACAUGAUCAAUGACAACUAUGUUUAACAUCUGCAACCAAAGAAUAAAAUUUUCAAAGAGUUUACAGCAAAAAUUUGUUAGAGACUAACCUUGCUUGAGAUGUUCUUAUUUCCUUAGAUUUUCCACCUUUUUCGUGGUGAGCAAAUCUCCUCUUCAACUCUAUCUCUACUUUCCUCAAUAUGGCUGAAGAAGCUAUAUUUCUAUUGAUGUAAUCGACCACAGCACACCUUCAAAUGUCACAUCAAUCAGAAAAGGGCGCCAAAAUGGCGUCCCUUUGUAAUAUCAAAAUUAGCAAUUAAUUUUGCAUCCAAAUUAUCAUUAAAUUAGUUAAUCCUUUGUAUUACCGGUUUAACUAAUUAUGUCAACAUAACUUCGAAAUAUAUGAUAAGUUAUGAGGGUGUUUCUAUCAAAUGAUCACCAUUGAUGCCGCAAUUGGGGCCCAAUAAUCUCACAGAGGAGAUGACCGAUAUUUUGCAAACCUCUCAAGGGAGGCAGUGAGACUGUUAGAAACCUCAAGGAAGGUUGAACCUUGAGGUUUCUGAAAUUAUCCCUUUAAAAUUUUUGCAGGACAAAAUGUUUACUUUAUAUAUGACAUAUUCGAAGGGCAAAGAUGUAGUUCAAACCAUAUAAUGCAUCUGAACAUCUUCUACACCUUAUAAGGACAGCUUUUUUUUUUUCCCCUUGAUUUAGAGAAUAACUUCUUUGUUUUGGUACGUGAAUUAUCAUUUUGCUGCUGGAAUAUCUCUGCUUGCAUGCUUCAAAUUUGAAGAUUUGGAAAUAAGGCAACUGGAUUUGGUCAUUGAAGUAUACAUCUAGCUUCAAUUACAAACAUGUGUUAUAUUCUCUCUCUGUUGUUCAAGUGCAACUCCAAGCAAAUACAAUUUUAUUUCCAAUUCAGCAUAUAGUCUGAUUUUCAAAGCAUUUAGGCAAUAGAUUCUUUGUUCUGACUGGUUGGUCAGUGGAUGCAUGCACUUAAGAUGAUUCUUCCCUUUAUAUUUGUUGAUUCCUAUCAGGCUAUACAAUAAUUUCUUGUGCAAUGUCAACUCUUCCUUAUUGAACUUAUAAACACUUGAAGCAUAUAGCGGCAACUUGCUAUCAGCCAAUGUUUUCCAUUGGAUUCUUUUGCCCGAUGUCCUCUACUACUAUGUCAUUUGGUCUCAUCAAGCUUUUAAGGUAUAUAACUAUUUUGAGAUUGAAUUCCGACUUUACUGGAACUAGAGAACAUGUUAAAUGGUUGAUCAGUCCUGCCUUGUGAUUUCACAAGAGGUAACAGCCUUUUUUUCAUUUUUUUUGGGGGUUAUUUGCAGAUAUAUUACCUGGGUUCUGCCAAAUUACAAACAUACCAUGUGACGUCAACAAAUUAUUACUCAAACCCCUUGAAUAGCAAAAUGUUUAUCAAAUACCCCCCUCACAUUUUAAAAAUGCUACUUGUAUCAACAAAAUGUACUUCUAAGAUCCCCAAAUUACCCCCCUUUAUAAUCUUGGUAAAUUUACAUUUACCUCUCUUAUGGUUUGCUCAAAUUACAUGCAAAAAUGGUACGAUUUAGCCAUUGUAGCCCAACCAUUUGAGUUGCCAACAUAUUGUGAAAGACUCUGCUCCAGUUGGUCAACUUCUGUUGACCUCUUAAAUUGGAACAGUGUCAACGCAAUAUUACAAUAUUCCCCCAAAAAGGUUGGGCCAGUAGCUAUUUAUCCUUGAAAGGAAUUAACAGGAGUUUUACCCCUCAAAACAAUUCCGCCAGUUACUGUCGUCAAAGUUUAGCAAGAAAUUGACCAAUAGCCUCCCAUACUCGUAUAUUUUAUAUUUGCACUUGAAAACUACUAGUGGAUAUCUUUUGGAUAGAAGUCUACAAAUAUCAUAGACGUGCGAUCAAUUUUUUUUCCCCUUUUGUUUCUUCUUUUCUUUAGCUUCUUGUCAAAUUUCUAUUAUAACUGUCUAGUUUUAUUUUUAGAUUUUGAAAACCUGGUCUGUUUUUAGAUUUUUUUUUUUCAAAAAAAAAAAAGAAAACUUGAUCUGUUUUUCAUUCUUAACAAUUGGAUUACAGACCACUAAGUUUAUGUUUAUGAGGUAGUUGCAGUAGCCGUCUGAUCGUCCAACGUGAUUUGAUAUAUAAGGACUUUGUAUUAAAUAAAAAUCUUAUUGCAUCAUGCAAUAUAACUAUUAGGAUUAUAAGUUCUAGUUGCAAUUUUUUAACAAAAAGUUGUGGUACUAUUGUUCUUUUUUCAUCAAAAUUACUCUUUAUUAAAAGAAAUAUUCGUUUCUCCGCUAAAGACGCAUAUUAUACAUUCAAAUAAGUGUUUGUAAAGGGUAUGAAAAGAAAAUAAAAGUGGGGAAAAUGAUAUUAGAAGCAAGUUGAAUUGUUAAAAGUUAAACAUGGUCCAAAAGUCACAGUGAUAAAAGAAAAAUCCUUGACGUCAAAAAUCAGAUCCCUAUGAAGACAAAAUACCUAUUAACUGUAUUCAGAAGGGAAAGUAAAACUAAAGUGAGAGUUAAACCUUUUCAAAAUCGCCAUUGAUAAGAGCUGGACAUGGACAAUUUGUUGGGAAAAGGGUACCAGUACAGGCACACAAUAUCAGAGUUAGCCCAGGAUAAAUUUCUCUUUCCCCAAGUACCAGUUAAAAUAGGAAUAAACCAAAUCACCAAGUAAUAAUACCAACAGUGAUAAUAAAAUGCAAGAAAAAUAAAAGGUACAGGACACCAAGAUUUUUACGUGGAAAACCCAAAUUGGGAAAAACCACGGGACCUAGUCCAAUCAAAAAAUCUCCACUAUCACAAUAAUGGGAAUAUACAGGUCUAUCCGAAAUAUUCGGAUGACAAUAAUAGCACCAAUAUCAACCAAGCAAAUUGGUACAAAAUCACCCCCAAAAACUACAACUGUCAAAGAAGUGGGUUUGGAAAGGUGUUACCAAACGAAGAGGAAAUCCGAAAUCUGAAUCGGUAGAUAAGUAGAGCUUGAUGAGAGGAUCCCGUGUGUAAAAUUUCGUCUCAAUCGAGUUUCGUAUCACCCUCCAAUCAAGACCUUAAAGUUUCUCUCUCUCUAGCUCUUUCUCUCUCUCCGUUUUGCUCUCAAAGUGCUGCUGCUCCUUUUUUUUUCCGCACAAAGGACCGAAGCUUGAGUUGAGAAUUACUCCCUGCGGUUGCUGCUUGCUUUCUAUUUAAAAGUUGAGAAACCCUCAAGUGUUGCCUAAGUGGGUUGGCCCACAAAUGGGCUGGCCCACCCAACAAUCUGUGACAGCCCCACCUCCCCCUAAGGCGAACCAGAGGGUUCGGCGGACCGCCUGCCCAACUCUCACCGGGACUCAGUCGUUCACUAUAGUUCUCAAUUAAAAUUGCAAGGCACAACUCAAUAAUACAUUAAAUCCUCCAAGAAUUACAUAUCGUAAGCGAAGCGGAAACUAAUUCCCAAGCGUGGACCGUACACGUGCAUCCCAUUCAAAUCCAAAUAUCCAUACAAGCCCAACUAUUACACCACCGAAUACGAGCAAAUGUUGACUAACAUUAAAGAGUACACACACUUAAGUAAAAUUCCGUAUACAUGUGAGAAAAUGCUUUCAUAUAUAUAUACACAGGAUAUUAAGCUUACAAAUCCACAAGAGAACAUUAAAUGGGUACAUUAGGGUUCCCAACUGUCGAGCGACUAUAUAAAAGAACAAAAGAAAAUCUAACUAGCUCGCUCGUGUUUCAAAAUCAUGAUUUCCAAAAGAAGUUCUCUGUAAGGAAAACAAGGUUAACAGAAACGGGGUGAGCUUACGCUCAAUGAGGUACCAAUAUAAUAACAGUUUAGAAUCACAGAAAUUCAUAUUCAACUAGCCACAUAGGCAUAUUCAAUGCGGAAAUAAACAAUCAUCUUAAAUGGAAAGGAUACGGGUGGCUCUCAGGAGCCAAGAUUCCUGUUGCAAUACUUGAUCCAGUCCCGUUGACUCUCCGUCAACGUAUGAAGAAUAACCAAGUCCGUAGAUGUGAUACCCCGAAUAUUAGGAGGUUGUUUGUAAAGAAGAUGCUAAAGUGUAUUUCUUUGGGGUUGAUUUAAAACCUUAUUUUGUUUUAAAAGACUAGAAACCCUAAUAUUUUAAUCAAAAACCCUAGUUUACUUGUGACUAACCGGUUUUCUUAAAUCUCUCAUAUUUUAAUUGAAACCCUAAUUUUAAUCACUGGAAUUGUGAAAUCUCUCACGUUUUUCUUAAAAAUUUCCUUUUAUUUGGAAAUUAUUCAUUUAUUAAAACCCUACUACCCAAUCAUUCCACAAUGAGUGUAAAUAAACCUAGAAAGUAGGGUUUCACUUUUGGUUUCAAGAUUGGAGCAAAAUUAGGGUUUUCGCGAUUUUUCGCCGGAUGAAUUUUCGGUACGGAGCAAGGAUCAAAUUUGGUGAUUAAAAGUGACUUUUAAGUGAGAAAUAAUAUGUGAUUAGGAGCAAUGAUAUAAAGUUAGUAAAUAGGAAGUAAAAACCCUAGUACGGGUGAUUUAAGGAAAAAUGGCGCGAACCGACGUGUACCGUGUACUACCGAUUUAACCACCACUGAUCACCACUUUCUUACCAUACAAGCUCAUUACUAAUUGAGCAAAAUAUCUUCCCCCUCAUGGCUAUCUCUUGACCAAAAUAUGUGGCCAAAAUGAAAGGAGAAGAAAGACAAAUUUUUGUGGUUAUAAUUAAGCCAAGUGUUGGCCAAACUUGUGGCUUAGAUUAAUCCUAAUUUCUUGUCUUUUUAACUCCCUAAGAACAGCCUUUCUUCUUCAUUUUUCUGCUCUAUAGCCGAGACAAGAGAGAGAGAGAGAGAGACAAAGAGAGUUCAUCUUAUUCUUCUUCAUUUCCUCUCCAAAUCUUGAAAAGUUUCUUCUAUUCGCGCAAAUCUACUCCGAUUAAGUUGUUAUCUAGCACAAGGGCUACUUACCGGUGUAAUUUUCUUGAGGAACAAAGGCCUUGAACACUUGUUUCUAGUUUCCUUGGAAAGGUAUACAUGCUAGAACCUUGAUUCUCCGAUUAAAUUCGUGAUUAGUUGCUAAAAAUGUCACAUAUGGUUGAAUUAUUGAUGUAUGUGGUGAAAUAGAGGCUUGGAUCAUGAUAUUUCCAUUUAUUGGAAUUUUUACAGCUUUCCUAUGAUUCUUCUAGUGCUUAAAAUUUGGGGCUUUGAUGUUUAUAAUCUGAUAUGGGAAGUUAAGGUAGUGAAGCAAGCUAAAAAUAAGGAAAUUAGCAAUUGAUUGCGAGAAUCCCAGAUUUCUGGAAAACUUCAGUCCAGUUCUGCCCGGUUUUAGUACUCAUAGUUAGAGGCUGAAUUAGGCUUGGUAUAAAACAUGAAAGUUGUAGAUAAUGGUAUUUUAUAGGUGCCUACAAAAUUUCAGCUCAAUCGGAGCAACAUAGCUUGUGAAAAGAUGAAAAUACCCUCACUGUUCUAGGUUACAUUCCAGAGUUCCGCGUGGACAGUUUAGUCCUUUUGGUUGUGUUUAUUCACUAUAAUACGUUCGGAUUUAGCCAUUUUUUAAAACAUAAAAGUUUUAUUAUUUUGUCUUAGCUUUUUAACGCCACCAAGAACAUCUUAAACGGACCUUGGUAGAGUGAGAUAUGGUCAUUUGAAUGCAGUACGGUUGAUUAGCUGAAUAGUUGGAACCAGGUUAUAUGAAUUGGGAAUUUGAUUAGGUUACACUGAAAAUUAGACUAAGUGCUCUUCAUGAAAAUUGUAGACCUUCGUCUUAGCUUCGAAUUGGUAUAAGUUUCACCUCAAUCCGAUAAACGUAGCCUCGGAUGUGCCUGUUCCGCAAAAACCCGUCAAAUCUGUCUUCUAUAAGCUUUGUUUCCGCACUUGAUAUUAGCUUAAUUUUUGUUCUUGUAUUGUUUUAAGCCUAUGGAAUGGCUAUUGAACUGACUUUGAGUUAUGAAUAACUUUGGGUUGAAUUGAGUAAGAAAAUGAAGCCUAAAUGGCUGGAAAUUAGGAAAAUGCAAAGGGCAUGCUGCCCAAAUUUACGCUCGAGGCUUAUAGAAAUACACUUGUGACUUGGGUAAAGUUGAUAUGAGUAUCACUUGAGCCAUCUAGGACUUUGGCUACCUUGGUUAUCAAGGGUUAUACGUUAAAACCUAGCCGAACUUGUACCCUUGAGAAAUGAAAUAAUGAUUGUUCGGAGUAUGUUUUCCUUGUACUUUCGACUCGCAUGGCAUUUUCAAGUAUAAAUGUUACAAAGUUUUAGCGUUUAAAAAGCGAGCAAGUGUUUCACGACUACUCUCCAAGUGAAUUCCAAUUUCUUGAAUUUUAUUGAACGAAACGUCUAAGUUUCGAAUCUUAGUCAUGUUUCAAAGUUCUCAAACUGAGUUUUAUCGCAGAUUUGGACUCCGAACCCGGAGUAUAACCUGAAAGUGACCAGUAAAGGCACUAUAUCUUUUGGUGAGUGCUUUCAAAUACCGAAUUGAACUUGAUACUUGAACUUGAUACGUGACCAAUAUGAUUACAUGUUAUAUACGUGAAUUGUUAGGGCAAGAGUGUACUUUAUCGCACUUGCCCUUAUGUGAUAUAUACUUGUUUAUUGUUGCAAUUGACUUGAUAUACUUGUUUAUGAUGCGCGCACUUCCUGGAAUUUCAGAAACCCUGCGGCGAGUUACUUAAGUCGAGUCGGCAAAGGCUUGGUCGAUUGGGUAACGAACCCUGGGUCUCUUGUUUUGUCGAGUGGAGUGAUAUCUCCUCGACUAAUCGGUAUACUCGAGUAUUACCACCCGUGUUUCUUGAGGAUUUUGGGCCCAGCUGGGGGUUUGAAUGGUGGACGGAGAGUCGUUUAAGUGGUGUUCUACUGGAUUGGUUACUUACUUGAAAGUUGACGGAGUGUCAACUGUUACUUGAUCAAGCUUUGGAGAUACAAUGGGAAUUUGGCUCCUGAGAGCCUUCCGUAUCCUUAUACUUGAAAAUGAUUAUUGCUUAUAGGAUUGUUGUUCCUUUUGAAAACCAAAAGCACUUUAUACUUGCUCAUUUGGAAAUUUGCUACUUGAAAUAUUAUUGUCCACUCUUAUAAAUUUUGAUGCCAUUAACUUGCCACGUUGAUAUUCGUACUUUUAAAAUGGUCAAUUUGUUAUUUGGAACCUCACUGGGCUUUUAGCUCAUUCCACGCUAUUUGUUUUCCUUACAGGGGGUACGAACGAGGCGUGAGAUGUGUAAAGACUAGCGUAGUCUAGUUGUUUGACGUUUGACUUUUGACUUUUGUCUUGUACUCGCGCUAUUCCUCGAAUAGAAUGUUUUGUAUUUGGAUUGUAUCCGCUUUGAACCAGUUUGGGUAUAUUGAGGCUUUGUACCUUGAUUUUCAUCAAUGUAAAUUCUAAGCUUGAAUUACGAUGUUAUUUAUGGUCCAUGAAUGAAUGCACGUGAUACGAGUGAGUGAAUCCUGGCGAGAGCUGGGCAGGCGGUCUGCCAAACCCUUUGGUACGCCUUAGGGGGAGGUGGGGUCGUCACAGUAGACCCCACUUUACGCCAAAUUCCAUCCACCCAACUUUCCUCUACCGGGCCCGAACACCAUAACAGUGCAGUAGUGGUAAUACUCGAGUAUACCGGAAUCAAAAGGUCUCAAUACCCAAAGAUUCCAAAAUAGACCAUUGUGGUUCGUUGUCUAAUCGACCUGGCCCAUGCCGGCUCGACUCGAGUAACUAGCCACAGGUUUUGAGCUCAUAGAUCACAGAAAAGUUGUUGGGUACAAAUCCCCAAACGACGCCCGAACAGUUAUAGAUACAGAUAACAGUUUCGAAUUUUCAUAGUAAAUGAUCACAAGGCAAGAGAACGAGUGUGAUAAAGUACACCCUCGUCUCAAAUAGGAUAAACAGAUAGUGCAAUUAUUCAUAUCACAGAUAGCAUGUACGGAAGCCACAUCUCACCACAAAUAAGGGGAGUGGUACACUCACCGCUUUACGUAAAGAUACUCCAAAGGUUUUCACGCCAGUGUGGCUUUAGUCACCAAGAAACCCUAAAAUAAUCGAAGUAAAACAAUUGAAGGUUCCAUAUUCAAAAUCGAAUAAACGAAACGAAAUGUACAGGUGAGGCCCGACUACUGGUCGUAUGCCGCGCCAAAUACUUACUAAUGCAAGAAUGCAAGAGUGCAAAACAUGAUUUUUUUUGGAACGAAAAAGUAACAAAAGGACCAAGAGCUUGAACGACCCAAAAACGCUUCAAUUCUACCAAAAGGCAACCCAACUAAAAGGGACCAAACGGCCUAGAAAAUUGAACAGCAUCUCCCCUAAAUUUGCUUACUUUUUCAUCCUAUAAUCAACACCAAUUCAUCUCAAAUCAACCACAAACACAUCAUAGACUAUCACAUACACUUUUUGGCAUAAUCAGCAAAACCAAAGCUACACCCAACCGAUCGAAACGAAUCUUAUGGCAUUACGAAGCUAAGACUUAUACCAACAUUUCUUAUGAAGAUCUCCAAGACCAAAUCAUGCAUUUUCAUGGUCAAAAAUCAAAAUUUCGGAGAGGACAGAAAACUGUCCGCAAAACAGAGUCUAUGGGCAGUCAAGGGUUUAUCGGUCAUUCCAUAGGCUACAGUGCUCCAAUCGAUCUGAAAUUUUGUAGGUAGGUAGCUAACUCACAUAUCUACAAUGUUCAUGUUUUACACAAGGGCUGAUUCAGUCUUUAACAUGGUCAAACGUACAGUGCAAAAAUAAGGCAGAUUACUAACCCUAAGCUGGAAUUCAUGUACUCUAGUUGAAAUUCUUUAGGCACUCAAACUAGCAUACCAAGCUUUAUUUAUCACCAUAUCAAGCUAUCAUUCUAUUGUCAACCACUACUUAUCACAUGAAGGCAGAAAUAAUACUAUAAAAACUAAUCUUUGCAAAUAACCAUCACUACUUGUAAUUAAGAGCUAGUAAUUCCAUCUUAACACUAGAAUAGUCUCUACUAAACAUAUGCAUGGCAAAUCAAAGGUGAAAUCACUUCAAUAAAAUCCGGAAAUAUCACUAAUAUGGAACUUAAUCAUCCCAACUUCCAAAUCACAAGAAUUUCCAUAAAAUUAUUCAAGAUCAAUUCAAAUUCAAAACAAUCAUAUACUCUCAAAAAUUGGACGGCAUUACCCCUAAAUUUCUUUAUUUGUCCAACCUACAACCAAAUACCAAUUCUCAUAACAAUUAACCACAGUCACCCAUAUGGUUCAUAAACAAUACCAUACAUUCAAUUAGGUCACAAUUUCCUUCAAUCAAAGCCAAUUAGAAGCUUAAAGCCAACCAUUAGAAAAACCCCUAAUUAAAACCCUAGAAACCGAAAAUUAACCGUACAAGCGGAAAUUUUCUGCAAACGAUCACAAUUAACGUACACAAGCUUCCGUUAACACCAUUUAAACCACUAAUCCAAGUUCAAUCCAUGACUAUCAUAUAAAAUCAGAAAAAUAUCCAAUAAAUCAGAAAAUCACCAUAAAUUCCUUAAACCCAUGAAAUACUCCACAAUAUAACAUAUUCAAACAUUACAAACCCUAGAUUAACCAAUAUUAGAACCAAAGGGAACUUAUUUAUCCAACUUACCUCGAAUUCAAGAAAGCUAUCAACUUAGGGCACCCCAUCCUAAAUCAAUCCGUCAAAAGCUUUAAACCUCCUUAGUGAACCCUUGUAUGAAAUAUUUUCCAAAACCAUCGGUGAAAUCACAGGAUUUGGGACAAAAUUGAAGUUGGAAAAAUGAAGAGGUUUUUUUUCCUCCCAAGGCCACGAUUGAGCAGGAACAAAAAUGAGAUAUUUUGGGGUGCAAAACAGUGUAAAAAGGAAGAGAAAUCAGCUGGUCAAAGUUGAUGGCCGACAUGCCACGUCACAAUCCGGCCGGAUUACUGGCCACGUCACAAUCUAACCGGAAUCUGGCCGGAUUGCUGGCCGGAUUUAUGGUCGGAUUCGAGGCAGUAGCUAAUCAAAAUUUUUUUCAAAUCACCCAACCAAUCCGGCCGGAUUCUUUUUUUCAAAUUUUUUUUUCCAAACUCAAACGUUACACUUAACCGCCCUUCCAACAAAGACAUAUAUAUAUUCGCACAAUUACCCUUAAUACACGAAAUUCACACAUUCAUAUAUAUGAAAUGAAACCCCUCCUUAGAAAAUGAUUGAAAAUUUUUGUUUCAAUUUCAAAAGAAAAUGAGAAUAAACAAAAUGUCGAGAAAAUGUGAAAAUUUUAGGGUUCUCACACUCUCUCCCCCUUAAGAAAUUUCGUCCUCGAAAUUUUCCUUUUAACGGAAUCUAUCAAAAUCUACGUUAGAGAGCGGACUAUACCUUCUACGUCCUUAGACGAGUCAGAAACCUGAAGUUGCUCUAGGGAAUACACUCGAGCCGGUUCUCUCGAUCCAGUCCUUUUUCCUCCGUCUGUCCAGGGUUAGUAUUGAGUGGUCGCUGGGUUUUCCUCCCUUCGCGUUGAAUAAUUGGGCAGUUAGCAACUCGGUGAUUUGCGCCCCCACAACGCAGGCAUUUUCCCCUUCUUUUCCAACAAUUCACCUCAGUAUGGUUAAUUUUUCCGCAAUAGCUACAGGAUGGGUGAGGGAUUGAGAUUUCAUUUUCCUGUGAGGCUCCUCCUAGAGUAUCAUCUUUAGAUGUCUCCAUAAUUCUUACACCACCGGCUCUUCUACCAACCUUAGCGAGUGGCCUACCCGAAUCACCUUGUUCCUGCCGUUGAGUUUCACUAAGUGCACCCCUUUUCCUUGCAUAGUAAGCCUUCACCGGUGCACUUGAAAUUUCUACUCUUUGGAUUCUCUCCGGAACUUCCGAAAAAGUAUUAAUCUGUACCCUUGCUAAAGCCCCUGCUGGAAUCCUUUCACAUUGCCUUUUCAGUCCUAUGUUCUCGUUCAAUAACUCAAUUUUCUCCGAGUUUUCACGUUUCCAUCGCUCUUCCCAAUACUCAGCUAGUCUCCUUUGAACUUCUACCUCGUUUCGAAGAAUCUCAAUUUCCUUAUACAUACCUACCAAGUGUGCCAUCUUGUGGAUUCAGUGAAACUCAAGUGAUACCCUGCCAUGCCAGUUAAUAAAUCAUAAUGAAUAACUAGGUAUAAAUGGCAAUCUAACUAUAUAACUGUUAAGUUCCUUUGCUCCCAAUUCAACCAUAGAAGAUUAAACUUAGAUGUGCUCAAAUGAGAUAGGCGGAAAAUAGAACAUAGCUAAGGCAAUAUCUUAAGACACUAUGCCACUUAUCACGUAUAUACAUAUUGAAACCUUAAAACAUACUUUGUAUAUCAAGAGUUUCAUACCUUAUGCCACUUCUUUGUUUUCAAAAUUUCUUUACCUAUUUCCAAAACCCUAAAUCUCGAGGAGCCAAUACCCCAACCAAGUUCAUACGGAAUCAUUAAUAGACAGGUAUCAAGGAAUUACAGGCAAGGUAGUUCGUCGAGGACCAAGCUACGGUUAUUAGCUAUUCAAAGCGAGGUAAAACCUAAAUCAUUGCAGUCAAGCUAUCUCAAAUCAAAUGAAUACAAAUAAACACAUAUCAAGUCCUCACGGUCAUAAUAAAAGAAAACAGGUCUCAGGUGUGAAUUUCUCAAUGUACCCUACUAUCUAGCCACCCUCUAGAAAACCCUAACCAGACUAGUAUGAGAUUAGUCCUUGAUAACACUUCCAAAUCCAACCCCCUCGAUCAGUAUAAUUACUAGGUCAAAUGUAAAGACCUUCCGUACCUUGGCCUUUGCCAUCAAGACUUUCCUCAAAUUCAAUCAAGAUACAGACCCUUAUUCUUGCAUUCUCCACCUUUUUUGUAUUCAGAUCCAAGAAUCUAAAAUAAGAUAAUUCACAAUUCGAGCCGGCCGGUCCCAAGCGCAAAUCAUCCAUAUUAACGAUUCCUACCCGACAUACUUAUCUGUCCUUCUCAAGCUCCAUGAUAGAGAUUUUUACCCUUGUAACAUGCACAGUUCAUAGCUUAUGCUCAAAAUAGCACUUAAUCCUUUGGACACCUUCACAAAAGCAGGACCAUAACACAACUUGGCCCAAGCUACCAGCCACACAUAAACAACAGGUUCAAAAGCAGGAGUACGAAUUCAAGAAGUUCAAACAAAUUCAAACAAGUUCAAGGAGCACGAGUACGAAUAAGAACUCACUCGCCUAGCCUAUGCCCCGUGAUUCUCAUUCUCAAGCAGUUACAGGAUUUGAGUCCACCUACAGGUCACAUACACCUCACGCUACUUACUCAUGCGUAAAAGAAAUACCCUAUACUCAGGCAAGUCGGGUCAUUAAGUGUCCGUAAGAGCACACUCUUCUAAACAGGUUCAAGUCUCUAGAAAGCUCAGUCUAAUCGGUUCCAGGCAGUUCAAGGUCAGUCUUAGGUAGUUCAAGCAUCUCAAACCUCGACACUCACAAAUCAGGUAAUACAGCUUUAAUCAAACAGGAAGACUAGAUGAAAGAUGCAAAACUAGAAUUUCUCAACAAUUCCGGCCACUACCGAAAUCUAUUAAAACCCAAGCUAGCACUUAGUGAACAAGUCCAAGUCAUUCUUUCAAUCUUCUCCUUCGGUUAAAUCUCGAGUACCAUACAAAGUCCUCUGUGCUCUAGUUUGUGCCUUUGUAACUUAUCCCUAACUCACUUACAAUUUCUAUUCCUAUCAUCAUACAUUAAACCAUGUUCCGUCCAAAAUUCACGAGCAUUUCCUCAGGAAAGGUAUCGAGUACUCAAGUACAAGAAUUCAAACUAUGAACUUCACGACUCAGACCGUACAUUCUUAAUGUUAAAAUCAAAGUCAUAUAUUACGCGUACCAUUUCAAUACUAGAACAAAUCUCACUAAUUCCAAUCAGAUUACAUGCUUUUACGAAAUUAGAUCCAAUCAAACCAUAACACAACUGAUACCAAAGGUUAUCCAUUCGAAGUUCAAGAGCUUUAAUAAACAAGCCACCAGCCAGAGCACCAUCAUCUCCAAGAAUAACCAGUCUUAGGAUUUUAGAGUUAAAGUUUCAAUUUCCAAGAUCAAACUCAAGAAAUAAGUACAACUUACUAACUUACGUCUCAAAUGGAAACCAAGUCAAUUCACACUAAUUUCGUGCUCUUGAAUGCGGUUACUCUAUAUCUCAAAGCUCUCUCUCAGUCUGUGCACCCAAAGAUAGGCUCACUCUUCUUGAAACCAAAAUUUUAAAACAUAAGAAGAGUAUUUAAAGUAACCACAAAAAAACCAAUCUUACUAGGUCUAAGAUUUACAUUAUAAAACAUAAAUUCGCCAUUCUUCCGAGUGUAAAACAUAGACAAAUUCAGGGGUGAGAAUACAUCAGUAUACAAUUAAGGGGAAAACUUUGUUUAGAAAGUUUUAACCUUGUAUAAACCCGUCAUAUACAAAAUUCAACUCACCAGUUAUUCACAAAAUUUCAAAUUUGAGAUUCAAGUAAAAUUCACAUUUUUACCAAAAUCGAAAAAUUAUACGUAUUUAAAGCAUAUAUAUUUUAUUUCCAAUCAUCGCUUGAAAUUAAAACAAGUACAUCCUAGUUUUUCUUGAAAGUUUCAAAACCGAAAUUCUUUAGGAGGUAAAUGGGUGGCAAAAUGCAUUUUAUUCCUUUGAUACUCUUUUAUCUUGGUUCAAAAUCAUCACACAUGGAGAUUAACCAUCAAAUCUCGGUCUCUUGUCCUCCAUAGCCAGUACUAAUAAUUACCUCAAUUCUUUCCAUACUUUCAAGUAUAAUGAUAAUUCAAAUUCAGCCAAUCUUUUACUACUAAGCUCUCAUUCCAUACUUUCCUUCAAUAUAACCUCACCUAAUUCCUCAAUUUUUUUUGUUUCUACAAGUCCCAGGUAAGAAAUUCUCAGAUAAUCACUUUCUCUAUCCCCUAGGAUCCAAUAGGUCUUCGUUCACAUAUUAUUCAAAUCAAUCCCACAGUCAGGCAUCCUAAACUUUAAGCCUAGGAUACACUACAGAGAUCUGAAGCCUAAGCUCUGAUACCACCUGUGACAGCCCCACCUCACCCUAAGGCGAACCAGAGGGUUCGGCGGACCGCCUGCCUAGCUCUCGCCGGGAUUCAGUCGUUCACUAUAGUCCUCAAUUAAAAUUGCAAGGCACAACUCAAUAAUACAUUAAAUCCUCCAAGAAUUACAUAUCGUAAGCGAAGCGGAAACUAAUUCCCAAGCGUGGACCGUACACGUACAUCCCAUUCAAAUCCAAAUAUCCAUACAAGCCCAACUAUUACACCACCGAAUACGAGCAAAUGUUGACUAACAUUAAAGAGUACACACACUUAAGUAAAAUUUCGUAUACAUGUGAGAAAAUGCUUUCAUAUAUAUAUACACAGGAUAUUAAGCUUACAAAUCCACAAGAGAACAUUAAAUGGGUACAUUAGGGUUCCCAAUUGUCGAGCGACUAUAUAAAAGAACAAAAGAAAAACUAACUAGCUCGCUUGUGUUUCAAAAUCAUGAUUUCCAAAAGAAGUUCCCUGUAAGGAAAACAAGGUUAACAGAAACGGGGUGAACUUACGCUCAAUGAGGUACCGAUAUAAUAACAGUUUAGAAUCACCGAAAUUCAUAUUCAACUAGCCACAUAGGCAUAUUCAAUGCGGAAAUAAACAAUCAUCUUAAAUGGAAAGGAUACGGGUGGCACUCAGGAGCCAAGAUUCCUGUUGCAAUACUUGAUCCAGUCCCGUUGACUCUCCAUCAACGUAUGAAGAAUAACCAAGUCCGUAGACCCCACUUUACGCCAAAUUCCAUCCACCCACCUUUCCCCUAUCGGGCCCGAACUCCAUAAUAGUGCAGUAGUGGUAAUACUCGAGUAUACCGGAAUUAAAAGGUCUCAAUACCCAAAGAUUCCAAAAUAGACCAUUGUGGUUCGUUGUCUAAUCGACCUGGCCCAUGCCGACUCGACUCGAGUAACUAGCCACAGGUUUUGAGCUCAUAGAUCACAGAAAAGUCGUUGGGUACAAACCCCCAAACGACGCCCGAACAGUUAUAGAUACAGAUAACAGUUUCGAAUUUUCAUAGUAAAUGAUCACAAGGCAAGAGAACGAGUGUGAUAAAGUACACCCUCGUCUCAAAUAGGAUAAACAGAUAGUGCAAUUAUUCAUAUCACAGAUAGCAUGUACGGAAGCCACAUCUCACCACAAAUAAGGGGAGUGGUACACUCACCGCUUUACGUAAAGAUACUCCAAAGGUUUUCACGCCAGUGUGGCUUUAGUUACCAAGAAACCCUAAAAUAAUCGAAGUAAAACAAUUGAAGGUUCCAUAUUCAAAAUCGAGUAAACGAAACGAAAUGUACAGGUGAGGCCCGACUACUGGUCGUAUGCCUCGCCAAAUACUUACUAAUGCAAGAAUGCAAGAGUGCAAAACAUGAUUUUUUUGGGAACGAAAAGGUAACAAAAGGACCAAGAGCUUGAACGACCCAAAAACGCUUCAAUUCUACCAAAAGGCAACCCAACUAAAAGGGACCAAAUGGCCUAGAAAAUUGAACAGCAUCUCCCCUAAAUUUGCUUACUUUUUCAUCCUAUAAUCAACACCAAUUCAUCUCAAAUCAACCACAAACACAUCAUAGACAAUCACAUACACCUUUUGGCAUAAUCAGCAAAACCAAAGCUACACCCAACCGAUCGAAACGAAUCUUAUGGCGUUACGAAUCUAAGACUUAUACCAACAUUUCUUAUGAAGAUCUCCAAGACCAAAUCAUGCAUUUUCAUGGUCAAAAAUCAAAAUUUCGGAGAGGACAGAAAACUGUCCGCAAAACAGAGUCUAUGGGCAGUCAAAGGUUUAUCGGUCAUUCCAUAGGCUACAGUGCUCCAAUCGAUCUGAAAUUUUGCAGGUAAGUAGCUAACUCACAUAUCUACAAUGUUCAUGUUUUGCACAAGGGCUGAUUCAGUCUUUAACAUGGUCAAACGUACAGUGCAAAAACAGGGCAGAUUACUAACCCUAAGCUGGAAUUCAUGUACUCUAGUUGAAAUUCUUUAGGCACUCAAACUAGCAUACCAAGCUUUAUUUAUCACCAUAUCAAGCUAUCAUUCUAUUGUCAACCACUACUUAUCACAUGAAGGCAGAAAUAAUAAUAUAAAAACUAAUCUUUGCAAAUAACCAUCACUACUUGUAAUUAAGAACUAGUAAUUCCAUCUUAACACUAGAAUAGUCUCUACUAAACAUAUGCAUGGCAAAUCAAAGGUGAAAUCACUUCAAUAAAAUCCGGAAAUAUCACUAAUAUGGAACUUAAUCAUCCCAACUUCCAAAUCACAAGAAUUUCCAUAAAAUUAUUCAAGAUCAAUUCAAAUUCAAAACAAUCAUAUACUCUCAAAAAUUGGACGGCAUUACCCCUAAAUUUCUUUAUUUGUCCAACCUACAACCAAAUACCAAUUCUCAUAACAAUUAACCACAGUCACCCAUAUGGUUCAUAAACAAUACCAUACAUUCAAUUAGGCCACAAUUUCCUUCAAUCAAAGCCAAUUAGAAGCUUAAAGCCAACCAUUAGAAAAACCCCUAAUUAAAACCCUAGAAAUCGAAAAUUAACCGUACAAGCGGAAAUUUUCUGCAAACGAUCACAAUUAACGUACACAAGCUUCCGUUAACACCAUUUAAACCACUAAUCCAAGUUCAAUCCAUGACUAUCAUAUAAAAUCAGAAAAAUAUCCAAUAAAUCAGAAAAUCACCAUAAAUUCCUUAAACCCAUGAAAUACUCCACAAUAUAACAUAUUCAAACAUUACAAACCCUAGAUUAACCAAUAUUAGAACCAAAGGGAACUUAUUUAUCCAACUUACCUCGAAUUCAAGAAAGCUAUCAACUUAGGGCACCCCAUCCUAAAUCAAUCCGUCAAAAGCUUUAAACCUCCUUAGUGAACCCUUGUAUGAAAUAUUUUCCAAAACCAUCAGUGAAAUCACAGGAUUUGGGACAAAAUUGAAGUUGGAAAAAUGAAGAGGUUUUUUUUCCUCCCAAGGCCACGGUUGAGCAGGAACAAAAAUGAGAUAUUUUGGGGUGCAAAACAGUGUAAAAAGGAAGAGAAAUCAGCUGGUCAAAGUUGAUGGCCGACAUGCCACGUCACAAUCCGACCUGAAUCUGGCCGGAUUUUAGGCCGGAUUCAUGGCCGGAUUACUGGCCACGUCACAAUCUGGUCGGAAUCUGGCCGGAUUGCCGGCCGGAUUUAUGGCCGGAUUCGAGGUAGUAGCAAAUCAAAAUUUUUUUCAAAUCACCCAACCAAUCUGGCCAAGAAUCCGGCCAAGAACUGGCUAGAUUUCCGGCCGAAUUCUCACAGUUCCCUUUUUUCAAAUUUUUUUCUUCCAAACUCAAACGUUACACUCAACCGCCCUUCCAACAAAGACAUAUAUAUAUAUUCGGACAAUUACCCUUAAUACACGAAAUUCACACAUUCAUUUAUAUGAAAUGAAACCCCUCCUUAGAAAAUGAUUGGAAAUUUUUGUUUCAAUUUCAAAAGAAAAUGAGAAUAAACAAAAUGUCGAGAAAAUGUGAAAAUUUUAGGGUUCUCACACAAUCUCCCCCUCCAGCUCAUUUGGGGGGCUCCACCAAACCUGCUUCUUGUCUGCAAAACAAGAGUUUCUCCUUAGGCAAUGCCUUAGUAAACAUGUCAGCACCAUUAUCAUCUGUAUGCACCUUCUCAAGCGUCAACUACUUCCCGAAUCCAAUGAUACCUCACAUCAAUGUGUUUUGACCGAGAGUGAAAUGUGGAGUUCUUACACAAAUGAAUAGCACUCUGACUGUCACAAUAGAGACUAUAUUUCUCUUGUUUCAUACCCAACUGUUGAAGGAAUUUUUGCAGCCAAAGAGUCUGCUUGCAUGCUUCAGUGGUUGCAAUGUACUCUGCCUCCGUACUAGAAAGAGCGAUACACUUCUGUAGCUUACUUUGCCAUGACACUGUUCCCCCUGCAAAAAUCAUCAAGUACCCAAAUAUGGACUUCCUAUUAUCAAGAUCACCUGCCAUAUCUGCAUCAGUGUAUCCAUUUAGCAUAGUUUUACCAUUGCCGAAACAUAGACACAAUCUAGGAGUUCCCUUGAGACAUCUGAGAAUCCAUUUCACAGCAUUCUAAUGCUCCUUACUAGGAUUAGAGAGAUACCGACUGACCACUCCAACUACAUGAGCAAUAUCUGGCCUGGUGCAAACCAUAGCGUACAUCAAGCUACCAACAGCCGAAGCAUAAGGAACCUUCUUCAUGUCUUCUUUAUCUUUCUCACUUGUAGGACACUGCUUGAUAUUCAGUUUAAAGUGACCUGCAAAUAGAGUUGAGACUUCCUUAACUUUGCUCAUGUUAAACCUGUUGAGUACUUUCUCAAUGUAUUUUUCUUGAGACAACCAGAGUUUCCCAUUUUGCCUAUCACGUGAGAUUUUCAUCCACAAUAUCUGUCUAGCAGGACCCAAAUCCUUCAUUGCAAAGGAUUUACUUAACUCCUUCUUCAACCUAUCAAUCUUCACAGUAUCACGACCAACAAUCAACAUGCCAUCAACAUAUAAUAAGAGAAUAACAAAAUCGCCAUCUGAAAAAUUUUUCACAUAAACACAAUGAUCAGAUGUAGUCCUGUGGUACCCAUGGUCUGUCAUGAAGGAGUCAAACUUCUUAUACCAUUGUCUCGGUGCCUGUUUCAACCCAUACAAACUCUUCUUGAGACGGCAUACAAGUUUUUCCUUACCACUUUCUUUGAACCCUUCCGGUUGCUCCAUGUAGAUCUGUUUUUCCAAGUCACUAUGCAGGAAGGCUGUCUUUACAUCAAGUUGCUCGAUCUCCAAAUUCAAAUUGGCUGCAAUACCAAGAACAACUCGAAUUGAUGACAUUUUUACCACAGGAGAGAAGAUUUCUUCAAAAUCUAUACCUUUCUUUUGACUGAAUCCCUUCACAACUAAUCUUACUUUAUACUUUGGUUAUGAGGUGUGCUCCUGAGUUUUCAACCUGUAAACCCAUUUGUUCUUCAGAUCUCUCUUACCCUUAGGUAGUUUCACUAAAUCAUAAGUAUGAUUUUCAUGCAGGGACACAAUCUCCUCUUGCAUGGCUCGCAACCAGUCUUCUUUAUUCUCAUGCUCUAGAGCCUCACUGUAGGACUCUGGCUCUCCUCCAUCUGUCAACAACACAUAUUCAUGAGGAUUAUAUCUGCUAGAAGGUCUUCUCUCUCUGGUAGAUCUUCUCAGUUCUUCUUGUGGUGGUGGUGAUGGUGUAGGUUGCACCUCAUGCUCAGAUUCAUCAGCAAUAGGAUUAUCAUCAUCAUUAAUUUCCUCUCUCUGCUCCGUCUCAGCUCCCCCUUGAUUAAAAUCAACAGGUACUGGAAUUGGAUCUGAAUCUGAAUUUGAGCUAGCAGGAAUGUCAUCUGAGAAUUUUGAGUUAUCACCUUUAUCAAUGUCUUCAAUGGUUUGAUCUUCAAAGAAGACAACAUCUCUGCUCCUGAUCACCUUCUUUUCAACAGGAUCAUACAGCCUAUAACCAAACUCUUCAUGUCCAUAACCCAAGAAAAUACACUGCUUUGAUUUUACGUCAAGUUUUGACCUCUCAUCUCUGGGAAUAUGAACAAAUGUCCGGCAACCAAAAACUCUCAAGUGUUUAAAGGACACAUCUUUUCCCGUCCAUACUCUCUCUGGGAUGUCACCAUCUAGAGGAACUGAUGGAGAAAGAUUAAUUAAAUCGAUCGCAGUCCUCAUUGUCUCACCCCAAAAGGAUUUUGGUAGUUUAGCAUUGGAGAGCAUACAUCUGACCCGCUCAGUGAUGGAUCUGUUCAUCCUUUCUGCUACUCCAUUCUCUUGAGGAGUUUUUGGCACAGUCUUUUCCAAUCUAAUCCCAUGGGACUUGCAAUAGAUUUCAAAUGGUCCUCUAUACUCACCACUAUUAUCAGCACGUACACACUUUAACUGCUUACCAGUCUCUCUUUCAACUUUGCUAUGAAAGUCUCUAAACACAUCCAAAACCUGAUCUUUGAAUUUCAAAGCAAAACACCAAACCUUUCUAGUAAAAUCAUCAAUAAAGGUUACAAAAUAAACAGCACCACCAAGAGACUUAUCUUUCAUAUAGCAGACAUCAGUGUGCACCAAUUCUAAAGGAUUCAAUUUUCUAGAUGGAGGAAAAUUUUGAAAUGCAACUCUAUGUUGUUUUCCAUAAAUGCAGUCAACACAAGGUUUAAGUGCAUUACCUCUAACUUCAGGUAGGAGGUGUUUGCGAACGAGUGUCUGAAUCUCUUUUUCACCCAUGUGUCCAAGUCGCCUAUGCCAAAGGUCAAUUGAGGAAUCACGAACUGCGUUCACUUCUCCCUUCCUCAACUUGGCUUGCAUCACGUAGAGGGUACUGUGCUUCUUUCCUCUGGCAACAACCAGAUUUCCUUUGCUGAGUUUCCAUUUGCCUCCACCUUGCGAGCUAUAGUAGCCCUCAUCGUCAAGUUUUCCUGUAGAAAUAAGGUUAAAUCGAAUAUCAGGAACAUGUCAAACAUUUCUCAAUAUCAGUUGGCAUCCCGUAUCUGUGUCCAAGUAUAUAUCUCCCAUGCCAAUAACUUUGCAUGAGACUUCAUUUCCCAUCCUAACAUAUCCGAAAUGUCCUUCGGUGUAGGUUGAGAAGAAACGCCUGUGAGGAGUAACAUGGUAGAAUGCACCUAAAUCAACUACCCAAUCACUGUCAUAAUGAAUAAUAUUCACUUGACCAUCAUCACAGAACACAAACAUAUCAUCAUGAGCUGCCACAACUGCUGUAGUCUCUUCAUCACCUUUUUCUUUCGCCUUACCCUUUUUCUCAGCCUGAUCCCGUUUUAGGAUUCUGCACUCCUUCUAUAAUGCCCAUUCUUUUUACAAUAAUAGCAGGCAAUAUUUUUCCGCGACUCAGACCUGUCUCUGGAUUUGUCAUUGCUGUUAUGGGAUCCUCUACUUUUGCUUCUCCCUCUUCUUUCUUUCUUUUCUAUCACCAGGGCCUGGGACUCAUAGACAAUUUCUUGUUCCUUCCUCCUGAACUCUUCAUUCAUCACUGUCUCUUUUGCAAUAGCCAUGGUCAACACACCAUUCGGAGCUGAAUUACUGAUGGAGACCACCAUAGUUUUCCAACUAUCCGGUAGUGAACUGAAUAAUAAUAAAGCCUGCACUUCAUUAUCCAGGUUCAAAUUUAAUGUAGUUGCCUGGUUUAUCAAUCCCUGAAAAUUGCUCAAGUGUUCAGUCAUAUCUUCCCGAUCCUUAUAUUUCAUUCGAGUAAUCUGCUUCAAACAACUAGCCUUGUUCAAACCUGUCUUUCUUUUAUACAUACUCUCAAGCUUUUUUCAUAAUAUAUCAGCUCUGGUGUCAUUAGCAAAAUGUUGAAAAAUACUUUGGCCAAUCCAUUUUCUAAUAUUACCAACAGUUUUCCUGUGCAUAUUAGCCCAUUUUUCAUCACUCAUAUCACUUGGUCUGCCUUUAUCCCCUAGAACAGGUUCAAACAAAUCUCUACAAUACAGGUAGUUUUCCAUUCUAGGCUUCUAAAUCGAAUAAUUAGUAGCAUUUAAUUUUAUCAUGCAACCACUAUCCGAAUCAUCCAUUUUAACAGGUACAAUUGAGCAGCCUAACCUGACUGCUCUGAUACCACUUGUUGGGAAAGGGGUACCAGUACAGGCACACAAUAUCAGAGUUAGCCCAGGAUAAAUUUCUCUUUCCCCAAGUACCAGUUAAAAUAGGAAUAAAUCAAAUCACCAAGUAAUAAUACCAACAUUGAUAAUAAAAUGCAAGAAAAAUAAAAGGCACAGGACACCAAGAUUUUUACGUGAAAAACCCAAAUUGGGAAAAACCACGGGACCUAACCCAGUGAAAAAUCUCUACUAUCAUAACAAUGGGAAUAUAUAGGUUUAUCCGAAAUAUUCGGAUGACAAUAAUAGCACCAAUAUCAACCAAGCAAAUUGGUACAAAAUCACCCCCAAAAACUAUAACUGUCAAAAAAGUUGGUUUGGAAAAGUGUUACCAAACGAAGAGGAAAUCCGAAAUCUGAAUCGGUAGAUAAGUAGAGUUUGAUGAGAGGAUCCCGUGUGUAAAAUUUCGUCUCAAUCGAGUUUCGUAUCACCCUCCAAUAAAGACCUUAAAGUUUCUCUCUCUCUAGCUCUUUCUCUCUCUCCGUUUUGCUCUCAAAGUGCGGCUGCUCCUUUUUUUUUCCGCACAAAGGACCGAAGCUUGAGUUGAGAAUUACUCCCUGCGGCUGCUGCUUGCUUUCUAUUUAAAAGUUGAGAAACCCUCAAGUGUUGCCUAAGUGGGUGGCCCACAAAUAGGCUGGCCCACCCAACACAAUCUAAGUUACCCAUUUGGAUUGUAUUUUCUGAGGAGUUUUUAGAGUAAAAUUACUGUAGUACUUUUUUUUUGUAUGUGAUAUAUGUGAAAUAAAAAGGUGAUUGAAAUUGUAUAGAAGGAAUAUUCAAGGAAAACAAUAAAAUUUUUCUGUAGACAAGCACAAUCCAUAUGGGAAUGAAAAAUUCGCAAAUGGGGAAUUUUUCAAGUAUAACAAAUUUUAGCCCUAAAAUUGUAAAAGAUAUGAUGGUGCUUAAACCCAACUUCUCUCACCUCCACCUACAUUCCAUAGUCUAGUUCCAAACAAAAAUAUUGGAGGUUAGUUUGACAAAAAAAAAGGAAAAAGAUUCACAAAACCAAAUUACUAUUAAACUAUAUAUAUCGUGUACUUUGAGUAAUUGAAUUAUCUUUUUCAUUUAAAAUUAACUUUUAAUAUCAUGUAUUUUUGUAUAUUCAAUCCAAUUUUGGGAUCAAAUGAAACACGUAUGACAUGAUUUCAUACAUAGGCUGUGCAAUAUGUCCACUAAUGUUCACCCCGAAAUCGAACGAAAUGAUCAAAAGUAUACUACUUCAAAAGCUGUGCGGUGAUUUGAAGACCACAAUAAUUUAGUGCCAGAAAUACACAAUAUGAAUAAUUAACUUAGUAGUUAUGAAUAAUAGGAAUUAGAGGUUUUGGGUUCUAACUGAAACAGCAAGUCUUUCUAUACGCACUGAACACUUUCACAAAUUUCUCUCACCAUUAAUGUUUUGUUUCUAUUCAAUUCUUGAUGAACUUCUGCCAGCAUAUUUCUAUCUCACCAUCCUAGCAGCUCCCUUAUCUUCAUCCGAAAAGUCAAAACUAUACAAGUCGCUUAUGUAUUUAUGGGAAUCUUUUUAAAAUUGCAUUUGGAAUCUAAACUUAUCCUUAUCAUCUAAUUCAUAUGUGUGUGUGUGUGUGCACGCGCUUUUACGUGCUUGAUUAUACGAAAAGGUUUUUCUGUUGUAUUUGUCAACUUCGUUUUUUGCACGUAUAUCAAGGUUUCUUUUCGUUUACAGUUUUCUGCAUUUUUUUUUCUUUUCAAGAUUCUUAGUGAUGGAUUUUUAAACCGUUUAAAGAUUUGCUUAUCAUUUUGGUUUAUAAGAAAGUUUUACGAGAUUUGUUUGGAGUUUUAUUAGUUAAGGAUCAUGUGGUUAUUUAUCAAUUUUUUAUUCUUAGGUUUAGUAGAUUUCAAAAGUUUACAUGAACUUUAAGAUGGAACCGUGGAAUUUUAAUGUUGGUUGUGGCACAUUGUCUCACAGUUUUAUGACAUUUUGAGUUCCUCAAUUGACAAUUCUAAUUAAUCUUUGCCUCACAAUAUGAAUUAUUUUCAAUCAGAUUUUCACAAUAUGUAUUUUUGUAUAGAAUAGUAGUAGGCCUAUAAUCUUUUUUUUUCAUACUAGCAGGGAAACGAUGAGAAUUAAGAAGUACAAGUCGGAAUGAAGAGGUUAAAUUCACGACUUCUAAAUCUUAGGAUCUCAACAUCAGCUAUUAGACCAAGUUUUUCUUGGCCUUGUUAACGGUAUUUGCACGGUAUUUUGGUUGACUUAUCAAGUUUCAUCAUUUACUUACCUUUACUUGUUAACGGUAUUUGCACGUAAAUGUGAUUGCAAUCCAUGCGUGGGGCUAGAGGAUUGAAGGCCUCGGAUCUACCUGUACGAAAGAGGCUUCAAGGUGGGGAUCCUGGGCCUUGUAAUUUGAGGCACUUUCCAGUUGACACAAUUUCAUGGUCUGGAAUUAAAGUUGGUUGACAUAUGGUUCAGAUUAAGCUAGCAACCACUUUAAAAGAAUGGUGUUGUUUAGUGAAGCACAAAAAAAAAGUGAAAAAUGAGGAAACAGGCAUAAAUGGCAUUAACAAGAAGGUCCAGUAUUUAACCACUAAGCUUUGACUCAGUGGCCAUCAAAAAGGGACUAAAGUCCCUCUUUGGACUGUAGGUCAGGAAUUCGAAUCUUAUCUGCAGUGAAAAAAUGCAAAGGAGGCGCCAGAGCAUCCCUUUGGUUUAGUAUGUUCUUAUACCUAGUAGCCUCCUUAUACACAACUUCUUUAGACUCCCCUUCUCCCUAGAUUAGGAUAGAUUAAGUUAUACAAAUGUUAUCGUUGCCGUUAAAAAAAAAAAGGGUCCAAUAUUUAGAAAAAAAAAUUUUUUAAAAACCAAAAAGAAAAAAUGGAUUCAAAAGAUGCAUUCUUCAACCAGGAAGCACAACAGCUUGGAAAGGCUUUGAGUAGGAGAGGGGAGAAAAUCAUACCGAUGAGACGAAGGAAAGGUGCAACGCUAGUGAAACUGAUGAGGUGAAAUUCACAGUUGGGUUGCUGGUUUGAAGUAGUCACCUAAAGACACUCCUUUAUUACUAUAAGAUAUGCUUUUGGGUAUCUAUAAAAUUUGAAAUUUGCUCCAUUUUCGUUGAUUUCAAACAUAAUGAGAUAGAAAAUAUAUGUUAUUUUCACAUGUUUGUCAAUGUUAGAUGGAUGGUGAAGGAUGAGAGUAGUGAUAGAGGCAGACAUGAACCCUAAUUUUGAAUUAACUAAUACUGAUUUUAAGACUAGAUUUUCCUAUUCUUAGAUUGGCCUGAAAAUUAUUUUGGGGUUUCAAUUAGUGUUGCAGAGAAAGUAUUAGAAAUCUUUUUGGUGCAAUUUAUCAGUUUGUGGUGUUAUAGCCGAGGAGUUUUGUUCAUUUAUUGCAUGCUUGAUGUUGGAUGAGAAUUAGGCUGUUUGCAAGAACUUUUUGCUUUGGCUGGGUGAGGUUAGAGAAGAGAAGAAUCUGUUGGUUUUUUGUUUCUUGUUCUUUUUUUCUUGCUGUCUGACUCCUGAGGGGUCACCUGGUUUACUGGUUAGGCAAAGUGUUAAGGGUUGUAGAAACUUUGCUAAUGCUUUGCUUGGGAUAGUCUUUGCACGAAUUAAAAUCACGAAGCAUAAAUGAUUCUUAUUCUUUUUCUUUCAGUCUAUUUUUUUGUUUUAUUCUUCCUUGUACAUUCAUAUUUUUGUUCAUAAACCUUGGUUUAGCAUAAAAUUUUUUAGAAAGCACAUUUGGCUUAAUUGAAAUCUCAAUCUGUAAAUGGAACACAAUUGUCCCUCUGUGCUACUGUUUAACAAUGGAAAACAUUUUUGAUUUGGCAAUGAAUGAAAAGGAAAUAGUAGGGAUUGUGGUUCCAACUUUCCAUUCCAUGGACAGAUUAUAAAGCAAAUCUUAUUUUGUCUUUUCCAUGCACAAAUCUGUUGUAGCAUUUCUUGAAAGAUUGGCAAAUUCGAAACUGCCUCCAACCAGCCUCAAUAACUAUUGGCAAUCUUUUGCAAGCAAUUUGUAUUCCUUUAUUUAGAUUAGCACUUGGAUGAAUUAUAAAUCAAUGAGUCCAAGUUGUGCAUUUUUUUGGUAUAACCCACAAGUAUCCGCCUCCAUUUUACGGUCUACAACUAAUCCUGUUCGAAUCGCGUCAGACCGCUUGCAGGGGAAAACUCUCCCAAUAUUAUUUUUUCCAUUUCCAUGGGUUUCGAACCCAAGAUCUCAUGAUUAAGGGAUGCAAGCCCCUUCCGCUUGCACCGACAUCCGUUGGUCAAGUUGUGCAUUUCUAUCCUGGUGCCACUCAUCCCCUUAUUCUUUGCAAUCACUAGCCCCUUCCAGAUGCUCUACAAUUGCGUUUUCAAUGGUGGUACUUCUCUCAAUGCUGCCUGUGUAUCCCUAUUGCCAAACACCUUGUCCAUCCCUCAAUAGUCCACCAAAGGUUACAGGUCUUGGAUCUCCAUUGAUACCUGCACUGAUGUUUAUUUUGCAUUCACAAAUGGCACUUACUCCUGGUUUGACUUCUUGCCUUUAAUUUCAGCUAGACCACAUAAACCGAAAGAUUUACUAGUUAAUGAUUUCACAGUAGUUGAACUGUUAGGUUCAAACUUUCCAUGCAUCCACCCAAUAAAAGCAUUAGCAAUUAAAGUUUUAUGGGUCUAUUUGCAGUAAUUGCUUCCAAAUUCCUCUCUCUUUUAUUGGAGUUAAUAGCGUAUGGUAAGAAGCGUCGCAGAAAUAUUACAUGGAUAAGCAGGUGAAGGAUGAAUUGUGAAGUCAUAUCUCUGUCUGCAGCGGAGCUUUUAUGUAUCACCAUUUGCAAGAAGUUCUCUUACCUUCUGAGAUAACUCACUAAAUCUCUUUUAUUUUAGUUAGUUCUGCUGUUAUCUAUCAUUUGUUUGUUGGUGUACAUAUUCUUCAUUUUUAAGGGAUUAGAACUCAUGUCCUCUGUUUAUCUAAGAAAUAGAGAAGAAAAAGAAAAAAGGAAAAUAAUUAAACCAAAAACUAUUUAAAACACGAAACUGCUAAAAAAUAAAAUGCAUAAUCUGAUGAAAUCAUAGAAGAAAAAGGAAAAUAAUAACACAAGUGAACUAUUUAAAAGCAAAACUACUGAAAUAAAUGCAGACUUGAAUGAUAAGAAAAAAUGUAUAAAAUACUAACAAAAACUAUGAUGAUUACUCUAAUUAAAAACUCUAAGAGACUUUUGGGUAGAUUUAUGAAUGGUAAGUGGUUCACAUCACCAAAUAAUCAAGAAAAAGUAAAAUAGAAACCAAUUUUUAUCCAAUGUCGAUAUCUCUCGCAGAGAUUACAUUUAACACCCUGCCCGGAGGAAAGAAAGGGGGAAAAAUUAAAUAUUCUAAUGGGGCAUUUUUGGUUGAUUAGGAACAAAUUUCUUGCUUGCCUUUUCUAUAAUUAACUGAAAUUUGAUUUCAGCCUAUUAGUCCCUUUAAGCCAUAAAUUAACCUGUUUUUUCUUCAAACUGUAGAAACAAAAUUUGUAGUGAAACAUCAAAAUGUGAUCAUCUUAUCUAGCCUACAUUGCAACGAGUAGUGACUAAAGUCCAAAAAGGAUCCAGCAUGUUCAAGUCUAUAUUGUAAGACUGGUUAUUAGCAAUUUAACAUGGACAGGAUGGCAGAAUGCAUCAUCAAGUUCCUAAACUAUUAUUCUUAAACAUUAGUCAAGAUUAUCAAGUAACUUCAACCAGAAAAUGAAAAGAAUCUAAAAAUUGGGAUAUUAGCUUUUAAGUAUCAAAAGCAAAAUUAAGGAGUUUUAAAGCUACAAAAUGAUCAAUUUGUCCUUGUUAAGAACAUCCCCAAAUGAAGAAAAAUUAUUACAUAUUAAUUUCUAUAAUUUGAAAGAAUAUGCCUCGUCCACUUCUGCUGGCCAUCGCCCUUGAGCGUCAAAUCGUGUUUGGAAUAUCAAUAUAUCUAUCUUUUCAUGCAAUUGAGAGGCAUUAAGAUGAUCACCUUAAUACCAAAUCAAUAUUUGUUGUUAUCUAUAAUGUUCCUAUCCGUCGUGUUAAGUCUUGUCUAAAAGCAUCUUCCAUAAAUAUAUUUCUAAAUUUCUUAGCGAUGUUCCAGGAAUAUGUCCUGUCUGUCGUGUGGAGCUAGCAUCUCAGAUCGUUUGCUACUCUCAAAAUUCAAUUCAUGGCAUAGUUCUACAAGCUACUGGAAUUCCUAUUUCUACAACUUAGGUCAACAUUCAUAUUUGGUAUUUGGAAAAUUGCCCUCACUUUUUUUUUUCCCAGAAACGAUAGAUUAAUUUAUUUCUACUAAUAGAGAAAAUACAAUUUAUGAGCAAGGGCUCAAGUUUUGGUUUACAAAGGUGUACUAAGACAACGAGGAUCAACGAACUCCUCAUCAAAAUAGAUGUGCAUUGCUUGCUUACUCAGUUAAUAACUGAGUGUAUUAGUACUAACAUUACUAGGCUGGCAAACAAAUGAGCAUGUCCUAAACAUUAAGCUGAGAUCAUUGAUGCAUUCGAGAUGGCCUGCUAUAAGGAUGUUGCUUGGGCUUUGGCAGCAUAUCAUCUUUAAAAUCUGGUUGCAUGAAAUAUGAACCUGUAUGUUUUGCAAGUCCUGUUCCUUUAGCUUACAAAGAGCCAGUUGUAUCGCCACCAAUUUGUCCAGCACAAGCGAUCCAGUACUUCUUUCUCUAAGCAUCCACCCUGCCCCAAGCUGGUUCAGUGCAUUUGUUACUGUGAUGCCAAUUCCCAUAUUAAGGCCUUCAAUGUGUUGCCCCACAUGUAUAUGAACGCUCAGGAUGUCUUGCUCUGGUUCUCUCGUUUGCUCUUGUUCAUUUGCUAUUUCUGUUUCGGAAAUGCUCAUACAUUGCUGUACCUGUUGGCAGUUAUGGUACUCCUCAAAGUCAUUCAUUGCCUUUCUGACUACCUCCAUUGGAUGGCUAUGUUUGCCUUCAAAUUCUACUUCAUUCCUGGAUUUCCAAAUGUGCCAAAGGAUAUCCACAGUUAGACAAAUGUGUUGCAUUCCAUCCUUUCGUUCCUUUACUCCCAUUAGCCUGCUCCACCACUUCCUGAAAUCAGUUGUGUCCUCAUGAAGCCCAUCCCACUGUAACGGAGCCAUCUUCCAUAUCAGCUUUGCUUUGCUACAUUGGAAGAAAAUGGGCUCAACCGUCUCAGUUGUUUCUCCACACUGCUUACAGAUUAGCUCUCCCUUACCCGUUCUCCUAAAUAUAGCUUCUCUUACGGGUAACACCUGGUGUAAACACUUCCAUAAAAACAACUUGUGUUUGUGUCUUAUUCUCAAUUUCCAUAGCUGUUAUUCUUAGUUUUGAUGAUCACAAAGUAUUUUGAAAUGUUUAUCUAACUCUCUUCAAAUAUAAGUGUUUUUUGCCUAUCAAAGAAUCAGGUACAAAUAUGUCAAGAAAUGAAAAUCAACCAAAAGAAGAAGCAAAAACAGGACACUCAUGUCGGACGUCCGAAGGAAUCUGUCGGACGUCCGAAAGGAUAAAGAACAUCAAGACGAAAGCUUUAUCGGACGCUCAUAAGGAAGCGUCGGACGUCCGGAAGGAUCGGACGCACGCCUCGGACGCACAUCAACCGCGUCGGACGUCCGAAAAAUUUCAAGAAGACUUGCCAACUCUCUGUCGACGAUCGGACGCUGAUGCUGUCGGACGAUGAAAACGCAUUGGACGUCCGAACUACAACUUAGCUAUUUUCGGACGAUAGGUUCGGACGAUGAUUUGGUCGUCGGACGUCCGACAGCCCCAACGGCUAGCUGACUCUUCAUCUGCCUUCUAUCCGUUGGAAGCAUUGAUGAAAACCAUUUUUGGUCCCCUUUAAAUACAAACUGUUCUGAACUAAGGAGAGACUUUUGCACACUUUGUUUACAAGAUUUCAAGAGAUAUUUUAGCUAGAAAAUAGUCUCCAAAACAAGAUUUGUUCUCCAAGUGGUGUGAAUUUCUUGUGAGCAUUUUUCUUGUGGUUGAAAGUUUCAUUAGUGUAGUUUUGUUGAGAGUUAUCUGAGUGAUUGUAAAACUUCUUAGCUUGACUAAGUGAGACUUAGGGCAAGGAGGAAGUGCUCCCUCCAUUGUACAUCUAGUUGAUCAUCUUUCAUCAAAGAGAAGUUGCUCAACCUAGUGAUUGGUCUUCAAGUUUGAGGAAAGCUUGGUAGACAAUCGGUUUGAUAUUCUAUCUUAUUCUUUUUGUUUAAUAAAAUUCUCAUUGCUUAUCUAUACUUGUUUUUCUGAUCAACAUUGCUCUCUUCUUCUAAUCUACUUUGUUGAUCAUUACUAGAAAAAAAGGUAAAUUUUUAUUAAAGAAAAAGUGCAUAAAUUUGAUUAAGAUUUUAAUCAACCUAAUUCACCCCCCUCUUAGGUUGUCUUGGGUCUUACAAUUGGUAUCAGAGCUUGGUCUCCUAGAGAUUAAGCUCAAGCGGCUUGGAAUAAAGAUGACAACCAGUCAUGCUAUGUUUGUUGAGGGGCAAUCUGUUACUAGGCCUUCCAUGUUUAGUGGCUCCAAUUAUGUUAGUUGGAAAGAAAGGAUGAUUAUUUUUUUGCAAUCUAUUGAUAUUGAGCUAUGGUUUAUUGUGAGUGAAGGACCGCAUGAAGCUAACUUUCUUGAUGCAGAUACAGGUUUGCUUCGGCCAAAAACGAGAGCUGAAAUGAAUGCUCAAGAUAGGACUAAUCUCACAUUGAAUGCCAAAGCCAUGAAUGUUCUUUAUAAUGCCUUAGAUUCAAAUGAAUCAAUUAGAGUAAAAGGCUGUAAAUCUACCAAAGAAAUGUGGGAUAAGCUAAGAGAAAUCCAUGAGGGUGGUGACAACGUGAGAGAACAGAAAAAGGCUAUCUUGGUCACAAAGUAUGAAUCAUUUAAAAUUGAACCUCUUGAGAAUAUUGACAAAAUGUAUUGCAGGUUCAAUGACUUGAUCAAAGAUCUCGAGGUGUUGGGCAAAGAGUACACCUUGGGAGAGAAGAACAGGAAAAUUCUCAAUGCAUUGGGCAAAGAAUGGGAAAAUAAAGUGACGGCAAUAGAGGAGGCUAAGGAUUUAAAUUCUGUGCAUAUUGAAUCUCUCAUUAACUCACUAACCUCUUAUGAGUUGAAAUUGAAAUCUAAAGUGCAGGAGGAAGAGAAUGCUAGAGCAAAGAGAAACAUUGCUCUAAAGACUACUCAAGGUGAAGAUGAUCCAACUCACUUGGAUGAUGAAGACUCGGAUGGUGAUGAUAAUGAUCUUGCUCUCAUCACAAGAGGCUUCAAGAGAAUCUUGAAUAAAAGGAAGUUUAGAAGGGGAGGACCUAGCAAUCAAUUCCAAAAUUAUUCAUCAAAUGCAAGGAACAAAGGAAAACAAGAAUUCAACAACAAGCAAGUGGACAAAUGCUAUGAAUGUGGACAGGUUGGAUACUAUGCAAACGAAUGCCCCAUGAAGAAAAUGAAAGAUGGGAAAGCUGAUCGAAAGCCAAGAUUCAACAACUUCCAGAUUACUUGGAAUGAAUGCAACUCCGAAGGGGAAGUUGAAGAAGAGGAAGAAUCAGCUCAAAUGGCCUUCAUGGCUAUUGGAGAUAAUGAGGAAAAAGGCUCAAACAAGUCUAAAUGGUUUAUUGAUAGUGGCUGCUCAAGGCAUAUGACCGGUGAUCCUUCUUUGUUCAUAAAGCUAAAAUCAAAAUCAAGUGGAAAUGUGACAUUUGGUGAUGAUGUGAAAGCUAAGACAAUUGGAAUAGGUGAUGUUGGUAAGGAUGGUGAAACUUUUGUUCAUAAUGUGCUCUUAGUUGAUAACCUAGGUUAUAACUUGCUUAGUGUUAGUCAAUUGUGUGAUAAAGACUUAUAUGUGUUGUUUAAAAAGCAUGAAUGCAUUGUGCUUGAUUCCAAAUAUAAUGUUGUGUUCAAAGGUAAGAGGUUUAACGACAUAUAUAUUGUGGUUCUUGAUAAAAUUGAUUCAUCUAGCUUCAAAUGUCUUAAAGCUUCAAAUGAAGAUCCUUGGUUGUGGCAUAGGAGACUUUGUCAUUUUAACAUGGAUUUACUAAAGGAAAUUUCGAAAAAAGAGCUGGUUAGAGGCUUGCCAAAAAUCAGUUUUGAAAAGGAUAAAAUUUGUGAUGCAUGUCAAUUUGGAAAGCAAACAAAAGUUUCUUUUAAACCAAAGAAGUGUGUAUCAACUUCUAAACCUUUAGAACUCUUGCAUCUUGACUUAUUUGGUCCUACUCAAAUCAUUAGCUUGGGAGGUAAGAAAUACUGCUUUGUGAUUGUGGAUGAUUAUUCUAGAUAUACUUGGGUGAUAUUUUUUGCUCAUAAGGAUGAUGCCUUCAAGAAUUUCACUUCUUUGUUUGCUAAAAUGCAAAAUCUGCUUGGUUUAAAAAUUGUUAGGAUUAGAAGUGAUAAUGGAACGGAAUUCAAGUAUUGUGGUUUUUCAGAAUUUUGUGAUCAUAAUGGCAUAACACAUGAGUUUUCUAUUGCAAGAACUCCACAACAAAAUAGUGUUGUAGAAAGGAAAAAUAGAACACUACAAGAGGCUGCUAGAACUAUGUUAAGUGAAUGUAGUUUGCCAAAAUACCUUUGGGCUGAAACGGUAAACACUGCAUGUUAUGUGAUGAAUAGAAUACUUUUGAGACCCAUUUUGAAUAAAACAUUUUAUGAGCUGAUUUUUGAUAAGAAACCUACGGUUGGAUAUUUCAAAGUCUUUGGUUGUAAAUGUUUUAUUUUAAAUUUAAAGGAACAUCUUGGUAGGUUUGAGAAAAAAUCUGAUGAAGGAAUAUUUUUGGGAUAUUGUGAGAACAAAAGAGGAUAUAGAGUCUUUAAUAGAAGGACUCUUGUGAUAGAAGAAGCCAUACACAUAACAUUUGAUGAAACUAAUGAUGAUAAUUCCAAAAGUUCGUGUGAGGAUGAUGAUGUAGGUGUUCGUGAAGGAAUGGAAAAGCUAACAAUUGGAGAUGGAGGAAACUCUGAACCGGAAGCAAAGGAAAUGGAGAAUGAAGCUCAUGAAGAUCAAGAAAGGGAAGAUGAGGAUAAAAAUGAUGAUUCAUUCAAAGAUCUUCCCAAGGCUUGGAAAUUUAGCCAAAAUCAUCCAAAAGAACUUAUAAUUGGUGAUCCAUCCGAGAAGGUAAACACUCGUUCCUCAUCUAAGAAAUUGAUAGAUAAUUUUGCUUUAGUUUCUCUUUUUGAACCUAAAAAUAUCAAUGAUGCCUUAAAGGAUGAAAACUGGAUUUUGGCAAUGCAAGAGGAACUCAAUCAAUUUGAAAGCAAUGAGGUUUGGACACUAGUUGAUAGACCUCAAAAUCACCCUAUCAUUGGCACUAAGUGGGUAUUUAGAAAUAAGUUGGAUGAUAAAGGUGUAGUUGUAAGAAAUAAAGCUAGAUUAGUUGCAAAAGGGUAUGCUCAAGAAGAAGGAAUUGAUUUUGAUGAAACAUUUGCUCCCGUAGCUAGAUUAGAAUCAAUUAGAAUGCUUCUCGCUUUUGCUUGCUUCAAAGGUUUUAAACUGUUUCAAAUGGAUGUUAAAAGUGCCUUCUUAAACGGUUUUAUUGAUCAAGAAGUAUAUGUGGAUCAACCCCCCGGUUUUGAAAAUUCAAAAUUUCCAAAUCAUGUGUUUAAACUCUCAAAAGCAUUGUAUGGGCUAAAACAAGCUCCAAGAGCUUGGUAUGAAAGAUUGAGUGGUUUCUUGAUUGAAAAUAAUUUCAAAAGAGGAGUUGUGGACACCACACUGUUUACUAAGCAAGUGCUAAAUGAACUCCUUAUUGUGCAAAUAUAUGUAGAUGAUAUUAUUUUUGGUGCUACUAAUGAGUAUCUAUGCAAGGAUUUUUCCACCAUUAUGCAAAGUGAAUUUGAAAUGAGUAUGAUGGGAGAAUUAAAUUUCUUCCUUGGAUUUCAAAUACAUCAAGCCAUAGAGGGCAUUUUCAUAAAUCAAGCAAAAUACACUAAGGAAUUGCUGAAAAGAUUUGGCAUGGAGGACUCAAAGCAAGUUGGAACUCCAAUGUGCACUUCAACAAAACUUGACAAAGAUGAAGAAGGUAAACAUGUGGAUGAAAAGCACUAUAGAGGUAUGAUUGGAAGCUUACUUUAUUUAAUCGCAAGUAGACCCGAUAUUAUGUUUGCUGUUUCUUGUGUGCUAGAUUUCAAUCUUGUCCAAAAGAAUCACAUUUGAAUGCUGUUAAAAGGAUUUUUAAGUAUUUGAAAGGUACAUUAGACUAUGGUCUUUGGUAUGCUAGAUCUAGUGAGUUUGCACUAUAUGGAUAUUCGGAUGCUGAUUUUGGAGGUUGUCGUGUGGAUAGAAAGAGUACUAGUGGAACUUGUCACUUUCUUGGUAAUUGCUUAGUCUCUUGGUUUAGCAAGAAACAAAAUGCAAUCUCUUUGUCUACAACCGAAUCGGAAUAUAUUGCCGCUAGUGCAUGUUGUGCUCAACUUUUAUGGAUGAAGCAUACCUUGAAUGAUUUUGGAUUGUCAUAUGACUGCAUGCCUAUAUUCUGUGAUAAUACUAGUGCUAUCAAUUUGACCAAAAAUCCAAUUCAACAUUCUAGGACAAAGCAUAUAGAUAUAAAGUACCACUUUAUUCGCGAUCUUGUUCAAAAAGGUGAAGUAUGUGUAAAUUAUGUUUGUUCUAAAGAUCAAUUUGCUGAUAUUUUUACAAAAACUUUGCCAUUAGAUCAGUUCACUCAUCUAAGAUCAAAAUUAGGGAUAAUCGAAAAAUCAUCUUAAAAUUUUUCAAAGCCUUCGGACAUCCGAAAGAAGAUGAACGGACGUCCGAUAAUGUUCAUCAGCUAUUUUUCCAGAAAACACCUGUUCGGACGAAACUGUCGGACGCACGACUUUGUUCGGCAGUCCGACAGUGCAACGGUUCACCUUUUAAAGUAACUUUCUUCCUCAUUUGCUUCAAACUCUUCUUCUUCUAUUUCCUCUCGGACAAAAACUCUCUCGUUUCUCACUCUCAAAUUGGUACCAUUCUGAAACUCUCAUUCCCAAAUUGACUCAACCAAAACUUUUCCUGAUCGAUUGCUAUUCGUUUCUCCUGAUCAUUUCACCGAAUCGCAUAACAUUUCGCAAAUUCUCAAAUUUCACUCAAAACCUUAUUUUCUCAUAACCGCUCUGUCCAAUCUUUUUCAAGGCCUUUUUGUCCCAAAAUUUCUGUGCGAUUCACUUCCAUACUACUGUGUGCAUCAUUUGCAUCCUUCAUUCCAUACAUUUCGCACAAUGAUGAAUCUAAGAGGAGGGAAAGUCACUGCCGGACGCAAGCAUCCACUCAGGGAUGGGAUGAUGAUGUUCCUACGGUCAAACGAUCAUCCAAACGCGUCAAGAGGGGAGCUGUAAAGGGUCAAAUGUCACAACCUACACCACAACCCACCCCUCAGCCUGAAUCUGGACAGGGAACCUCAUCUCAACCGCCUUCAAAAUCAACCACAGUCCCUACAUUCUUUGAUGAUGCUGCAAAAGAAAAACACUCCUGGAUAUCCCAGAAAUGUGUCAUCCCUCAACGCACCGUAAAUUCUUCUGAAUUUCGCCAAAUAGGUUUAGAAUCCAUUCUGAGUCUGUUUGCUUUCCAGAAAUGGUCAUAUCUCAUUUCUAUGCCUAAUGUCUAUUAUCCUGAAAUGCUGUUUCAAUUAUUUGCCAAUCUUAGGAAAGGCACUGACCAAACUGAGAUUAUGUCCAGGGUUAAUGGGGUAGACUUGGUAUUUGAUCCUGAAACUGUGAAUGCCAUCUUAAAUACUACUAUUGAACGUGGAUGCAAAAGUAAAAUUGCCAAUUUCUUUUCCUAUGAAGAGCAUCCUACUGCUGAUAAUCAUUUUGAUGGGGCUAAGAUGUUGACUUAUUUUAAAAGAAGUUUUUCUGCCCCUGCUGAUGCUAAACUGAAUGAUCUUGCCCCUGUGAAUCUAAUUGCCUUUUCAAUCAUUUCAAACCUGCUUGUGCCUACUGAUGGCCAUAGAAUAGAUGCAAACAAAAUGGAGUUGUAUCUUUUUUACUGUUUUCGAGAAAAGAUUCGUAUUGAUUUUGAUUUUGUCAUGUGCAAGUUUUUACUUCGCUAUGCCACUGAUUCUCGCAGAAAAUUAUCUUAUGGAAAAUUUCUUCAAAAGAUUUUUGAGUUUUACAAAGUACCAAUUCUAGGUGUUUGUCCCAAAGAAGCAUCUUCUUAUGCCUUUACCAAAGGAUAUUUUGAAAGGAAAAAUCUUGUCUUUAAGGAUAAUAUAUGGGCUUAUAAGGGGGCAUCAUCUAGUGAACCUAGGUCUAAGGCUGCACAUGAUCCACUACACACUCAUUCAUCUGUUGCACUCACUCCCAUUCAUCCCAAGAAGUCUGCCACUAAGGCAUCUUCCUCUUCCAAUGAUGAAGUGAUUGAGUUCCUUCGUGAACUCAAACAGCAUGUUCUUCUUCUGGAACAUGGUCUAAUACUCACCAUGUCCUCUGAGCAACAAACAGCCUACCUAGACAAAAAGAACCUUCUUUUUCCCCCACCUGUGAUUGAGGAAGUUUCCCAUGGCAAAGAGCCACGCCCCACUGAUCCAAGUUCAUCAAUUCCAGACCCGAGCUCAUCAACUCCCGUGACUCCUCAUGGCCCUUCCACAUCAGAUAAAGGCAAGGCACCAAUUGUUAAAGAUGAUGAAGAAACUGAAGAGGAGGACCUCUCCCAAUAUCAGCUCUCUCGAAGGACACCUGGAUCCACCUAGUUCACCAUUUAGGAUCACAUAGGGUCAUUUGCAUUUUGUUUGACUAUUUCAUGUGUUUCUAGUGUUUGUGGUGUUCAACAAUGGAUAUGUAGAUGUAAUGCUUAUGUUUAUGUUGUGUUCGUUUAGUACUUUUUGAUGGAUGAUUAUGACUGUAAUGGUUAUGGAUAUGUGGAUGGAUGUUUAAGUAUUUUGAAUGAUGAAUGUGUGGAUGUGAUGAAUAUUUUUUGUUAUUGGUUCUCCGUGAUAUAUGUGAUUGAUUGCCCUUUUGUGAUGACAAAAAAGGGGGAGAGGACUGGAUUGGAUUGAUUGAUGAUUUAAUUGAAAUUGAAUUGGCUGAUGGAUUGAAUUGGUAAAAUGUUGGAUGUUGGCUGCUUAAUUGUUAUGUUUUUGGAAAAUUGAUUAAUUCGGUAGGGUAGCUAAGUGAGGGGGAGUUUUUUCAAAUUUUUGCUCUAUGAUCCACUAAGUAAGGGGGAGUUUUUGUCAAUUGAGAAAGGGGGAGCUUAUAUUUCAAUCAUCAAAUCUCAUUUCAAACCAUUAUUUUGUCAUCAUCAAAAAUGGGGAGAAUGUUAUUGUUGGUUUUGAUGAUCACAAAGUACUUUGAAAUGUUUAUCUAACUCUCUUCAAAUAUAAGUAUUUUUUGCCUAUCAAAGAAUCAGGUACAAAUAUGUCAAGAAAUGAAAAUCAACCAAACGAAGAAGCAAAAACAGGACACUCAUGUCGGACGUCCGAAAGGAUAAAGAACAUCAAGAAGAAAGCUCUAUCGGACGCUCAUAAGGAAGCGUCGGACGUCCGGAAGGAUCGGACGCACGCCUCGGACGCACAUCAACCGCGUCGGACGUCCGAAAAAUUCCAAGAACACUUGCCAACUCUCUGUCGACGAUCGGACGCUGAUGCUGUCGGACGAUGAAAACGCAUUGGACGUCCAAACUACAACUUAGUUGUUUUCGGACGAUAGGUUAGGACGAUGAUUUGGUCGUCGGACGUCCGACAGCCCCAACGGCUAGCUGACUCUUCAUCUGCCUUCUAUCCGUUGGAAGCAUUGAUGAAGACCAUUUUUGGUCCCCUUUAAAUACAAACUGUUCUGAACUAAGGAGAGACUUUUGCACACUUUGUUUACAAGAUCUCAAGAGAUAUUUUAGCUAGAAAAUAGUCUCCAAGACAAGAUUUGUUCUCCAAGUGGUGUGAAUUUCUUGUGAGCAUUUUUCUUGUGGUUGAAAGUUUCAUUAGUGUAACUUUGUUGAGGGUUAUCUGAGUGAUUGUAAAACUUCUUAGCUUGACUAAGUGAGGCUUAGGGCAAGGAGGAAGUGCUCCCUCCAUUGUACAUCUAGUUGAUCAUCUUUCAUCAAAGAGAAGUUGCUCAACCUAGUGAUUGGUCUUCAAGUUUGAGGAAAGCUUGGUAGACAAUCGGUUUGAUAUUCUAUCUUAUUCUUUUUGUUUAAUAAAAUUCUCAUUGCUUAUCUAUACUUGUUUUUCUGAUCAACUUUGCUCUCUUCUUCUAAUCCACUUGGUUGAUCAUUACUAGAAAAGAAGGUAAAUUUUUAUUAAAGAAAAAGUGCAUAAAUUUGAUUAAGAUUUUAAUCAACCUAAUUCACCCCCUCUUAGGUUGUCUUUGGGCCUUACAAUAGCUGUUUCCAGACUUUGUUGCAGCCCCCAAUCCAGCUUGUUUCUCCCAGACUGCUCGCAGGUGCUUUAGGCAUUCUAUCCUCCGCUGUGAAGGCUUCAUAAGCAGAUCUGACCGUGUAUUUUCCAGUGGUGCCGUGCCUCCAGUAGUAACAAUCAGGUCUCUUUGUCACACUGAUAGGCAUUUUGAGUAUAUUUCUAGCUUCAUGUGGACUGAAAGUUCGGAAGAUGAGUGGUGAUUUCCAUCUGAAACUGGAGAUCAGCUCGCUAACUUUUGUGAUAGUGCAUCCCAGUGGUUUUGGGGAUUCUACUUUGCCUUGCUUCCCUUCCAAUAGCCAAGCAUCUUCCCAAAUGUUAGUGCUCUUCCCAUUUCCUACUUUUUUCCUAACCCCACUGCAUACCUCAUCUCUUACUCCCAUUAGACUCUUCCAUAUCCAUGAUGCAUUUCCUCUUACUUCACAACCCAGUCGAGAAGUGUUGGGAUAGUACUUGGCUCUCAGCACUUUACUAAGCAAAAGAUUGGGGCAUGUGAGAAUCCUCCAAAUCUGUUUGCCUAGCAAGGCUUUGUUGAAGCCUUGGAGAUCUUUAAAGCCUAGUCCUCCCUUGUUCUUUGUAGUUGACAUCUUUUUCCAUGAACACCAAUGCAUUCUCGUUCUCCCAUUGUCAUCCCCCACCAGAAUCCUGCUAUCAUGGCAUUGAUUUCUUUGCAUAACUUUACUGGAAGCUUAAAACAGGACAUUGCGUAAGUUGGCAUUGCCAUGGUUACUGCUUUGAGCAACACCUCCUUCCCAGCUUGACUUAAGCGUUUGUUGGACCAGUUAAAGAUCGUUUUUUUGCAUUUUUCUCUAAUGAAACCAAAGAGCUGGUCUUUGGUUCUAGUGAUGACCAUAGGCAGCCCCAAAUACUUCCCUUGCUUCACCACCUUUAUGUGUUCCAAGCAGCUGCAGAUUUCUCCUUGAUCUUUUGGUUCCACAUUUUUGCUAAAGAACACAGACGAUUUUUCCAUGUUGAUCAGCUGUCCAGACCCUUGUUCAUAAAUCUUCAAAAUUCUGCUAACUUCUUCAGCUUGUCUCUUGCCUGCUUUGCAAAAGAUUAACGAGUCAUCUGCGAAGAAGAGGUGCGUUAUUGACGGGCCACUCCUACUGAUCCUCAUCCCAGUUAGCCUUUUACUUCUUUGUGCUUGGUCCAGCAGGUGUGAAAAACCUUGUGAGACUAAGAGAAAUAAGUGUAAAAAUUAUUGGUGACAAUGUAUAUUGUGAAAGCUUAUCAAUGUUUAUAGUUUGGGAUGUAUGGUGAAAGAUGCGUGUGGUGAUUGGAAAUAUUUGUUAAGGAAAAAUGGAUUUCACUUUCUCAUACAAUAUUUCUGUGGUAUAUGAAAAUCAUAUAGGUGCAUAAUUAUCAUAGUUUGUUCUUUUUACAACCACUUGUGCACUUGUUGAAUUGUCGAUUAGACAAAUAUGUAAGUAGGCAAUUGCAAGGACUGUAAUACUAGGCUGCAACAACUUAGACAGGAGGUGUAAUUUUAAAAUAAAAAUUUUGAAUUUCAGUGCAAUAUUUUUUCCUCUCAUUUAAAGGAACACUGAAUAGUUUGAUGUGUCAUAUAAGACCUAUUGAUUAGUUUUAUAACAGAUAUAAGACCAUAUCAUUUACAAGUGUUAUAAAUGUACGAUAAAAGCUACCUAUCAUUCUAAUUUAUGAUUACAUGGUCUUCAUCUUAUUAGAUUCAUGUUAUGCCGCUUGCUGUAUAGUGACAUUAAUUAUUUAAUUAUGGGUAUGAGACCAAUGUAUUUAGACAUAUUACAAUAAGUCCAAUCAAGAUUACUUAUCAUUCUGAACAAUAAUGAUAAUAUAUUUUCAUUUGUUGAAAGUUAUACCGUUAGUCUUCAAAGUUACACCGCAAUAUAGAAAAGUUACACUGACAAAGUUACACCGACAAAGUGAAGGUUGAUAUAUAUAGACAAAUAAUUGUGUUUGGAUUGUAAAUUAUUUGAGAUAAUUUUGUAAAAAAAUAUUGUAGCACUUUUUUGAUAUGAUGUAUGUGAAAUAAAAAGGUGAUUGAGAAAUGUGUUGAUGAUGCAAACACAUCAGUAUGUGUAAAUAAGAUAUAAAUAAGGUGAAAUAAUUAACAAUCCAAACACACUCAAUGUACAAUUAUCUUUUUAUCGAUGUAAAACUUUUUCCUCAUUUAAAGAUACAUUGUUUAGUUUUAUAAGGGAUGUAAGAUCAUAUCAUUUAAAGGUGUUACAAAUAUAUGAUAACGACUACCUAUCAUACACAGUGAUGAUAACAUAGCCUUUAGGGAAAAAUAGUUGGCCCUCCAACUAUUAACUAAUAAGUUUUAACCCUCAAACUAAUUAAAACACAUAAUCCUAAUCCUUAAUUUGAGUCGUUAUUUUUAAUAGAAAUAGCACAACAUGUGCCUUCGUGGCCCUUAAAUUAUUACAAAACUCAACUUUUGGUUAUCCAACUAUUAACUGAUAAGUUGUAAUCCUUCAACUAAUUAAAACAUAUAAUCCUAGUCAUUUCAUUAAUUUGAGUCAUUAUGUCAAAUAGAAACAUUACUAUGUGCAUGAUAGGAGGCAUAUUGAAAUGUCCCCAUUUUUGUGUCUAAAUCUAAAAAAUAUACAACACAUUAGUGUCACAAUUAAGACACAAACAAUGGUUAUGAAACAAUAUAUCACUAUUUUAAUCCCACCAGACAUGCAUGAAUCUGAUGAACAUGUCCUAUGAAGAUAAAAAUGCCCCUUGAUUAUGCUUCCACCGUACAUGUAGAGAUGUUUCUAUUCGACAUAAUAACUCAAGUUGACGGAAUGGUUAGAAUUAUACGUUUUAAUUAAUUGAAGGGUUAAAACUUAUCAGUUAAUAGUUAGAUGACCAAAAGUUGAAUUUUGUAAUAGUUUGAGCACCAUUAGGGAAUCAUGAAUCCUAUAACUCAAGUUGACGUAACGACUGAAGUUGAUGGAAAAAGUAAAAUUAUACAUUUUAAUUAAUUGGAGGGCUAAAACUUAUCAGUUAACAGUUGGAGGGACAAAAAUUGAACUUUGUAAUAGUUUGAGACCCACUCGAGAAUGUUGCCCUAAUCUUUAUCUCAGUAGGAUAAAUUUACAUCAUUUACUAUAUAGGCAUAUUAAUUGUUUAAUUACUGAUGUAAGAUCAUUCUUGUAAAUGUAUUAACAUAGGUCCAAUCAAGACUGCUAGUUAUUCUAAAUAAUAACAAUAUUGCAUCUUUACCUUCUUUAAAGUUACACAACUAGUCUUUAUAGUAUACCGUAAUACUAGAAAAUCAUAUUGAUAAUAUGUACAUUGACAAGCAUAGCAUAAGAGAUAGAUAUUCAUUCACAUGAUCAAAGAUACAUCUCUCAUCGAUAUAAGAUUAUCCUUCCCUUUAAAGGUACGUUGAGUAGUUUUACAAGAGAUGGAUGAUCAUCUCAUUUAAAGGUAUGACAAACGUACAAUGAACACUAUCCAACGUCUUAUUUGAUGAUGGCAUAAUCUUUAUUUUAUUAGACUAAAGUUAUGCCACUUGUUGCAUAUAAACAUUAAAUGUUUAAUUAUUGGUAUGAAACCAUUGCAUUUAAUUAUAUUAGCAUAUAUGCAAUCAAACUUAUCUAUCAUUCUGAAAGAUAACGAUAAUGCAUUUUAAUUUUUAGAAAGUUACCAUUUUAAUUUUCACAGUUAUAUCUUAACACUAUAAAGUUAUUCCAACAAAGUAUAAGUUGCCUACAUAGAGAAAGAGAUACAUAUGCAUUGACAUGAUUAAAUGCAUGUGACCAAUAAUGGAAUUAUUUUUCCGUCAACAUAAGAUUAUCGUUCUCUUAAAAGGUAUAUCAAAUAGUUUUACAGAGACAUAAGACCGUCUCAUCUAAAGGUAGUAAAACAUAUGAUGAGCGCUACCUAUCUUGCAACUUGAUGAUGACAUAAUUUUCAUCUUAUUAAAUUAAAAUUACACCAUUUGAUAUAGAGGUACAUAAAAUGUUUAAUUAAGGUCAUAAGAUCAUCGUAUUUAAAUGUAUCAGCAUAGGUUCCAUCAAUUCUAUCUACAACGAUAAUGUAUUCUUAUCUUUUAUAAAGUUAUACCUUUAGUCUUCAUAAUUGUACCUUAAUACUACAGAGUUAAACCUUAAUACUAUGAAAUUACACCUUAAUUCUAUGAAAUCACACUAAUAAAAUUAAGUUGCAUUGACAUUAUUUACUACAUGUGAUCAACAAUGAAAUUAUUUUCUUGUUGAUAUAAGAUUAUCCUCAUAUUUAAAGGUACAUUGAAUAGUUUUAUGAGAGUUAUACGAUUGUCUCAUUUAGAGGUAUUAUAGGUGUACAAUGAACACUAUGUAUCAUUGUACUUAAUGAUAACAUAAUAUUUAAUAAUCUUCACCUAGUCAAUCUGAAGUUACACUACUUAAUAUAAAGCACAUUAAAUAUUUAAUUAUGUGUGUAAUACCAUUGCAUUUAAAUGUAUUAAUAUAGAUGCAAUCAAAAUGUUUUGUUACUUACAAUUUUCGGCUUUGAACCUCAAGAGUCUUGCUUUGUUUUCUUCAAAAUUCUUGACUAUAAUCGAUCUAUUUAUGCUCAAUAUUUCGCUUAAGACAUUAUCCUAUCAUACGCAUGGGUUUUUCCCUAUAUUUGAACAAGAAAAUGGUGCAAUUUUGAAAGUUAUAUUGGGAUAAAAUCGACAAAUUGAUGUGUCUUCUAAGUGAAGUUUUGAAACUCUAUGUUUCUUAUUUCUGUUCGCUUUGAUUUGCUAAACUCUUGAUGUAUUAUCUGACCAUAGGACUUGAGAGUGUCUAAGAGGACGAAAUAGGGUUUGAAAUGGAAAGAUUGUAAUCAAUUAGUGAGUGUUCCAACUGCAUGUUAGGAUUAUGUGACUUGCUUGUUUGGUAUUUCAUGUGACUUGUUACUCGAAAUUGCUAGAUAUCUUGACUUGUUAUUGCAUAGGCGAGUAUGUACUUUAUCACACUCAUUCUCCGUAAACAUGAAUUUCAUGAUCUAGAAUAUGAAAUUGAAUGUGCAUAUGCAUGAGUGUAGGUUUGAUGUGUACUUAAUCGCAUCGGCUAAACUGGGUCCUUCACUGGAAUCCCUAUCCGAGACCAGCUUUAACGAGGUCGGGUAGGUUAGACAGCCUUGGAUAACAACUGGAAUCCCUCUCCGAGACCAGCCUUAAUGAGAUCAGGUAGGUUGGAUAGUCUUGGAUAACAACUGGACGAGUAGGCUGGACAACUAAAUAACUUGAACAAGUGAAUGCGAUAUUUACAAGUGACAAGUGAUUUAAACACAUGACAUGCAAUACUUGAGCAUUGGGUGCUCGUGUGCUUUACCCAACAUCUCCACUCAUAAUUAUCUUGAAAAUUGAUUGUGAGCCUUUACUGCAUCGGCUAUCCUGAUACUUGGGGUUCCAAACCCAAACUCCAUUGGUUAGUUGGUCAAAUCGAACCAACAAGGGUUUGGUCGAGGAAAUUGAUGAACCAUGGAUAGUGUUUCUUGUUUUGGCAUUUGGGUUCGAUAUAGGAGGACAAUCGAAGGAACGGGAUUAAAAAUAAGCAGUGAUUGGUGGACAUUAUAAUUCCAUGGUUGACGAAGUGUCAACAGAUCUUGGACAAGUUGCUAUGGAACCUGCUCCCGAGAGCAAACUGUAUCCUUUUACAUGUAUGUGUUAUUUACUGUAUAUUAUUAAAUGAGUUAUCUAGAUAUUACUUGUUUCAUGGAAAACGUGAUCGUGCCAUCAUGUGAAUGUUAUAAUGUCUAAUAAAUUGCUUGUCGUUUUCUUGGAACCUCACUGGAUUCUAAUUCAUUUUUUUAUUUGUUUUCCUUAACAGGGUGCGGGAAUGAGAGAGAUGGGGAUAGUAAUAAUUUGUAAUAGAAAAUAUUGAACUUAUAUUUGGCUAGCACACUGUAUUUUGGUACUGGUUGCCUAAACUCUUCUCUUUUAAUUUGUACUUUAGUUUAAAUAUUGGGACAUUUUGUAGCAUAUAAUUACUGUAUUGAAAGAUUUUAGUGUUAUGAAUUGGAGUUUGUGAGUGAGUCCUGACAAGGGUUGGGCAGGCGGUUCGCCAAACCCUUGGGUACUCCCUAGUAGGAGGUGGGGUCAUCACAUAUGGUAUCAAAACUCUUAAUGAGCUCAAGUCGGAAGGGUUCUCGGACUGUGGAGAAUUGCUUGUUAAGUGUAAAACGAAUUACUAGUGCUGGGAAAAAAUUAGAUAUAUACUUCAGGUAGGAAUCUCAAAUAUGGUUGAUUUACUCUUGGGAUUGGUUGGUUUGAGUUGUAAAUUAUUCUACUUUCGAAUUUUUGUGCCCGAGUACCAAAUAAGUUAUAGCACUAUGAUGAGAGUAGAAAUCACAAUUGAAUUUUAAGUAAGUUUGGAUGGCAAAGGUCAAGACUCGGAGGAUUCUAGUAGUUGACCUGAGAUUGAACUGAUCGAGAAGAUUGGAUCGAUAAUUGUUGUUAUGGACUAGUCCAAUAAAUGUUUGGUUAGGAUUUCUAUAGAUGAUGGUUGGAUUUGAAAUUUGACGGUUGUCGUGAAUGUUUAAGGGUUGCACUGCAGACUUGUUUAAUUUCUCCUAUGAAUGUGUGGCCUUAUUCUGUAUUUACUUGAUUUUGAUGCGAUCUGAUUGCAACUAUCUCUUGUGAUGGUUUUUGACUCUUGAUUGAUUACUCUUGCCUAUAUGCUUUCUUAAUUCCUAUCUUUUUAUGUCAAAAUAUGGACUUAACCUUUAUUCCUAUCCUUUUGAGAUUGAAAGUUUUAGAUUGUGUAUGGAAGUUCGGGAAAAAAAGGUUUUGUGAGGACUCGAAAAUUCUAUUUUUUUUUUAAAUCCCUAAUUUUGGCUAAAAUAAUUAUUUAUUUGGAUUUUUGUCACGAAUAAUAUUUUCUAGCCUUAUUAGACCGAAGUACAUGGUUUUAUAGAUUCGUUAUAUUUUUAAAGCGCCUCAUUUCGAAAAUUAUUUUUUUUAAAAAGCUUGUUUAGCGAAAAAGUGAAAACGUGUCUAAACACUUUAGCCAAUUGGGAGUACAAUAAGCUCAAAAUUUGAGACCUAUACAAUGGUCCUAAAAUAGACAAUUUAGGUUUAAAAACACGAGUGAUAGCUAGUGGUUCGAUCGUUAUAAGAAUUUCUCAAAGGUUUCAAUUUUUAUUGCGCCUAAAUUAGAAAUACGUGUUUCACGUGCGCGCUUAAUUGAGGGACUUUGGACAAUUAUUUUGGGACAAUUAAGAAUGAAUAAUAUUUAUAUAAAUGUAAGUGUCCUAGAGGUUUAGUGCACUAGUGCAACAAACGUGAGAGAAAUCGAACACAAAACGCGCGCGUAAGGCACUAGUUGCAAUUAAAAUUUUACGUACUUAAAAUAUUAGACGUCAAGCGUCUUUUGUACGCAAAGGCAUCCGAAUCACAUUUCAUUUCUGCUACUGCAAUGGACGGAUAGCACAGCCGCAGCUCUUCACCAUUUCCUUCUACAAAUCUCACAAAAAUCACAACCAAACCUCCAUAGAUUCAACCAAAACUUCACAUACACUUAGCUCUACACUUGGACAACACAUUAAGCUGAAAAGGGGAGGAGCUUUCACGAUUUCUUCAGGCUUCAAAAGGACCGAAUAUCUGUCUUAAACAUCAACUAAGAGUAAGUCUUAAUCUAGCCUUCUAACUUUGAUUUUUGGAAGUCUAGUAUAUCUUUUAGCUCUUGAUCUCUUAUGGAUUGUUGUGGAUGUUGGAAAAUUGUUAAAUGUGGGCUCUAUGAACUCCCACUUUGGGUUGAUGGCUGUGAUGAUGUUUGAUGAUGGUUUUAUUGCUGAAUUAGAGCUUAAGGAAGUAGAUUAAAGGUGCAUUGUUGCCAGAAACGUUAUUGAACUCUUGAAGCAAAAAGUUCCCAUUUUACCCCUGCUCUGUUCGGUCACUUUAAUUCAGAAAUUUGAGGAUUUAAUGGCUUGAUUGUGUUGUUUAUAUGUUGUAGUAGUUGUGUAAAAAUUUUCAUUGAAAAAUACUGAGUUUUGGUGGGUCAAACGAAUUUAUUUCAAAAACUAGUAAUCUGGAAAACGGUUUCGUCGUAAUCCAGACCAGUGUUUGUAUUUCGUCCAUAACUCCGUACUCCGACGUCGAAAUCAAGUGUCGUUAGCGGCAUUUGAAACUAGACGUUCCCAUGUUUCCAACGGUGUAUAAUGCACAUUCGGGUUUCAUGUGUGUGAGCCACACCAUUCAUCUGAAGUCGGCUGUCCUGUUUCUCCGUUCUGCCGAAAUGAUUUGAUGAUGCUGCAACUUUAGGCUUAAUUUCGAGCUAGUUGCAUGCUGAAACUUGUAACGAUUUCUUCUGUGAAAUUUUAACCCUGUGAAUGUAUUUUCUAACACUAUCAACCAUUCCCAAUUCUGAAUUAAAUUGAGGGAGUUAUGAUCAAAAUACGGCGACUGCCUCGUUUUUGAAACCUUAGAUUUGGACAGAUUGCCUUAAGGAUUUUCCAAACUUUGGUUGAUUGAUUAACCACCUUUCCGAGGGUAUUUUUCCAUGAAAUUUGAUAGAGAGAUACCCUUCAUAUGGGAGUAUUAUACUGCAAAAUUUGGUGUCAAUUCAAGUCCGUUUCGACACUUAACAAAAGGUCCAAAUUCGUAACCAAAUCUGGAAAUUUUGUAACAGUCUUGAAUUUUUCCCAACUUUGAACUAAAAAAAAUCUUGGCGCUCGAAACUCCGAUUCUCAAUCCGUUUGUUCUACCCUAAACCUUACUUGCACCUCUAAUUGAGCUAUAAAUUUCAGGGGCUGGUUUGCAACGAGUGAAUUCUGCCGAAUUUCCAAAGUUAGCGAAAAACCAACCCCGGCUCAAUCCUGGGUGAUCUGGGACAGCAACUUUAAACUCAUUUUUGAAUAUCUUCCAUUUAGAUUCGUGGAACAGUGUCUUCUAAGAACUUUUAGUAAUUUCCAAGAGGUUUCCAACGGUAUAAAUUUUUCCAAUUUUAGACUUGUAUCGAGUGAGAUACGAUUUUUCAAAGAUCCAUAUCAAAAUUGAAAUUUUCCAACUUUCAAGGAAAUAGAGAUUUCCAAGAACUUUUUAUUCUUUCGACAUUAUGCGAACAUUUUAACCUCGAUUUCCAAGAUAAAAACCCAAAUGCUCCUAUACUUUAAGAAACUCUAAUUGAACCUCGAUUUGAGAGUAAUUGAGGUUCGAUUUCGUGGAAUUUCCUUAGAUUGUACUAGUCUACAAUCUUCCUUGAUAAUUGGGAUAUAUGAAUGAUAAUACGUUAUUAUUUGCCAGGCGCACACGAGGACCUUCAAGAGGAUCCUACCGUGCACACUUGAACUUCCAGAAAAUAUUACUUACUUGCAUAACGGGUGAGUGUCAAGUGUAUGCCUACUUGAACUCUAAACCCUUGAUUCAUGCUUGACUUACCUGAUUACAUGCUUAGUCUAUUUGAUUUUGAAAAAAAAUGGAGUUGAGUGUGUACUUAAUCGCACUCGUUCUCAUUUGGCACGAAUGACUCAUGCCUAACAUGCUCUGCCUGGUUUACAUGACCUAAAAUACAUGCUUAAACCUGUUGAAUGCUUGAAUAUAUGACAUGGUAUGCUAUGAUUGCAUACGUCGAUGGAGUGAAUCUCCUCGACAUUUACAUGAUACAUGGGGGACGCCCAAACUCAUAGGCCGACCUUGGAACUCGAGCCGGCAUGGGCUUGGUCGGGAACCUCGGUGAACCAUGAGAUUCACAUGAUAAGUUUGAUCUAUUGAGAGAUCUCGCUUGGCAUACUCGUAAAGUAUCGCCUUAUAAAUGUCGUGCGGGCCCGAAGUGGUGUAUGGUGGACGGAUGAGAAGUAAGUGGUGAACUACGGAUAUGAAAAUAUCAACCCGGUUGACGGAGAGUCAUCACGGGGAGAUAUACAAAUGACAUCGGCAAAUGUGGAACUUAGCUCCUGAGAGCUUCCAUAUCCUUGAAUUGUUUCUGGUUACAUUUUGUUGGCGUUAUUAAUUACUUGCAAGCUAUUACCUGAAUUGUCAUUUGGGUGUUAUCUGAACUAUGUGUCUGCAUGUGUGUUCUUGGCCUCACGAGCGUUUUGCUCACCCUGUAGAUUUGUUUUCCUUAAUAGGUUUGAACUCGGAGGUAAAAUGGAGAAGCCCUCUUGAUGUACUUUUGUUUAGGGCUUGUUAUUACUUUUGGUUAUGCCUUUGGUUUUGGAAUUGUACUUUUGGUAUGGAAAUGUAACCUUUGGACGAAAUGUAAUCUGUAUUCUGACGUGUGGUUUGGAGAAUGGAUGACUAUUAUUAAGUUUGAAUACUUCCGCAUUUAUUGUAUCUAAGUUAUUGGCUUGUAUUGUGUGGUCCGGCUAUAAGUUGAAUGGGAUUACUUGAGUCCUGGCGAGAGUUAGGCAGGCGUCCCGCGGAUACCCUUUGGUUCGCCUUAGGGAGAAGUGGGGGCGUCACAGUUGGUAUCAGAGCGUUAGGUUAGAGAUCUAUAUGGGGAACAUAUUAGAUACUCUACCCUUAAGACUCGAUAUGGGAUGACUUAGUCAUACCUAAAAUGAUACUCGGGGCGAACUAGCAACUAAGUUAGUUUUACCUAGAGUGAUAUUUGGAGACGAAUUAGCGAUUAGGUAAGCAUGCAUUACAGGAUAUUCGAACUAAAUAGCGAUUUAAAUUUCUAACCCAAAAAGGUGCUAUUAUGUUGCAGGGAUGGAAAACGGAAAUGGAGUUCCGGCAGCUAACGGGAAUGGCCAUGCUAAUGGUCAUAUAGCGCCUCCUAGGCCUAUCUUCUAUCGAGCUUUGGCUGGGGAAACUCGAGUACGCUACUCCCCAUCUGACAGAUAUCCCCGAUGUGCUUGUAGGGUGACCUUUGCUUACCCAAACCAUGUUGUACUGGCCUUGGACGACGAGCGUCGUCAGUUGGUGAUUGCCAACUUAGACUUACAGGCUGAGGUGGACAAGUUUCGACAGAUGGUGAGCGCUCAGGGCGAGAGGGUCGCCGAGCUUGAGGAGGUGAUUGAGGGCGAGGUUGCCACAUCUGCUGUGGUUAACGAGGAGCUCCAGAGCACUAGGGCUCAGCUUACUAGGCUGAGAGAGGAGGUCCGUAGUCGGGCUUCCGAUAUUGUAGCUGAUGCCACUAGGCUAGUUGAUGAGGCCAUGGGGGUAGCCCAGGAUUCUGAGGAGAAUCCUGAGGAGGAGAUUCCUCCUGGUAGUCCUGCUGCGGACUAGGUCUAGAUUGAUCGACCUCUUUUGACCCUUUUUGACUAGUAUUAGCAGGGGUGAUGCUAAGUGCUGAGGCCAUUGUAUCUUGCAUGACUGUGUGGCCUACUUCUGAGGCACUAGCUUUACUUUAGUCUUCUGUGACUAAAAGUACUCUUGUGGCACCUGUGUGCUAUAUUUUUGUGACUACCCCAUGACUUGCUAAUUGUAUGAACUGGAUAUGCUAAUUAAUGUAAAUUAUUGUUAAUUCCAAUAUUUUCUUGAUUGGUUCCUGCUUUCUAUUUUGCAUCGCAUAACUUAUUUAUUUCUUGCGUUAGGCACGCCUAGGUCAUGGAAGGACUAAGAGGUGGUCGAGGCCGUAGUCGAGGCCGUGGUCGAGACCGUGGUCGAGGUCGUGGACGAGGGACUAGUCAGGCCCAACCUCAAGGGGUGACCAGGGAUUGGCAACUGCACCGAUCCAAGGUCAGGAAAAUAUUGAGGGUAAUCAAGUGGCUACUGCCAUUAAUAGGAUGACUGAUAUCCUAGAGCGUUUGGCUAAUAGACAAGACCCUGGACCGUUUAACCAACCUGGGGGUCAGGAAAGAGGAGAGGAUAGAGUCUUAGAGAGGUUCUUGAAAUUUAACCCGCCUAAGUUUCUUGGCGAACCUGAUCCUGAGGUGGCAGAGAAUUGGUUGGAAAGGAUGACCAACAUAUUCGCUGCUUUGGAUUACACUGAAGGUAGGAGAGUGAAUUUCGCUGCUUUCCAAUUUGAGGGAGUAGCCCGUGCUUGGUGGGAUCUGAUAAAAGGAAAAUGGGAGAGAACUCAAACCCCUUGGACUUGGGAAAAUUUCACAAGGGAAUUUAAUGAAAAGUUUCUUCCGUCCUUAAUCCAAGAGAAGAGGGAGGAUGAAUUGAUUAAGCUGAAACAGGGAACUCUUAGUGUAGCGGAGUAUGAAGGAAAAUUUACUAAGUUUUCAAAGUAUGCUCCCGAACUGGUGACCAAUGAGCGGAAAAGGAUUAGGCGAUUUGUUCAAGGACUUAAUGUGGAGAUACAAGAGGGCCUGGCUGCAGCCUAGAUCGCUACAUUUACUGAGGUUUUAGAGAAGGUACAAAGGGUUGAGAGUGCUAGAUUUCAAGUGAGAGACUUCCACAAUAGAAAGAGAAAUUUUUCUAGCCAUACUUCUGGACAAGCUAGUAAAAAUGUACAGCCUUCCAAAAUGGGAAAGGGAAUGGGAGGACCAAGGACUGCUGGACCUUCAAGAGGAGCUUUAUCUAGAGGAGGUCGUAGUGGACCGACACAGGCAAGAAGGGCGCCUUCUAGCGGUUCAGCGGUGACCCCUCAAGUUUCGUGUGGUUAUUGCGGAAAAUCAAACCAUUCUGAAAGUGAUUGUUGGAGGAAGUCUGGGAAGUGCCUGGCUUGUGGUAGUACCGAGCAUCAACUUGCGAACUGUCCAAAUAAAAUGAAGACGGGAGGUGAUACCCAAAGGCCAGAAAAGUCAGUUUCUAAGCAAACUAGUGCCGGAGGGAGUCGACCGAAAGUACCGGCUAGGGUUUAUGCACUGGACUAUCAACAAGUUCCUGAGGCAACUGAGGUGGUAGAAGGUACGAUUCCGAUCUUUCACCGUUUAGCUAGGGUUUUAAUUGAUCCAAGUGCUACACAUUCUUUUGUAAACCCUAAUUUCAUGAGUGGGAUAGACUUGAAACCAAUUAAGUUACCAUAUGAUCUAGAGGUUAAAACGCCUACUGGGGAUCAAAGUCUAAUUGCUAAUUUGGUGUAUCAAGGUUGUGAAAUCUGGAUUGGGGAACGAAAAUUAUCGGCUGAUUUGAUGGGAUUGAUGAUUAAGGGAUACGAUGUAAUUUUAGGAAUGGAUUGGUUAGCCCGUUAUAAUGCUCAGCUAAACUGUAAGACGAAGGUUGUGGAGUUGCGUAUUCCAGGAGAAGCAACCCUGAAACUGGAUGUAAAGGGUAAAUUAGCUUCGUCUGCACUUAUUUCAGGAAUUUGGGCUAGAAAGUUGUUAAGUAAAGGAGCUCAAGGAUAUUUGGAUUUUCUUAUUAACACCCCUAGUGAUAAAGUGAAUUUGGAAGACAUGCCUGUAGUGAAAGAUUUUCCUGAUGUUUUUCCUGAAGAAUUGGAGUCUCUACCCCCGGAACGGGAAAUAGCCUUUAAGAUUGAUGUAACUCCGGGAGUAGCCCCUAUUUCUAGGACGCCAUAUCGAAUGGCUCUAGCGGAAUUAAAGGAGUUGAAAUUACAACUGCAAGAUUUGCUAGAAAGAGGUUUUAUUAAAGAGAGUGAUUCUCCGUGAGGAGCCCCAGUUUUGUUUGUUAAGAAAAAGGACGGGAGUUUGAGGCUAUGUAUAGACUAUAGAUGUUUAAAUAAUGUUACAACUAAGAAUAAAUACCCACUGCCCCACAUUGAUGAAUUGUUUGACCAGUUACAAGGGGCUGUAGUAUUUUCUAAGUUGGAUUUGAGGCAGGGUUAUUAUCAGUUGAGGAUUUUGGAGAAGGAUAUACCCAAGACUGCUUUUAACUCGAGAUAUGGGUAUUUUGAAUUUGCCGUGAUGCCAUUUGGGUUAACGAAUGCUCCUGCUGCUUUUAUGGAUCUAAUGCAUAGGGUCUUUAAACCUUAUCUAGACCAAUUUAUGGUGGUCUUUAUUGAUGACAUAUUGGUGUAUUCUAAGAAUGUGCAAGACCAUGAGAAACACUUGAGGGUUGUUUUACAGACCUUAAGGGAGCACCAAUUGUAUACUAAGUUUAGCAAGUGUGAAUUUUGGUUAAAAGAAGUGACUUUCUUGGGACACAUAAUUUCUAAGGAAGGAAUUAAAGUGGAUCCAGCUAAAGUUGAAACUGUUUCGAAAUGGAAACGACCGGAAAACCUUACCGAGAUUCGGAGUUUUAUUGGAUUAGCAGGGUAUUACCGGAGAUUCAUUCAGGAUUUUUCGAAAAUUGCUGGACCCAUGACUGAAUUGACCAAGAAAAAUGGGAAGUUUAUAUGGAGUCCUAAGUGUGAGGAAAGUUUUCAGGAAUUGAAAAGAUGGUUAACAAGGGCACCCGUGUUGGCCUUGCCAAACGGAAAAGAUAGUUUUGUGGUUUACACAGAUGCUUCUAAGGAAGGAUUGGGAUGUGUUUUAAUGCAAGAUGGCAAAGUAAUAGCAUAUGCCUCUAGGAAAUUGAAACCACAUGAAGGGAAUUACCCGACUCAUGAUUUGGAGUUAGCGGCUGUGGUCCUUGCUUUGAAGAAAUGGAGACAUUAUUUGUAUGGAGUAACAUUUGAGGUUUUUACAGACCACAAAAGCCUUAAGUACUUGUUUUCUCAAAAGGAGCUGAAUUUAAGACAACGUAGAUGGAUGGAAUUUUUGGAAGACUAUGAUUGUACUAUCAAGUACCAUCCAGGGAAAGCUAAUGUAGUGGCCGAUGCCUUGAGUCGUCAAGUACAAAUGGCUGGAUUGAUGAUUAAGGAGUUUCAAUUAUUGGAAGAAGUGAGUUACUGGAAUCCUCGAUUGGAACCAAGGAAGGUAAUUUUGGGGAAUAUUGUAGUAACUUCCACUCUAUUGGAACGCAUUAAGGAAUUUCAAGGAAAGGCCACGGAAGUGCAAAAAUGGGCGGAAAAGGGUAAAAUGAAAGACAAGACAGAUUUUAAUUUGGGGUCAGAUGAAAUAUUGAGAUUUCGGAAUCGAGUAGUUGUGCCAAAGGAUGAAGGGCUUAGAAAGGAAAUCUUGGAAGAGGCACACCGAUCAAAGUUUACGGUACAUCCAGGAGGGAAUAAAAUGUACUAAAACUUAAAGAGUCUGUAUUGGUGGGAAAACAUGAAAAAGGAAAUUGUCCAAUUUGUCCAAACCUGCUUAAUUUGUCAACAGGUUAAAGCCGAACAUCAGAAACCGUCAGGACUUUUGCAACCCCUAGAAAUACCUGAGUGGAAAUGGGAGAAUAUCACUAUGAAUUUUGUAUCGGGGUUACCAAGAACACAGAAAGGCUAUGAUGCGAUUUGGGUAAUAGUGGAUAGAUUGACUAAAUCGGCCCAUUUUCUGUCGAUUAAUAUGAAGUACCCGUUGGAAAAGUUGGCCAAAUUGUAUUUGGAUGAAAUCAUUAGGUUGCAUGGCAUACCUGUGAGUAUUGUGUCCGACAGGGAUCCGAGAUUUGUUUCGAGGUUUUGGCAAAAGAUGCAAGAAGUAUUGGGGACUAAAUUGAACUUUAGUACCACUUAUCAUCCCCAGACUGACGGACAGUCGGAAAGGACAAUACAAACACUUGAGGACAUGUUAAGGACUUGUGUUCUGGACUUUGGAGAAAAUUGGAGUAAGUUUUUGACUUUAGUGGAAUUUGCCUACAAUAAUAGUUUCCACUCUUCUAUUCAGAUGGCACCAUAUGAGGCACUUUAUGGUCGGAAAUGUAGGUCUCCAAUUUGUUGGGACGAAAUAGGUGAACGGAAAGUCCUAGAUCUGACCACAGUAUCUUGGAUUGAGGAAGCUAAUGAAAAGGUAAAGUUGGUACGACAAAGAAUUCAGGUUGCCCAGAGCCGCCAAAAGAGUUAUGCUGAUAAUCGGAGAAAAGAAUUGGAGUUUAAUGUUGGAGAUUUAGUAUUUCUCAAGAUUACACCUCUGAAAACAAGGUUGAAGUCCGGAAAAGGAAAGAAAUUACAACCAAGAUUUGUAGGGCCUUAUAAGGUUAUCCAACGUGUGGGGAGUGUAGCCUAUAAGUUGGAAUUACCGCCGAGUUUAUCUCGAAUCCAUAAUGUGUUUCAUGUAUCUAUGCUUAAAAAGUAUCAUCCGGACCCUUCUCACGUCUUACAAUCGGAAAAUGUUGAGAUUGAUGAGACCUUAACGUAUGAGGAGAAACCGGUUAAACUUUUGGAUAGGAAGGUAAAGGAAUUGAGGAAUAAACAGAUACCAUUAGUGAAAGUCCUCUGGAAGAACCAUGGGUUGGAGGAAGCAACUUGGGAGGUCGAAGAAGCAAUUCAAGAAAAGUAUCCAGACCUGUUCGUCAAUCAAGGUAAAUUUCGAGGACGAAAUUUCUUAAGGGGGAGAGGAUGUGAGGACUCGAAAAUUCUAUUAUUAUUAUUAUUAUUUUAAAUCCCUAAUUUUGGAUAAAAUAAUUAUUUAUUUGGAUUUUUGUCACAAAUAAUAUUUUCUAGCCUUAUUAGACCGAAGUACAUGGUUUUAUAGAUUCGUUAUAUUUUUAAAGCGCCUCAUUUCGAAAAUUAUUUUUUUUAAAAAGCUUGUUUAGCGAAAAAGUGAAAACGUGUCUAAACACUUUAGCCAAUUGGGAGUACAAUAAGCUCAAAAUUUGAGACCUAUACAAUGGUCCUAAAAUAGACAAUUUAGGUUUAAAAACACGAGUGAUAGCUAGUGGUUCGAUCGUUAUAAGAAUUUCUCAAAGGUUUCAAUUUUUAUUGCGCCUAAAUUAGAAAUACGUGUUUCACGUGCGCGCUUAAUUGAGGGACUUUGGACAAUUAUUUUGGGACAAUUAAGAAUGAAUAAUAUUUAUAUAAAUGUAAGUGUCCUAGAGGUUUAGUGCACUAGUGCAACAAACGUGAGAGAAAUCGAACACAAAACGCGCGCGUAAGGCACUAGUUGCAAUUAAAAUUUUACGUACUUAAAAUAUUAGACGUCAAGCGUCUUUUGUACGCAAAGGCAUCCGAAUCACAUUUCAUUUCUGCUACUGCAAUGGACGGAUAGCACAGCCGCAGCUCUUCACCAUUUCCUUCUACAAAUCUCACAAAAAUCACAACCAAACCUCCAUAGAUUCAACCAAAACUUCACAUACACUUAGCUCUACACUUGGACAACACAUUAAGCUGAAAAGGGGAGGAGCUUUCACGAUUUCUUCAGGCUUCAAAAGGACCGAAUAUCUGUCUUAAACAUCAACUAAGAGUAAGUCUUAAUCUAGCCUUCUAACUUUGAUUUUUGGAAGUCUAGUAUAUCUUUUAGCUCUUGAUCUCUUAUGGAUUGUUGUGGAUGUUGGAAAAUUGUUAAAUGUGGGCUCUAUGAACUCCCACUUUGGGUUGAUGGCUGUGAUGAUGUUUGAUGAUGGUUUUAUUGCUGAAUUAGAGCUUAAGGAAGUAGAUUAAAGGUGCAUUGUUGCCAGAAACGUUAUUGAACUCUUGAAGCAAAAAGUUCCCAUUUUACCCCUGCUCUGUUCGGUCACUUUAAUUCAGAAAUUUGAGGAUUUAAUGGCUUGAUUGUGUUGUUUAUAUGUUGUAGUAGUUGUGUAAAAAUUUUCAUUGAAAAAUACUGAGUUUUGGUGGGUCAAACGAAUUUAUUUCAAAAACUAGUAAUCUGGAAAACGGUUUCGUCGUAAUCCAGACCAGUGUUUGUAUUUCGUCCAUAACUCCGUACUCCGACGUCGAAAUCAAGUGUCGUUAGCGGCAUUUGAAACUAGACGUUCCCAUGUUUCCAACGGUGUAUAAUGCACAUUCGGGUUUCAUGUGUGUGAGCCACACCAUUCAUCUGAAGUCGGCUGUCCUGUUUCUCCGUUCUGCCGAAAUGAUUUGAUGAUGCUGCAACUUUAGGCUUAAUUUCGAGCUAGUUGCAUGCUGAAACUUGUAACGAUUUCUUCUGUGAAAUUUUAACCCUGUGAAUGUAUUUUCUAACACUAUCAACCAUUCCCAAUUCUGAAUUAAAUUGAGGGAGUUAUGAUCAAAAUACGGCGACUGCCUCGUUUUUGAAACCUUAGAUUUGGACAGAUUGCCUUAAGGAUUUUCCAAACUUUGGUUGAUUGAUUAACCACCUUUCCGAGGGUAUUUUUCCAUGAAAUUUGAUAGAGAGAUACCCUUCAUAUGGGAGUAUUAUACUGCAAAAUUUGGUGUCAAUUCAAGUCCGUUUCGACACUUAACAAAAGGUCCAAAUUCGUAACCAAAUCUGGAAAUUUUGUAACAGUCUUGAAUUUUUCCCAACUUUGAACUAAAAAAAAUCUUGGCGCUCGAAACUCCGAUUCUCAAUCCGUUUGUUCUACCCUAAACCUUACUUGCACCUCUAAUUGAGCUAUAAAUUUCAGGGGCUGGUUUGCAACGAGUGAAUUCUGCCGAAUUUCCAAAGUUAGCGAAAAACCAACCCCGGCUCAAUCCUGGGUGAUCUGGGACAGCAACUUUAAACUCAUUUUUGAAUAUCUUCCAUUUAGAUUCGUGGAACAGUGUCUUCUAAGAACUUUUAGUAAUUUCCAAGAGGUUUCCAACGGUAUAAAUUUUUCCAAUUUUAGACUUGUAUCGAGUGAGAUACGAUUUUUCAAAGAUCCAUAUCAAAAUUGAAAUUUUCCAACUUUCAAGGAAAUAGAGAUUUCCAAGAACUUUUUAUUCUUUCGACAUUAUGCGAACAUUUUAACCUCGAUUUCCAAGAUAAAAACCCAAAUGCUCCUAUACUUUAAGAAACUCUAAUUGAACCUCGAUUUGAGAGUAAUUGAGGUUCGAUUUCGUGGAAUUUCCUUAGAUUGUACUAGUCUACAAUCUUCCUUGAUAAUUGGGAUAUAUGAAUGAUAAUACGUUAUUAUUUGCCAGGCGCACACGAGGACCUUCAAGAGGAUCCUACCGUGCACACUUGAACUUCCAGAAAAUAUUACUUACUUGCAUAACGGGUGAGUGUCAAGUGUAUGCCUACUUGAACUCUAAACCCUUGAUUCAUGCUUGACUUACCUGAUUACAUGCUUAGUCUAUUUGAUUUUGAAAAAAAAUGGAGUUGAGUGUGUACUUAAUCGCACUCGUUCUCAUUUGGCACGAAUGACUCAUGCCUAACAUGCUCUGCCUGGUUUACAUGACCUAAAAUACAUGCUUAAACCUGUUGAAUGCUUGAAUAUAUGACAUGGUAUGCUAUGAUUGCAUACGUCGAUGGAGUGAAUCUCCUCGACAUUUACAUGAUACAUGGGGGACGCCCAAACUCAUAGGCCGACCUUGGAACUCGAGCCGGCAUGGGUUUGGUCGGGAACCUCGGUGAACCAUGAGAUUCACAUGAUAAGUUUGAUCUAUUGAGAGAUCUCGCUUGGCAUACUCGUAAAGUAUCGCCUUAUAAAUGUCGUGCGGGCCCAAAGUGGUGUAUGGUGGACGGAUGAGAAGUAAGUGGUGAACUACGGAUAUGAAAAUAUCAACCCGGUUGACGGAGAGUCAUCACGGGGAGAUAUACAAAUGACAUCGGCAAAUGUGGAACUUAGCUCCUGAGAGCUUCCAUAUCCUUGAAUUGUUUCUGGUUACAUUUUGUUGGCGUUAUUAAUUACUUGCAAGCUAUUACCUGAAUUGUCAUUUGGGUGUUAUCUGAACUAUGUGUCUGCAUGUGUGUUCUUGGCCUCACGAGCGUUUUGCUCACCCUGUAGAUUUGUUUUCCUUAACAGGUUUGAACUCGGAGGUAAAAUGGAGAAGCCCUCUUGAUGUACUUUUGUUUAGGGAUUGUUAUUACUUUUGGUUAUGCUUUUGGUUUUGGAAUUAUACUUUUGGUAUGGAAAUGUAACCUUUGGACGAAAUGUAAUCUGUAUUCUGACGUGUGGUUUGGAGAAUGGAUGACUAUUAUUAAGUUUGAAUACUUCCGCAUUUAUUGUAUCUAAGUUAUUGGCUUGUAUUGUGUGGUCCGGCUAUAAGUUGAAUGGGAUUGCUUGAGUCCUGGCGAGAGCUAGGCAGGCGUCCCGCGGAUACCCUUUGGUUCGUCUUAGGGAGAAGUGGGGGCGUCACAGGUUUGGAUUCUAAUCUUGUAUACAAACUCUUGGUGACAUUAGGAUGACCGCUCUGAGUGGAGAUGGUAAAAGGCACUAUUGGGAGGAAAGGUUAUAACUCUUCUUGAGCAAGUCUAUUUAAGAUGAGUGUAUAGUGAAGAGUGAGUUAGAGUGUGAAACUUUUGAUCUAAAAAGUAUAAAUUAGUGCUUUGUUGUGUGCGGAAACAAUAAUAGUAACCCUUUUGUUAAGACCCAAGAAUAGGAGUAAGUGUUACAGGAUCUGAUGUUUUCAAUGGACCAGUCAAGAAAAGAUUUGUAACUGCUAAAUGUGAAAACUGUAACAAGACUCAUACUGGAAUGUGUUAUUUGAAAACUGGUGCAUGUUUUGGAUAUGGAAAAUUUAGAAAUCAAUGAGGAACUGUCCAAAAUAAUGGAUGAAACUAUGGUGAAUCUGCUGUCAUAAUCGACGUUAGAAAUGAGUGAUGUGUUAUCUAGAAUAGUUGUAUCUUUUGGAAUAUGUUUAAUGAAUUGCAUCUACCUUUUCAAUAGUCAGCUUGGAAUCUGAUGUUUGAAUUAGGGAUAUUAAAUGUCUUUGUUUGUUUGGAGUUCAAUCUUUAUCCAUGAUUCAAUUUCUGCAUUGAGCGAGGAUUCUCACUUUAUGAUGCGUAAAUAAGAACUUUUGAUUAGAGCCAAUAUUGUGUGUCUAGGGCUUCCAAUGUCUGUGUAAGGAUCGAGGACAACCUAAGAGGGGGGGUGAAUUAGGCUUUCAAAAACUUGCUAAUAAAUGUUCUACCUUUUUGAACAGUCAGCCUUUCUUUUUCCCAAAUGCCUCCCAAUGAACAAGAUAAUACAAUAGCACAGGUAUUAGUGAGAUGGAGACAAGAACAGUUUAUAUAUAAAAGCAAUAAAUAAGAGUAAAGAACCAAAUCAAGCUUCAAACACAACUGAGGUUUGAGCACCACUAUAAUAUACCAAGUUACUUCAAGUUGAAUAGACUUGCAACCAAUCUUAUGUGUACAAGGAAGGGAUCACUUCCUUCUUGCCCCAAAACACACUUGGUCAAGCAAGGAAGUUUUACAAACACUCGCAAACCCUCACUGUGCUACACUAUUGAAGAAGCUAUAUCACACUUGAAAAACAACUGCACGAUGAUUGCACAUACAAGGAAUACAAAUGUUUCUUUUGAGUAUUCUAGCACUUGAAUCACUCACAAUCUGAUGUAGGCUUGAUGUGCAAAGUUAUCUUGAGGUGGUUGACUUUGUUCCUUUUAUAGGAGAUCAGAGAAUUCCUUAGUUAAUGCUGCCAAAUCAUUCUGUUAUGUAAAUCAUUAUAGAUUACAAUUUUUUUAGCCUGUCAUGCAUCACUUAAUCCAGUGUGUAAAGUGCUUGAUGUUUUGCAUUUAAAAUGUUUUGCUUGAAAAAGAUUAUUUUAUGUUGGGCAAAAGGAGAUGUAAGCUAAAGUUAUAAUUGUUAAGAAUUGUAAUUUUGUUCCUCAUGGAAUACAUAAGAUAUAAGAUAAAAUCUUCACUCAAUUUUUUUUGUUAUUUUGAAUUUUUUUUCUUCUGUGUAAGUGGGAGAUAUUGAAUCCAAAACCCCCUAUUUACACUCCCUCCUCCCUUGCCACACACGUCAAGCCUCGCGCAGAUAAAAUGACCAAUUUUAGUUUGAGUAAAUAAUAGAGUUAAAUUUACAGUAAAUAAUAACGAUUAAUAUACAGUUAAAUUUAAAGGCGGGAACAUUCUGUCGUCAGUAAAGCAAAGGCACGCUGCAGUAGCCAUCACAUUGGAAUUGACGGUGAAAGGCGGGCCAGCAUUGGAUAAAGAGGACCGCUCAUUAUCUGUAGGUCCGUACGCAAGGCUGUAAAUCUUGUCUGGUAAGCAAGACUGGCGCCAGUGACAGGUGCCAGUCGCGUCAUCUUGGGGAAGUACCCCGCCACUGGCGCCAAUCGCGUCAUUCCCCGCCAGGCUCCCGUCCAACACAUAGUAAGCUACAGUAAGGCUCUUUUUGAUUAAACUGAAUCUGAAUUCUGAAUUCUGAUUACUGAAAUAAUUAAUUUGCUGAAUAAUAAGCGUUGAAAAGAGAUAUAUGAAUAUCUGAAUCUUAAUGCUGAACAUAUUUAUACUGUUUGAUAAACAUUUAUAACAUAAUGUUUAAUAAGCUAAAUUGUACAAUUUUGCCCUUCUAUCUUUUAAUCCAAAAAGGAAAUAGAACCUAUGAAUUAAUUAGUUUAAAAUUGUUAGGUAUGAAAAUGACAAUAUUUAUAUUUAAAUCAAAAUACUAUAAAAGAAAAAAUAUAUUAUGCAAAGUCCAAAUAUCGGUGCAAAUACAUUUUUAAAUGAAAGUUUGAUAAGAGAAGCCCAAAUAUAAGCAAAAGAAAGCUUCAAUAAACAAGUUUUAAAUUCGGACGCAAAAUUAUAUAGAAAUUUAAUUACUUCAAUGGAAAAAUGUUGAUGCAAAACAACAAAUAAUCAAUUGGAAAUAAUGAAUUUGAGAUCGGUGAGUACGGCAGCAAUAAAAAAAAUUGGGAGGAAAAAAAUGACAAAAUUAUGAAAGAGUAGAAAGAUGGAAAAAGAUAAGGAGUAGACAGAUGUGAGGGGCCGGAUCGGGAUUGUAAAAAAGUCAUUAAAUAGAGAGAAAAUAGAAGUAGAAAACCAUUAGACAGAGAAUGUCAGAUUGUUUAAUUAGAUAAGGAUUUUGAAUGUAAUUAACAAACAAGGAUAGAUUUGGUAGAUAAGAUAAAAUAGUUGAAGUAAAUCUCUUGAUUCUUAUCAAAUUAAGCAUUCAGUUAUGAUUCUUGUGCUGAAAAAAAUACAUACAAAUUCAGCACCACUUAAUAAGUUCAGCAGAAAAAUUUUUAUUUAUCAAACACCAAAAACAUCUGAAUGUCUGACUGAAUUCAGUUUCAGCACUUUUUUAUGUUAUCAAACAGACACUAAGUGUAGUUUUCUUUUUGAGGGAAAAAAAAUUCUCUCCCCUAUGCCCCAUUCAACCUGCUGUUUUAAGCUUCUCAAAUUAUUUUCGGGCAGAGAUACUCGGAAUUCAAGCAAAUUCGCUUUUAUAGAUUAAAAUGGAUUCGCCGAUUACAAUGGAGCAAACCCAAGAAAGGCGUAUGUUGCAGUGGACAAGGGUUACUUUAGAACGCAAAUACAUAAUUUAGUGGUAGUAUGAGUACCGUCAAUCUUGUAACGGAGGAUUUAACCAAAAUAGGUAGUGUUUUAUUCAGAAAUGUUUUUUAUCUGUAUUUUUAUCCCUUAAAUUAAGUAGUGUACGGUACAAAUGGGUACGAACUUUUGUUGUGAUGGAGGAAUGCCGUAAACAGCUGGUUCUUUCCUCGAAAAUGGUUGCAUUGUUAUUCGACCCAACCCAACUAAAUGUAUUUGUACAAGGGAAAAUGACUACCCUGUUGUUGUAAUGCCGGAAACACAUAAAAGGCUGGUAUUUCGUAGCCAAAAAAAUAAUUGUUAUUAUUGUAUUCGGAAUAACAUUUAUGUCUAGGGGAAAGGGUAGUCUGUUCUCAUAUGCCUGCCGAACCCGUCCACAGCUGGUCUUCUACAGCGGGGUGGUGCAAUUCAGAAAUGUAUUUAUCCGAUUUGGUUCUUCAAAUUUUCCCAAAUAAAAAUUUAGAUGCAGUGCCAACUGUGACUUAUUAUCGCACUAACCUAACUUUGGUUGGUCACAGCUGGUCAUCUACAGCGGGGUGGUGCAAUUCAGAAAUGAAUUUGGGAAAAUUUGGUUCUUAAAAUUUUUCCAAAUAAUAAUUUAGAUGCAGUGCCAACUGUGACUUAUUAUCGCACUAACCUAACUUUGGUUGGUUAACCGUGGUCCGCAAAAGGAUGCCUGAAAGAGGUCAAACUGCUCUUAACCACUCGGUCCAUGCACUGCAAGCUCCUCUAUUUAAACUCAGCUCCGUCAUCCAUAUCUCCUCCUAUAAGAGCUUCCGACAACUAAACAACUUCUCUCACGCAUGCCCAUUCACUUCCGCAUUGCUUGAUUGAAACAACCUUCGCUAUUGCAUCUAUCCAUCAGCUUCAUGCAAGUGCCGUGUAUACGUUUCGCAUCUUUCUACUUACCACCUGUAACGCGUAAGUAGACUUCAGAUUCGCUUCGUUUCUACAUUUUCUAACCCCUGAACCUACCAGCCUCCUGGUUCUUUUAUCCUUUUCCAGACUCACGCAUGGCUCUUGGACGACUGCCUGAAAUACAUGUCCUCGACAACGGAGGCAUGGUCGGCUACUUUCAACAUGAGGUCUUACCACUUCACCACAUUGGAGUCAAGUGGAUAGUUGAGGAGGCGCUGGUUCGGUUAGACAGGUUUCCCGGAGCGGAGUUUCCGCAGUCGAUGCUGGUGUCUUGCAUCCCGGUUCGCAACCCCAUUGCGAACGAGGAAGUAUUCCGGUCGCUGGUCAAGUGGCGCCGCCGUCCACUCCCACUUAUGCAGAAUCUGAAGGCGUUCUACAUCAUGACCUACAAUGCAUGGUUUGUGGGCAAGGAGGAAUUUGUUGCCCAUUUCCUCGGUCUAGAACCACUGCUUCAUACCGACGUCUGGAUCCUCUUCGGCGCCAACUUUGGAGACUGGUCUGUAACAAGGUUUCUGGCUGAACAGGGGUAUCCCGCCAGUAUCACACGCAACGUUGCCAUUGCGGACAACCUUCACACCGCAACCAUUUGCUGGAAUCCAUCAGCUGUAGAGAUCACGUUUGAAGACAGAGAUGCUGUUGACAGCCUGCUCCUCACUGUGCGGCGCAAAAAAUACCGCAGCUUUCUUAGGCUAGCUACCGCCGUUGCGUCCUUAAACCCUAUGUUUAGUCUUAUUGUGGAGCGUUUCGAGUGAAGGCUCGCAGGUACGUAGGUGUGCUUUAAAUUUUUUUGUUCAAGAUCAUAUUUUGAUGGUGGGUGGUUUUUUGUUCAUGGCCCUUGCUGUUGUUGGGCGUACCACGCAUGGUUUUGAUUGUUAGCGUAUGAAGGGUAGGGGUUAGGGGAUGAUAAUAUGGAAGGCCUGAAAAUUAGGAGGACACCGUUUGUCUUUGUUUGUAAGCGGAGGUACUUAAAUCCAAAUAUAUAAGUAAGAACUUGUUUCGUCGUUCAAUUCCACAAAUUUGGAUGUGAUAAACCUAACAAUGGUGUUCCGCAUCCCAAUUGGUUGUACGUAAGCUUCAGCUUGUUCAGUUGCCUGGCUAAGCUGAAGUUCAUAUUUAACAACGCUGCGAUUGCCAUCCCAGUCACUAAUGACGUUCAUCGAUCAAUGAACCAUCCCUUGUACCUCAUCCGCACACACAUUUCGGGGGACAAAGGGAAAAGGCAUUUCGGAAAACCACAUAAUGCACAAUGUCAAAAAAAAGCCAAAUAGGGAAACCUAAUAUGUUAUGUCUAACGCAAAAUCACCAUUUAAACAGUAACACUCCGCACGGUUAGCCAAACUCAGUGGCACAUGCGCAAAAGGAGUGGUUGACAAGGGAUGGACAAAAGGCAAUGCCACAGCAGUGGCAACCAAAAAUACAAGAGGCUGUAAACGAGCCUUUUAAUGCCCAUUCUAUCCUUACGGACACCAUAGUCCAGUACUGUACAGAGGAUGGGGGGUAUUGGAGGGAAUGAAGUCAACGGCAACACAUUAAUUCACGGUUUCAGAACCAGCACAAGGACUACCGCCACCACAGCUACCACAGCAAUGUUAAGGAUCGUCACGUUCGUUUGCAUGCUUCUUAGUUCAGAUAUGAUGGCAGACACCUCAGCCACGGGUGAAUUGGUGACGGGGGCGGUACUUGACGGGGCCGGAUCGGGAGCUUCAAACCCCGUUGCUCGGGCAAACUCAUCACACCAGCCAAUGAACGUUCGACAGGGCCUCUGCAAUAAAACUACCUUAGCAAUCGGUACUGUAUCGGAUAAACAGUUCUACCAAAGAACUUACCAGGGCGUUAGCGCAGCGAUAGUAGUGGCGCCCCCUAUUAGCUUCAGACUUCCAGACAACACGAACUGCACAGCUUCGACCACAAUUGCAAUAUAAUGUAGGCCAGACCGUGCUGUUGACCAACCCGGCUGAAGACGAAGAAGCCAUUCGCAAAGGUUAAUCUCCUCCGCUACACGGCCUAACUUUAUCAAUGCCUAACACAAGGACACGGCGGUCCUACGGUGUCGACGGACAGCGCCUUUAACAACAAUUUGGGGGUUGGAGGGAAUAGGUUUUCCCCAACAGUAGUCAACACAUUUGUUUGCUUAUUUGGGUGUGGAAUGAGGUUAUUGCUUGGUUGAGUACUUGGAGUCGCCCAUCAUGUAUAGUUCAUGUUUCGGAACGAACACACUAAAUAUGAAUAAUCUCACAAACCUCCCCUGAGGUUGAUUUAAAUUUCACUGGCAUCCCCUGGGAUUUAACCGGAAUUUCACUGACGUCCCUUACUCUAUUGCGAUGUUUGUAACAACGCAGUCCGUAAUCUGAUUACAAUAUUAUUUUCAUGUGUGAGAAGUUAUUUUAUUCCAUGGAUGCCCCUAUGGCCCUUGUAUUGGUAGAAGAUUGAAAGAAGAAUAAAUUAUUAGAAUGACAACUAAAGUUGAGGGGUUAUAAGUAAAAAAAAAAAACGCUCUUUAUCCCCCAGAUGUGCCAGGAAAAAUGCCGAGUUUCGCAAAUUUUAAGUGAACUACUAGGUUAUCUAUUUAACAUAAAAUAAGUAAGUAAUUAAACUAAUUAAUUGGAAGAGAGAGAGAAGUAAUUAAAUGCAGGAAAAUCGUAAUAGAGGAAACGUAAUCAAAACGAAUAUUAGUAUAUCAUCUAUAUAAAUUUUACUCACAUAAACUAAUAGACAAUUCCAUAAGCUGGUUGGUGAAUAACACAAAUUUAAUAUCUAAUGAAUUUGAUAAGAAAAUGUUUACUGCUAGGCGCCAAUUUUUGAAAGUUAAAUUAAUGUAUUUAACAUAAAUUUAAUAUGUGAAAGUUAAAAAAAAUAAAACGAAAUAGCGCAUAACAUACCAGCUCUACGUGGGAAACACGGACUGCACAUUUUAUGUGUUGCUCACCAGCUCUUUAUGCCAGAGAAAAAGGCUAACAGAGGAUAAACACCAGCUCUUUAUGCCAUUUACCCCACUUGGCGAAUAAACACCAGCUCUUUACGCCUCUUCUCAAUUAAUGGGUUCCACAGUUAGGACGUUCGUCGCAGCAUACGAGGAGUCAGUCUGCCUUGUGUAUAUGCAUAGUGGCGACCUUUUGGUUGCCAUUCACCCCGCCCGACCUGUCUGCCAAAUCUGCGAUACCGACUUCUAGAAGCUGGUUGACGACCACAGGUACGAACUAACCCUCCCUGUUUAUCACUGUGGAACCUCCUCUGCUCUACGAUGAACGUCCGUAUUUAGACGAUGUACGUGUAGUUCAGGAAUGUUCAUGUUCCCUUGCUAUCGGUGUAUUGUGACGGUUCGGAUGGAUUAAACGUAUUCACACAUACGUGGGUCGGUUUGUAUAUUCCCGCUUUCGGAUGACAGUUUUUUGACGAAAGAAUGUUGCGUCGUUUUGCAGGAGAAGUCGCCACUUUCCCAUUUGGGUUCGUUUAUCGCUACGGUUAGUCGGAUGUCCAGAAAUUCGGGAUAUUACAGCUGAUCAAUCAUUAUUGGAUUUUAUGAGGAAGUAGUUAUUGUUUGAAGUUUACUCCUUUCUGUGUGCUUUCAGGGAUUCACUCAACUGUGCCCAGUAAAAGGAGGUGCUCGGUCAUGGCCAAAGCACAAAAAGGGAGUUCAGGAACCUCCAUCCUCUCCCUUCCGACCGAGGUGCUAUCGGAGGUGCUCGCACGUGUCGCAUCUUCUAGAUCCACUGAUCUUUUUCGGGCAAAACUGUGGUUCGUUCUGCUAUUGAUGAUACAAACAGGAAGAGGCGAAUUCUUGUUCCUUUCCGUGCUUUGUGUUUUAGGUUAAUGGAUCAUUUCUCUUAUUGUGCAGCUGUAAGUUGCUUAACGAAGUUUCGGACGCAGACAUCGUUUACCAGCGGGUGUCACUCGCCAAGUAUGAAAUUGUUGCGUGGCAAAAAAACCACGAAGUGUCGAGCUUCCUGAAGAAGUGCAGAGAAAGAAAAAAUCCAGAAGCCUUGUAUCGGAAAGGAGUGGUAAGCAUCGGGGCGAUGGGCCGUUUGCUUGGAAAUUUCUAGACUAAGCUCACAUCAUCUCUUUCAUUUGAACUUCAUUGUGAUUCUGGUCUGCACACUUUACUCCCAAAAGAUAUAUACAACAAGUCCCCUGCAGAUUUGGUCAUCACUGCUAUUGAUGUCCCGCUGCCACUUAGGCGGCUGGACCUUUUGACUUUUUCGUUACUAUUUCAGUCACUUUUACGCAAGAGUGUAAAACUAUCGACCUUGCACUGCUUAGGUUGAUUAUUUUUCGAACAAGCAUUUGGACUCUGCAUUGGAAUGCCUCGAAGAAGCUGCCAAUUCAGGCCACGCCGAUGCUGCAUAUGCGUUGGGAAUUAUUUACAUCUUUGUUGGUGGGGACGAGUUAAAGCGCAAAGGUAUGCGACUGCUGAGCGGGUUGAAGAAAUCCAGAUUUCUGCAAGGGGGAGUGAAAGUGUGUCGUGACAAUUCGCGAGCGCUGCUAAGGAUGAUAUGGGUCAAGAAUCCUGUGUUUCAAAACCCAAAACCCAUUUGUUGUGCCAUGACACACGAGAGGAAAACAUCUUCAUGGCCUAUGGAUGCCGCAGACGUGGAGGAGAGUACAUGUGAAGGCUGCGCUUGCGAUGAAGAAAUUGGAGCAAUUUGUGCCGCCAUACCUAUCGCUAGUGUAUAAGUUUGAAAACCCUUUGGUCCUUUUACUGCACAAAUUUGUCACAAUCCUGUACAAAUUAAAGCUUCGUUUUUUGACUGAAUUGACCGCUACUUCUUACUCUCUUAAUAUUACUGGUAUGAAAAGCUAAAUAGCUUAUCUUGGCCCUUGUAUGUUCUUUAAAGUAUCACAUUCUCGUAAAAGGCCAGCUCUUUAUGGCUUUCCUCCAUUAUUAGAGCAGAGUACCCGUUUUUCCAUAAAUUAUUUUCCUUUUUCGGGUAAAAGUACAAUAUAAUCGAUUUACGUUAAUUGACCAGCUCUUUAUGGCUUUCCUCCAUUAUAACCACGCAGUACCCAUUUUUCCAUAAUAAUAUUUGUGUAUCGGGUAAAAUAAAAAUCAAUUCCAUUUACGUUAAUUGACCAGCUCUUUGAUAGCGUUCCUCCAUUAUAAGAACAAAGUACCCAUUUUUGCCAAUCAUAAUAUUAUUUCUCGGGUAGCAUAAAAAUAAUAUUGAUUUACGAAAAUGUUCCUGAACACUUUAUGGCUUUCCUCCAGGCAACAAAAGAGUACCCUUUUUCCCACAAUUUUUAAUUUAUUUACCCGAUAAAUUAAAAAAAACUCGAUUUACAAUAAAAGGAAACCACCCAAUGUUUAUGGCAUUCCUGUACAAUAAAAUCGAUGCACACCGCAAAUUUAUGUAUGGGAUUAAAUGAAAUUAAACAAGUGUUAUGAAACAACUAAAAGUGUUAUGAAAAUGUUAUGAAACAACUAAAAGUGUGGAUGUCCCUUUUGUAUUCCCAAUACAAUUAAUUCAUGAAAUAUUGCUAUAUUAUGUAUAGCAGUUACAAUCCAUUACCGGUACAAUCCUCUACUAAUUUUCUCUCAUAUUUCUCUCAUACCAGCUCUUUAUGCCUUUUACCCCACUUGGCGAAUAAACACCAGCUCUUUAUGCCUAUUGUCAAUUAAUGGGUUCCAGUUGGGACAUCCGUGGCAGCAAACGAGGAGUCAGUGUAGCGGGAGUAUAUGCAUCGGACGCGACCUUUUGGUUGCCAUUCACCCCGCCGGACCUGUCUGCCAUAUCUGUGCUAGCGACUUGUAGAAGCUGGUUGACGACCCAUUACAGGUACGAAGUAUGUCUCCGAAUGUUUAUCACUGUCCAAGCUCCUUUGCUCUGCGAUGAAUGUCGGUCAAUUUACGAUGAACGUGUACUUCCUGACUGUUCAUGUUCCCUUGCUAUCGGUGUAUUGUUACGGUUCGGAUGAUUUAACCGUAUUGACAUAUACGUUGGUCGGUUUAAUAAAUUGUUUCGGAUGACUGUUUUUUGACGACAGAAUGUUGCGUCGUUUGCAGGAGAAGGCGCCACUGUCCCAUUUCUGUUCGUUUUUCGCUACGGUUAGUCGGUGUCCCAGAAAUUGGGGUACUUCAAUAUAACCGUAUUACUCAUUAUUGCAUUUUAUUAGGAAGUACGUGUUGUUUGAAGUUUACUCCAUUCUUGGGGCUUUGACGGAUUCACUCAACUGUUGGCAGUAAAAGGAGUUAACCGGACAUGGCCAACGAACAAAAACGGAAUUCAACUACCUCCAUCCUCUCCCUUCCGACCGAGGUGCUAUCGGAGGUGCUUACACGUGUCGCAUUUUCUUCAUCGACUGAUAUUUUCCGCGCAAAACUAUGGUUCGUUAUACUCUCGUAAUACACACAGGAAGAGGCCUAUUCUUGUUUGACAUGUGCUUUUCGUUUGAGUUUAAUGGAUCAUUUCUCCUAUUUUGCAGCUGUAAGUUGUUUAACGAAGUGUCGGACGCAGACAGCAUAUACUAGCGGGUGUCACUGGGCAAGUUUGAAAUUGUCCCGUGGCACAAAAACGACCAAGUGUCCAGGUUCCUGAAGAAGUGCAGACAAUGCAAAAAUCCAGAAGCCUUGUAUCGGAAAGGCGUGGUAAGCAUCGCGCCGAUGUCCCGUUUGCUUGAAAAUUUCUAGACUAGGCUCACAUCAUCUCUUUCAUUUGAACUUCAUUGUGAUUUUGGUCUGCAAACUUUACCCCCAAAAGAUAUAUACAACCCAUACUUUUAGAUGACGUGCAUCACCUGUUUAUGAGCUUGAAUCUUCAUAGAUGCUUGCCUUGCUUCUACUUCAGUUGAUUUUGAACAUUUUUUGGUCAAAAAGAAGUUGAUGUCUGAAGAAAAAUAUGUUAUGAUAGUAUUGGGGCUGAAUUAUCUCAGCAUCAAUGACAUCAAUAUUCUAUAUUGCCUAAAAAUCUUUACAUUUUCAGUUCUUUUUAGGCCAAAAAAAUUGCUAUUAUGUGAAAUUUUCUCUGGCUAGCAGUGCUUAUGAAGAUAACUUCAAGAAUUCUGAGUAGCAGAGAAAGUUACAAAAGAAAGUUUGCAAACUCGGAAUGUAGAAAACAACCUCAUAGAUGCUCUUCUGUGGCCCAUGUUUUUGCACAUUAUGAACAUUUCUAGGUACAUUUUGGCAAAUCUGGCAGUAGAGAAAUUGAGCUAGACCCCCACUCAUCACUGUGGUGCUUUGGUCAUGACUAAAUCAUUCUUGUCCCGCUGCCACUGGUCCGCCUGGACUUUUUGACUUUUUCGUGACUAUUUCAAUCAGUUUUACGCAAGAGUGUAAUAUCAACCCUGCACUGCUUAGGUUGAUUAUUUUUCGGACAAGCAUUUGGACUCUGCAUUGGAAUGCCUCGAAGAAGCUGCCAAUUCAGGCCACGCCGAUGCUGCAUAUGCGUUGGGAAUUAUUUACAUCUUUGUUGGUGGGGACGAGUUACAGCGCAAAGGUAUGCGACUGCUGAGCGGGUUGAAGAAAUCCAGAUUUCUGCAAGGGGGAGUGAAAGUGUGUCGUGAUAAUUUGCGAGCGCUGCUGAGGAUGAUAUGGGUCAAGAAUCCUGUGUUUCUAAACCCAACGCCCAUUUGUUGUGCCAUGACACAUGAGAGGAAAACAUCUUCAUGGCCUGUGGAUGCCGAUGACGUGGAGGAGAGUACAUGUGAAGGCUGCGCUUGCGAUGAAGAAAUUGGAGCAAUUUGUGCCGCCCUACCUUACCGUUAGUGUAUAAGAUUGAAUGUUCAUAACUCCUUUUACUGCACAAAUUUGUCACCAGCGUGUACAAAUUAAUUAUGUUUUUUCACUGAAUUGACCGCUACUUCGUACUCUCAUAAUAUUACUGGUAUGAGUCCCUAACAAUAGCUUAUGUUGGCCCUUGUAUGUUCUGCAAAGUAUCACUUUCUCGUAAAAGCCCAGCUCUUUAUGCCUUUCCUCCAAAUAGAUAAGAACAGAGUACCCGUUUUGCCCUAAAUUAAUUUUUUUGAUCGGGUAAAAGUACAAUAAAAUCGAUUUACGUUAAUUGACCAGCUCUUUAUGGCUUUCCUCUAUUAUAAGAACAGAGUACCCAUUUUUCCGUAAAAAAAUUUUCUUUAUCGGGUAAACUAAAAAUCAAAUCGAUUUACGUAAAUGUUUCUGAACUCUUUAUGGCUUUCCUCCAGGCAACAACAGAGUAUCCUUUUUGUUAUAACUAAAUUUAUUUAUCGGAUAACUUUAUAAAAAUAAACUCGAGUACAAUAUAAGACCAGCUUUUUAUGGCUUGCCUUUACAAUCACACUAUCGAUUUACGUACAUAAAUUUAUUUAUGGGAUGAAAUGAAAUUAAACAAGUGCUUGAAUAAAACGCCAGCUCUUUUUGGCUAUCGUCCAUAAAUUAUCCAUUUUCUGAUUUUUCCAUAAGCUAAUUCAGGGGACGUUUCUGAAAGUAUCCCUUAUAAUAUAUGUGUAAUUAAUAUUAGUAAAUUAUAUAAAUACAUAAUUACAUUUGUUAUUAUGAAUAGAUUGUAAUAUAACCCCUUGCGGGUUUGGCUUCCGCAUAACCCGCUCCGAAAUACACGCUCGAAUACCGAAUCGGGUUGCUUUUCGUUUGACUAAAUCGGGUUUGCCUCCCUCCACGCCCGUCCCCGCCUGAUCAAUUAUCCCACAAAAAGCUUGUCUUUCUUUACCUUCUCAUCGUUUCUCCCGUUAAGCCCAUCAAAUGUGACAUUCCGUUGUUGUGUGAACACACUGAACAGCUUCGGUUUAAACCUCCCCCCUUCUGAAAUUUGGAGCAUUUCGAACAAUUUUAGGCGGCAAGGUCCAAAUAAAUCGGAUUUAUCGCGUUCGCUUCCUCUGUUGCUCAAAGUACUCAAAACAGACAGACGCAUCCCGAAGCAAGCAAGGCCAGUAACAUGGAGGCCUGUAUGAGUCUUCCAGUGUAUGCAGGCAUGUGGGUCGACGUAGAAGCUCUCGCUGGUGAGUGUAUCGAUAUCACGGAAUAUGUUAAUGCCCAAAAUUUGUUAAAUUUACUGGCACAUAAUGACAAGUGCUAUGCUGCGAUGGUUAGGGAAUUCUAUGCUAACUAUAGGGCAAAUAAGCAGAAGUCUGUUCUGCGUUCAGUGGUUAGGAAUGUACACAUGGAAUUGUCUACUGAGGUUUUGUGUUCAGAGUUUGGGUUGGUGGACAGUGGAUACACUGUUGACUAUAAACGGAUUAGCGCAAAGAGUGUAGAUAAGGUUGCUGUGAAGGGGUACAAUGACCUAGAAUUUCUUGGAGAGAUUAGGCAAAAUGGUGACAGAGUUAUGAACAUGGGGAAAAAAUUAAGUUUUAUGGGCCGUAUAUGAAAGUGUUGCCACGGCUGUUACAUCUGAUAAUAACGCAUAACAUUUUACCCAAAGCCGGAAGUAUCACUUCCGUUAGUGCAUUAGAAAGAGUUAUAUUGUGGCAUAUGUUACACAAACAACCCGUCAACAUAGGCAAUUUGAUCAUUGCAACAAUGCUCAACAGGAUUAGGAAGAUUAAGAGCAGGGAGAAUAAGAGAACACAUCUCCCUUUUGGUAUGUUGCUGACCAGGCUCUUUAGGCGCUUUAAUGUGCCAUUCUUGGCUGACCAUGUUGACAAAGGAUUUUACGCCCAAAUAAUGGGAGUAUCGUACUUAAAAAAACUGGCAUUCAAAUCUGAAGAUGGUGGUUGGAUGUGGAAGAAAUCCUAUACCUCUUAUGCUGUCAUUGGUCCGACUGGGGACGCGAAUAGAAAAGUUGAAGAAAUAAAAGAGAUGGAUAAGGGGGGGAAGUGUGCUGGGGUUGAGCUGAGACCGGUUGUGGGGGAAAAGGCACACCUUGAAGAUGUUGUCUUACUAUCUGAACAAACCAAAAAAGGGGCAAGUGUAUGUGACAAUGUCAUUUUACUCCUCUUUGUUUCUUCUUCUCGAUGGCAACACAGGAGCAUAACCCAAUAUUUGUAUGACUAGGUUGUGGAUAAAGUGACACAAAUUUUACAACGGGUUGGUGCCAGCGAAGUGAUGGACAGCAGAUUUGAGGAAUUGACAUUUCUACGAGAUGUAAGACAUGCUCUUGCGCUCUCCUGUAAUCUCCUUUAUAUAUGCUAAUACCUUUAUUGUCCAGUGUGUACCACAAGCCUCCGCCGUAGCACCUGAUGAAUUGAAAGAAGCCGUAUGCUUUCAUGUCAGACACCUCGUCCCGCAGAUGUAUGUUAAAAUAUCGGUACUGUGAAUGGCUAACACUGAUCUCGCUUUCAUCUGAUUAUUGUACUCAUGUCAAUCAUUGUUCACAGCUGUGUCAGUACACUAGAUAGGCAGCAUCUCUUUGAUAUUACAAGAGAAGAACUGGAGCAAGUGAUGCUUCUGGAGACAUGUCUCAGUGACAGAGUAAGUUUUUUAUGCGAUUGCACAGGCCUACCUUGUUCACUAAUCUCGCUAAAAAUAAUAACUCAAUGUUGAAUGUUUGAAUUUGUUCCAUUCUGUGAAGGUUGUGACCCAGUACCUUCACUUACUCCAGAAAGAAUAUAAGCAAUUUGUUUUCUUCAAUCCUAUGUUUUGGGUACGUAACGAAAUUUUUUGUAUGUGCUGUUGUGCCUUGCAAAAUGUGGACCUAAUACUUGCUUCUCAAUCACUUCGUUGUAGCUGAAAUGCGUGUUAGACUAUCCAUGCAUAUCUCCCGCAACCAAAAAAUUAUUCGUUGAACAGAGCAAUGACGACUCCAUGACAAAUCCUGAAAAGGUAAACAUUAGCUAUCAUUCUCGGCUUUACAUUCUUAUACAAUAUGAGUUGCACCUGCAUGUUAGUGGAAUUGGAUUCAGCCUAACAUGCCUUAGCUUUUAACACCUUCAACAUUGCAUGUUGUAUGCGAUUGCAGAUUUUUUUCCCAAUCGUUUAUUCAAAUCAUUGGUUGCUCAUGAUUGCACAUGUCAAGGACAAACAAGUGUACAUUGUUGAUUCUAUGGACAAUUACAAAACCUUCUACCAAGGUUUGAUGCAAUCUGUGGUGAGUAAACUUCAAAAGCGUACCUUAGCUGUAUAACCGAAGAAGGUAACAUAUUUCUAACAUUCGAUACUUGCUGUAUUUAUUUCCUUUUUUAGGAAUGGAUUUUGAUGGAAAUUUUCCACGAAAAUCACCCCUGGACAUUUAUUGUUGUAAAACACAAACUAAAACAGACAGACGCGGCGAGUUGCGGGGUUUUCACUUUGAAGUUUGCGCAAUGUUGGGCAAAGGGGUGUCGGCCACAAAUUGUAAGUGCACAAAUGGACAACCCCUUGUGGCAAGCUCACUCUAUUGCGUCUGACAUUGUUUCUGAAUGUAUGUACAAUUUGAUGUUGUCAUUGCUAGAAAAUUUAUUGCCUGGGAGAUCGCUUUGGGGAAACUUGCGGACCCGUUCGCUUAUGCUGCUUUCCUGAUAGAAAAUAACAGGCACAUGAGGCUGUAACCACAGGAGAUUUGCAAGAUGAUGCUAACAAGGAUGUGGGGCAUCAGGAAACAGGGAACGGUACAUUAUGUCUCGCCUUUACUGUAAUUGGUUCGUUGCAUAUGAAGGCAAUAUUAAAUUUUACAUUCUUUAGGGCUGUAGCAAAUUAUUGGUACGAAAUUACUCAUUGUAUAAAGGAAACCAUAAAAAGUGUAUGUACCUCUGUGCCGAUGCAUCUCCUGGUGACCAUCGCAUUCACAAAUUGCUUUUCUACUCCAGCUAUUCCGUUAUUGCAGGGCUGCUGCUCACAAAUCUCGCUAAUAUAUUCUCGACCCCAUAACUUUGCUUUACACUUUCCAGUAUAGCAAGUUUGAUUUCGCAUUAUGACAUUCAAAUUGGAUCUGACAUGCAAAAUCCGUGUGCUGAAAUGCUGUAUGCCUUCAAUUUUUCCCCAGCCGAAGGUACAAGGGUGAAAACAAGCCCGCCAGAACUUGCGUCCACCAAUGAUUCAAAGAAGAAGCUUCUUAUUCUUGAUUUGAAUGGAGUGCUUCUGGGCAGUGCAUUUACAAGGUUGACCAGAAAUCGGGACUUUAACUUCAGACCACGUUGCUUUGAAUUUUUGCAGGUCUGUCUGUCAUAUUUUGAGGUGGCUGUUUGGUCAUCAAAGCUAAGGUAUCCGCCGACCUAUAUUUGAAUUGCUUCGUUAACUAGAACUUCCACAAGUUUUUCUGUUAUGUUCUUAAUUCAAGACAGCUGUGCUUUCUGCAGGCACAACAUUCAACCAGUGUUGGACAGUCUAUCCAAAAAAAUGAAUAAACGUUUGGAGCAGAGACUGUUAUUUGUUUGGGUGAGAUGUCAUUCACAAAUUAGUUCGAUUGUGUGUAGUCAGUCCGUGUGUAAGACUUCUCAUAAAUGAAAGUCGGGAACAAUCAAUAUUGCGCAGGAUCAGUCGCGGUGCACUAUGACACAAACCAGCCUUAGGGAAAAUCCAGACAAAACGGUGAUGUUUAAGGACCUGAAACAUGUGUGGGGAGAAUAUAAGUCGUACAACAGCUCUAACACGAUAUUAGUCGAUGAUUCUCCGUAUAAAUCCUUCCUUAAUUCUGUAAGUGCACCAUACCCACUGAUCGUUAUGUUGUAUAUGUUCCGGUAUGCACAAACAACAUGAUCAGGGCUAACUGUUUCCAUAUUACUCAUUCUUCAGCCAUACAAUGCCAUCUUCCCCACCUCUUAUACAUGUUACGCUGUAGAAGACAAUUAUUUGGGUAAGACGCAUUUCGCGAUGCUUUGAAAUGUGGCUUUUGCUACGUUAAGCACAGGGUGAAAGAUUGGCCUGACACAAAACUUAUUUGCAGAUCCUGAAGGAGAUUUUGUACGACACCUGAAGAAAUUGGCCAGUGCUGAUAAUGUACAAGAUUUCAUUAAGCGAAACCGUUUUGGACAAUCACCCGUAACAGAAGGCAGUGUGGACUGGAACUUUUAUGUUAAUGUUGUCAGCAAGCUUGGACUGCAGAACACAGCAAAGCAAGUGACGCGCAAACGGGAAGCCCCAAACAGAUAUUAUCCGGAGGUAUCCAUUGCAUUCAUGUUCAGGAAUAUGUUCACAAUAUUUCAACACGUCGUUAUGAUAGCUAAAAUUGCGUCUGCUCAUAUGCACAGACCAAGAAAAAAAGGAAAAUUUGAAAGCAUGAGGAAGAUCAUUGUUCACUGUACGGAAGCUUCUCCAAACCAUUGGAAGGCGAGUACCUCUCUUCUGAUGGGACACACAAGCAAAACUUUUGUGCUUUAGUGACACACUCUGCCUGUCAAAUUCAUAUAUGUUGGUACUACUUUCUUCCCUUACUUGUGUUUUUGUUUGCAAAGGCCCGUCGCUGAGUUUUUUAUGCAAAUUCUAAAAAUGUCGAAGUUUGGAAUGACGUAUGUUGUCUUUGAUGUUCCGGAAUGCACAUGAGGAAAAAUUAUCAGAUAAUGCCUGUAAUUGCUGUCAAAUGCAGGAUGCGUCAGCCAUAUACUCCUGCUACAAACGUUGGCACGUAGUGAGUUUAGCCUGUUUUCAUUGCAGAUGUUUGUUUGGAACUUCUCGUCUAAACAUUAAGGAUCUAAAUGUCACUCACUAAAUCUGUCCGUCUAGUUAACCUCUCGGAUACGUGCAAUACUAACAGUGCGUCAGGGAGCAAUGGUUGACAUUAAUUGAGCUAGGCUCCUUGCUUUGCGUCUGUACCAAAAUAAAGUCCAGCAAUGGAAUCUGUUAACCAACACGAAGUCUGUAUGAGUAGUGUAUUCCUUUACCUAACCCCUGGUUGAAUAUGUCAUUGGAUAGUGAAAAUUAGCUGCUGGACUAGGAGCUUAAGAUUGCCUCACUUUUGAAUGGGGAUGUCUAAGCUGCUGACAGGCUCGGAGAACGCUCAAAGUACUUUUGUGGGCCUGUAUUGAUGCAAUCGUUGGACAAAUUGGAAUACGUUAUUGAAGGGAUGCACAUGACGCAGGCACAGAUGUUUCCCAUCAUGCAAAUGGUUUGACGGAACAGGUAACAUAUCCAGCAGCUUGGACAUACCCCUUGUUGGGGAUGUGACUUCAGGCUGGAAGGUUGUCUUGCAUGAAGAAAAUGGUUCAGUCUAUUAUUGGAAUAUUGAAACAGGAGGAACUUCAUGGGAAGUUCGUGGUUUGCCCAGAGUCGUGUUUGUGUAGACAGUGCAAGCGAUGCGUUUAUGAGAAAUACGGUUUCAAUUAGAAAAUGUAAUUGGCUGGAUUCUAUGAUUCCUGCAGCAAAUACUGCGCUCUUGGUUUGGUGUUGAAUUCAUUGUUAACAUGAAAUUAUUGUUCAUUACACCCAGUUCCAAAGCAAUUAAAUGUCUGGUUUGCGUACAACAGUAGAAUUUUGUUAAAUUCACACGAAUGCAAUAUUGAUAGCUUCGUCGCGACCACCAGUAUCUACAGUCAACAGGGUUCUUAAAUAAAUUUGCCCCGUCACGCGCGAGCACUAGGUUUCUGAAUGUACGGUUACAUUCCCCUUUGUCUUAAACAAAAAUUUAGAUAUCGCCAUCACAGUUCACUUUGGGAGCUUACGAACGAAGAGAAGAGAAAAGAAGAGAUAACUUAGAAAAGAAAGAAAAAGAUGCAUAUUUCGUUUGGGAGUUCAACGAAAGAAAAGAAAACAAACAUCUUUCCCUUAUUUGAGAGUUGGAGAGAUGUGCAAAGACAAAAUUUUAUGAGAAUGCGACUUUACAUAGUUGCCCUUUCCAUUUUUAAAUCAAAGUACAAAGAUUAGUUUUCUUGUUCCAAUAAAUAGAAUAUUUGAGCAAGACAAAUUUCUAAAACGAUUGCAUAUGCAUUCCUACGAGGUGAAAAAUAAUAAGUUGCAUUUCCAAAUAAUAAGUUGCUAUUUUUUUCUUACAUCUUGAGCUAUUUGCCCAAUUUUAUUCAAAUGUUAACCUUCAGCUCAUUGAGAUUCCACAUAUAUAUUUAUAAAUGUAUACAAAGAAUGUGCAUAUAUUUAUAAUAUAUAUGUGUAUGUGGUAAUAAUAUAUUAUAUAAUUUUACUUAUAUUUGUUAUUAUAAAUAUACUAAUAUAUACUAAAAAUUAUACUAAUUAAUAUAUAAUAUUCUCUACUAUUUAACUAAAUAUUAGUACAAUUAUAUAAUGUAUUAUAUAAAUAUAUAUUAUAAUUAUUUAAAUAAACAAAUAAACUAAUUCUAAAUUUUUUGGGAUAAUUUCAUAAACCAAAUCGCGGUCACUUCCGUAAUGUAUCACUUUCCCAUAAAAGACCAGCUCUUUAUGACCUUCCUCCAUUAUAAGAACAAAGCACCCAUUUUUCCACCAAUACAUUUAUUUAUCGGAUAAAAUAUAUAAAAAUGCGUUUUCCAAUAAUGGCUUUUCUCCAUUAUAACAACAGAGUACCCUUUUCCAAAUAAAAAUUUAUUUAUCGAAAAAAAAUAUAAUAAAUCAGUUCUCUAAUAAAACACCAGCUCUUUAUGGCUUUCCUCCAUAAAUUAUCCAGUCUCCCAUUUUUUCAAACGCUAAUUUAGGGAAGGUUUGUGAAAUUAUUCUAUAUAAUAUAUAUGUGUAUAUAAUACUAUUAAAUUAUAUAAUUAUAAUUAUAUAAAAUAUUAGUUAUGAGUGAAGAACGGAACAAGAGAAUUACGGGUGAAUUAUGGGUGAAGAAAGGAAAAAUAUUAGUUAUUGAUGAAUUAUGGGUGAAGAACGGAAGAAAGCCCAGUUUUCUGAUUUCUCAACUUGCUGGAAAUCCCAUAAAGUACAUGACACAGCGCCACCGACAAAGCUUUGCUGUGCAUUUAGAAAUUCAUUUUAGGAUAUAGUGCGAAUAAUUAAAUGUUGUAUCACACAAAAUUUAGUUAAAGGCGUUGUGUUAUAAAAGUCAAGCUCUUUAUGCCUUUCUUCCUUCAUACAGGCACCAGUACCCAAGUUCCUCAAAUACAAAUUCAUUUAUCGAGAAGCAAAAAAAUAGAACCGUAGUUCAUAAAACAGUAGCUCUUUAAGGCUUUCUUCCGUUACACUGAUACAGUCCCCAACGUGCAUCAAAUACCAAUGUAUUUAUCGGAUGAAAUAUAGUUAAAGCCGUUGUUGAAUAAAGAUCAGCUCUUUAUGGCUUUCGACCGUGUUACACUGAUAAAGUAUCCUGCUGCCUUAAACACAUGUAUUUACCGGAUAAAAUGUACUUAAGCCCGUUGUCGAAUAAAAGAGCAGCUCUUUAAUUGUAACAUCUGUUAUAAGUACAAGGUAACCAUUCUCCGUUAAAAAAAUAUUCAUUUAUCAGUUUAAUGUAAAUAAAACCCCUUUUUCAAUAAAACAUCGGCUCUUUAUGAAUUUCCUCCACUAUGACAACAGAGUACCAAUAUCCCAUACUUACAAAGUCACUUAUCGGAUAAAAUUUAAUUGAACACGGUUUGCAAUAAAACACCAGCUAUGUAUGGCUAAUUUAUUUGUUCGAUCAAAUCGGAUCGAUAUUAUACUUGAGUGCCAUUUACCCGUUAGCAUAGAAUGCAAACCAACAAACUAACCUAUUGCAGGUUUAAACUCCGUUUUAAGACACAUUGUUUCGGAUACGUCAAUACACCAAAUUCAUAAACUCUCGCGAAACAUCAAUCAAUUUAAACGCGUUAAAUUAUUAAUUACCACAAAUCAAAUAUUUCGAUCUUUUUUCAUUUAUUUCUAAUCAGUGCAUACCAUGGAUCACUGUACGCUAGUCAUAACCAACCACAAAUCUUCUCUUAACUCCCGACCACAUGAAGAUUGUGGUACUCGUAUCCCCAUGGCAAGGUCUCCCCACACCACCGCCGGCGAGUUUGCUCGGUUGAACCUUGCUUUCCCUUCCUCUAAUGAAACUCAGAUACACGCCAACCGCUUGCCUUACUAUGGCAGCUUUUGGACUCUCUGUCUCCGUCUUCUACAUUUUCGACUACGACGACGUGCAUCCGAGUAUGACAGCCCCUAUUACAGGCCCCUUUCCACAAAAUGCCGCUACUUUGUCUCUCUAUCUUGCCACCUUCAUCCAACCUCAACUUUAUUCAUCUCCAACCUCCUGUGCAUGUUCGCUUUCCGCAUAAUUUGAUGACGGACAACGUUGGCAUCAUCCAGAACCAAAGACAGUGCUACUUUGCGCCGCUCCUGCUCCGAAUUGUACUGCACCGAUAAAUUUGUUACUAUCUCCAUCGUUCGCAACCAAAGCAAGCAAACACACUUACUGUUACACCACACGACGCCAUUCCUUUUUGCUUACCUGAUUCCAUUUCCAGCUUCCAAUUCCACUUGAUAACAUAUCCAUGUACUUCAGCAUGAAUAACCCACAAUCCCACCUGCAUUACAAACCAUAACCACAAAUUUACACACAACCGUUGCUGAACUAUGGAAAAAACUUCCAAAACUAUGCAGGUGCAACUUACGCAUUCCGUUGCUGUGGACAUGUGGCUGCAGCUUUUAUUUUGUACAGCCAAAGGCAUGACGACUACUGCCCCUCCAAACCAUAUGUCAGCGCUGCUUCCAACCUUUCAAUCUUGGGGCCAUACAAGAAAAACAUAUGCGAUUUUAAGUUUACUGCCACCAAUUGUAAAGGUGAUGGUCGUCUUCAUGAAAUGUUUGACAAACCAACUUAGUUUACCAUUGUCUCCACGGAGCUGCGCCUAUUCAUAUCCGUUUGCUCGUGUCCUCUCAUUGAAUCAUAAAUUAAUACUUCUUCGCUUGCCAUGUCCACCACACACAUAUACCAAUGCUCAUUGUGCCACAUUGGCACGAAUAUCUGAAGCAUAGUAGCGGUUAGUUAGUCAUCAUCAUGGGAAUCUGUAUCUAUUCCAUUAUGCUACAUAACACGGCAGCUUCUCGUACCUUCUCACACUUUUUUAUAUUACCUCCUACUUUACAUUCCUGUAGAUAUGUACGGUACAGCUCGUCUGCUGAUUUGUUGAACUCCAAAAUCUCUUGCUACAACACGACAAUAAAAUAUGAUAUUUUCAUAUGAAUGUACGUACUCACACCCCCCAACUUUGGCCGAACACUUGUACCUGAAACCAAGUUGGCAUGAACCACCAUCGAAUUGACUGAUCUACAGCACGCCUUUGCUGCCUUGCUGUUUUCAUCGCACAAUAGCAAUUUAUUAUCUGCACCAAACUCAAGUCACAUCACUUCCUCCUCCAUGAAACAGUCCACAUAACACCACCCAAUUUCAAUUCCUCGAUUUACUCACAUCGCAUGCCAUGGGUUUUUCAGGAAGCAAGGACCCCAUUGCAUCCCGACUUGCUGUCUGCCCCUUAAUUGACACCAGUACUUCCCUGUCAUUACAACAGGGUACAUUAAUCUUUUCCCUAUGUGUAUUACGGUUUCAUAAUCUACAAACUUGAUAUCAUCAUUUUCAAUGAUGAGAGUUAUAACGGCCAGAGCAGGUUCACUCUUCCUUACUAGUACAACCAGCAAUCACGGUUUCAAUGACUCAAUCAGUACUUAGGGUCAUUGAGUUAGCCUAAGGCGGUUAUGUACUCACCAUAAGGGUCAUUGAGUUAUCAUUGUAGUUCCAUUCUCAAACUUCUGGAAUACUCACCUUUUAUUCUAUAUGCAAGCAUGUUACCUACCCUUGCUUUUUAUAUAAGCAGGCAUGAUUGACAGCACACAAAUUGUUAGUUUUAUGCUCACUUGUAAACCAAUUUUAACUGCUUCCAAGAUUUUCGUUGCUAUGCCCUCUCCCCUAUGGGGAUAAUCAUACUACAUAUUUAAUCAACCUUAUAAUUGCAAAUACUUUUCUGUCCCCUUUGCCAUUGCAAUUUCAAAUAAAGGAUAAAACAAAAUAGAACUGUUGAUUUAACAAAUCCAUGAUCCAGUACAUACCCUUGCGACAGCUGAGUGUCAAACAAGAACUUCAGUAUUUUUGCUCGUCCCUCACUCAAUUUUUCGCCGAUAGAUGCCAGCCUCGUUUCCUGCUACCACAAAAAUAUGUCAUAUUCAUUGUCUAUAUUUUCCCAUACUUUAGUAAUUCUGGAACGUUGGAAUACUCACCUUUGCCAAUAAAGCAACCAUCUUCGUUUGACGCUCGUUCAUCCCACUGCUAUCCAUCUAUACAUAAAACUACAAUUUAUACUUUACUUUUCUAAUGCUACGAAAUACCUUGCCACAAACCGAUGCAUACCUUUAUUCUUUUACCAUGCCUUCUGUUUUGUUUGUCUUCCCACACAGGCUUCUCCAUAUUGUCCAUCCUUAGUCUCUUUCUACUCCUCCACUUUGAAAUUUUCGAUGCACUCUUUUCACCCAUUACAGUACUAGUCGUACUUACUCUAUCAUUUUCACUCCUUCUUUUGGACCUAACUUCUGGCGUUGUAGGACUAAUUUUAUGUAACUCACUCCCUCUUUUAACAUUACCACGCCAAUCGUCCUUCUGCCCACCCUCCACACCAAGUGCCCGGUUUGUUUUGCACACCCUUCCACUUUCAUACAUGCUCCUCAGCCUUUCAAAAUGACAUUCAAUCAUUGCUUCCAUUCUACCAAUACUAUCCUUCACAUCUUUAUUACCACAUUCAAUUUCAAUCAGUCUUCUAUCAAUGUCUUCUCUACAGCUUAUGUUAUUGUAAAACUGCACAUUGCCCUGUCACUACAAGCCUUCAGUUUUGUACCACUAGUAACGUCACAAAAUGCAGAUUGCAAUUUCAACAACAAUUCACACGAAAGGAUUUUACAUUACCUGUUCCCCCUCAAAUAUGUGAUUCCUCUUCAAUAUUCGCAUGCUUUCAUUAAUCUCGUACCUUCCCCAAAAUCUUAGCCUCGGCCCUCUUGGCUGGAACUUGCGAAACUCGUCCUCACCCUCGAUAUAGAAUCGUUCCAGAUAGUAAAUCUGCACGGACAAACACGCCUACCAUCAUUUACAGGUCCUUUAUAUCAAAGUUUAAUUUCAUUAUUCCAGCAAUUCCUAUCUCUAAUACAAAAUGGUGCGUCUUUCUUAUACCAUCAACAAAAGUCCACAUCCCGCUAUUCCGUUGCCGUCUCUAUCACGGAUGCUCUUCACCAAAUUGUCUAGUAUGAAUUUCGACCAGUUUAAAUUUUCCAUAUUCUCCUCUGUAGCCACUACAGCCACCAGAUCCCGGCUCACUGUGUCAUCCAAACUUGGUGCUAACAACCUACCAACAACAAACAGUACGAACUUCACUUUGAAUUCUAAGCCUUCGUUAGGCAAACUACAUAUACUGUGCCUCAAUUCCUCCACUACAAUUUCACCGCUAGUUAUUCUGAUAUUCAAUUCUCUUUCCACCUCUGUAUCCAUCUCUUGCCUUCGCUUUUCGGUUUCAAUAUCUUUCCCACGGCUGCUCAAGCCAAGUACACUUUCCACAUCCUCGGCUGUGACCUGUAGACAGUACCCAUGAACGUUCAGUGUCCUCCGAUCUACAUCAAAGUUAUCCACCAGCCAGUUCAACAUCUCUCCGUCAACCUCUACUCCCUUCACAUUCAAAAUUGACCCGAAUCCAAAGUCUCUGACAGCCUGCUGCUGCUCAUCCGAGAGCCAAUCCACCAUAUUCUUCACGGAAUGAGUUGAGUGCCUUACCAUUGUUUCCGCCGUCCGACGAAUGGCCUUCCUUUCACUGCUGCAACUUUUAUAAUUCGAAGGUGUUCCACUCUCAUGCAUCAGCGAUACUACAUUUUCGCUUUCUCCUUCACUAUCCCACUGCAUAUCCGAAGCAUCUAUUUCGGCCGCCAGCUCCAUGACAAAUCCUUAUCUUCUGCUAUUCCUCCUGCUCCGGUUUUGGCGCUUCUUCCUUUCUAAUACGCAUACACUGUGUAGCUUAUCCAGUAAGCUUCACGCCUUCUUUCCCUGCGGUACUUUCCCGUACAAACCCUCACUUUGCCAGUUGCUUAAUUUCGACCCCUCCACAUUUCACAUGCGCGGUUGGAGUCCCCUUCAACGCCUAAUAGCUCUUCCGGUUGCAUGUCACAAAAGCCCUUUCCACGUGCCCAGCCAACACGCUUCGACUACCGUUUGUGGCCACAAAUGCUUGAAUGUCUUUUCACUUAACUUUCCACACCUCUGUUUUGACAUCUAAACAUACCGCAGCAACAUCCAGUUUCGGUAAGAUUCUCUCAAUCAUGACAACCUCAAGAAAGACCAAUAAUUAUUCAUGCUGCAAGAGUCAAAAAAAUUGACGAAUUGAAAACACGAGAACCACUCAUUGGUACCGUGAAUAGUGCCUAAAACUAAGAUAACAUCAGUAGCAUGGUCCAUGAGUAGGUUGAUAUAAGUAAGUGAAUAGUGACGCCUUCUCAAGCUCAAUUUAACUAGUAGGAUAUUAGCGACAUAACUGUGAGGUCUUGAUUAAACUAUCAAGUCUCUCCUUUUCUUUUUUCCUUUAUAAGGUUUGGAAUCAUUUUUUAUACUAAUAAUAAUGAUGAUGAUUAUGAUGAUGCAUUAAAGUCAAAAACAUCAAUAUUUAUAGGAAAUCCACCUCUAUGUGCAAAUUUUGAAGUAGGUUUAUGUCCCAAGUUUUGUAUCUAAACAUAUAUACAAGAAUUAGGAUAAGAAAUCUAUUUCUUCAAGAAGCUAUCAUUUGCCAUCGACAAGCUUAUUUUUGGUUUGAAUUGUAAUUUUUUUAGAGCUUUUGUAGAAAAAUUUAUUGUAAUACUUUUUAAAGAUAUAUAUGUAAGGUAAAAAAGUGAUUAAAAUAUUUGAUAAGAAAUAUUUUCAUGAAAAUCAAAAAACUUUUUCCACAAAAAUGGAAUCCAAACAAGGCUAAAAGGGAUUUAGAAUUUCUAAAUUCCAUUAAGGUUAGAGAACUAGGAAGGUAAUGCAUUAAUUUGCAUUCAUCACAUAUUUGAUUUUUUUUUUUAAAAACCAUAUUCCAUUCAAACCUUCUCCCCACCUCUCCUCUUCUCCAACUUUUAUCCUCCUGUAGUCAUCCUCUCAUAAACCUUCCUCUAAGGCAGGAAGAUCACACCAUGGUCUCCCUCCAUAAUCCCGAUUUAGUCUGUUUUUCUAAUAAAGUCUCUUCAAAAUUUUGUAAUGAGAGUUUCUAUUUUUCUAGGAGUUUUUAGUGAGAAAUUUCUUUCUCCUAGGGAUCCUAUGGAGAUUUUUGUAUUUUUUUUCUUAUUAUGUUGUUAAAUAUGAAUUUAUUUCAAAUCUGAUCGUUAGAUCUGAAAUUUUCUUGGCUCUUGAAUUUAGUUCGACAAAUCUCAUCAUCAUUAUUGGAGGUAAAACCGUUGAUUAGUAGAUCUGUCGAUUGCAACAUGUAUGGAAGGAAACGGUAGUGAUUUAUCUUAGAAUAUAAUUUUGAAAUUUUUUAUAUUUUUCAAAUCUAUUGUAUUUGUUAAAUUGCUUAUUAUAAUUUCUAAUGCAUGUUUAAUCUACCACUAUGACAGUGACGCAAAUCAAAUUGUGCUGGACAAUUUUCAAUAAUCCACUAAUGAAAUUUGCUUUUUAUUAAAACAAAAAAAUCAUACUCUAUUCGGUUUUCACAUAAUGCAUCCAACUUUUUAGCGUUAUUACACCGCAUAACAUGGAAUGUUUCAAAAUUACACAAUCUUUCUUACCAACUUUAAUACGGCGCAAAUUUAGCAAAUUAAAUUCCACGUAUUUGUUUAUAUUUUCUCCCAAAAAAUAAAUAUAGAAGUAGACAAAAACAAAAAAAGGUUUUAGUGGUACAAUGCGCUUGUAGAAAUGCCCCAACAACUGUGGCAAAAGCCAUACCGCUCUAGAAACAUCACGCCAUUCCGUUUUCCAAACACCGGCAAUCCCUUGGGACCCACUAUAGCACAAUCAACUUUUCUGGCUUAGUAUUUUGAUACAGAUUUGACAAAAAUCCAAACAGACCCUUCUGUACCAACACGUCUCUUAUCUUGUGGACCCUAUCUCCAUAAAAACGACAUCCCCACCUCACACUAAACGACAAUCCUCCAUUUUCCAACAUAAUUAAAACGCUCUUGCAUUUUGGCUAAGCUUGUUACACGUGUUGAAUCUCCAUUGGCUAUCACCCGGAUUGCCCUGCCCACUAGGACAUCGUGAUUGCCCGCUUCAUUGUCCGAAAAAGCAAUAAAAGAAAAAUUAAAAACAGUCACCACUACACAGCACGUCUCCUCUCAUUUUCUAGUGAGAGAAAAUUUUUAGAUAGAGGGAGUGGCGAAAAAAUGGGUGCAGAAGGUUGGAGUUUAACGGCCAAGCCGUGUGACUCGUGCAAAGCGACGUCGGCCAGCGUGUUCUGCCGGGCGGACUCGGCGUUUUUAUGCCUCGCCUGUGACUCCAAAAUCCACGCCGCGAAUAAGCUAGCCUCCCGCCACGGGCGCGUGUGGGUUUGCGAAGUUUGCGAGCAAGCCCCUGCAAGUGUGACUUGCAAGGCGGAUGCUGCAGCCCUAUGCAACGCGUGUGACCGCGACAUCCACUCUGCAAACCCGCUUGCCCGCCGCCACGAGCGGAUUCCGAUCACCCCCUUCUUCGACUCGGCCUCGGCUGCCAGGUGUACAGGAGCUAGCGACGAGAAAUGUUUGCUCGACCUCGGCAGCGAGGCCGAGGAAGCGGAAGCCGCUUCGUGGCUGCUACCUAACCCGAACUGUAAUAAGGAUUUAGAACCGGAUAGUCCGGAGUACAAGACUGCGGACUAUUUGUUUACUGAUAUGGAUCCUUAUUUGGAUAUGGAUUUGAUAUCCAGUGAUCAAAAGCCUCAUGUCGUGCAGUAUCAAAACCAUCAUCACAAUCAUGUUCACCAGCAGCAUAACUCCGAUGGAGUUGUUCCAGUGCAGAACAAGAAUGAUCCGACCCAUUUACCCGGUCCAGUUGUGGAUGGAUUCCCCACCUAUGAAAUGGAUUUUGCUGGAUCUAAAAGUUUUGUGUACAACUUCAGCUCUCAAUCCAUCAGC
rnacentral:lncRNA from 1 species